UGACAUUUAUUUUGAAACGGAGGGAGUACCAUUUUAAUUCCCGUACACUACCCAUAAGCAAGAGCUGCCCUUGAGCUUUCUUGCUUGCGGACAUACCAUAAGGAGUAAUUUUUGCCUUAUGGCUAUUUCUUUCUUUAAGCACUAAGUGUUGAUCAGUUGUGUUCAUUCCAAUCAUUCAGGUGUGGCCGAUUGAGGGCAUCAAGAAGUUCGAGACCCUGUCUUACUUGCCACCCCUCUCCACUGAGGCCCUCCUGAAGCAGGUCGACUACCUGAUCCGCUCCAAGUGGGUGCCCUGCCUGGAGUUCAGCAAGGUUGGCUUCGUCUUCCGUGAGCACAACAGCUCCCCCGGGUACUACGACGGCCGAUACUGGACAAUGUGGAAGCUGCCUAUGUUCGGGUGCACCGACGCCACACAGGUGCUCAAUGAGGUGGAGGAGGUCAAAAAGGAGUACCCUGACGCCUACGUCCGUAUCAUCGGCUUCGACAACCUGCGGCAGGUGCAGUGCGUCAGCUUCAUCGCCUUCAGGCCACCGGGUUGCGAGGAGUCCGGCAAGGCAUAAAGUGCAAGUUGAAGUAACCGAUAUACAUGCCAUGUUAGUUCACAUUGGUCGGUCGGUAGCUCUGCUUUCUCAAUUUUACUUCUUGUUCCAAUCAUAUGUGAAUAUACGAGCAUAUGUAUGUAAGCACCUACCAACGUAGGUCGAGGAAGAUGCAUAUGAGAAUCAUAGUACCGGCUAUACAUACUUUGUUUGCAGCUGGAAAUGCCUAUGUCUUGUAUUGUUUUCUUCUCAUGCAUUUUUUGCUCAAUCAUAUGUUGUGUAUUAUCUAAUGCAAAAAUUGUUAUGGAAUACCAAAGUACUUCAAAAUACUAUGGAGAAACACAUAACAAGUGGUGAGAUCCCCUUGAAAACUACUCCCUUCGUUCCUAAAUAUAAGUCUUUUAAGAUAUUUCACUAGGAGUCUACAUACGAAGCAAAUGAAUGAAUCCACACUCUAAAGUAUGUCUAUAUACAUCCGUAUGUAGUCCAUUAAUGAAACCUCUUUAAAGACUUAUAUUUAGAAACGGAGGGAGUACUGGCAAAACAGUAGGGAAUUGACGAGAAACAUACAAUAACAAAAAACUAAAAACCAAAUUAGAAAACUAGAAAAAAGUACAAACAAAGGUUUCAAAACAAGACAAGGACAAACCUACCGUACCGCACUUGUCAUGUGAGCCGUAUUCCUGCAUCGAUGCAUCAAUAACAUGCCACUUUUUCUAACCAUUUUACACCACAAUUAGAUAUUCUUUUUAUAGUAUUACAGAAGGAUGAACUAUAUGCACCUCUUCUGGUGAUGAUUCAGUCCGGUCCAUGAUCGUUACAUCAGUGCGUAUGUCGAAACCCAUCACUUUCUAUCUCUGAUGAAAUAUAAAUAUAUUUUAUAUCGCAUCAUAUAAAAUUUACAGAAGACAUAAUAAAAGUGAAACUAAAACAACUAUUUUAUUUUGUAAAAACAAAAAACAUUUUUUUUUCAUAUUAUUGAAAAACGUGUUGCAUUUAUAUUGGAGCAAACAACCAAAUAUAAUGUUUAUAUUUAAAUAAGCAGUAUUCUCAAAUUUCUUAAAUCAUUUUAAUAUAUUUAUAUAGCCUAAGAAAAAUUGUCCGAGAAAAGUUAAAAACAUGCACGCGAUCCAACAUAAACCAAGUAUAUUCAGUUUUUUGUUUCAAAAUUGUGAAUUUUUAUGAUACUCUGAAUAUAUCAAAUAAGUAUAAAAAAUAUUUAUAUGUAUGAUCCAUGUUUUAUUAAUAUAUACUUUAAUAUAUAUAUAUAUAUAUAUGUGUGUGUUUUAAGACAACUUUUAAUAUAUAUGUUUCUUCGCAGGGAUUCUUUUUAGGCAUUUUUCAUGUGUGAAAUGUUGGUGAUUGAAGGCCCAAAUUGGCUAUUCGGGCACCGCCGAGCCAACACCCAAUAAACCUCUAAAAAAAUAAAAAAAUAAAUAUCACCAACCCUACUUCACCGGACGACCCAACCAGCCCUGUCUCCAUCACCCUCUCUCUCUCCGCUCCCUGUCUCACUCUCUCCACUCCUCGUCUCACUCCCUUGCACAGAAAAUCCUAUAUGUGGAAGACUGACCCACUCCACUCCCUCUGCUCUCGCCCCACAGCCAGCGACCUCGUCUUCCACCACACAUCCACCUCUCAUCCCUUUCCCUUCAACCAUCCACCGGCGACCAGUUGCGCGCACACACUAUAAGAAAUAUGUCAACUUUUGACCUUUCAUAUUGGUCAAUGAAUGGUCGUUGUUUUCCAUUUAUGACCUUUUUAUGACCGAAAACAAUUGGUAAAAAGAGGACCGUCUCUAGUGAACUAUAACAACCUUUCUUCUGGAAUGGUCGUAGCAGGCAAUGAUCAAAACGAAAAGGUCGUUGGUUCUACGACCAAUUGUUUUGGUCACUGGUUGUGUGCCCAGGCCACGUCAAAUCCAACGUGGCAAGCUGGCGUGGAAAAAUUACGUCCAAUUCGGUGUCCAUAUGGGCCGAGCCCAACAAUUCAGCCCAUUUAAUUAUCAUUUUUUGUUGUCAUUCUGGUCGGCUACAUGGGUCUCACCCGAUAUUUCAGCCUUUUUUUGGUCGUGGCCUUUCUGGCUCAAUGGUUCCAGUUUUUUUUCUUCAGAAGAUGGGUCCAAUAGACAAAUGGGUUCCGAUUGUCAGCUUCUAGUAUGAGGAUUCAUGUUUUCAAUUCACCAACAAAUAAAUAACCAAUAUUUAAUUCAAAACAGACAAAAAGAACACAUAAUACUUCAAAUAACAGCCACAAUAAGUCUAUUACAACAUAUAACUUAGAUACAAUGGUGAUCACAACCACAAGCUCUACAAGUGUAAACACAACCACAAGCUCUACAAAUGUAAUCACAGCCGCAAGCUCUAUAAGUGCCCUUUGAUAGCUUCGAGUGGACCUUUCAAGGGUCUUCUCCAUAGUGCCGACCAAGAUCUCACCCUUCAUGGGCAUCAGAGCAAUGCAACUAAACGUGGCAGGGAAAAGGACUACCUGCCAAAAGCCAAAUCUAUACAAGAUAUCAGCCUUUCAGUGGUGUAGAAUAUCAUAGAUAGAGACGUGCUUCAGCAUUACAUGGCAUGGAAACGUAGAAUGCAUUUUUUACAAAGGGCAUACAAUUGCAAAUUUACUAUCCACAAAACAAAUUAGAAAAAACAAAUAAAACAGUGAAGUGUAAAAAAUAUAAGCCAUAGUGUUUCUACUUCCCACAAAUGACUGACACCAUGGUGUUUCAACUACAUGGCAAUCUAGUCACUCAAGAUGCGUCACCAAUCUAGUCACUCAAGAUGCAUCUUGUAGAACACUAUUCUAUAAUAGUAUAUAUCGAGCAUGAUACAACAGAAGCUUGAAUUUAUGGUUUUUAUAAUUCGACAUUAUACAUCCCCGGUUAUAUAGACAUGUUUAUCACAUACUGUACACGACAAUAGAAGAAAAAUUCUAAUAAAUUCGUUAGAGGCUUUCCAAUAAAAAUGAUAAGUUACCUGCAUACCAGGAAACAUAAACUUGAGAGGUUCAGAUCAAGGCCAAUGGAGCAAUGCAUCAUAAUUAACAGUUUUAAAUACUAUAGGACCAGGAAGUAGGUGUCGCUUCAAAUUUAAAAACUCAACCAUUCAUCAUUAAGAGUAGCAAUUUAAUCUAAUAGUAAAACAAUGCUCCUAAAAUAGUUUUCACACUGGAACUAUGAGGCAGCUAAAUUACAAGAUAUGGUUUGCCCUUUUUUCACAACAUCGAUGAGCUAAAGGGUUCUGCAGGGUUAGGCAGCUCAUCUAAAACUAUGUAUUUACUCUAUGCCAUCAUGUAUUCACAAAGUGGUCGAUCAUUCUCACAUAUUUUAAUAUAAAGAAGGGAUCCUAGACAGCUACUUGUGUAGUAUACAUGGCAAUCUAGUCACUCAAGAUGCGUCACUGCUAUCCGCUAGAGCACACAACAUACAAACCACCACUAAAAUUGACGCGGGGCGCAAGGGUAGGGCGAAAUAUCACACCUUUCAGUUUGGACGGAGUGUAGAACUCGACGACAUCGAGCAGCCUCACCUCCAGCUCCACGUGCGAUUGCUCCUGGACCUGCCAUAUAAGGAAAAGACAUCAGGCCACGAGACCACGAGACCUGCAAUACGAGGAUUUUAUUAGCUCACUGGAUGGUGUGUACUUCACAUCAUAACCAAUUUGAAUACUAUGGUUUCUGAAAAAACUUUGGUACUAAAUACUUUGAGAUGUUUGGUUUAAAAAAUUAUUGUGGUUUAAGAUAUUGCGAUAUCUCUCAUACUGCAGUUUUUCUAUAUUACUUAAAAAAGUGCCCCCCAUCAUUUUUAAACAGAAACAUCCUAUUGAUUCUCUUUGCACUUGAAGCCACUACAAGAAAACCCAUGACUGAAAUCAUAACACCACCACUAAGAUCCCCGGUUGUAACAAGGAUCACACGGGUAGGAUACACUAUGCUUUGCUGGACAAGAAAGACAACAGUUUGCAGAAGGGGUGGAGAAGGGGCAUGGGGACGAACCAGUUCUAGAGGCCAAUGCGGAAGAAGUUGGACUUGCGGUAGGUGUAGCAGGGGAGCGCAUCAAUGCGCCAUUGUGUGAGCCACAACGCCGCCUCGACCGAGGACCCCACGACAUCGCAUCGAUCAUGGCCCCCCACGCCGCCGCCGCCGCCACCACCUCAUCGACGCAGCCCAGCAGCCCCAGCGCCCCCUUCCGCAGGCUCCCUGUGACCGCUCCUCAUGAACUGCCGCGAUCCCGCGCGCGCACGACCAAACCCCAAACGCCAACCACUCAGCACGACGACGACGUGGACAUGGAUAGAUCGCUGCGACGGAUGACUCACGGUCACAGCGGUAUGCAGGAGGUGUGCGCGCAGCCAAAGCGUCGCAGAGGGCUGUCCGUCCCGGUUAUUGGCGAGCGGCGCGCGCGUAAGAGCAUCUCUAGCAGAACCCUCAAACCCUUAAAUCUAAAACCAGUUUUAAGGGUUGAGAAUUGGCCAUUUUUGACACUUUUAAGGGUUGAAAAACAAGGGCAAAGACUAGAACCCUCAAACCCAACCCUUAUAACGGAAUAACCCUCAAACCCAACCCUUAUAACGGAAUAUUCCGUUAUAAGGGUUGGGUUUGAGGGUUCUAGUCUUUGUCCCAACCCCAACCCUUAAAACUGUCAUUUCAUAUAUCACACGUUUCAUCACAUUUCAUCAUAUGACAUAUCACAAAUUCAAUCACAUUUGACAUAAAACAAUAAUCAUUCUAGUUAUUAUUACACCACCGAAUAAAACAAUAAUCAUUCAAAUUAUUACAACAAUGUUUGAGCAAAUUAAAACAAUAAUACAUCAUAAUUCAUGAGUAAACAUUUGACAAUGGAGAUAAAAUGUAAAGUGAAAUAAUAGCAACUUUGGAAGAUCAUGAUAAUCUGAAGCAAAAUACAAGGUAAGCAUAUCAUGAAAAUUUGAAACCAAAUUAUUACAUGCUAACUUAUUUCUUAGCAGCAAUCUGAAGAAAAAUACAAGGUAAGCAUAUCAUGCAAAAUCUAUUUACUAGCCUGUAUUUGUAACUGAUUUCUUAGCAGCAAAAUCUGCCAUGAAAUCGGUAUCAAUUGCACAGGGCAAAACCUGAAACAACUAAUUGCACAGGGCAUGUAUCAAUUGCACACGGCAAAAUCUGUCAUGAAACCUGAAACCAUGAAACCUGAAGCAAAAUCUGUUAUGACUUGCCUGAAAAAAAUUCAGUUGGCUAGAAACUCACAUACACAGAGCAUGUAUCAAUUGCCUCUGUGCCAAUAAUUUUGUUCUACUUAUCUAGCAAAACCAGGAAGAGUAUGUACACUAGAGCUCGCGAGGGCACCAUGGUAGAAGUAUGGAGGUGGAGAAGGAUUGGAACAGGAGCUCAUCGGGGCGUCGGGGAACUGCUGCAGCGGCGAGGUGGGCGGCUCAGGCCGGGGCUGGCGCAGGGGCGGGCGCGGGGCCGGCCGGGGCUGGCACGGCGGCCGANNNNNNNNNNNNNNNNNNNNNNNNNNNNNNNNNNNNNNNNNNNNNNNNNNNNNNNNNNNNNNNNNNNNNNNNNNNNNNNNNNNNNNNNNNNNNNNNNNNNGAAUCCCACUUAUGAUUAACCCCUCUCGCAAGCAUCCGUAACUACGAAAGAAGAAUUAUGACAAAGUCAAACCAUAGCAUUAAACUAGUGGAUCCAAAUCAGCCCCUUACGAAGUAACACAUAAACUAGCGUUUAAGCUUCUGUCACUCUAGCAACCCAUCAUCUACUUACUACUUCCCAAUGCCUUCCUCUAGGCCCAAAUAAUGGUGAAGUGUUAUGUAGUCAACGUUCGCAUAACACCACUAGAGGAAAAACAACAUACAACAUAUCAAAAUACCGANNNNNNNNNNNNNNNNNNNNNNNNNNNNNNNNNNNNNNNNNNNNNNNNNNNNNNNNNNNNNNNNNNNNNNNNNNNNNNNNNNNNNNNNNNNNNNNNNNNNNNNNNNNNNNNNNNNNNNNNNNNNNNNNNNNNNNNNNNNNNNNNNNNNNNNNNNNNNNNNNNNNNNNNNNNNNNNNNNNNNNNNNNNNNNNNAGUAAUCCAACUAGCAUCAACUACAAAGAGUAGUCAACACUACUAGCAACCUUACAAGUACCAAUCGGAGUCGCGAGAUGGAGAUUGGUUACAAGAGAUGAACUAGGGUUUGGAGAUGAGAUGGUGGUGAUGAAGAUGUUGAUGGAGAUGAGUCCCCUCCGAUGAGAGGAAUGUUGGUGAUGACGAUGACGACGAUUUCCCCCUCCGGGAGGGAAGUUUCCCCGGCAGGAUCGUCCUGCCGGAGCUCUUGAUUGGUUCUGCUCAAGUUCCGCCUCGUGGCGGCGGCGAAACCAUGAUAAAGCUCCCUUCUGAUUUUUUCCUGGACGAAAUCCUCCAUAUAGAAAAAUAGGGGGGCAAGUGGGCCAGUAGGGUGACCACAAGCCCCCAUGGCGCGGCCUGGGGGGNNNNNNNNNNNNNNNNNNNNNNNNNNNNNNNNNNNNNNNNNNNNNNNNNNNNNNNNNNNNNNNNNNNNNNNNNNNNNNNNNNNNNNNNNNNNNNNNNNNNAUGCAUGUAGUACAUCCAAUCUGCAAAAUGGGAAUAAGAAAGUCAAAAAAAGAACAACAACAACAACAUAUAUAUGACAAAUGAGCUAAAUUGAAGAAGAAAGAGAAGAAGCAAGAAGGGAACAAGGAGAAGAAAAACAAGUAGGAGGAGGAGGAGGAGGGGAAGGAGAAGGAGAAAGAGGAGGAGAAGAACAAAAAAGAAGAAGAGAAGAAGAAGGAGAAGAAGGAGGAGAGAAGAAGAAGGAGAAGAAGGAGGGCUCCUUUUCCUUCUUCUCCUCCUUCUCCUUCUUCUUCUCUUCUUCUCCUCCUCCUCCUUCUUCUUCUCAUUCUCCUUCUCCUUCUCUUCUUCUUCUCUUCUUCUUCUUCUUCUUCUUCUUCUUCNNNNNNNNNNNNNNNNNNNNNNNNNNNNNNNNNNNNNNNNNNNNNNNNNNNNNNNNNNNNNNNNNNNNNNNNNNNNNNNNNNNNNNNNNNNNNNNNNNNNNNNNNNNNNNNNNNNNNNNNNNNNNNNNNNNNNNNNNNNNNNNNNNNNNNNNNNNNNNNNNNNNNNNNNNNNNNNNNNNNNNNNNNNNNNNNNNNNNNUAUGUCUUUUAGGAGCUUAAUUAGUCAUUUUAUUAUGUCUUCUUGUUCUCCUCCUCCUUCUUCUCCUUCUCCUUCUCUUCUCUUUCUCUUCUUCUUUUUGUUCUUCCUUUUCAUUUCUCAUCUUCUCCUCUUCUUGGAGCUAAAUUAGCUAACUAUGUAUUUUUGGAUCUAAAUGGUCUAAUUAUGUCAUUAUAGAGGAAAACAAGCUAAGUAUAUAAUAUUAAUGAGCUAACCAAGGUUCUUAUGCCAUUUUGAGCUUAUAAUGUCUUUUUGGAGCUAAAUUGGCUAAUUAUGUCAUUGGUGGGGAAAUUAAGGCAAGGAGAAUAUGAAAGAGGAGAAGAAAGAGGAGGAGGAGGAGGAGAAGAAGAAGAAAUAAAGAAGAAGGAGGAGAAGCAGGAGGAGGAGGAGAAGGACUAGAAGGUCCUUGGCCUUCUCCUCCUUCUCCUCUUCCUCCUUCUCCUUCUUCUGUUCUUCUUCUUCUUCUUUCUUUUCAUUUUUCCUAUUUCUUCUCAUGUUCUCCUCUUCUUGGAGCUAAAUUAGCUAACUAUGUCUUUUUGGAGCUAAAUGGGCUAAUUUUCCCAUUUUAUAGGAACACACGCUAAGUAUAUAAUAUUAAUGAGCUAACCAAGGUUCUUAUGCCAUUUUGAGGUUAUUAUGGCAGUUUGGAGCUAAAUGGGCUAAUUAUGUCAUUGUUGGGGAAAUUAAGGCAAGAAGAAUAUGAAAGAGGAGAAGAAAGAGGAGGAGGAGGAGAAUAAGAAGAAAUAAAGAAGAAGCAGGCGAAGGAGGAGGAGGAGAAGGACUAGAAGGUCCUUGGCCUUCUCCUCCUCCUUCUCCUCCUCCUCCUCCUCCUCCUCCUUCUUCUUCUUCUCCUCCUCCUUCUUCUCCUUCUCCUUCUCUUCUCUUUCUCUNNNNNNNNNNCUCUUCUUCCUUUUCAUUUCUCCUCUUAUCCUCUUCUUGGAGCUAAAUUAGCUAACUAUGUAUUUUUGGAGCUAAAUGGGCUAAUUAUGUCAUUGUAGAGGAAAACAAGCUAAGUAUAUAAUAUUAAUGAGCUAACCAAGGUUCUUAUGCCAUUUUGAGCUUACAAUGUCUUUUUGGAGCUAAAUGUGCUAAUUAUGUCAUUGUUGGGGAAAUUAAGGCAAGGAGAAUAUGAAAGAGGAGAAGAAAGAGGAGGAGGAGGAGAAGAAGAAGAAAUAAAGAAGAAGAAGGAGAAGGAGGAGGAGGAGGAGGAGGAGAAGGACUAGAUGGUCCUUGGCCUUCUCCUCCUCCUCCUUCUCCUUCUUCUCUUCUUCUUCUUCUUCUUCUUCUUUCUUUUCAUUUUCCCUAUUUCUUCUCCUCUUCUCCUCUUCUUGGAGCUAUAUUAGCUAACUAUGUCUUUUUGGAGCUAAAUGGGCUAAUUAUCCCAUUUUAGAGGAAAACAAGCUAAGUAUAUAAUAUUAAUGAGAUAACCAAGGUUCUUAUGCCAUUUUGAGGUUAUUAUGACAUUUUGGAGCUAAAUGGGCUAAUUAUGUCAUUGUUGGGGAAAUUAAGGCAAGGAGAAUAUGAAAGAGGAGAAGAAAGAGGAGGAGGAGGAGAAGAAGAAGAAAUAAAGAAGAAGGAGGAGGAGGAGGAGGAGGAGGAGGAGGAGAAGGACUAGAAGGUCCUUGGCCUUCUCCUCAUUCUCCUCCUCCUCCUCCUCCUUCUCCUUCUUCUCCUCCUCCUUCUUCUCCUUCUCCUUCUCUUCUCUUUCUCUNNNNNNNNNNAUUUUUGUUCUUCCUUUUCAUUUCUCCNNNNNNNNNNNNNNNNNNNNNNNNNNNNNNNNNNNNNNNNNNNNNNNNNNNNNNNNNNNNNNNNNNNNNNNNNNNNNNNNNNNNNNNNNNNNNNNNNNNNGGGUCUUCUGCAUCCUCUCAGUUGCAUAGCACCAACGAUCUUGCACCGGCCCACCCAAUCUUGCCUCGGUUGGUAGAUGUAAAAUCAAAUGCUGCAUUGGAUUAAAGAAGCCCGGUGGAAAGAUCUUCUCUAACUUGCACAACAACUCCGGUGCAAACUCCUCCAUGUCUUCUACCACGCCAGGCGACAAUUAUUUCGCACAAAGAACACGGAAGAAAUAGCUCAGCUCCGCCAGUACUAGCCAUUCAUCCUCAGGAAUAAAGCCACGUAACAUCACCGGCAUUACCCGCUCUAGCCAUAUGUGCCAAUCAUGACUCUUGAGACCAAAGAUUUUUUAUUUUUCAAGACUCGCUCCCCUCUUUAGAUUCGCUGCAUACCCAUCGGGGAACAUCAAGUGCAUUUUGACCCACAAGAUAAUUUCCCUCAUAGGUGGCCUUCCAAGAUUGAACCAGGCCUUUGGCUUCGACCACUUCUGCUUUCCUUUGCCUUCUCGCAUGUUUUGUAAUGGUCUAUGACAUACUGUCUCUUGAUCGACUAUAGCCUUAGUAUUAUCCUUUGUCUUCCCAUCUAUGUGAAACAAUGUACCAAAAUAGCCUCUCCGAUAUUCUUUUCAGUGUGCAUCAUGUCGAUAUUGUGUGGAAGAAGGAGGUCUUUGAAGUAAGGCGGAUCCCAGAAGCAUGGCUUGUGAGUCCAGGCGUGUUUUGAAUUAUACCCCUUGAAAUACCCUGGACGCUCUAGAUCAGGCUCGAGGGCAUUUAACUGAUCCAGGAUCUGUUGGCCUGUCAACACAGGUGGUGCCAAGUUCUUGACAACUUUACAUUUGGUAAAGUUCUUCUUGUCUUUUCUGAACUGAUGGUCAGGAUCCAGGAACUGUCUAUGCAAAUCAAAGCAAGAAUACUUCCGACCCUCCUGCAACCAAUGAAACUGAAGAGCUGCCUUGCAUUGGGGGCACGGGAACCUUCCAUGCACACACCAUCCAGAGAAUAGUGCAUAUGCCGGCAAGUCAUGCAUAGAGUACACGUACCACACAUGCAUUUUGAAGUUUUGUUUUCUAGCCGCAUCGUAUGUCUUGACCCCAUUAUCCCAAGCGUCUUCCAAUUCAUCCUUAAGCGGAUGCAGGUACACAUUCAUAUUCUUCCCCGGAUAAUUGGACCCUGGAAUUAUCAACGUCAGAAAUAUGUUCUUUCUUUGCAUAAUCUGCCCGGGGGGGGGAGAUUCAGUGGAAUGACAAAUACAGGCCAACAACUGUAUUGGGUUGCCGUCAUGCCGAAGGGAUUAAAACCAUCCGUGGCGGCGCAGACUCGAGGAUUUCUUGGAUCUGCCGCUUUAUCCUGAUGCAAUCCAUCGAAAUGUUUCCACNNNNNNNNNNAGAUUGAGUGGAAUGAAAAAUACAUGCCAACAACUAUAUUUGGUUGUCGUCAUGCCGAAGGGAUUAAAACCAUCCGUGGUGAUGCAGACUCGACGAUUCCUUGGAUCUGCCGCUUUAUCCUGAUGCAAUCCAUCGAAAUGUUUCCACGCUUCCCGAUCCGAUGUGUGUACCACCAUAUUAUUCCCAUCCGCAUCUAGUUCGGUUCUUUUGCCCAAUUUGUGCCAUGUCAUCUGUCUGGCUGUCUCUUCGACCAUGAAAAUACGUUGAAGUCUUGGUACGAUUGGCAUAUACCGAAGAACACUAACUGCGAUUUUGGUCUGCCUCUCGCACCCAUACCGUUGUCUACCACAAGAUACCUGCAAGACUCGCAAUUGGGACAAUAGUCCAAGUGUGCAUACUCCUUCCUAAAUAAGACACAUCCUUUCUCACAUGCAUCUAUCUUCUCAUAGGGCAUCUUAAGUACGCGAAGUAUUUUGUCCGACUGGUACAGGUUUGCAGGAAUGACAUGGCCUUUGGGUAGGAAACGUCCAAAUAGUGUCAUCAUCGCGUCGUAGCAUUCUCUUCCCAAGUUGAACUGAGCCUUCAGAGCCAUUACUUGUGCAAUUGCAUCCAGCUGACAGAGCUCGGUGUGCUCAUGGAGAGGUCGUUUUGAAGACUCCAACAUUUCAUAAAAGGCCUUUGCAGAUUCCUCCNNNNNNNNNNAUCGUAGCAUUCUCUUCCCAAGUUGAACAGAGCCUUCAGAACCAUUACUUGUGCAAUUGCAUCCAGCUGAUAGAGCUCAGUGUGCUCAUGGAGAGGACGUUUUGAAGACUCCAACAUUUCAUAAAAGGCCUUUGCAGAUUCCUCCAUCUCAUCUUCCGAAUCCCGAGCAUCAUCAAAGUCUUGCACCAUGUCUUCGAUCCCAGUACCAUGCUCGUCCGUGUGACGACGGACCACCUCAGCUCUUGUGCGUUGUAUAGACUCACCAUGAAAUGUCCACACCAUAUAAUUAGGCUUAAAACCCCUCCUCUGCAGGUGUUUAAUCAUUACAGCCUCUGUUGUCUUUUUAUAGUUGUCGCAUCCAGGACAGGGGCAAUAGUUUCUUUCCUCGCCAUUUGCGAAUGCGGCUUUCACAAAUUCCUUUGUUUUUAAAAACCAUUCUUUCGUCAUCUCUUUAUGACUAGGGUGACCGGUAUACAUCCACGCACGAUCACUCAUCUUGCGUAGCUACUAAAGACAGAAGAAAUAUAUUUAUAUAUAAUUCAUCAUCUAUAUUCAUCGGUUAAUCAUGUUCGCCAUUUUUAUUACGUCCAGGCAACCUACACGCUAAUAGGUAAAGAUAGGUCCUAAUCCCACUCGAGUAUGUGUAGACUGGGUUCGUUUUCCCAUGCUCUGCUCCGGAUCCAACGCAAAAUUUCGGCAGCACCUCCCCGCUGUUCUCUUGAUACACGUCUCCGCAAUAAACAGAGAGGAUGUGCAUCCGGAGAACAACAGGGAGGCAAUGACGAAAUUCCGCAUCGGAUCCAGAGCACAGCAUACGGGAAAACGAACCCAGUCUACACAUACUCGGGCUGUCCAUGGAUAAUGUUGGACAAUUCGAAAGGAUGGCGGUUAUAAAUAUGCAAAGACAUGCAUAUUUAUAGAUGUCGCCCUUUCGAAUGGGAGACGCAUACUGGUCACGCAUACUCAUGAUUGAAGAAACCUAUAGCUAGCAAGUUUCAUCGGCACGAAGACCGGGACAGAGCAAAUUAAGGGGGUAGGAGGAGAAGUCAUUUGUGCUCACCAACAAACGCAAGGGCGGAGCUCGUCCAACGCACGUGGAGGUCGUCGAACAACUGCACAUUGAAAUUCACCUGAUCAACACAAAUAUGAUGUUUUUAUAAUUAACAUAACUAUAUGACCUAACUCAUAACUAUGUGGGUCAGUGUCAUCGGGGGUCGAAGGUCACUGGCGUCGGGGAUUGGGGUCUUUUCGGUCAACAAGAGGCGGAAGAGGUGUCGGGGCUCGGGGGUUGGGGGUCAGUGGCGUCGGGGGNNNNNNNNNNNNNNNNNNNNNNNNNNNNNNNNNNNNNNNNNNNNNNNNNNNNNNNNNNNNNNNNNNNNNNNNNNNNNNNNNNNNNNNNNNNNNNNNNNNNAAGAAGAAGAGAUGAAGAAGAAGAGAAGGAGGAGGAGGAGGAGGAGGAGGAGAAGGCCUAUCCUUCUCCUCCUCCUCCUCCUCCUCCUCCUUCUUCUUCUUGAUUUCUUCUUCUUCUCCUCUUCCUCCUCUUUCUUCUUCUUCUCCUCCUCCUCUUUCUCCUCCUCCUCCUCUUUCUUCUUAUUCUCUUCCUCCUCUUUCUUCUCCUCCUCUUUCUUCUUCUUCUCUUCCUCCUCUUUCUUCUCCUCCUCUUUCUUCUUCUUCUCUUCCUCCUCUUUCUUCUUCUUCUCCUCCUCCUCUUUCUUCUUCUUCUUCUCCUCCUCUUUCUCCUCCUCCUCUUUCUUCUUCUCCUCUUCCUCCUCUUUCUUCUUCUUCUCCUCCUCCUCCUCUUUCUUCUCCUCUUUCAUAUUAUCCUUGCUUUAAUUAACCCAACAAUGACAUAAUUAGCCCAUUUAGCUCCAAAAUACCAUAAUAAGCUCAAAAUGGCAUAAGAACCUUGGUUAGCUCAUGAAUAUUAUAUACUUAGCUUGUUUUCCUCUAAAAUGACAUAAUUGGAAUAUUUAGCUCAAAAAGAAGGAGAAGGAAGAAUAAGAAGAAGAAGAGAAGAAGAAUAGAAGGAGAAGGAGAAGAAUAAGGAGGAGGAGGAGAAGAAGAAGAAGGAGGAGGAGAAGAAGAGAAGGAGGAGAAGGAGAAGGAGCCCUCCUUCUUCUCCUUCUUCUUCUCCCCUUCUUCUCCUCCUUCUUCUCCUUCUUCUUCUCUUCUUUUUUCUUCUUCUCCUUCUCCUUCUCCUUCCCCUUCCCCUCCUCCUCCUCCUCCUUGUUUUUCUUCUCCUUGUUCUCUUAUUGCUUCUUCUCUUUCUUCUUCAAUUUAGCUUAUUUGUCAUAUAUAUGUUGUUGUUGUUCUUCUACUUACUUUCUUAUUCCCAUUUUGUAGAUUGGAUGUACUACAUGCAUGGAAGCUGGCGUUGGAGUGCUUUAGUUUCCGUUUUUAUUUGAGUUGAUGAACAAUGUGUUGGUUCUUUGUAUGUGUUGAUGAACAAUAUAUGUGCAACUAUAUGUAUGUAUAUAUGGAUGAAACUUCGUAUGUGUUGGUUCUUUUGAUAUAUGGGAUGUACGUUGAUGAACAAAUGGCAUUGAUGAGCUUUAUAUGUAUAUAAUAUAUGUGUUGUGAUCUAUUUAUGAUAUAUGUGCUCUGAAUUAUAUGUAUAUGUAAUGUGAAAUAGAAAAAAUAANNNNNNNNNNNNNNNNNNNNNNNNNNNNNNNNNNNNNNNNNNNNNNNNNNNNNNNNNNNNNNNNNNNNNNNNNNNNNNNNNNNNNNNNNNNNNNNNNNNNAAUAACUUCUUUAAGCAUCCUGAUAGAGGUGUUGUGAUCAGCAUUACUAGUUGGGAUAGCUUCUACCCACUUAGUAACAUAAUCAACAACAACUAGGAUAUGAGUAUACCCGUUGGAUUUUGGAAAAGGUCCCAUAUAACCAAAGCCCAAACAUCAAAUGGUUUAAUGACAAGUGAAUAGUUCAUAGGCAUUUCCUGACGUUUACCGAUAUUACCUAUUCUUUGACAUUCGUCACAAGACAAGACAAACUUACGGGCGUCCUUGAAGAGAGUGGGCCAAUAGAAAGCUGAUUGCAAUACCGUGUGUGCAGUUCUGUCUCCCGCAUGGUGUCCUCCAUAAGCAUCGGAGUGACACUUCUGUAGGAUCUGUCCCUGUUCAUGUUCAGGUACACAACGUCUAAUAACACCAUCUACUCCUUCCUUAUAAAGGUGAGGAUCAUCCCAAAAGUAAUGUCUCAAAUCAAAGAAGAAUUUCUUCUUUUGCUGGUAUGUGAAACUAGGUGGUAUAUAUUUGGCAACGAUAUAAUUUGCAUAAUCAGCAUACCACGGUGCACUACGUGAAGUAUUGAUGACAUUCAAUUGCUCAUCAGGAAAGCUAUCAUCAAUAGGUUGUGGGUCAUCAAGAACAUUCUCCAACCUAGACAAGUUAUCUGCUACGGGGUUCUCAACACCCUUCGUGUCGAUAACAUGCAAAUCAAAUUCUUGCAGCAAGAGAACCCAUCUGAUAAGUCUAGGUUUAGCGUCUUUCUUUUCCAUGAGGUAUUUAAUAGCAGCGUGUUUAGUGUGAAUAGUGCCUUUGGAAUCAACUAUGUAAGGUCUUAACUUUUCACAGGCAAACACGACUGCUAAAAAUUCCUUUUCAUUAGUAGCAUAGUUCCUUUGGGAACUGUCUAGAUUUUUACUAGCAUAGUGAAUAACAUUCAAUUUCUUAUCAACUCUUUGUCCUAGGACAGCACCAACAGCAUAAUCACUAGCAUCACACAUGAUUUCAAAAGGUAAGUUCCAAUCAGGUGGUUGAACAAUAGGCGCAGUUAGCAAGGCCUUUUAAAGUAUUUCGAAGGCUUCCUCACAAUCGUCAUCAAAGCCAAAAGGAAUAUCCUUUUGCAAGAGAUUGGUAAGAGGCCUAGAAAUCGUAGAAAAGUCCUUAAUGAACCUUCUAUAGAAACCAGCAUGACCAAGGAAACUUNNNNNNNNNNACCUUUGAUAUCUGUAGGGCAUGGCAUUUUUUCGAUCGCAUCAACCUUAGCCUUAUCGACUUCAAUACCUCUUUCAGAAAUUUUAUGUCCUAAGACGAUGCCUUCAUUAACCAUAAAGUGGCACUUCUCCCAAUUCAAGACAAGGUAGGUAUCUUUACAUCUCUGCAAGACUCGAUCAAGGUUGCUGAGGCAAUCAUCAAAAGAAGACCCGUAAACGGAGAAGUCAUCCAUGAAAACCUCAACAAUCUUUUCACAAAAGUCAAAGAAUAUAGCCAUCAUACAUCUUUGAAAGGUAGCAGGUGCAUUACAUANNNNNNNNNNNNNNNNNNNNNNNNNNNNNNNNNNNNNNNNNNNNNNNNNNNNNNNNNNNNNNNNNNNNNNNNNNNNNNNNNNNNNNNNNNNNNNNNNNNNUAAAUCGGCAAGAGACAUCAUAGAACGCACCAUAUCCAGUAAAGUACGAUUACGACGUUCGAACACACCAUUACGCUAUGGUGUUCCAGGCGGUGUCAAUUGUGAAACAAUUCCACAUUGUCUUAAGUGAGUGCCAAACUCAUAACUCAAAUACUCUCCUCCUCGAUCAGGUCAUUGGAAUUUAAUCUUCUUUUUACGAAGAUUCUCAACUUCACUCUGAAAUUGACUAAACUUUUCAAACGUUUCAGACUUGUGUUUCAUUAAGUAAAUAUACCAGUAUCUACUUAAGUCAUUAGUGAAGGUGAGAAAAUUACAAUAUCCAAAGUGGGUCUCAAUGCUCAUCGGACCACACACAUCAGUUUGUAUGAUUUCCAUCAAGUCACUUGCCCGCUCCAUUAUUCUGGAAAAUAGGGUCUUAGUCAUCUUGCCCAUGAGGCAUGGUUCACAUGUGUCAAGUGAUUCAAAAUCAAGUGACUCCUAAAGUCCAUCAGCAUGGAGCUUCUUCAUGCAUUUUACACCAAUAUGACCUAAGCAGCAGUGCCACAAGAAAGUGGUACUAUUAUUAUUACUUUACAUAUUUUGGCAUCAAUUUUAUGAACAUGUGUGCUAUCACUUUCAAGAUUCUAUAAGAAUAAACCCCUCACAUUGGGUGCAUGCCCAUAAAAGAUAUNNNNNNNNNNAAAAGUCCAUCAGCAUGGAGCUUCUUCUUGCAUUUUACACCAAUAAGACCUAAGAAGCAGUGCCACAAGAAAGUGGUACUAUUAUUAUUAACUUUACAUAUUUUGGCAUCAAUUUUUGAACAUGUGUGCUAUCACUUUCAAGAGUCUAUAAGAAUAAACCCCUCACAUUGGGUGCAUGCCCAUAAAAGAUAUUACUCAUAUAAAUAGAACAACCGUUAUCCUAUGAUUUAAAAGAGUAACCGUCUCGCAAUAAACAAGAUCCAGAUAUGAUGUUCAUGCUCAACGCAUGCACUAAAUAACAAUUAUUCAGGUUUAUCACUAAUCCCGAUGGUAAUUAUAGUGAGAGCAUGCCAACGGCGAUCACAUCAACCUUGGAACCAUUUCGCAUGUGCAUCGUCACUUCGUCCAUCACCAACCUCCGUCUAUUCCGUAGUUCCUACUUUGAGUUGCAAAUGUGAGCAACUGAAUCAGUAUCAGAUACCCAGGCACUACAACGAGAGUUGGUGAGGUACACAUAAAUAACAUGUAUAUCAUAUAUACCUUGUUUGAUAUUGGCCGCCUUCUUGUCGGCCAGAUACUUGGGGUAGUUCCGCUGCCAGUGACCAGUCCCUUUGCAAUGAAAGCACUCAGUCUCUGGCUUGGAUCCAGCCUUGGGUUUCUUCACGGGAGGGGCAACUUCUUUUCCACUCUUCUUGGAGUUACUCUUCUUUCCCUUGCCAUUUUUCUUAAAACUUGUGGUUUUAUUGACCAUCAACACUUGAUGUUUCUUCCGAAUUUCUGACUCAGUGACUUUCAGCAUCGCAAGCAGCUCGGCAACUNNNNNNNNNNNNNNNNNNNNNNNNNNNNNNNNNNNNNNNNNNNNNNNNNNNNNNNNNNNNNNNNNNNNNNNNNNNNNNNNNNNNNNNNNNNNNNNNNNNNCUUCUAUCCUUCUCCUCCUCGUCCUCCUCCUCCUCCUUCUCCUCCUCCUCCUCCUCCUUCUUGAUUUCUUCUUCUUCUCCUACUCCUCCUAUUUCUUCUCCUCUUUCAUAUUAUCCUUGCUUUAAUUAACCCAACAAUGACAUAAUUAGCCCAUUUAGCUCCAAAAUACCAUAAUAAGCACAAAAUGGCAUAAGAACCUUGGUUAGCUCAUGAAUAUUAUAUACUUACCUUGUUUUCCUCUAAAAUGACAUAAUUGGAAUAUUUAGCUCAAAAAAGACAUAAUUAGGUAAUUUAGCUCCAACAAGAGGAGAAGAGGAGAAGAAAUAGGCAAAAUGAAAAGAAAGAAGAAGAAGAGAUGAAGAAGAAGAGAAGGAGGAGGAGGAGGAGGUGGAGAAGGCCCAGGACCUUCUAUCCUUCUCCUCCUCCUCCUCCUCCUUCUCCUCCUCCUCCUCCUUCUUCUUGAUNNNNNNNNNNNNNNCCUUCUAUCCUUCUCCUCCUCCUCCUCCUCCUCCUCCUUCUCCUCCUCCUCCUCCUUCUUCUUGAUUUCUUCUUCUUCUCCUCCUCCUCCUCUUUCUUNNNNNNNNNNNNNNNNNNNNNNNNNNNNNNNNNNNNNNNNNNNNNNNNNNNNNNNNNNNNNNNNNNNNNNNNNNNNNNNNNNNNNNNNNNNNNNNNNNNNGGCCCCCCCCAGAAAAAUGGGAUAUGAAUUUUUCGUCCAAAGAAAAUAAAAACUUCCUUAGACAACAAUGUUUGCAAUUCCAAGAUGCACCCUUGUACGCAAUAUUACAUCAUUUGAACAAACUAUGCCAUGAAUAUGGCCAUAAGAUUGAUCAUUUGGCUUGAAAGCCAUGAACCUUCACACCUGAUAACUCAUGUGUGAGAACACCAUUUUAAAAUAAUUUUCGUAUUAAAAGUUUAUUAUUUUUUCUGAUAACAUGGUCACAUAUAAUGACACAAUGCAAAGGUUUUCCAAUUUUGUGAUUUUUUUAAUAAAUUUCAUGCCCAUUUCAAUAGGCGGUCAAAACGACACGAAUGACCGUUCAUCGGUAGGGGUUCUAUCUUGAAAAAAAUUGGUGUUUUUCUGAUUAAAUAGAUACUUUUGUACAUAGAAAUAAUUUUUUGAAAAAAUAAAGUACAAAGUAUGAGGCAAUUGUAGUUCAAAUUUGACAAGCUUCCAUGUGAAUUGGCGGAAAUUUGUCUUUUUCGCGAGAGGUGGAUAAAAUCUUUUGACACCCAACCAUUUGGUCAAUUAUACAUUAAAUAUUGCCUAAUAGUUUUGAAAAUUGAUUUGGUCCAAUUUUACAACAAAUAUAUGGUAGGUCCUUCACAAAAAGAAUUGAUUUUGGGCACUCAAAAAAUGAAAAAUGAAUUAUUUCAUCCAAAGAAAAUGAAAACUUCCUUAGUCAACAUCGCGACACUAAAAAUGUGGUAUAAUUUUUUAAAAAUGGUGUAGUCCAAUUUUGCAAAAAAUAUUUAAUAUUUUCUGUAAUUUUUCCACCGAUUUGGGUAGAAAAAUCGUGUUUCGAGUUGGCCAAUGAGAGGCGAGAAAACUACCUUCAAGCGGAUCACCCAGUUGGACGCGAUCUGAGCCAUCGAUCAAAAUCCAUCCAAUGGCGAAGCCUCUCCUAAGAAAGCACAACCUAACCACCCACGCACCCACCCACCCUUCCUUAGUUUCCAGAUCCCAUCGAGCCGCCUCUUCAGAUCCCAUCGAUCCAUCGGCUCCUUCCUCCCCCUCCCUACCACCACCACCUCCGGCUACCACUCCACCCCAGCCCACCCCAUCUCACCUCCUUAGAGCAAGUCUAGUAGAACCCUCAAACCCUCAAAUCCUUAAAAAUAACCGUUUUUUUACAGUUUUCGUCGAAAAAACGGCGUAGACUAGAACCCUUAAACCCUUAAACCCGUAAAAAAAAUUAAAGGUCCAACCCGCAAACGCCAUCGCAGCCUGUAGAAGUGAGGGUUGGGAGGAGAAACUCCUCCCAACCCGCACUCCACUUCCUCUCCAGCGCGGGAGGGAUUUUCAUCCCGCUUCCGUCUCCAGCCGUCGCCUCCUCGCGCCCGCCUCGCCGCCAUGGAGACCNNNNNNNNNNNNNNNNNNNNNNNNNNNNNNNNNNNNNNNNNNNNNNNNNNNNNNNNNNNNNNNNNNNNNNNNNNNNNNNNNNNNNNNNNNNNNNNNNNNNNNNNNNNNNUCCUGUUCCAAUCCUUCUCCACCUCCAUACUUCUACCAUGGUGCCCUCGCGAGCUCUAGUGUACAUACUCUUCCUGGUUUUGCUAGAUAAGUAGAACAAAAUUAUUGGCACAGAGGCAAUUGAUACAUGCUCUGUGUAUGUGAGUUUCUAGCCAACUGAAUUUUUUUCAGGCAAGUCAUAACAGAUUUUGCUUCAGGUUUCAUGGUUUCAGGUUUCAUGACAGAUUUUGCCGUGUGCAAUUGAUACAUGCCCUGUGCAAUUAGUUGUUUCAGGUUUUGCCCUGUGCAAUUGAUACCGAUUUCAUGGCAGAUUUUGCUGCUAAGAAAUCAGUUACAAAUACAGGCUAGUAAAUAGAUUUUGCAUGAUAUGCUUACCUUGUAUUUUUCUUCAGAUUGCUGCUAAGAAAUAAGUUAGCAUGUAAUAAUUUGGUUUCAAAUUUUCAUGAUAUGCUUACCUUGUAUUUUGCUUCAGAUUAUCAUGAUCUUCCAAAGUUGCUAUUAUUUCACUUUACAUUUUAUCUCCAUUGUCAAAUGUUUACUCAUGAAUUAUGAUGUAUUAUUGUUUUAAUUUGCUCAAACAUUGUUGUAAUAAUUUGAAUGAUUAUUGUUUUAUUCGGUGGUGUAAUAAUAACUAGAAUGAUUAUUGUUUUAUGUCAAAUGUGAUUGAAUUUGUGAUAUGUCAUAUGAUGAAAUGUGAUGAAACGUGUGAUAUAUGAAAUGACAGUUUUAAGGGUUGGGGUUGGGACAAAGACUAGAACCCUCAAACCCAACCCUUAUAACGGAAUAUUCCGUUAUAAGGGUUGGGUUUGAGGGUUAUUCCGUUAUAAGGGUUGGGUUUGAGGGUUCUAGUCUUUGCCCUUGUUUUUCAACCCUUAAAAGUGUCAAAAAUGGCCAAUUCUCAACCCUUAAAACUGGUUUUAGAUUUAAGGGUUUGAGGGUUCUGCUAGAGAUGCUCUUACGCGCGCGCCGCUCGGCAAUAACCGGGANAAUAACCGGGACGGACAGCCCUCUGCGACGCUUUGGCUGCGCGCACACCUCCUGCAUACCGCUGUGACCGUGAGUCAUCCGUCGCAGCGAUCUAUCCAUGUCCACGUCGUCGUCGUGCUGAGUGGUUGGCGUUUGGGGUUUGGUCGUGCGCGCGCGGGAUCGCGGCAGUUCAUGAGGAGCGGUCACAGGGAGCCUGCGGAAGGGGGCGCUGGGGCUGCUGGGCUGCGUCGAUGAGGUGGUGGCGCCCCCCCCCCCCCGUCGUGGGGUCCUCGGUCGAGGCGGCGUUGUGGCUCACACAAUGGCGCAUUGAUGCGCUCCCCUGCUACACCUACCGCAAGUCCAACUUCUUCCGCAUUGGCCUCUAGAACUGGUUCGUCCCCAUGCCCCUUCUCCACCCCUUCUGCAAACUGUUGUCUUUCUUGUCCAGCAAAGCAUAGUGUAUCCUACCCGUGUGAUCCUUGUUACAACCGGGGAUCUUAGUGGUGGUGUUAUGAUUUCAGUCAUGGGUUUUCUUGUAGUGGCUUCAAGUGCAAAGAGAAUCAAUAGGAUGUUUCUGUUUAAAAAUGAUGGGGGGCACUUUUUUAAGUAAUAUAGAAAAACUGCAGUAUGAGAGAUAUCGCAAUAUCUUAAACCACAAUAAUUUUUUAAACCAAACAUCUCAAAGUAUUUAGUACCAAAGUUUUUUCAGAAACCAUAGUAUUCAAAUUGGUUAUGAUGUGAAGUACACACCAUCCAGUGAGCUAAUAAAAUCCUCGUAUUGCAGGUCUCGUGGUCUCGUGGCCUGAUGUCUUUUCCUUAUAUGGCAGGUCCAGGAGCAAUCGCACGUGGAGCUGGAGGUGAGGCUGCUCGAUGUCGUCGAGUUCUACACUCCGUCCAAACUGAAAGGUGUGAUAUUUCGCCCUACCCUUGCGCCCCGCGUCAAUUUUAGUGGUGGUUUGUAUGUUGUGUGCUCUAGCGGAUAGCAGUGACGCAUCUUGAGUGACUAGAUUGCCAUGUAUACUACACAAGUAGCUGUCUAGGAUCCCUUCUUUAUAUUAAAAUAUGUGAGAAUGAUCGACCACUUUGUGAAUACAUGAUGGCAUAGAGUAAAUACAUAGUUUUAGAUGAGCUGCCUAACCCUGCAGAACCCUUUAGCUCAUCGAUGUUGUGAAAAAAGGGCAAACCAUAUCUUGUAAUUUAGCUGCCUCAUAGUUCCAGUGUGAAAACUAUUUUAGGAGCAUUGUUUUACUAUUAGAUUAAAUUGCUACUCUUAAUGAUGAAUGGUUGAGUUUUUAAAUUUGAAGCGACACCUACUUCCUGGUCCUAUAGUAUUUAAAACUGUUAAUUAUGAUGCAUUGCUCCAUUGGCCUUGAUCUGAACCUCUCAAGUUUAUGUUUCCUGGUAUGCAGGUAACUUAUCAUUUUUAUUGGAAAGCCUCUAACGAAUUUAUUAGAAUUUUUCUUCUAUUGUCGUGUACAGUAUGUGAUAAACAUGUCUAUAUAACCGGGGAUGUAUAAUGUCGAAUUAUAAAAACCAUAAAUUCAAGCUUCUGUUGUAUCAUGCUCGAUAUAUACUAUUAUAGAAUAGUGUUCUACAAGAUGCAUCUUGAGUGACUAGAUUGGUGACGCAUCUUGAGUGACUAGAUUGCCAUGUAGUUGAAACACCAUGGUGUCAGUCAUUUGUGGGAAGUAGAAACACUAUGGCUUAUAUUUUUUACACUUCACUGUUUUAUUUGUUUUUUCUAAUUUGUUUUGUGGAUAGUAAAUUUGCAAUUGUAUGCCCUUUGUAAAAAAUGCAUUCUACGUUUCCAUGCCAUGUAAUGCUGAAGCACGUCUCUAUCUAUGAUAUUCUACACCACUGAAAGGCUGAUAUCUUGUAUAGAUUUGGCUUUUGGCAGGUAGUCCUUUUCCCUGCCACGUUUAGUUGCAUUGCUCUGAUGCCCAUGAAGGGUGAGAUCUUGGUCGGCACUAUGGAGAAGACCCUUGAAAGGUCCACUCGAAGCUAUCAAAGGGCACUUAUAGAGCUUGCGGCUGUGAUUACAUUUGUAGAGCUUGUGGUUGUGUUUACACUUGUAGAGCUUGUGGUUGUGAUCACCAUUGUAUCUAAGUUAUAUGUUGUAAUAGACUUAUUGUGGCUGUUAUUUGAAGUAUUAUGUGUUCUUUUUGUCUGUUUUGAAUUAAAUAUUGGUUAUUUAUUUGUUGGUGAAUUGAAAACAUGAAUCCUCAUACUAGAAGCUGACAAUCGGAACCCAUUUGUCUAUUGGACCCAUCUUCUGAAGAAAAAAAACUGGAACCAUUGAGCCAGAAAGGCCACGACCAAAAAAAGGCUGAAAUAUCGGGUGAGACCCAUGUAGCCGACCAGAAUGACAACAAAAAAUGAUAAUUAAAUGGGCUGAAUUGUUGGGCUCGGCCCAUAUGGACACCGAAUUGGACGUAAUUUUUCCACGCCAGCUUGCCACGUUGGAUUUGACGUGGCCUGGGCACACAACCAGUGACCAAAACAAUUGGUCGUAGAACCAACGACCUUUUCGUUUUGAUCAUUGCCUGCUACGACCAUUCCAGAAGAAAGGUUGUUAUAGUUCACUAGAGACGGUCCUCUUUUUACCAAUUGUUUUCGGUCAUAAAAAGGUCAUAAAUGGAAAACAACGACCAUUCAUUGACCAAUAUGAAAGGUCAAAAGUUGACAUAUUUCUUAUAGUGUGUGCGCGCAACUGGUCGCCGGUGGAUGGUUGAAGGGAAAGGGAUGAGAGGUGGAUGUGUGGUGGAAGACGAGGUCGCUGGCUGUGGGGCGAGAGCAGAGGGAGUGGAGUGGGUCAGUCUUCCACAUAUAGGAUUUUCUGUGCAAGGGAGUGAGACGAGGAGUGGAGAGAGUGAGACAGGGAGCGGNNNNNNNNNNNNNNNNNNNNNNNNNNNNNNNNNNNNNNNNNNNNNNNNNNNNNNNNNNNNNNNNNNNNNNNNNNNNNNNNNNNNNNNNNNNNNNNNNNNNGAGAGUUGCUAUGCACGUAUGAUUUCAUGUGGCACCCUCUAUUUUUUUUCAUUAGCAUGCAUGCAUCCAUGCCAUCUCAUUCCUUGGCUUACCUUUGAUUCUAUGUCAUGUUAUGUUUGCUUGUCAUGAUCAUGUGGGCAUAUGUGAUUACUAGGAGUUAGUGCUUGUGGUGUUAUGAUUGCAUGUGACCUUGCUAGGGUUUUUUUGUGGUAUUGCACUAGCUUGUGAUGCAUGUGUGUUUGGUGGUAUGUGGGUAGGAGUGAGUGCUAGAAUUUCAAAGGCUCUUAGCUAUUUUAAAUCCUUUUCCCUCCUAUUAUCUCAUGUCAAAAUUCCUUCUUCCCAAAAAUGAUUCAAAAAUGUCUAGNAGGUUAGAUUAAAUUGUGUUUAUGAGGUGGGGUAUUUUUGCGGACUUGUUAUUUGAAUUUUAAAGGUGCAAAUAAACCCAAAACGGUAAAUUAAUUUCUGUUUUGCAUUUAUUUCUAUGGCGCCAAAUAUUGCUUUUCUAUUUUUUUUCUAAUGGGCCAUAAUUCCUUAUGACCAGGGGAUUUUUCCUUUUAAGUUUAUACCCACCAGCUUAUUCGUUUUAUNNNNNNNNNNNNNNNNNNNNNNNNNNNNNNNNNNNNNNNNNNNNNNNNNNNNNNNNNNNNNNNNNNNNNNNNNNNNNNNNNNNNNNNNNNNNNNNNNNNNGCAAAAAUAGAAUCAGGGGCUGCUGGGAUUCGAACCCAGACCCCUGGUGUCCAGCAACAGCAACACUCCACUGCGCUGCUGCACUAGUUGUUGACAAGAGAAGAGAAAAAUGGCAAGGUAAGGUGACUGCAGGCCCAUUGAUACGAAUAAAUCACCCAAAACAACAAAAGGCGCCGAGGGGGGACUCGAACCCACGCCCUCCUACAGGCGCAAGCAUAUGACAGAGCAACACUACCAUCGGGCUACGGAUCGAAGACUGGCUAAGACAAGGAGGUAAAAUAGAAAACCCACCCCACUCACGAGAAGAACUCCGCCGGCGGCCGGACCCGAGGGAGCUGGCGGCGCCACUCCCGGCCACCACCGGUAGGGGAAGCUAUCGGCGGGGGCCGCGGGAACCUCAGGGGCUCCAUUCCCGCCCUGAGCACGGGAAAAGGCCUCCCCUUGGCUGCCCGGAACUGCAUCGGCGUUCCCUGCCGCCACCACUGCUAAGACUGCGCCGGUGAUAGAGAGCUCUGGCGCGCCACCCUGCUGACCCUGCUACGCUGCUAGGCUACACGUCGAUCUGCUACCAACACCCUGCUACACCACUACGCCUCGCCUCUCCACUCGACAACGCACGCACGAGCUCGGCACAGAAGAGCCGCUACUACUGCUCCUCUAUCAUGCUGCUGCUAACGAACAGAGGAAGCACGCGCCCGACGGGACCGAGCCGAUCCGCGGCGGAGGAAGGACGGGGGAGGACGCGGCCUCACCUUGGGAGAAGAUGGGGCGCCGAACGGGGAGGAGGAGCGCCGAACCGGGGAAGAAGACGUCGAAGAAGCUCCUCCGACGUAGACCGAAGCAGGGAAGGAGUUCGCCCGGUUCGCCCCGUUGACGAGGACGAGCUCGACGGGGGGGGGGUCUCUCCUCGGGGUCCUAACGCCGGGAAUGGGACGCGGGGAGCCGCCCCGAGCCCCCGGACAUGGCGGCCGUGCCGCCCGACGAUGCCCGCGGGUAGACGCCGGCGACUCUCUCUCUCUGCACCCUCUGCUAGCUACAGGAAGCUCACCUGGGAGGAAAGGAAUAGAUGGAGAUGGGGUUGGGAGAGGUGGCGGCGGCGGCUGAGGGGAGAAGAGGAACCCUAGGCUACGGGCACGGACGCCAACGCAUCUUAUAGGGGGUCCUCCACGUGCUGCUCACGGCGCCGUCAGGUCUCUCUCUCUCACACGUGCUGACGGAAAGAAGAAAGCGAGGGAGGAGAGGUAGCGCCGUCAGGAAGGAGGGGGUCGCUCGCCUGGGCUCUCGCUGGAGGGAGAUACAUGGGCCAGCAAGUGGAGGGAAGCCCACUGGCGGCCACUAUAAGAAAGGCCCCAGCAGCCUCUCCCAAAUAAAAGAAACACAAAGAAGNNNNNNNNNNNNNNNNNNNNNNNNNNNNNNNNNNNNNNNNNNNNNNNNNNNNNNNNNNNNNNNNNNNNNNNNNNNNNNNNNNNNNNNNNNNNNNNNNNNNGAUUUUCCAAACCUCAAUCAAGCGUCUGUGGAAGAUAGCCCUAUAAGAUACUACCAGAUAUCCCACCUAUGAAUUCCCGAAAUAACUGGUCAUGCAAUCAGGCACCCGGAUACAAGGAGUAUUUCACACAACUCCUAAACUAACCCGUCACCUGUAUCACACCCUUCAACACACGACCAGCAUCUCGGACCUUCGUCUACCACAGAUCCUCGUGAUCACCACGAUACAAAGUGUGGUAGUACCCGCGAACAAUCUACACCAGUACUGGGGACGUCGGGGUUAUCUCACCACUACCCGUAUUGAAGCAAUAACGAACACCCUCUGUUCUUAGGUACUCAGAAAUCUGAAUGAUGGCGAUGUGCGCGAUAAUCCCUGGAGCUCAACUCCCCUGAAACUUAGAGCAGAUAGGAGGCACCAGGACAUGAUUCCGUCACAUCGAAAUCAUAUAGAUUUCGCAAACACCCGCGUGAUCCUAAAAAAAUUUUGAGCGAGAAAAGGAGUAGAGUUAAAGGUUUCCUAAGACGGAAGCCUCACGAGAGCAAAGAAGAGGAGAAAAAUGAAACCUACUCUCCGAUAUAACUAAGACUCAAAACACUUACUAGACUCGACUCGGCCAAAUACGAUCACACAAAGGCUCCUAUGGUCGUAAGGCUCUGAUGACCAACUUGUAACGACCAAGAUGCGGUCCUUUCCGAUCUGGGGGUCGAGGCCCCCGAAUAGGAAAGAAGCGCAUCUAAGUGUUUUGCAAACAAGUAAACAUAGCACAUAAUAAUAAAUAUAGUAGACAAUCUGGGAUUCACUGUCUUCUUAUUAAUAAUACAGAGUACAACGCAGAUACAAACAAGGUAGUUACGGUACGGACUACAAAACAAGGAAAAUGCUAUGCUACCCGCUGCAGGUCCACGAUCACGACCACGGCUCAGUCCUCUGGAUAGUUCACGUAAAGGCGAUCUGUCUCCUCGUCGUACUGCCACGCCAGCUGGGUGCCAUCGGGAUCAUCGGUCUCUGGGGUACCUGUACCUGUUGGAAGUUUCGGAGGAAUCCGUGAGCCACGGGGACUCAGCAAUCUAAGACCUUGGUGCCAGAACUAGUCAUGUUAUUGGGUAAGGAAGGGAUGAAGUGUUUCAGGCUGCUGCAACCUAUGAUUGAAUAAGUGGCUAACUUACUCGAGAAGGAAGUGAAAGUGGUCUACGCUAACGAUCGAGAAUACUUGAUCAGAAAGUGAUCCUGAACACCUACCUACGGCAUUCAUAACCCCACCGUGUUCCGGAUCGAAGAGAGGUCUUCGAGGGGACAGUCACGGUUACUCACACAGUUGGCAUUUUUAUUAGUUUAGGUUUAAGUUCUCUAAUACCGGAUGUUGACAAAAUAUUCCAAGUUGCCACAUAACCACGGGCACGGCUUUCCGAAAGAUUAAACCCUGUAGGGGUGCUCCAACUAGUCCAUCACAAACGAACACAGGCCGCAAAGGCAUCCUCUAUCACGAAUCUCGUGAUCUCGUCGGAUUCCUUAGAAGAAAAUCUCAACUCUGGGGAAAACCAAAGCUUCACCGGGAUUCCUAUACGCAAGAUAUACCGCUAAGGCAAGACAAGACUAGCAGGACCUCCCGACGUGUCGACGACCCCGAUAAGAGCCGCGUAUCUCAGUCUCAGGACACGCCGGAUGGAACUAGCUACAGGUGCAAAACCUCAAGUUUCCUUGUGGUGGCCCCGCAGGCAGACCAGUUUGGACCAACACUCAUGAGGAGCACUGGCCCGGGUUGUUGAUUAGAAUCCUCGGGGUAGCUAUUCCCUAUGCAGUUUAUUAUUAAGUGAUUAGCAAAUAGUACCAAUGUUGGGUCCUGCUGGACAAGCCUUAACACUACGCGAUUUAUCAAGGGGGUCCCCAUAACAAUCCCGAACAUGUUAGGAGCGAUCAUUAUGGAAUCAAACACCGGUAACCGGUAACUAAGGCGGCAAUAACGGAACAAGACACCCGGGAAAAGGCUAGGCCUCCCGUCAUUUACCAAGUAUAUAGAUACAUUAAUUAAAUAACAGAAAUUAAAAUAAUGAUAUCAAGCUCAUGUCAUCACAUGAGUUAAGGCACCUGCAGCUAACAACGCUAACAUUAGUAGCUGAGCAAGCCUACCUAGCCAUGCAAGGUUGCUAGGAAAGAGUAAGGUGUUUAGGCUCAUGGCAUAUGAAGAGGCAAUAUAUUUUCAGUGGUAGGCAGCGAGCAAUAUGACGUGGGAUCGAAACUAACAUAACAAGUCUAGAUAUGGGAUCAAGGUCAUGUCAUCUUGCGUGUGAUAUUCUCAGCUUGGAAUGGUUCUUGAUCGUCCUGCACGUACUCUCCUGACUCCACGUAUUCGUUCUCCGGUUCUAACCAACACAAGAAUAACAGCCAAUGAAAAGAGGCACCACAAAAGGCAACAAUCACAUGAUGCAUGAGAUGAAAGUUGAGCAUGCACUACUAUUUCCAUCACUAGCACAAGCACAAUAAACUACAACAAGUUCCUGGGCAGAACUUUGCACUACCUUAUCUGGACAUGCAUGGGAAUGAUAUGAACAGUUGCAUCUCGUAAGAACGGUGCAAAACCAUAUAAAGAACUUUGCAAACGGAGCUACGGAUCAACGGGAAUCAACGUAACACGAUAUGAAGCUCUACGUGAAAGAUUCAACACCUCACACACAUUUGGCACAAAUCUGGUGUUCCCGGGUUGCCAAGACAUAUAUUAACCCAACAUGAAUGAAAUGAAGCAAGUUAGAACACCCCAACAACAAUUAAACACAAACUUUGAACAAAAAGGCAAAACUACGUAAUCUGCCAGUUUCUGCAUCUUAGCUGUUUGUGAGCAACAUGCAACAUAGCUACAGGUCUUCAAAUAUGACAAAUAAUAUAUGUGGCUGUUGCCAACCAAGAACACUACAAGCUCCAACAAGAAUCACAGAAAAAGGAAUUAACCUCUAGAAGAUACAAGGCCACAAACUUUCCCAAAACCAUCAGUUCUCAGGGACUUUGUGAAAAUUCCUGUACCUGAGAUUCUGUUUCUGUUCUGAAGCUUUUUUACAGGAAUCUAAACACAAGCUACUGGACUCCAAAUGACUUGAAAAUUGACAGGAAGCUUCACCAUCAUACCAGGUUCAAAACACUAGCACUGAACUAAGUCCAGUUCUCAACAGAAUGACCAGCACCUCCUUAUCUACAGGGGAAGAAAAUGUUUCCAGCAUUCCAGACUUAGUGAAAUUUUCAGAGUUCAAAAAUCUGGAAUUUUCCAGCCACAUGCCCACUUUGUCUAGGCAUAGUUUGCACACACAUGUUCCCAAGAGGUGAUUGACACCACUAUGGUGUUGGGCACAAACCCCUACUACUAACACACAAAGAUCCAUACCCUUGGGCUCCAUCUAUACCAUGGGAACAAAGCCCAAACUUUCAACAAAAUGUAAAUGCAAAUCCAAAAGGUAUUCUACUAAGAUGACAAUUACCUAGGAGGGUUUCAUGUGCACAAUGACAAAGUGACAUGGGGGUUUGAACCCCAUGUUUGUGUCAUGCACAUCAACAACACCCACACCCAUAUCCCAAAGUUAUUAGACCAAACACAUCACAAUGGGACCCUAGGCUAUCAAGAGAGUAUGCACACCUCCACAUAUAGGCAUGUGAUGGUGCACACUCUCACAUGCAUUACUAGGCUCACCCUAGUAAUCAUGUCAUACUCAAGGAGCAACCCCCACAACAUUCUACUCUAGCUUAUCUAGUAAGCUCCACCUUCACAUGCUAUCUUAGUUGGCCAACUAGAACAUCACUCCACACCAAAACAUGUGAUGAGGGGGAGGCACCCACACCCCACUAAAUCAAUGCAAACAAAUAAAACUACAAGAUCACUUAGCCCACACCAAAGUUCAAAAGUUGGGGCUAUACAAGAGUAGCUAGUGCCUCUUAUCACCUCAAAGCACAACACACACAAUUGUCAAGGCAUCUAACAUCAUCCACCUAUCAAGGUUAACUCCACUUCACUAAGGUGCACCCACCAUAGACAUCACAAGUAUAGCAAGAUCAUACAUCACCUCUUAGUGUGCAAAACACACACAUAACUAAAUCUACCCUAACUAUAUUAGCAGGAACAAAAAUACAACACCACUGUGUAAAGAGUUAGUUAACAGUAGAAAUAACAAAACUAACAAACCACUUUGUAUAGGAGUUAGGGGAACAGAAAUUAAAUAGGCAGGAAAAGAAAAGAAAGCAAAAAUAGAAUCAGGGGCUGCUGGGAUUCGAACCCAGACCCCUGGUGUCCAGCAACAGCAACACUCCACUGCGCUGCUGCACUAGUUGUUGACAAGAGAAGAGAAAAAUGGCAAGGUAAGGUGACUGCAGGCCCAUUGAUACGAAUAAAUCACCCAAAACAACAAAAGGCGCCGAGGGGGGACUCGAACCCACGCCCUCCUACAGGCGCAAGCAUAUGACAGAGCAACACUACCAUCGGGCUACGGAUCGAAGACUGGCUAAGACAAGGAGGUAAAAUAGAAAACCCACCCCACUCACGAGAAGAACUCCGCCGGCGGCCGGACCCGAGGGAGCUGGCGGCGCCACUCCCGGCCACCACCGGCAGGGGAAACUAUCAGCGGGGGCCCCGGGAUCCUCAGGGGCUCCAUUCCCGCCCUGAGCACGGGAAAAGGCAUCCCCUUGGCUGCCCGGAACUGCAUCGGCGUUCCCUGCCGCCACCGCUGCUAAGACUGCGCGGCGACAGAGAGCUCUGGCGCGCCCCUGCUGACCCUGCUACGCUGCUAGGCUACACGUCGAUUUGCUACCAACACCCUGCUACACCACUACGCCUCGCCUCUCCACUCGACAACGCACGCACGAGCUCGGCACAGAAGAGCCGCUACUACUGCUCCUCUAUCAUGCUGCUGCUAACGAACAGAGGAAGCACGCGCCCGACGGGACCGAGCCGAUCCGCGGCGGAGGAAGGACGGGGGAGGACGCGGCCUCACCUUGGGAGAAGAUGGGGCGCCGAACGGGGAGGAGGAGCGCCGAACCGGGGAAGAAGACGUCGAAGAAGCUCCUCCGACGUAGACCGAAGCAGGGAAGGAGUUCGCCCGGUUCGCCCCGUUGACGAGGACGAGCUCGACAGGGGGGGGUCGCUCCUCGGGGUCCUAACGCCGGGAAUGGGACGCGGGGAGCCGCCCCGAGCCCCCGGACAUGGCGGCCGUGCCGCCCGACGAUGCCCGCGGGUAGACGCCGGCGACUCUCUCUCUCUGCACCCUCUGCUAGCUACAGGAAGCUCACCUGGGAGGAAAGGAAUAGAUGGAGAUGGGGUUGGGAGAGGUGGCGGCGGCGGCUGAGGGGAGAAGAGGAACCCUAGGCUACGGGCACGGACGCCAACGCAUCUUAUAGGGGGUCCUCAACGUGCUGCUCACGGCGCCGUCAGGUCUCUCUCUCUCACACGUGCUGACGGAAAGAAGAAAGCGAGGGAGGAGAGGUAGCGCCGUCAGGAAGGAGGGGGUCGCUCGCCUGGGCUCUCGCUGGAGGGAGAUACAUGGGCCAGCAAGUGGAGGGAAGCCCACUGGCGGCCACUAUAAGAAAGGCCCCAGCAGCCUCUCCCAAAUAAAAGAAACACAAAGAAGGAAAAGAAAUAAAACGAAUAAGCUGGUGGGUAUAAACUUAAAAGGAAAACUCCCCUGGUCAUAAGGAAUUAUGGCCCAUUAGAAAAAAUAGAAAAGCAAUAUUUGGCGCCAUAGAAAUAAAUGCAAAACAGAAAUUAAUUUACUGUUUUGGGUUUAUUUGCACCUUUAAAAUUCAAAUAACAAGUCCGCAAAAAUACCCCACCUCAUAAACACAAUUUAAUCUAACCUCCAGACAUUUUUGAAUCAUUUUUGGGAAGAAGGAAUUUUGACAUGAGAUAAUAGGAGGGAAAAGGAUUUAAAAUAGCUAAGAGCCUUUGAAAUUCUAGCACUCACUCCUACCCACAUACCACCAAACACACAUGCAUCACAAGCUAGUGCAAUACCACAAAAAAACCCUAGCAAGGUCACAUGCAAUCAUAACACCACAAGCACUAACUCCUAGUAAUCACAUAUGCCCACAUGAUCAUGACAAGCAAACAUAACAUGACAUAGAAUCAAAGGUAAGCCAAGGAAUGAGAUGGCAUGGAUGCAUGCAUGCUAAUGAAAAAAAAUAGAGGGUGCCACAUGAAAUCAUACGUGCAUAGCAACUCUCGUGGCAAAGUCAAGGUGGUCCCACAUGUAAGGUUACAAAAAGGGAAAAACCUACACUUGGGGCAUUACAAUGGGCCUGUUGUCUGCACGAAGGGGCAGCAGCCGGACAGAUAUCGGAACAAAUCUGACCGGCCAACUGGGCUUCAAAUAAAUCUGGCCGGCCUGCAUCUACAUUGUACUAAACAGCCUGAGGAAGCUGUCGACACAGUUUAUUACGACCUAGUGGCCAACCCUUUGGUUUAAUUAACAGAACCAAUCCAGUUUGUGGAACAGAAAUCCUUCUUUACACCAAAAUCUUCUAUUCUGUGUUGUUUCAGAAAUGAACUCUGAAUUCUGCAAGAGAUUGACACGGGUGUUUGCGCUGCUAAUACUAAUGCAGCUUUUUUGUUUUGCUCUCUUUAUUCAAUCUGAUACUGAAAGCCAGCUCCUGACCGUGCCAUCCCCCCCCCCCAAAUAGUUAUGACAUAUAGUUUGUGUUUAUAUUAAGUCUAUGAUCAAACUUUAACUCCAGGAUGUCUUAUCUGUACCACUAUAUAGUGUAUCAGUUUUGAAUGGAUCCAAAUCAUGAAUCCUGAUCGUUGAUAUCCUCAAUCUCCCACUUGCCUAUUUCAUCAUCGCAGGAUCAGUAGAGUUGGGCCAAUGGACUUAAGUCAAAAUUCUAUAUUGAACGUUGGGUACCUCCAUGGCAAGAGAAGGAUAUAGAGAAGAGACAGCAGAGCCGACCUGCUCAGCCAACUUUAAGUUUUAUUCUACAUCAUUACAUUGAGAAAGAACACCGAUUUACAACUAUGUUGACUAGCUAGCUACUAGCUUAUAGUCCAUAAGAUUUACAUGUAAGUAUUGAGAGCUUCGAUACGUGCCAUCCCUCCAUGCGCUCAAACUUGCAAGUGGCAUGUAUUCCAAUAACUAUCUGCCUAUGUAUGAAUCCUGGUAGGGAUGUGACAUUGACAUAGUGCAUAAUAUUAGAAAUUUUCAAUCAUAUGCAUGAAUAUAUGCAUUAUAUUCAUCUACGUGUCAUCUCUCUAAUGACUCCAUCGUAAGGAGCUAGCCCAUACAUGGCGUAACAAAGCAGUAUCAUGAGUAGUGGUAUGGUCAUGGAAUUUUUUGUUUUGCGGGGUCGUGGAAAUUUCUGGUGCGCUCCAGAGAGAAAUCACCCCCGUAGGACCAAAAUAAUAGCACUACCUUCGGUCUUGAGUUUCUGGAGAUGCAAUGGGCACUUGAUCCAACCUGCUCCAUAGUCAAAAUCAAUCAGGUUAGUUGUUGCAUCUCUUUUAACGAUUUACUUCAGUUUGUACUAACCCCUGCUUCAACAUGGAUAGUGGGACGUCAGCCGGGGAGGGAACUGGCGGUGCUGGAGGGAGGCCCGACCUGUGGUUCGACCUACACUCCCGCUUGGUGGCGAACGGAGACAGGCAGGGAGGGAGGCCUACCCUCCCGCCAUGUCACGCAGACGGACGACGGCGGCGUCAGCCGGGAGGGCACUGGCGGGAGGCCCGACCGGAGGUGUGGUGGAGGGAAGCCCGAUCGGAGGUGGCCUACCCUCCCGCCAUGUCGCGCAGACGGAAGAGGGCUGCCGGGGAGGGCACCGGCGACGGCGGCUGUGAACCCUAGAUAUUUUCACCAGAGGGAGGGAACCACCAGUCGGGAGAGCGAGGGGCUGGUGCACUCGUUGGUUUUUUUUAUCCGGUGUGUUCUUUUUCCACUCGCGGGAGGUAGGCCACCUGUGUUUUUAGUCUUUGACGUCUUCAUAACGACGUAUCUCACGGCAAAGAUUAAUUUUUGCCGCCUUCUCUUGCUAAUCCAAGACGGCAAAACUGCCUGCCGUUUGGGUGAGUUAACAGGAACGUGGACAUCUUUGUUUGCAGUCAUCCAUAGGAUAAGUGUUGGAAUUAUGCCCUAGAGGCAAUAAUAAAUAUAGUUAUUAUUAUAAUUCCUGUAUCAAGAUAAUCGUUUAUUAUCCAUGCUAUAAUUGUACUGAAUGAAGACUCAUUUACAUGCGUGCAUACAUAGACAAAACACUGUCCCUAGCAAGCCUCUAGUUGGGUAGCCAGUUGAUCAACGAUAGUCAGUGUCUUCUGAUUAUGAACAAGGUGUUGUUGCUUGAUAACUGGAUCACGUCAUUAGGAGAAUCACGUGAUGGACUAGACCCAAAUUAAUAGACGUAGCAUGUUGAUCGUGUCAUUUUAUUGCUACUGUUUUCUGCGUGUCAAGUAUUUAUUCCUAUGACCAUGAGAUCAUAUAACUUACUAACACCGGAGGAAUACUUUGUGUGUAUCAAACGUCGCAACAUAACUGGGUGACUAUAAAGAUGCUCUACAGGUAUCUCCGAAGGUGUUCGUUAAGUUAGUAUGGAUCGAGACUGGGAUUUGUCACUCCGUGUGACGGAGAGGUAUCUCGGGGCCCACUCGGUAAUACAACAUCAGACACAAGCCUUGCAAGCAAUGUGACUUAAUGUAAGUUGCGGGAUCUUGUAUUACGGAACGAGUAAAGAGACUUGCCGGUAAACGAGAUUGAAAUAGGUAUACGGAUACUGACGAUCGAAUCUCGGGCAAGUAACAUACCGAAGGACAAAGGGAAUGACAUACGGGAUUAUAUGAAUCCUUGACACUGAGGUUCAAACGAUAAUAUCUUCGUAGAAUAUGUAGGAUCCAAUAUGGGCAUCCAGGUCCCGCUAUUGGAUAUUGACCGAGGAGUCUCUCGGGUCAUGUCUACAUAGUUCUCGAACCCGUAGGGUCUGCACACUUAAGGUUCGACGUUAUUUUAUGCGUAUUUGAGUUAUAUGGUUGGUUACCGAAUGUUGUUCGGAGUCCCGGAUGAGAUCACGGACGUCACGAGGGUUUCCGGAAUGGUCCGGAAACGAAGAUUUAUAUAUAGGAUGAUCUCAUUUGAUUACCGGAAGGUUUUCGGAGUUACCGGGAAUGUAUCGGGAAUGACGAAUGGGUUCCGGGAGUUCACCGGGGGGGGGGGGCAAGCCACCCCGGGGAAGCCCAUAGGCCUUGGGGUUGGCGCACCAGCCCUUAGUGGGCUGGUGGGACAGCCCAAGAAGGCCAUAUGCGCAUUGGAAAGAAAAUCAAAGAGGAAAGGGAAAAAAAAGGAGGUGGGAAAGGGAAGAAGGACUCCACCUUCCAAACCAAGUAGAAUUCGGUUUGGGAGGGGGAGGCCUUCCCCCUUGGCUCGGCCGACCCCCUUGGGAGUCCGUGGACCCCAAGGCAGGUCUUCCCCCUCCUCCUCCUAUAUAUAGUGGGGUUUUAGGGCUGAUUUGACACAACUUUGCCACGGCAGCCCGACCACAUAUCUCCACGGUUUCACCUCUAGAUCGCGUUUCUGCGGAGCUCGGGCGGAGCCCUGCUGAGACAAGAUCAUCACCAACCUCGGAGUGCCAUCACGCUGCCGGAGAACUCUUCUACCUCUCCGUCUCUCUUGCUGGAUCAAGAAGGCCGAGAUCAUCGUCGAGCUGUACGUGUGCUGAACGCGGAGGUGCCGUCCGUUCGGCACUAGACCAUGGGACUGUUCGCGGGGCGGAUCGAGGGACGUGAAGACGUUCCACUACAUCAACCGCGUUCACUAAACGCUUCUGCUGUACGGUCUACAAGGGUACGUAGAUCACACAUCCCCUCUCGUAGAUGGACAUCACCAUGAUAGGUCUUCAUGCGCGUAGGAAAUUUUUUGUUUCCCAUGCGACGUUCCCCAACAAUAAGUAGACAGCAAAAAUCCUGCCUUUGCCGUCAUCUACCCAUAUAGUUAAAGGCAAAACUAUUUUUUGCCGUGUGGUUUUUUUGCCGUCUGCUUUUCAUGAUUUUUGGUGAUAGUAGCUCUUUGCCAUCUUCCCAUGACGGCAAAUUUCCCAUUUGCCGUCUGCCCCGACGAUUUGCUGACGGCAAAGAUUGUACCUAUCAUCAAAAUAGCUGAUUCCUGUAGUGUACGUGUAAGGUCGGUCCGGGCCGCUUCAUCCCACUAUACCGCCGGAAAAUAAUAAGACUAGUAGUGGCAAGAAAUUGACAAAUCAUUGCCCACAACCUUUUGUGUUCUACUCGUGCAUAGAAUCUACGCAUAGAAAACCUGGCUCGGAUGCCACUGUAGGGAAACGUAGCAUAAAUUAAAAAAAGUUCCUACGCAUAUUCAGAUCUUCCUAUGGAGAGACGAGCAACGAGAGAGGGGUGAGUGCAUCUUCGUACCUUUGAAGAUCGCUAAGCGGAAGCGUUGCUAGAACGCGGUUGAUGGAGUCGUACUCACGGCGAUUGAGAUCACGGUGUGAUUUCGAUCUAGUGCCGAACCACGGCACCUCCGCGUUCAACACACGUGCAGCCCGGUGACGUCUCCUGCACCUUGAUCCAGCAAGGAGGAGGGAGAGGUUGGGGAAGAUCUCCGGCAGCACGACAACAUGGUGUCGAUGGAGAGACGAGGUCUCCCGGCAGGGCUUCGCCAAGCACCGUGGGAGAGGAGGAAGAAGGGGGGCAGGGCUGCGCCGAGGGAGAUGGAAAACCGUGUGCAAAACAGCCCCAAAACCCCCACUAUAUAUAGGAGGAGGGGAGGGGGGUGCCACCCCUAAGUUCCCACCCCAGAUGGGAGGUGCGGCGGCCAAGGCAGGGGGAGGGGGUGGCGCACCCCUAGGUGGGCCUUAGGACCACCAGCGCCUAGGGUUUCCCCCCCUCUCCACCUCCUGCGCCUUGGGCCUCCUUGUGGGAGGCGCACCAGCCUACUUUAGGCUGGUUUCCCUCCCUCUUUUGGCCCAUGCUACCUCUUGGCGCUGGUGGCCCCUCCCAGUGGACCCCCGGGACCAUUUCCGGUUGUCCCGAUGGUCCCGGUACAUUACCGGUGACGCCCGAAACAUUUCUGGUGUCCAAAACCAUCCAUCCUAUAUAUCAAUAUUUACCUCCGGACCAUUCCGGAGCUCCUCGUGACGUCCGGGAUCUCAUCCGUGACUCCGAACAACUUUCGGUAACCUCGUAUAACAAUUCCCUAUAACCCUAGCGUCAUCGAACCUUAAGUGUGUAGACCCUACGGGUUUGGGAGACAGGCAGACAUGACCGAGACACCUCUCCGGCCAAUAACCAUUAGCGGGGUCUGGAUAUCCAUGGCGGCUCCUACUUUCUCCACGAUGAUCUCAUCGGAUGAACCACGAUGUCAAGGAUUCAAUCAAUCCCGUAUACAAUUCCCUUUGUGUGUCUGUAUAGAACUUGCCCGAGAUUCGAUCAUCGGUAUACCUAUACCUUGUUCAAUCUUGUUACCGGUAAGUCUCUUUAGUCGUUCCGUAGCACGUCAUCGUGUGACUAACUCCUUAGUCACAUUGAGCUCAUGAUGAUGUGCUACCGAGUGGGCCCAGAGAUACUUGUCCGUCACGCGGAGUGACAAAUCCCAAUCUCGAUUCGUACCAACCCAACAGACACUUUCAGAGGUACCCGUAGUGCACCUUUAUAGUCACCCACUUACGUUGUGAUGUUUGAUACACCCAAAGCACUCCUACGGUAUCCGGGAGUUGCACAAUCUCACGGUCGAAGGAAAAUACACUUGACAUUAGAAAAGCUUUAGCAUACGAACAAAACGAUCUAGUUCUAUGCUUAGGAUUGGGUCUUGUCCAUCAGAUCAUUCUCCCAAUGAUGUGAUCCCGUUAUCAAUGACAUCUAAUGCCCAUGACCAGGAAACCAUGAUCAUCUAUUGACUAAUGAGCUAGCCAACUAGAGGCUUGCUAGGGACACAUUGUGAUCUAUUUAUUCACACAUGUAUUACUGUUUCCUGUUAAUACAAUUAUAGCAUGAACAAUAGACGAUUAUCAUGAACAAGGAAAUAUGAUAAUAACCAUUUUAUUAUUGCCUCUAGGGCAUAUUUCCAACACAAAGAUCCACCGGAGGGGAUGGGCCGGUGGGCCACAAGCCCUGUAGCCGCCACCUCCUGGUGGCGGCUAGCAAGCUUGUGGGGCCCAUGUGGCUCUGCCGCCCCCAAUCUCAGCUCUAUAAAUUCACUUUCGUCCCAGAAAAAAAUAAAAAGAGAAGAUUUCAUCGCGGUUGCAAUACGAAGGCGCCGGCACAUCCUGUUCUUCAUCUGGAGGGCAGAUCUGGAGUCCGUUUUGGGCUCUAGAGAGGGGAAAUCAUUGCCAUCGUCAUCAUCAACCUUCUUCCCUCUCCAAUUCCAUGAAGCUCUUCGUCGUUCGUAAGUAAUCUAUUUGUAGGCUCGCAGGGCGGUGAUGAGUAGGAUGAGAUCUAUCAUGUAAUCGAGUUAGUUUUGAUGGGGAUUGAUCCCUAGUAUCCACUAUGUUCUGAGAUUGAUGUUGCUACUACUUUGCCAUGCUUAAUGCUUGUCACUAGGGCCCGAGUGCCAUGAUUUUAGAUCUGAAAUUAUGAUGUUGUCACCAAUAUAUGUGUGUUUUAGAUCCGAUCUUGCAAGUUGUAGUUACCUACUAUGUGUUAUGAUCCGGCAACCCCGGAGUGACAAUAACCGGAACCACUCCCGGUGAUGACCAUAGUUUGAGGAGUUCAUGUGUUCACCAAGUGCUAAUGCGUUGGUCCGGUUCUUUAUUAAAAGGAGAACCUUAAUAUCCCGUAGUUUCCUUUUGGACCCCGCUGCCACAGGAGGGAUGGACAAUAGAUGUCAUGCGAGUUCGUUUCCCUAAGCACGUAUGUCGACACAGGGAAUGCAUGCCUACAUCACAUUGACGAACGGGAGCUAGCCACAUAUCUCUCCGUGUUAUAACUGUUGCAUGAUGAAUAUCAUCCAAACAAAUCACCGACCCAUUGCCUACAAGUUUGUCCCACUGCUGCUGUUACUUGUUUUCCACUGCUGCUGUUACUUGUUUUGCUCUGCUGUUACUUGCUACUGUUGCUACUUGCUACUGCUAUUACUUGCUACUGUUGCCGCUGCUGUUACUUGCUCUGUUGCUACUUUGUUGUUGAUACUUUGCUUGCAGAUACUAAUCUUUCAGGUGUGGUUGAAUAUGACACAUUCAGCUGCUAAUACUUGAGAGUAUCCUCUCACUUCCUAUUGGCGAACCAACAAAUUUGGGUUGAAUACUCUACCCUCGAAAACUGCCUCGAUCCCACGCGCUCGUGGGUUAUUGCAAGACAAUUUCUAAUUGAUGAGCAAUCGAGAAUAGCAGUCGUCUAGCCAUUGCCAGAGACUGUGAGUCAGUGACGUACGAACUUAUUUCGAUGACCAACACAAAACUUUCCAUAUAUCUAUCUUUACCUUCGGACCAUUCCGUAGCUCCUUGUGAUGUCCAUGAUCUCAUACGAGACUCCGAACAACCUUCACUCACCAACAUACAUAACUCAAUAAUACCAAAAGGUCACCGAACCUUAAGUGUGCAGAACUGAUACGUCUCCAACGUAUCUAUAAUUUUUGAUGGUUCCAUGCUAUUAUCUUGUCAACUUUGGGUGUUUUGUAUGCAUGAAUAUGCUAUUUUAUAUCUUUUUUGGGACUAACCUAUUAACUCAGUGCCAAGUGCCAGUUCCUAUUUUUUCCGUGUUUUUGACCUUUUUCAGAGGAGAAUAUUAAAUGGAGUCCAAACGGAAUGAAACCUGCGGAAUGAUUUUUUCCAUAACAGAAGACACGCAGGAGACUUGAGAACCAAGGCACGGGACCUCAGAGGAGGUCACAAGCCACCCAGGCCCGGCCUAGGGGGCGUGGCGGGCCUCGCAGGCUUGUGGCCCCCCUGUGGCUCCCCUGCCCUAGUUCUUCCGCCUAUAAAUUCCCUAAAAAUCUGAAAACACGGAAGAGAGCCACGAAAAUACUUUUCCGCCGCCGCAAGCUUCUGUCUCCGCAAGAUCCCAUCUAGGGCACGCUCUGGUGCCCUGCCGGAGGGGGGAUUCAGACACGUAGGGCUUCUUCAUCAACACCAAUGCCUCACUGAUGAUGCGUGAGUAGUUCACCAUAGACCUUCGGGUACAUAGCUAGUAGCUAGAUGGCUUCUUCUCUCUCUUGGAUCUUCAAUACAAAGUUCUCCAUGAUCUUCAUGGAGAUCUAUCCGAUGCAAUCUUUUUUUGCGGUGUGUUGGUCGAGAUCCGAUGAAUUGUGGAUUUAUGAUCAGAUUACCUAUGAAUGUUAUUUGAGUCUCCUCUGAUCUCUUAUAUGCAUGAUUUCGUAUCCUUGUAAUUCUCUUCGAGUUGUGGGUUUCGUUUGGCCAACUUGAUCUAUAAUUCUUGCAAUGGGAGAAAUGCUUGCUUUUGGGUUCAUACCGUGCAGUGACCUCUCCCAGUGGCAGAAGGGGUAGCGAGGCACGUAUCGUGUUGUUGCCAUCAAGGGUAAAAAGAUGGGGUUUAUAUCUAUUGCAUGAGUUUAUCCCUCUACAUCAUGUCAUCUUUCUUAAGGCGUUACUCCAUUUGUCAUGAACUUAAUACACUAGAUGCAUGCUGGAUAGCGGCCGAUGUGUGGAGUAAUAGUAGUAGAUGCAGAAAGUAUCGGUCUACUUCUCUCGGAUGUUGUCGUGGGUAUAAGUCUGACAGUAGAUCUAUAGGGUCCGAAAGGAUGGGCACAACCUUAGCUACGGCGAGGUUGUAUGAGUUCAGGCCCCUCUACGGUGGAGGUAAAAGCCCUACGUCUCAGUGCUCUUGGGAGCUUGAUGUCGAGUGGAAUAUGGAUUACAGUGAAUUCCCAACCCCUGCACCAGUACGGAAGGGCGGCUUAUAUAGAGUGCGCUGCCCUCCAUAACGGUUCGAUGCACAGGGGUGGAGUAGUGGCGAAUAAAUGCCUACGUUACAGGUAACGUAUGCCCUAAAUGCUAAUAAAGGUACAUGAAAACGUAUGACCGUUGUCCUCCACGGGGGUUACGAUAUACAUAGUGGAAUCCAGUCGGUAAGCUUGAUACUCUCCGAAUGCACGUCUCCGACUGGAUGAUGGAGGGAUCGUCACCGACCGGAUGAUGGGAAGUCUUUAAUUCAGUCGAAACUGACUAAGGUCCUUGUCCCUUAUGAAGGGUAGUCCUGGGGUAGGACCUAUAGGGCAGGCCUAUGACCCUACCCUGGGACUAUAACCCCAUCAUUAGUCCCCGAAUGGAUCGGGGUUGGAACGACGAGGCGAUGCUUGGGGUACGGAUCCGACUGGUAUGGAUGCAGCUUUGGCGUUGCUUGCCUCGAUCGAUUUUAUCCUCUUGACCAGUGAUCCGAGUGGAUCUGUCUGUGAAACGAACCGUUAGAGACCGAGUGCUUCCGCCGAAUCUUCGGACGUGACCGGUCAACUAACAGCGGCGGAUUUUCUGGGAUCCUCAAAUUUCGGUUGCCGCGCGCUCAGCGGGGAUGACGACAUCGUCAUCGAGUAGUUUCUGCCACGUCGAUUACCGCGCCUUCAUCUCCUCCACUAAUAUCGCAGCAACCGGUCGGGGGAUAAGAUUUUGGGGCCACCUGCUAGUGACCCAGUUGGUACCUUAUUUAAACCUCCCCAGUGAGGGUUUCUCAUUGCGCUCGCCUGAUAACUCGCACUCGCCCCGCUUCUCCCGUUGCUCCCUGUGCACUCCACGCCUCCUCCUUCCUCUCCUCCCCUGCGGAUCUGCAGCCUCCACCAUGACGAAGGGGCAGACGAGCAAGCUCGAGUCGUAGAAGAAGAAGAAGAAGGUGGCGGCUCCUGCUCAGCGGCGACAGCGUGCUCUGCCGGCGGGUUGGAUCCAGGGGGAUUUUCUCCCCUCCACGGUGACGAAGGAUGACCUGCUGGAGCUGGUGGAGCAAGGUUUGAUCAAAAACAAGUCGUGGAGGCUACCGGCGGAGGGCGAGACGGAGCCAGUGCCCCAGGAGGGGGAGCGCGUCUUGCUGCUCAGUCACGUGUACCGAGGCUUCUCUGUGCCUCCUCACCCCUUCUUCAGAGGUAUCAUGAACCACUUCGGGGCACAGCUCCACCAUUUUCCUCCCAACGCAAUAGCUCAUCUUUCUGCCUUCGUCGUGCUUUGCGAGUGCUUUAUCGGUUGUCCUCCCCAUUGGGGGCUCUUUAAGUACAUCUUCUCUGCUAGAUCCCAAACUGUCAAAAGACUUAGCCAGUCGGAUGAUAAAACCCAUCUCCUCCAGCUCUGCGGGGGCUUAGGCUUCCAAAAGAAAACGAAGAGUAGCUAUCCCGCUCUCCAGUUGUCCGAGUCUGUUAGGAACUGGCAGUCGACUUGGUUCUAUUGCCAGGACGUUGCUUGCCCGAAUGCCGCGACUGGACUGCCAGCUUUAAGCCUAGACCGACCGGCUCCGCCCAGGCAGCUUGCACUCACGAAGAUGGAGAAGAUCCAGAUUCAGCCUCUGGUCGAAGCACUGAUAGAUGUCAUCCGCAAGGGAGUCACCGACAUGGAUCUGCUGGAGAUUUUUCUGGGUCGGCGCAUCCAGCCUUUGCAAGCUCAACACCAUGCCAUGUGGCACUGCACGGGGCCUGCGGACUCCACUCGGACUCACCCCGAAUGCAUGACCGGGGAGGUCAUGACAUCGUGGGUCCGCAGCAUCACAGGCGCCUGUGAUAACCCCAGAGGAGCCCGACGAGUGAAGCCCUUCCGCGCUGACAACCCUCCUCCGAAUGAGGUGAGCAUAUGUUGCCGAGUGCUUACAAUUCCCUUAGAUUUGCCGCUUUUUUCUUGCAUCACUGUCUGACGUCUGAUGUUGUCAACUGUAUCUAGUGCAGGCGUGGACCAACUGGUAUUCUCCCGUCUCGAAUGGGAAUCCGGCUGAGGAAGAGGAAGGCAGCCAGGAGGGCAGCAUGGAGAGCGCCGAGUACGUCUCCCACAGUGGGGAGACGGAGGAGGAGUCCGAAGAGGAGGAGGGGGAAGAUGGGGAGCAGGGCUGGCCCCCCCCCCACCACUAGAGCCUCGAACCAAGCGUUGCCACGAACCCGUGACUGCGUCGGCUUCUCUAGCGGCCCUGAGUGCCCCGCCAGCGCCCGUGACUCCGUCGGCUCCUCCAGCGGCCCCGAGUGCCCCGCCAGCUCGUCCCGUGGUUCCGAGCGCCUUGGCAGAAACUCCCGUGGUUCCGAGUGCUCGGAGCACUAAGAGGAACAGGGACGCUGCUGCUGAGUCCGCGGGCCAACCUUCCAAGGUGGCCAAACCGAGUGGAUCCAAGCCUCGGAAGGCUUUGCCUCGGAUGAGGAUCGCCGUUCCUGUUGCCUCAGCGUAAGUGUCUUGUUCUCCUAUCUUCUUUCAGUAUUUGAUUGAACUCAUGUUUAUUGGUCCAGUGGAUUUUACUCGACAGAGCUGCUACCUCCGCCACUUCUCUGCCACGCCAGGAAGACUAUCCCAUGGAUACGGACAACGUUGCCACAUCCCAGCAAGGUACGUCGUGAUGACUCCGAGAGCUUAAAUUAUUGUUUCGAGAAUUCUGUCUUUGAUAUUGCCAUUUUUCUGUGGUCUCACGUUGUUCAGUCGGGCUCCCUUCAGAGGUGAUUCAUCUGGAGGAAGACGACCAGAAGGGGUCUGGGCAAGCUUUGGUGCAUGUCCUUGAGGUCGUUCCGUCUGCUACCGCUCCUGCCAUGGACGCGCCGCCAACCGAGACGAUGCCGUCGACUGAAACGGUGCUCAUCGCUGCUGAACCGACUAGAGCAGGACUUGGGAUGCCCAAGGAGUCUCCCGUGGUGCCGGGCCCGUCGACUAUCCAGUACGACGCCCAACAUCUCCCGGAGGAUCAAGUGGGAGCUGCCAAGGAGGCUAUGGUGCGGGUGGAGUUGAUGGCGGGUGAUGCGAAGGGGGCAUACGACUCCAUCACAUCUUUAUACAAGAGAAGCUUGGAGCUCCGUGACGAUAUCCGAGUAAGUGCGCUAGUAAGUAUUUGCUUUUCUCUUGUAACCCACUGGGGGUUAAGAAAUAUACUCGGAGAUAGUAGAAUUAUUUUGCAGUGGGUUCACUCUGAGUGAACCGAGUGGGUGUAGUCCCCGAGACUUCUGUCGAGUGCUUGCACCGGUAGUUGUCUUUAUAUACAUUGUCUUUGACUUGAUAUGAUGAAGACUAAGCUGUCCGAAUGGUGCCAGUGGGUGCACUCUCAGUGCACGUACUGGAAGUAGUCCCCGAGAGUAAGUUUACUCAGGUCGGGUAGUAGUAGCCUCAUAGGCUUGUUUUUUGUUAUGUAGCUGAAUAGGGUAGACCUGUUUGAGCGUCAUGCCAGUGGGGUCACUCUUAGUGAACCCACUAGGUGUAGUCCCCGAGACCGCUGUCGACUGCUUGCGUCGCCAGGGGUCUGAAGAACUUUGAGGUUUUAUUCUUUUUCCUUGUUGAAUUUGUCUGAUCUUCUCUUCACGCUUAUUUGUAGAAGACUUGCAAGAUGGGAUCAGCGUACAACGCUUUGAAGGUUGAAAAGACUCAGGCAGCUGUGCAUGACUUAGCUGGCGUGAUGGGUGCUCUUGCUGAAGGAGAGAAGUCCUUGGAGGAGUCCCGUGAGGCAAAUAAGGCAUUGGUGGCCGAAAUUGAGAGAAUGGGCAAACAAAGAACCGAGCUGAUGGGACAGAUGAAGGUGAUGAACAGUCGGUGCAUAUCACAGGAGAAGUACGUCAGUGACUGGGCAAGGAAGAUGAUUGCGCUUCUCGGUGGUAAGUUUUGUUUUUCCGAUUGCUCCUUGACUUUGUAUUUCGUGAUGCACUUACUCUCUGCUCGUCUUCUCUUUGCAGAUUUUUGUAUGGACGCUGAGGCUGAAGCAGCUGACAUUGAGCGGUCAGUUAUUCCGAACGUUCCACUCGGCAACGACGCCAAUCGAGACAUGCUCCGAGCGCACAUUCACCUUGGCAAAGUGGGACCGUUCAUCAGCCGCCUGAGAGAAGUCGUCGGCCGAAUCGACAAGGAGCUGUGGCCCGAAGACGAGUCCCGGUGGGAGAUAGAAGGGUUGAUGACUCGGCUGGAGGACGUCCCGAACCGAGUGCAGGCGUGGAAGAAGUCUGCUGCUCGCUGUGGGGUGGACGUGGCGCUGUCGCUGGUCUGAGUGCACUGCAAGGAAGCUCGCGAAGAGAAGCUGAAGGCGUUGCAGGUCGCCAACACCAAGAAGCUUCGAUUGGAAGAUUUCAUGGAGACCUUCCUUGAGACCGCUACUCGCAUCGCAGACGGGAUCGACCUCGACACUUUCGUGGAGCCUGCCAGUCCCAGUGUCAGUCCUGACGACACUUGAAAAACUUAACCUCGGUAUACCGAGUGGAUUUGUAUCAAACUUUGGCCACUGCAGUUGGCCGUCACAUUCGUGGUUCGGUGUGGAUAAGCUUGAUCUACACUGAACCGACUAUCGUUGAACCAACUUUGAAUUGGAAUCGAAUAUUCUGCUCUUCCUUCGCCAAAAAAAUCUUGACACAAUUUUGGCUCGUGAUUUCUGUUUGGCGUUUCUUGGUGAAGCCAGUGGCAAACAUGCGAAGCAUGUAGUUGUCAUUUGUCUUGACAUCUGCAUGAGCCUCAAUGAGGGUCUGCUAAGCCUCCGAGUGGAUCUGGAGGAUACACUCGAAGGAAUCUUUUUACUUAGGCGAUUCUGGAUCGCAGCUAGGUCUCCGAGUGCGGCGUCUCGUGCGCACUCGUAGCGAGUUGAUACUCAUGUAGUUGUCAGUUGUCUUGACAUCCACAUGAGUCUCAAUGAGGGUCUGCUAAGCCUCUGAGUGGAUCUCGAGGAUACACUCGAAGGAAGCUUUUUACUUAGGCGAUUCUGUAUCGCAGCUAAGUCUCCGAGUGCGGCAUCUCGUGCGCACUCGGAGGGAGUUGGUACUCAUGUAGUUGUCAGUUGUCUUGACAUCCACAUGAGCCUUGAUGAGGGUUUGCUAAACCUCCGAGUGGAUAUCGAGGAUACACUCGAAGGAAGCUUUUUUACUUAGGCGAUUCUGGAUUGCAGCUAAGUCCCCGAGUGCGGCAUCUCGUGCGCACUCCGAGCGAGUUGAUACUCGUGUAGUUGUCAGUUGUCUUAACAUCCACAUGAUCCUCGAUGAGGGUCUGCUAAGCCUUCGAGUGGAUCUCUAGGAUACACUCGAAGGAAUCUUUUUUACUUAGGCGAUUCUGGAUCGCAGCUAAGUCCCCGAGUGCGGCAUUUAGUGCACACUCGGAGAAAGUUAGUACCUAGGCGAUUCUGGAUCGCAGCUAAGUCUCCGAGUGUGACGUUUAGUGCACACUCGGAGAAAGUUUUUUUUAGAUCGGGGUCUGCCCACGCGAAAGAAUUUUGAAUCUGCAAAAAAUCAAUCUGCUUUGUAUUACUUCAGCGAUACUUGUUCUUUACAUUGCUUCAGUCGACGGUCACGUGUAGAAGCGCUUCAGGAGAUCUCCGUUCCAUGCUCGUGGCUCGUCCGUUUCCCUGUCGAGGUUGUAGAGUCGAUAUGCACCGUUGUUCAGCACCUUGGAGAUGAUGAAGGGUCCUUCCCACGCGAGAGCCAGCUUGUGAGGUCUCUGCUGAUCCACUCGGAGCACCAGGUCGCCUGCUUGGAAUGUACGACUCCUGACGUCCCGCGUGUGAAAACGCCGCAGAUCUUGUUGAUAAAUGGUUGAGCGAGUCAGUGCCAUCUCGCGCUCCUCUUCUAGAAGAUCCACUCCGUCUUGCCUCGCUUGCUCUGCUUCGGCUUCGGAGAAGAGUUUGACUCGUGGAGCGUUGUGAAGCAAGUCACUCGGAAGGACUGCCUCUGCUCCGUAAACGAGGAAGAACGGGAUCGCCCUGUAGAUCUAUUUGGGGUUGUGCGGAGACCCCACAACACUGAAGGCGGCUCGGUGACCCAUGCGUCGGCAGCAUGUCCCACUUCUCGCAAGAGUCGAGGCUUCAACCCUUGAAGAAUAAGUCCAUUCGCUCGCUCUACUUGCCCGUUUGUUUGGGGAUGCGCCACAGAUGCAAAAUCCACUCGGAUACCUUGGCUUGUACAGAAACCUUUGAAUCUGUCCGAGUCAAAGUUUGUGCCGUUAUCAGUGAUUAUGCUGUGCGGUACCCCGAAUCUGGAUAUGAUGUCCCUGACAACCUUGAUGGCCGUAAGGGCGUCGAGCUUCUUGAUGGGUUUGGCUUCAAUCCACUUGGUGAACUUGUCGACUACCACCAACAGAUGAGUGAAACCUCCUUGGCCUAUCCUAAAUGGACCGACUGUAUCUAAACCCCACACUGCAAACGGCCAAACAAGAGGGAUUGUCUUCAACGCAGAUGUUGGCUUGUGGGACUUGUUCGAGUAGAACUGACAGCUUUCACAUCGGUCGACCAUAUCCUUCGCCAUUUCGUUCGCGUGCAACCAGAAGAAGCCAGCCCUGAAUGCUUUGGCGACGAUUGCCCUUGAGGAGGCAUGAUGACCGCAGGUUCCUGAGUGAAUUUCUUCCAGGAUUAACUGUCCCUUCUCAGGGGAGAUGCAUCGUUGAAGGAUGCCAGAAACACUUUCUUUGUACAGCUGGCCAUCAAUGACGGUGAACGACUUCGACCUGCGGACGAUCUGUCUGGCUUGGAUUUCGUCUUCUGGUAAUUCUUGCCUCAGGAUGUACGCAAUGAACGGCACAGUCCAAUCGGGGAUGAUAGCAAGAAUCUCCAUGAUCAAAUCAACCACAGCAGGGACUUCGACUUCAGUCAGAUCUAUCGAGCUCUUUGGUUGUACUGGUUCCUCUGUGAAAGGAUCUUCUUUAACCGAGGGAAGGUGACGGUGCUCGAGGCAGACGUCACUCGGGACUGGCUCCGAGUGGAUCCAAGUUUCGCCAAUUCGUCAGCUGCUUGGUUUUUCAGUCACGGAACAUGGUGGAGUUCUAGACCUUCAAACUUUUUCUCGAGCUUCCUCACCGCGUUGCAGUAUGUGGUCAUGGUGGGUUUCCUUACGUCCCACUCCUUCAUCACUUGAUUAACCACCAAAUCUGAAUCGCCAUAGACCAUGAGGCGACGGACGCCGAGUGCGAUGGCCAUGCGCAAUCCAUAAAGGAGAGGUUCAUAUUCUGUCUCGUUGUUGGAGGAAUCGAAGUGUAUUUGCAACACAUACUUGAGUUUGUCUCCUUUUGGCGAUAUGAUCACAACGCCAGCGCCGGAGCCGUUUAACAUCUUGGACCCAUCGAAGAACAUUGUCCAAUGAGCCGAGUAGAUGUGAGUCGGUUGUUGUUGUUCUACCCAUUCUGCUAUGAAGUCAGCCAAAGCUUGAGACUUUAUAGCUUUCUUGGCAUCAACUUGAUGUCGCAGUACAACAUCUCCAUUGCCCAAUUCACCACUCGGCCCGAUGCGUCCCGAUUGUGGAGGAUUUCCGACAAUGGAGCAUCAGAAAUGACGGACACCGAGUGGUCUUGGAAAUAAUGAGCCACCUUCUUCGCAGUCAUGUAAAUCCCGUAAAUGAGUUUUUGAUGAUGGGGAUACCUCUGCUUGGAAGGAGUCAGGACUUCGGAGACAUGGUACAUUGGCCGUUGAACCAUGUAUGCUUUGCCUUCUUCUUCGCGUUCGACUGGGAGAACAGUGCUGACGACUUGAUUUGUAGCCGCGAUGUACAGAAGAAGGGGUUCUUUACUGAGCGGAGCAGUAAGAACCGGGUGGGUGGAAAGUAGGACUUUGAGGUCGUCGAAUGCGAUAUGAGCUUCCUCUGUCCACUCGAAAGUAUCUGAUUUCUUCAUGAGUCGGUACAAAGGUAGCGCCUUCUCGCCGAGUCGACUGAUAAACCUUCUCAAAGCCGCUAGGCAACCUGUGAGCCUUUGAACAUCGUGUAUUCUGACCGGCCGCUCCAUUCGGACGAUGGUCCCGAUCUUUUCGGGGUUGACAUCGAUCCCUCGUUCGAAAACGAAGAAACCGAGUAACUUUCCGCUAGGAACACCGAAUGAACACUUGGCCGGGUUGAGCUUGAUAUCGUACCUACGAAGGGUGGCGAAUGUUUCUGCCAAGUCAGUCAGCAGGUCGGAACCUUUGCGUGACUUGACUACGAUAUCAUCCAUAUACGCUUCCACAUUUCGACCGAUCUGGUCAAGGAGGCAUUUUUGGAUCAUGCGCAUAAAGGUUGCUCCUGCAUUCUUCAAACCGAAUGGCAUAGUGAUGUAGCAAAAGCACCCGAAUGGGGUGAUGAAGGCUGUUUUUAAUUCAUCGGGGCCAUACAGACGGAUCUGAUGAUAGCCCGAGUAGGCAUCUAGAAAUGACAAACGCUCGCUACCCGCAGUCGAAUCGACAAUUUGAUCGAUGCGGGGGAGCGGGAAAUGGUCUUUCGGGCAGACCUUAUUGAGAUGCUUGAAGUCGAUGCACAUUCGGAGAGACUUGUCCUUCUUGGGUACCAUGACAACAUGGGCGAGCCACUCGGAGUGGUGUACCUCGCGAGUGAAGUUGGCUGCCAAAAUCUUAGCCACCUCCUCUCCGAUGGCCUUCCUCAUAUGCGCGGCGGACCGACGCAGGCGUUCUCGGACAGGCUGAGCAGCAGGAUCCACGUGCAGUCGGUGCUCAGCCAACUCCCUGGGUACACCUGGCAUGUCAGCGGGCUUCCAUGCGAAAAUGUCUGAGUUCUCACGGAGGAAUUGGAUGAGCUCGACUUCCUAUUUUGGAUCGAGGGUGGUGGAGAUGUUCCUCGGGGCAGCGGCUUCGUCCGUCGGGUGAAUGCUGACCUUCUUCGUUUCUCCCGCCGACUGGAAUGCGGAAUCCGAAGCUGGCUUCUUCGAACGCAUCAAGUCAGCGGGGUCGAUUAACUUCUUGUAGUCGUCAAGCUCGAGGACAGCCAUCUGCUGAUUGGCGAUCCUCGAUCCCUGCUGGAGACACUCCUCGGCCCGCUACCGAUUGCCUGUGAUAGUGAUCACGCCUUUUGGGCCUGGCAUCUUCAGCUUUAGGUACACGUAACAUGGACGGGCCGUGAAACGCGCAUACGCCGGGCGGCCCAGAAUCGCGUGGUAUGCACUCUGGAAGUCCACCACCUCGAAUGUCAGCUUUUCCUUGCGGAAGUUCUUGUCGGAGCCGAAGACGACGUCCAACGCAAUCUCACCGAGUGACUUGGCCGUUCGUCCAGGGACGACUCCAUGGAACUGCAUGCUGCUCUCACUAAGUUUGGACAUCGGAAUGCCCAUCCCCUUGAGAGUGUCGGCGUACAUGAUGUUCAAGCCGCUGCCGCCGUCCAUGAGGACUUUGCGCAGUCGGACUCCUUCCACCACCGGGUCGAUGACCAGCGCCUACCUCCCUGGGGUGGGUACGGGCGCUGGAUGAUCCGACUGGUCAAAGGUGAUCGCAGUCUGAGACCAUUGGAGGAACGUGGGGUUGGUUGGGUGGCCAUGUUCACCUCCCUGUUCACCAGCUUCAGUCGACUCUUGCUUUCCACGUCAGCAAAAAUCAUCAGUGUUGCAUGGACUUGGGGGAACGGAUCCUCCUUGUCCUCCUCAUCUUGCUCAUUGUCCUUUUCACUCGGUUGCCCUUCCCCGAUCCCCUGGAUCAGGAGGCGACAUUGCCGAGUGGUAUGCUUCGGAAAUAUGGCGUUGCCUUCUUCAUCCAUCUUCAUGUGGAUUGGACAUGGCUGGUCCAGGAUGUGGUUUCCGAACUGCUUCUUCUUGGGGGUGAACUGAGCCUUCCCCUUGCCCUUGAACUUGGCAUUGGUAACGGCUGCGGCCUCUGCCUACGGAGUGGACGGAGCUUUCUGCUUCUGCUUCCGAGUGUUGUUCCCAUCUCCAUCGGCGACUGCCUUGUGCUUGCUGCUGCGAAUGCGGUCCUCUUCUUCGCCAUUAGCACAGCGUGCCGCUAUCUCCAUCAUCUUGCUCAUGGAGAUGUCGCCUGUCCGACCGAACUUCAGGUACAGAUCUCCGUACCGCACGCCUGCCUUGAAGGCGCAGACUGCUUGGUGCUCUGUGACGUUCUCCACCGUGUGGUAGAGGGUUGUCCAACGCUGGAUGAAAUCGCGCAGGGGCUCAUUCUGCUUCUCGACACAGUGCUGGAGCUCCACAAGAUCAGCAGGGCGUUUGCACGUCCCCUCGAAGGUCCUGAAGAAGACUCGGGCCAGAUCUGCCCAACUAUAGAUGCUUGAAGGAGCCAGCUGGUUCAGCCACGCUCGUGCCGAGCCAUCGAGCAUCAGGGGGAGAUGUUUCAUGGCGACAUGGUCGUCUCCACCUCCGAUCUGGACUGCCACUCGGUAGUCGUCCGGCCACGUUUCUGGCUUGGAUUCUCCUAUAAACUUGCUGGUCCCCGUCGCCAAUCGGAAGUUGGGAGGGAUGUCAGCUGAACGGAUGGCCCAACUGAAACACUCGGGGCCAGAGAAGAUGGUCCUGCUUCCACUCGGAUGGUCUCCAUCGUGACCAUCACGGUGGGCUCGGCCCCUGUCGACCCUCCUCUGGGCGAUGUAUCCUCUUGCGUCGGGCCUUGGAUCAUAAGUGUGACCGACCGAACGCCGAUCAUCAAGAUGUCGGGGCCCGUAGGGCCCACCCCAUGGAGGGGUGCGUGAACGGCGACGAUCUUCGGGACUCAUGGAACAGCUGCCUCCCCUGUGUCGUUGAUGAGAACCGGGGCUGAAUACUGACCGAUGCAUGUUCGCGUGAACAGAACUGUUGUGGAUUCUGUUGUGCGACUGGGAGACCGCCGAAUUCUGCUGCUGCGCCGUGUGCAACAGGGCACGAAUCUGCUCGAUCCCUCUGCGAGCCUCUGAAUCAGUCGGCUGGAGGGAGUCGGCUAUCUUGGAGGCGGCGUCCAGGUUGAGGACGGGUGUGCGGAACACCUCCACGUUGCUUUGACGAGUGCGCCGACUGGCAGAACGGCGGGGCUGACGGCGAGCGCCAGAUAUUUCGCCGACCUCGUGCUCGUUCCGGCCGGUUUGGCGGGGACUUUCAUGGGAGUUGGCCAUGUGCACUUCGGCUGCAGGCCCGCGAUCCAAGUACUCGGAAUGCAACUAAGUCAGAACUGAGUCCGAGCGCUGGGACGGCGGCGCAACUACAACCGAUUUGAGGACCGCCACGUGUGUAGACGCGUUCUGGCGCGCCUGGGCGUGUUGCACCCAACGCUGGAGCCGCGGACGGCGAGACCGCUUGUUGCGGUGCGUGACGGGGGCGAAGAUCGACACCCGAGCCGACUGCGGGAGAAGAAGGAUGCCGUGGGCGCCGGCACAGAAGUGCGUAGCCCCGCGACUGGGGAGCGCCUCGACGUCGAGAGGUGCAUCCCGAAGCCAUGCCGAAUCGUCGACAAUGAAGGAGAGUGCGCCGAAGAGGAUCUCACAACCCAUGCACGAAUCUCCACCGGACGACAUGCCGAAAGGAUGUAGUCGCAAACUCACCGGAAGUCGCAUAGACGCCUGCCCCACGGUGGGCGCCAACUGUCGUGGGUAUAAGUCUGACAGUAGAUGUAUAGGGUACGAAAGGAUGGGCGGAGUCUUAGCUAUGGCGAGGUUGUAUGAGUUCAGGCCCCUCUACGGUGGAGGUAAAAGCCCUACGUCUCAGUGCUCUUGGGAGCUUGAUGUCGAGUGGAAUAUGGAUUACAGUGAAUUGCCAACCCCUGCACCAGUACGGAAGGGCGGCUUAUAUAGAGUGUGCUGCCCUCCAUAACGGUUCGAUGCACAGGGGUGGAGUAGUGGCGAAUAAAUGCCUACGUUACAGGUAACGUAUGCCCUAAAUGCUAAUAAAGGUACAUGAAAAUGUAUGACCAUUCUCCUCCAGGGGGGUUACGAUAUACAGAGUGGAAUCCAGUCGGUAAGCUUGAUACCCUCCGAAUGCACGUCUCCGACUGGAUGAUGGAGGGAUCGUCACCGACCGGAUGAUGGGAAGUCCUUAAUUCAGUCGAAACUAACUAAGGGCCUUGUCCCUUAUGAAGGGUAGUCCUGGGGUAGGACCUAUAGGGCAGGCCUAUGACCCUACACUGGGACUAUAACCCCAUCAGACGUGAUGCCUAUAUGUAUGAUCAUUGCCUUAGAUAUCGUCAUUACUUUGCGCGGUUCUAUCAAUUGCUCGACAGUAAUUCGUUCACCCACUGUAAUAUUUGCUAUCAUGAGAGAAGCCUCUAGUGAACACUAUGGCCCCCGGGUCUACAUCACAUCAUAUUUUCAGCCUUACACUUUUACUUUGUUGCACUUUACGCCUUCAGUUCUCACCUUGCAAUCAAUCGUGAAGGGAUUGACAACCCCUUUGUAGCGUUGGGUGCAAGUUUGCUGUUUUUGCGCAGGUACUUUGGAGACUUGCCUUGAUACUCCUACUUGAUUGAUACCUCGGUUCUCAAACUGAGGGAAAUACUUACCGCUACUGUGCUGCAUCACCCUUUCCUCUUCAAGGGAAAAACCAACGCAAGCUCAAGAGGUAGCAAGAAGAAUUUCUGGCGCCGUUGCCAGGGAGGAUCAACUCAAGAAUAGUCUCCCGUCAACGUGCCAAUUUCUGGCGCCGUUGCCGGGGAGUAUCAAGUCAAGAAUAGUCUUCCUCCAACGUGUCAAUUUCUGGCACCGGGGACUAUUCUAAGUGAAGCUUAUCCAAGUAACUGUCACAAACUCAUCUCUUGCAUUUACCUUUUUUUUCCUUUUGCCUCUCGUUUUCCUCUCCCCCACUUCUGAAAAACAAAAAUUACAAAAAUAUUUGCCUUUUUCGUUUGCCUUUCCUUUGCUUGUGUGCAAUGUGCCUUCAAUAUGCUUGCAUCUUCGCUUGCUGAAAAUCUAUUGAUAUGGAUCUUCAUUCACUUGCUAAUCUCUUUAAGAGAUCCAAUUAUGUUGAACCAUUUGCUAGUGAAUUGAGUGCACUUGACUUUCUCUAUGGAGUUUUCUUGAGAUGUGUGAAUUUGAAAACCGUGAUGAAGAAAUUUGUGAAGUGAUUCAUGAGGGCUCCUUUAAUGAAAAGCAUGAUUGCAAUGGUUUCAUUAUAAAUUCUAUUCAUGACAAUCAUGCUAAAAAUAUGCAAAACCCUAAAGUUGGGGAUUCUAGUUUUGCUUUGUCCACUACUUGUUGCAAUGAUCAAGAUUGGGGUAAUGAUUUUUCUUAUGAUCUUAAAAAAUUUGUUUAAGCCUCAUGAUGAAUAUGAUAUUUGCAAUAAUAUUGAAGGUGGGUUUGGAGAAGUCAUGACUUUAGUUGAUGAUAAUCCCACUAUUUUUGAUGAGCGUCAACUUUGCAUGUAUGUGGAUCAUGAAAAGAAUAUCCUAUGUGAUAGCUAUAUUGUUGAAUUUGAAUAUGAUCCCACAUGUAAUUAUUGUGAGAGAGGAAAAUAUGGUGGUAGAAAUUUUCAUACCACUAAAUCACCUCUUGUUUUGUUGAGAUUGAUAUUGUCUCUUUCUUCUUCCUUGCAUAUGGUAACUAUUGGUUGUCUUGACAAUUUAUUUUCCUAUAAAAUGCCUAUGCAUAGGAAGUAUGUUAGACUUAGAUGUUAUUUUCACAUGCUUUAUGAUGCUCUCGUUGUGCUUCAAUUCUUGUGUUUUGUGUGAGCAUCAUUGAAUUAUCAAUGCCUAGCUAAGGGCGUUAAACAAUAGCGCUUGUUGGGAGGCAACCCAAUGUAUUUAUCUUUGCUUUUUUUCNNNNNNNNNNNNNNNNNNNNUUUUUUUUUGUGUCCACACCGUCAUAAUUUUGUUAUGAUUGUGUUUUUUUUGUUUCUUUUUGUGUUUGAGCCAAGUAAAACCUUUAUGACUGGUUUUGGUGAUGUUGUUUGAUCUUGCUGGAAAAGAGAGAAACUUUGCGCUCACGAAAUUAUUUUUAAUUCCUAUCCAGAAAGAGCUUUUGAGUUGAUUCAUUUUUCUGCUGGUUGAUAUGCCAAUUUCCCUAAUUGUCAUAAUUUUACAGAAGUUUUGAGAUAACAUAAGUAUAUGAAGUAUACAGAUUGCUACAGAUUGGUCUGUUUUUGACAAAUUAUGUUUGUGUUGUGUUGAUUGCUUAUUUUGAUGAAACUAUGGAUAGUAUCGGGGGGUACUAGCUAUGGAAAAGUGAGAAUACAGUAAUCUAACACCAAUAUAAAUAGAAAUCAGGUUUGCUAGAGUACCUAAAGAUUUGGUAGUUUGUUUUCUUGUGCUAAUGAUAUCACGAGUUUAUGUUUAAGUUUUGUGUUGUGAAGUUUUCAAGUUUUGGGUGAUGUUCUCGUGGACAAUGGGAUAAAGAGUGGAAAGAGCUCAAGCUUGGGGAUGCCCAAGGCAUCCCAAGCCAAAUUCAAGGACACCAAAAAGCCUAAGCUUGGGGAUGCCCCGGGAAGGCAUUCCCUCUUUCGUCUUCAAUACAUCGGUAACGUUACUUGGAGCUAUAUUUUUAUUCACCACAUGAUAUGUGUUUUGCUUGGAGCAUCGUGUAUUAUAGGAUUCUUUUCUUUUUGUUGUGUGACAAUCAUCCUUGCUCCACACCUUUCGAGAGAGACAUGCACUCAUCGUAAUUUUGCUAGAAUACUCUUUGAGCUUCGCUUAUAUCUUUUGAGUUAGGCAAUUUACCUCGCAUGUGCUUUACUUAUAUCUUUUUGAGCUAGAUAAAUUUGCUCUAGUGCUUCACUUAGAUCUUUUUAGAGCACAGCGGUGUCAUAUUUUGGAGAAAUAAGAACUCUCGAUCUUCACUUAUAUCUUUUUGAGAGUGCUCUCUUUGAGUAACUUGGUAGUUAGCUUGUGCUAUGAAAGUAGUCCUAAAGAUGGUAGGCAUCCAAAGAGGAUGUAAUAAAAACUUGCAUAUUCUUGUGCAUUGAUUAGUGAAGAGAAGUUUGAUUCAUCUCAAUUAGUUUUGAGACAUGGAUAUGGUAAUAUUAAAGUUGUGUUAGUAGGGUGUUGUGAAUCUAGAAAUACUUGUGUUGCAGUUAGUGAUUCCCGUAGCAUGCACGUAUGGUGAACCGCUAUGUUAGAAAGUCGGAGCAUAAUUGAUUUAUUGAUUGUCAUCCUUUGUGUUGCGGUUGGGAUCGCACGAUGGUUAAACACCUACCAACCCUUCCCCUAGGAUUAUGCAUUUAGCACUUUGUUUCGAUUACUAAUAAAAACUUUCGCAAUAAGUAUAUGAGUUCUACAUGACUAAUGUGAGUCCAUGGUAUAGAUGCACUUUCACGUUCCACCAUUGCUAGCCUCUAUAGUGCCGUGCAAUUUUCGCCGGUGCACAAACCCACCAUAUACCCUCCUCAAAACAGCCACCAUACCUACCUAUUAUGGCAUUUUCAUAGCCAUUCCGAGAUAUAUUGCCAUGCAACUCCCACCGUUCCGUCUCAUGACAUGUGUCGUCACUUUCAUAUUGCCAUUGCAUGAUCGUAAGAUAGCUAGCGAGAUGUUUCAACGUCAUACACUAAGCUAGAUCGUUGCACAUCCCAGUACACUUCCGGAGGCAUUUCCUAUAGAGUCAUCAUUGUUCUAGGUAUUGAGUUGUGAGUAAAUAAAAGUGUGAUGAUCGUCAUUAUUAGAGAAUUGUCCCAUGUGACGAAAUAAAAAAAAGAGGCCAAAGAUGCCCACAAAAAAAAUGAGAAAAAAAGAGGCCAAAGUGCCCAAACAAAAAAAAUGAGAGAAAAAAGAGAGAAGGGACAAUGCUACUAUCUUUUUCAACACUUGUGCUUCCAAAUAGCACCAUGUUCUUCAUGAUAGAGAGUCUCUUGGUUUGACACUUCCAUAUACUAGUGGGAAUUUUCGUUAUAUAACUUGGCUUGUAUAUUCCAAUGAUGGGCUUCCUCAAAAUUGCCCUAGGUCUUCAUGAGCAAGCAAGUUGGAUGCACACCCACUAGUUCUUCUUUUGAGCUUUCACAUACUUAUAGGUCUCGUGCAUCCGUUGCAUGGUAAUCCCUACUCAUUCACAUUGAUAUCUAUUGAUGGGCAUCUCCAUAGCCCUUUGAUACGCCGAGUUGAUGUGACCAUCUCUUCCUUUUUGCCUCACAACCUCCACUACACUCUAUUCCACCUAUAGUGCUAUAUCCAUGGCUCAUGCUAAUGUAUUGCGUGAGAGUAGAAAAAGUUUGAGAAAGUAAGAGUGCGAAAACAAUUACUUGGCCAAUUCCGGGGUUGUGCAUGAUUUAAAUUCAUUAUGUGGGGAUGAUGGAGCAUAGCCAGACUAUAUGAUUUUGUAGGGAUAACUUUCUUUAGCCUUGUUAUUUCGAAAGUUCAUGAUUACCUUGCUAGUUUGCUUGAAGUAUUAUUGUUUUCAUGUCAAUAGAAAACUAUUGUUUUGAAUCUCAUGGAUCUGAACAUUCAUGUCACAUGAAAGAAGUUACAAAGGACAAGUAUGUUAGGUAGCAUUCCACAUCAAAAAUUCGGUCUUUAUCACUUCCCUACUCGAGGACGAGCAGGAGUUAAGCUUGGGGAUGCUUGAUAUGUCUCCAACGUAUCAAUAUUUUUUUAUGGUUCCAUGCUAUUAUCUUGUCAACAUUGGAUGUUUUGUAUGCAUGAAUAUGCUAUUUUAUAUCUUCUUGGGACUAACCUAUUAACUCAGUGCCAAGUGCCAGUUCCUGUUUUUUCCGUGUUUUUGACCUUUUUGAGAGGAGACUAUUAAACGGAGUCCAAACGGAAUAAAACCUGCGGAAUGAUUUUUUCCAUAACAGAAGACACGCAGGAGACUUGAGAACCAGGGAAGGGGACCUCGGAGGAGGUCACAAGCCACCUAGGACCGACCUAGGGGGAGGGCGGGCCUAGCAGGCUUGUGGGCCCCCUGUGGUUCCCCUGCCCUAGUUCUUCCGCCUAUAAAUUCCAUAAAAAUCUGAAAACACGAAAGAGAGCCACGAAAAUACUUUUCCACCGCCGCAAGCUUCUCUCUCCGCAAGAUCCCAUCUGGGGAACGUUCUGGUGCCCUGCCGGAGGGGGAUUCGCACACUGAGGGCUUCUUCAUGAAAACCAUUGCCUCUCCGAUGAUGCGUGAGUAGUUCACCAUAGACCUUCCGGUCCUUAGCUAGUAGCUAGAUGGCUUCUUCUCUCUCUUGGAUCUUCAAUACAAAGUUCUCCAUGAUCUUCAUGGAGUUCUAUCCGAUGUAAUCUUCUUUUGCGGUGUGUUUGUCGAGAUCCGAUGAAUUGUGGAUUUAUGAUCAGAUUAUCUAUGAAUGUUAUUUGAGUCUCUGCUGCGGCAACAGACAAGAGUGCCAGAGAUUGACACGUCGAAGGAGGCUGGGCUUGCGUUGGUUUUUCCCUUGAAGAGGAAAGGGUGGUGCAGCACAGGAGCAGUAAGUAUUUCCCUCAGUUUGAGAACCAAGGUAUCAAUCCAGUAUGAGAAUCUCGUCAAGUCCAGAGUACCUGCGCAAACACAAACGAGCUUGCACCCAACGCUAUAAAGGGGUUGUCCAUCCCUUCAAGAUUGAUUGCAAAGUGAGAUCUGAAGGCGGAAAGUGCAACGAAGUAAAAGAGUAAGGCUAAAAAUAUGGUGUGGAGUAGACCCGGGGGCCAUAGUGUUCACUAGAGGCUUCUCUCAAAAUAGCAAAUAUUAUGGUGGAUGAACAAAUUACUGUCGAGCAAUUGAUAGAACUGCGCAAAGUCAUGACGAUAUCUAAGGCAAUGAUCCUACAUAUAGGCAUCACGUCCGAGACAAGUAGACCGAUACUUUCUGCAUCUACUACUAUUACUCCACACAUCGACCGCUAUCCAGCAUGAAUCUUGUGUAUUGAGUUCAGGACGAACAGAGUAACGCCUUAAGCAAGAUGACCUGAUGUAGAGGGAUAAACUCAAACCAAUGAUGAAACCCCAUCUUUUUACCCUUGAUGGCAACAACACGAUGCGUAACUCGCUACCCCUUCUGUCACUGGGUGAGGUCACCGCACGGUAUGAACCCAAAACCAAGCACAUCUCCCAUUGCAAGAAUCAUAGAUCUAGUUGGCCAAACAAAACCCACAACUCGAAGAGAAUUACAAGGAUAUGAAAUCAUGCAUAUAAGAGAUCAGAAGAAACUCAAAUAAGAUUCAUAGAUAAUAUGAUCAUAAAUCCACAAUUCAUCGAAUCUCGACAAACACACCGCAAAAGAAUAUUACAUUGGAUAGAUCUCCAUGAAGAUCAUGGAGAACUUUGUAUUGAAUAUCUAAGAGAGAGAAGAAGCCAUCUAGCUACUAGCUAUGGACCCGUAGGUCUAUGGUGAACUACUCCUGCAUCAUUAGAGAGGUCAUGGUGUUGAUGAAGAAGCCCUCCGUAUCCGAAUCCCCCCUCCGGCAGGGCACCAGAACGUGCCCCAAAUGGGAUCUUGCGGAGAAAGAAGCUUGCGGCGGCGGAAAAGUACUUUCGGUGAUCUCUUGAUUUUUUUCUGGAAUUUAUGGGAAUAUAUAGGCGAAAGACCUAGUGCAGGGGAGGCCCAGGGAGCCCACAAGCCUCGGAGGCGCGGCCCCCCUGGUCGCGGCUAGGCGGCUUAUGGGGUCCCUGGAGAUCCCCUGCCUUGGUUCUCAAGCUUCCGGAUCUUCUUCUGUUUCGGAAAAAAUCUUUUUGGAAGUUUCGUUCCAUUUGGACUCCGUUUAAAAUCGUCCUCUGAAAAGGGUCAAAAACAUGGACAAAACAGGAACUAGCACUUGGCACUGAGUUAAUAAGUUAGUCCCAAAAAAGAUACAAAAGGCAUACAAAACAUCCAAAUUUUGACAAGAUAAUAGCAUGAAACCAUCAAAAAUUAUAGAUACGUUGGAGAUGUAUCAAGCAUCCCCAAGCUUAACUCCUGCUCGUCCUCGAGUAGGGAAGUGAUAAAGACUGAAUUUUUGAUGUGGAAUGCUACCUAGCAUAGUUGUCCUUUGCAACUUCUUUCAUGUGACAUGAAUGUUCAGAUCCGUAAGAUUCAAAACAAUAGUUUGCUAUUGACAUGAAAACAAUAAUACUUCAAGCAAACUAUCAAGGUAACCAUGAACUUUCAAAAUAACAAGGCCAAAGAAAGUCACCCUACAAAAUCAUAUAGUCUGGCUAUGCUCCAUAAUCCUCACACAACUAAUGUAAAUCAUGCACAACCCCGGUAUUGGCCAAGUAAUUGUUUUCGCACUCUUUACUUUCUCAAACUUUUUAUAACUAUCACGCAAUACAUCAGCGUGAGCCAUGGAUAUUGUACUAUAGGUGGAAUAGAGUGUGGUGGUGGUUGUGAGAGAAAAAGGAGGAGAUGGUCACAUUGACUCGGCGUAUCAAAGGGCUAUGGAGAUGCCCAUUAAUAGAUAUCAAUGUGAAUGAGUAGGGAUUUCCAUACAAAGGAUGCACUAGAGCAAUAAGUAUGUGAAAGCUCAAAAGGAGAACUAGUGGGUGUGCAUCCAACUUGCUUGCUCUCGAAGACGUAGGGCAAUUUUGAGGAAGCCCAUCAUUGGAAUAUAUAAGCCAAGUUAUAUAAUAAAGAUUCCCACUAGUAUAUGGUGGUGACGAAGCGAGAGGCUUUUAAUCAUGAAGAACAUGGUGCUAUUAUGAAGCACAAGUGUGGAAAAAGAUAGUAGCAUUGUCCCUUCUCUCUUUUUCUCUCUUUUUUUAAUUUUAAUUUGGGCACUUGGGACUCUUUUUCUCCCCUUUUUUUAUUUGGGAUCUUUGGCCUUUUUUUUAUUUCCUAACAUGGGGCAAUGCUCUAAUAAUGAUGAUCAUCACACUUUUAUUUACUCACAGCUCAAAGCUCAGAACGAUGAUGACUCUAAAGUAAAUGCCUUCGGCAGUGUACCGGGAUGUGCAACGAUCUAGCUUGGCGUAUGACGUUUAAACAUCUCGCUAGCUAUAUUAUGAUCAUGAAAUGGCAAUAUGAGAGUGACGGCACAAGUCAUGAGACGGAACGGUGGGAGUUGCAUGGCAAUAUAUCUUGGAAUGGCUAUGAAAAUGCCAUAGUAGGUAGGUAUGGUGGCUGUUUGAGGAAGGCAUAUGGUGGGUUUGUGUACCGGCAAAAAAUGCGCGACACUAGAGAGGCUAGCAAUGGUGGAUGGUGAAAGUGCAUCUAUACCAUGGACUCACAUUAGUCAUGAAGAACUCACAUACUUGUUGCGAAAGUUUUUAUUAUUAAUCGAAACAAAGUGCUAAACGCAUACUCCUAGGGGAAGGGUUGGUAGGUGUUAACCAUCGCGCGAUCCCGACCUCAACACAAAGGAUGACAAUCAAUAGAUCAAUUAUGCUCCGACUUCCUAACAUAGCGGUUCACCAUACGUGCAUGCUAUGGGAAUCACUAACUUCAACACAAGUAUUUCUAGAUUCACAACACCCUACUAACAUAACUCUUAAUAUUACCAAAUCCACGUCUCAAAACUAAUUGAGAGGAAUCAAGAAUUCUGUUUCUACUCAAUGCACAUGAAGAUGUAGAUUUUUGUAUCCCCUUUGGGUACCUAUCACCUUUGGGACUACUUUCAUAGCAUAAGCCAAUUACCAAGUCACGCGCCGACGUGCUCUAAAAUAUCUAAGUGAAGCACACAGAGAAAAAUUAUCUAGCUCAAAAGAUAUAAGUGAAGCACGAUGAGCAUUCUAGCAAAAUCAUGAUGAGUGCAUGUCUCUCUCUAUCAAAAAGGUGUCCAGCAAGGAUCAUUGUGACACAACAAAAAGAAAACACUCCUACGAUACAAGAUGCUCCAAGCAAAACACAUAUCAUGUGGUGAAUAAAAAUAUAGCUGCAAGUAAUGUUACCGAUGGAUUGAAGACGAAAGAGGGGAUGCCUUCCCGGGGCAUCCCCAAGCUUAGGCUUUUUGGUAUCCUUGAAUUUGGCUUGGGAUGCCUUGGGCAUCCCCAAGCUUGAGCUCUUUCCACUCCUUAUCUCUUUGUCCAUGUGAACAUCACCCAAAACUUGAAAACUUCACAACACAAAACUUAAACAGAAACUCAUGAUAUCAUUAGCACAAGAAAACAAACUACCACCCCUUUAGGUACUGUAGCAAUCUUGAUUUCUAUUUAUAUUGGUUUUGGGGUACUUUAUUCUCACUUUUCCAUGGCUAGUACCCCCAAUACUAUCCAUAGUUUCAUCAAAACAAGCAACCAACUCAACAAAAACAGAAUCUGUCAAAAACAGACCAGUCUGUAGCAAUCUGUAUACUUCGUAUACUUCUGGUACCUCCAAAAUUCUGAAAACUUACGACUGCCUGGGAAAAAGGAAUAUCAACCAGCAGAAAAAAGAAUCAACUCAUAAUCUUUUUCUGAAUAAAAAUGAAAAAUCAUCUCGUGAGCGAAAAGUUUCUAUCUUUUUUCCAGCAGGAUCAAACAACCAUCACCGAGACUAGUCAUAAAGGUUUUGCUUGGAUCAAACACAAAAAUAAACACAAAAGACACAAUCAUAACAGAUAUAUGAUGGUGUGGACGCAACAAAACAGAAAGAAAAAGAUAAAUUCAUUGGGUUGCCUCCCAACAAGCGCUAUUGUUUAACGCCCUUAGCUAGGCAUAAGGAUAAAUCACAUCUAAGUCUAACAUACUUCCUAUGCAUAGGAAUUUUAUAGGAGAAAAAAUUGGCAAGACAACAAAUAGUUACCAAAUGCAAGGAAGAAGAAAGAGACAAUAGCAAUCUCAACAAAACGACAGGUAAUUUGGUAACAUGAAAGUUUCUACCACAAUAUUUUACUCUCUCAUAGCAAUUACAUGCGGGAUCAUAUUCGAAUUCAACAAUGUAACUAUCACAUAGGAUAUUCUUUUCAUGAUCCACAUGCAUGCAAAGUUGACGCUCUUCAAAAAUAGUGAGAUUAUCAUCAACUAAAGGCAUGACUUCUCCAAACCCACUUUCAAUAAUAUUGCAAAUAUCAUAUUCAUCAUGAGGCCUAAACAAAUUUUCAAGAUCAUAAGAAAAAUCAUCUCCCCACUCAUGAUCAUUGCAACAAGUAGUGGACAUAGCAAAACUAGCAUCCCCAAGCUUAGGGUUUUGCAUAUUUUUAGCAUGAUUGUCACUAAUAGAAUUUAUAGUGAAACCAUUGCAAUCAUGCUUUUCAUCCAAGGAGCCCUCGUGAAUCACUUCAUAAAUUUCUUCCUCACAAUUUUCAGAUUCACGCAUCUCAAGCAAAACUCCAUAAAGAUAGUCAAGUGCACUCAACUCACUAGCAAUUGGAUCAACAUAAUUGGAUCUCUUAAAGAGAUUACCAAGUGGAUGAGGAUCCAUAUAUCUAGAUUUUCUGCAAGCGAAGAUGCAAGCAUAUGGAAGGCACAUGGCACACAAGCGAACAGAAAGCAAGCGAGAGAGAAGGGCGAACGAAAAAGGCAAACAAAAAAGGAAAAUAUUUUUGUAAUUAUUUUGUUUUUGCAGAAGUGGGGGAGAGCAAAACGAGAGGCAAUAAAGUAAAUGCAGGAUAUGAGUUUGUGACACUUACUUGGAUGAGUUCUUGACUUGAUCCUCUCCGGCAACAGCGCCAGAAAUUCUUCUGCUGCGGCAACAGACAACAGUGCCAGAGAUUGACACGUUGACGGAGGUUGGGCUUGCGUUGGUUUUUCCCUUGAAGAGAAAAGGUGGUGCAGCACAGGAGCAGUAAGUAUUUCCCUCAGUUUGAGAACCAAGGUAUCAAUCCAGUAGGAGAAUCUCGUCAAGUCCAGAGUACAUGCGCAAACACAGACGAGCUUGCACCCAACGCUAUAAAGGGGUUGUCAAUCCCUUCAAGAUUGAUUGCAAAGUGAGAUCUGAAGGCGGAAAGUGCAACGAAGUAAAAGAGUAAGGUUGAAAUUAUGGUGUGGAGUAGACCCGGGGGCCAUAGUGUUCACUAGAGGCUUCUCUCAAAAUAGAAAAUAGUACGAUGGGUGAACAAAUUACUGUCGAGCAAUUGAUAGAACCGAGCAAAGUCAUGACAAGGCAAUGAUCAUACAUAUAGGCAUCACGUCCGAGACAAGUAGACCGAUAGUUUCUGCAUCUACUACUAUUACUCCACACAUCGACCGUUAUCCAGCAUGUAUCUAGUGUAUUGAGUUCAUGACGAACAAAGUAACGCCUUAAGCAAGAUGACAUGAUGUAGAGGGAUAAACUCAAACCAAUGAUGAAAACCCCAUCUUUUUACCCUUGAUGGCAAGAACACGAUGCGUGCCUUGCUACCCCGUCUGUCACUUUGUGAGGUCACCGCUCGGUAUGAACCGAAAACCAAGCACUUCUCCCAUUGCAAGAAUCAUAGAUCUAUUUGGCCAAACAAAACCCACAACUCGAAGAGAAUUACAAGGAUAUGAAAUCAUGCAUAUAAGAGAUGAGAAGAAACUCAAAUAAGAUUCAUAGAUAAUCUGAUCAUAAAUCCACAAUUCAUCAGAUCUCGACAAACACACCGCAAAAGAAGAUUACAUGGGAUAGAUCUUCAUGAAGACCAUGGAGAACUUUGUAUUGAAGAUCCAAGAGAGAGAAGAAGCCAUCUAGCUACUAGCUAUGGACCCGUAGGUCUAUGGUGAACUACUCACGCAUCAUCGGAGAGGUCAUGGUGUUGAUGAAGAAGCCCUCCGUAUCCGAAUCCCCCUCCGGCAGGGCACCAGAAAGUGCCCCAGAUGGGAUCUUGCGGAGACAGAAGCUUGCGGCGGCGAAAAAGUACUUUCGAUGGUCUCUUGAUUUUUUUAGAAUUUAUGGGAAUAUAUAGGCGAAAGACCAAGGGCAUGGGAGGCCCAGGGAGCCAACAAGCCUGGGAGGUACGGGCCCCCUGGCCGCGGCUAGGGGGCUUGUGGGGGUACCUGGAGACCCCCUGCCUUGGUUCUCAAGCUUCCCGAACUUCUUCUGUUUCGGAAAAAAUCUUUUUGGAGUUUCGUUCCGUUUGGACUCCGUUUAAAAUCCUCCUGUGAAAAGGGUCAAAAACAUGGAAAAAACAGGAACACGCACUUGGCACUGAGUUAAUAAGUAAGUCCCAAAAAAGAUAUAAAAGGCAUACAAAACAUCCAAAGUUUGACAAGAUAAUAGCAUGAAACCAUCAAAAAUUAUAGAUACUUUGGAGACAUAUCAGUCUCCUCUGAUCUCUUAUAUGCAUGAUUUCUUAUCCUUGUAAUUCUCUUCGAGUUGUGGGUUUCGUUUAACCAACUUGAUCUAUAAUUCUUGCAAUGGGAGAAGUGCUUGGUUUUGAGUUCAUACCGUGCGGUGACCUCACCCAGCGACAGAAGGGGUAGCGAGGCACGUAUCGUGUUGUUGCCAUCAAGGGUAAAGAUGGGGUUUAUAUCUAUUGCAUGAAUUUAUCCCUCUACAUCAUGUCAUCUUGCUUAAGGCGUUAUUCCGCUUUUCAUGAACUUAGUACACUAGAUGCAUGCUGGAUAGCGGUCGAUGUGUGGAGUAAUAGUAGUAGAUGCAGAAAGUAUCGGUCUACUUGUCUCGAACGUGAUGCCUAUAUGCAUGAUCAUUGCCUUAGAUAUCAUCAUGACUUUGCGCGGUUAAAUCAAUUGCUUGACAGUAAUUCGUUCACCCACCGUAAUAUUUGCUAUCAUUGGAGAAGCCUCUAGUGAACACUAUGGCCCCCGGGUCUACUUCACAUCAUAUUUUCAGCCUUACACUUUUACUUUGUUGCACUUUCCGCCUUCAGAUCUCACCUUGCAAUCAAUCUUGAAGGUAUUGACAACCCCUUUGUAGCGUUGGGUGCAAGUUUGCUGUUUUUGCGCAGGUACUUUGGAGACUUUCCUUGAUACUCCUACUGGAUUGAUACCUUGGUUCUCAAACUGAGGGAAAUACUUACUGCUACUGUGCUGCAUCACCCUUUCCUCUUCAAGGGAAAAACCAACGCAAACUCAAGAGGUAGCAAGACCCUGCGGGUUCGAGAACUAUGUAGACAUGACCGAGACACUCUCUGGUCAGUAACCAAUAGUGAGACCUGGAUGCCCAUAUUGGUUUCUACAUAUUUUACGAAGAUCUUUAUUGAUUGAACUUCUAUAUCAAGGAUUUAGAUAAUCCCGUAUGCUAUUCCCUUUGUCCAUCGGUAUGUUACUUGCCCAGGAUUGAUUGUCGGUAUCUGCAUACCUAGUUCAAUCUCGUUACCGGCAAGUCUCUUUACUCGUUCCGUAAUACAAGAUCAUGUGGCUAACUCUUUAGUCACAUUGCUUGCAAGCUUGUUGUGAUGUUGUAUUACCGAGUGGGCCCCGAGAUACCUCUCCAUCAGAUGGAGUGACAAAUCCUUGUCUUGAUCCAUGCCAACCCAACAAACACCCUCGGAGAUACCAGUAGAGCAUCUUUAUAGUCACCCAGUUAUGUUGCGACGUUUCAUACACACAAGGUAUUCCUCCAGUUUCAUUGAGUUGCAUGAUCUCCUGGUCAUAGGAACAAAUACUUGACAUGCAAAAAAUAAUAGCAAUAAACUGAUGCGAUCAUAUGGUACGUGUUGGAAAUAUGCCCUAGAGGCAAUAUACUAAAUUUCUUAUUAUUAUAUUUCCUUGUUCAUGAUAAUCGUUUAUUAUCCAUGCUAGAAUUGUAUUGAUUGGAAGCUCAAAUACAUGUGUGGAUACGUAGACAACACACUGUCCCUAAUGAGCCUUUAAGUACUAGCUCGUUGAUCGAAGAUGGUCAAGGAUUCCUGACCAUAGACACGAGUUAUCAUUUGAUAAGAGGAUCACAUCAUUAGGAGAAUGAUGUGAUGGACAAGAUACAAACUAUAAACUUAACAUACGAUCGUGUUAGUUUAUUGCUACUGUUUUCUGCAUGUCAACUAUCUGUUUCUAUGACCAUGAGAUCAUGCAACUAUCAGGCACCGGAGGAAUGCCUUGUGUGUAUCAAACGUAACAACGUAAUUGGGUGACUAUAAAAGUGCUCUAAUGGUAUCUCUGAAGGUGUAUGUUGGGUUGGCAUGAAUUGAGACUUUGAUUUGUCACUCCGUAUGACGAAGAGGUAUCUCUAGAGCCUACUCGGUAAUGAAAAAUCACAAUGAGCUUGCAAGUAAUGUGACUAAAGAGUUAGUCACGGCAUCUUGUAUUACGGAAUGAGUAAAGACACUUGCCGAUAACGAGAUUGAACUAGGUAUGGAGAUACCGACGAUCGAAUCUCGGGAAAGUAACAUACCGAUGGACAAAGGGAACAAUAUACGAGAUUGAUUGAAUCCUUGACAUCGUGGUUCGACCGAUAAGGAUCUUUGUACAAUAUGUAGGAGCCAAUAUGGGCAUCCAUGUCCCGCUAUUGGUUAUUUACCAGCGAGUGUCUCAGGUCAUGUGUGCAUAGUUCUUGAACAUGCAGGACCUGCACACUUAAAGUUUGGCGACGUUUUAGUAUAGUUGAGUUAUGUAUGUUGGUGACCGAAGGUUGUUCGGAGUCCCGGAUGAGAUCCCGGACGUCACCAGGAGCUCUUGAAUGGUCCGGAUGUAAAGAUUGAUACAUGGGAAGUUCUGUGUUGGUCACUAGAGAAAGUUCGAGCGUCAUCGAUGGCGUACCGGGGGUGCCGGAAGGUUUCCGGGGGUCCACCAGCCCGGAGGGUCCACACGGGCUGUGAGGGAUGCACACCAGCCCCUGCUGGACUUGGUGCACAUCCCCGCCUAAGGCCCAUGUGGCUGGGCUGGUGGAGGGCCAACCCUAUAGGGGCGCGCCACCCUAACUUGGGGGGGGGGGGGGGGGGCCAACCCUAUAGGGGGGGGCCCCCCAAAGUGGGGGGGGGGGGGGGCAAGCCACCCCUAGGGCAGAUGCCCCUUCCUCCUUUGGCCGCUGCCCCUCCCUCCUUUGGCCGCCGCCCCCUAGGGUUGAAUCCCUAGGGCGGAGCCCCUCUCCCCUUCCCCCUAUAUAUAUAGAUGGGGAGAGAGAGGGCUCCAACACACCAAGGCCACGACGCAGCCCUGUCUCUCCCACAUAUCAGUUUUCUCCUCUAGAUUGGUUCCGGUAUUGCUUGGCGAAGCCUUGUCGGAGCAGCUCCACCAACACCGCCACCAUGCCGUCGUGCUGACGGAGAACUCAUCUACCUCUCCACCCUCUCGCUUCCAGGAUCAAGGAGCCGGAGAUCGUCAUCGAGCUGUAUGUGUGCUGAACGCGGAGGUGCCGUUCGUUUGGCACUAGAUCUAAAUGGAUCGUGAUGGGAUUGUCGAACGGAUCAUGAUGGGAUCGUGGGACGAAUCGUGAUUGGAUCUCGGGACGGAUUGUGAUUGGAUCACAAAGACGUUCGACUAUAACAACCGCGUUAUAUACACUUCCGCUUAGCGAUCUACAAGGGUAUGUAGAUGCACUCCCCCUCUCGUAGAUGAUAGUCUGCAUAUAUUGAUCUUGGUGAGUGUAGGGAAUUUUUUGUUUCCCAUGAAAUGUUCCCCAACACUACGUUCAUAGUUUCGGUAUUGUCCAUCACAUUAUUCUCCUAAUGAUGUCAUCCCGUUAUUAAAUGACAACUCAUGUCUAUGGCCAGGAAACCUUUAGAUGCUCACCUGGGACAGUGUGUUGUCUACGUAUCCACACAAGUAUUUGAGUUUCCAAUCAAUACAAUUCUAGCAUGGAUAAUAAACGUUUAUCAUGAACAAAGAAAUAUAAUAAUAACCAUUUUAUUAUUGCCUCUAGGGCAUAUUUCCAACAGUUACUUGCAAACUAGCAGGUGGUUGAUGCUUUCAUUUAUGAUUCUUGCUACCUACAAAAACUCAAACUAAUCAAUUGCAAUCUCCACUAAUGAAUUUUACAUAUCAAAUUUUAAAUCUGUGGCUGGGACUGAUGCCUCAACUACUUUACAAAUAUUCUCCCACUACUAUCUUGUCGAAUAUAAAGUAGGGUUGCAAUACUUCCCAAUGAGGAUACUGUCGUGGGAUGAUUUCGACACUAAGAGAGAGGGGUAGGGAUGGAGCUAGAUCUAGCAGGGUGCCAGUGUGAGAUAAGGAGGUUUUAUCAGUUCAGACCCCUCUCGGAAGAGCUAAUGACCCGCGGUGGGAGCUUUUCUUUCUCUUUGUGUUUUGGUGAUUACAAAUGAUGCGAACCCCUGUUACAAAAGUAGGGAGCCGCUUAUAUAGAGUGCACUAUGUCCCAUGACAAUUGCCAUUACAAGGGUUUAAAUAUGUCUAAUUAUUAAAUCGAGUAAAAAAGGUAACUGAAAGAUGUCUAAUUAUUAGAUCGACUACAAAAGGUAACUGAAGCAAUAAAGGUAGUAAUACUAGUUCUAUUAAAGUCCAUGAGGCUCAUGUGCAUUCUCCGCUUGUUCUACAUCAUGCCUCCGAGUAAUUCGUGUAUUUUAACACUGAUGAACUCCGUCCAAAUGACCUGGUGUACUUGACCCGCCCGGGUGUGUUGGUAUCGUCCGAGUGAUUUUUCACGUCAACUGUGUUUGGUAGGUGAUCAUCUUGCUUUACGAUUCCCAUGGAUUGUAGUUUGUUCAGUGCUGAUGAGCCUACCAUUAGUAGCUGACCUCAUAGACAUCAGACUAUUAUGACCCCCUAUACUAUCAGAGUGCGACCAUUAUGUGUAACUCGGUGUUUAACCGCAUGUGUAUCCAUGUAUUAGGAGCCAGGUGGAUGGGCACAUCAUCAGAUAGUGCGUAGUGAUUCAUGUGGCUACAAACAGAAUAAAUCAAAAUUAAUGGGAGCCUUUACAACCACACCUACUUUUUUUUUCUGUUGUGCCUUGACAGGUGGGACCUGAUUGUCAUACAGAGUAUACUUUGCAAGUGAGCCUUUCCCAUCAUUGUAAGUGAGCCUCACACCGUGCUGGCAUACCUAGACAUCAACAUAUACGCAUCUGAACGUUGUUGAAACCAUAUUUGAACAAAGAGUGCCAAGUAUUUGAAUCAGUUCGACGUUUUUUUCUAAGUUCAGACACGAAAGUGGACAUGGAUGGCAAGUUCAAGCACCACUGGUGCAAUUACCUCAAUGCAAAUAUUUAAGGGGUAAUUUUCGGGAGCAGUAACUUUCCGGAAAUAAAAUAAAUAAAAACUAGUGGGUGGCUUAGAUGAAAAACUACGGUAGAUGAGGAGAGAGGCGCAGGUGGUAAUCUAACGAUGGAUAUAUUUGCCCAUGCAGCAGCAUUCAGACGCAAUGCAUUGGAGGGCCACCCCUCUUCCGCUGAUCCAGAGGGAUAAGACAUCCUUCAACAAGCAAACGACGACCACCCCUUCGCAAUCUUGUUGGAAAGGAGCGGCGCUGCGCAUACGGUGAUAUAUACUGGGGCGGCAUGAGGGGGCCUCAAGUCAAGUGUAGCCUGCCAAGCUAGCUAUCGGCUCCCGACCUAGCAAUUUACGUACCACCAUGGCCCCAGCCGUGAUGGCUUCUUCAGCCACCACCGUCGCCCCCUUCCAGGGGCUCAAGUCCACCGCGGGCCUCCCCGUCAGCCGCCGCUCCGGCAGCGCCGGCCUCAGCAGCGUCAGCAAUGGCGGAAGGAUCAGAUGCAUGCAGGUAUGGAAACCAAUUAUUAUUUUUGCCAAGGAUGGUAUGGUCAAGGUGCAUCUUCGCACAAUCAUAUAUUUAUAAAUGUAGCGACUUUGUUUGUUUGGAUGGUGGCUUUGAAUUGGUCUUUGUAUUUAUUUUGUUAGAUUUACUGAAUAAACAUAAUAAAAAUGAUAAUCUGCAUUGCUUGAUGCAGAUGCCGCCGGUGUUAUCCUCCUUUUUGAUUUUCUUUUCUAAAGGAUGACAAACACUAAGCUAACAUGAAUGUUCUUGUCGGGACAAUUGGUUAAUUUAUCGGGUAUUUCCACUGCACAUAGCCAAAGCUAUCCUUAGCAUGUGUAACCCAUAUACCAGGCCAAAACUAAACCAAGAUAGUGCACCACAAUGUAUGUAGAAGCACGUUCACAAGUGUAAGAAUACUUAACUCAUAAACUUUGUGAACAGAUUUUUUUUUUUUGCAAUGGGUACUAGAUCCCUUCGUCUCAAAAUAAAUGUCGUAAAUCAAUAACUAAACUAGUACAAAUUUUAUACUAAGUCAGUGACAUUUAUUUUGAGACGGAGGGAGUACUAUUUUAAUUCCCGUACACUACCCAUAAGCAAGAGCUGCCCUGGAGCUUUCUUGCUUGCGGACAUACCAUAAGGAGUAAUUUUUGCCUUAUGGCUAUGUCUUUCUUUAGGCACUAAGUGUUGAUCAGUUGUGUUCAUUCCAAUCAUUCAGGUGUGGCCCAUUGAGGGCAUCAAGAAGUUCGAGACCCUGUCUUACUUGCCACCCCUCUCCACGGAGGCCCUCCUGAAGCAGGUCGACUACCUGAUCCGCUCCAAGUGGGUGCCCUGCCUCGAGUUCAGCAAGGUUGGCUUCGUCUUCCGUGAGCACAACAGCUCCCCUGGAUAUUACGACGGCCGAUACUGGACAAUGUGGAAGCUGCCUAUGUUUGGGUGCACCGACGCCACACAGGUGCUCAACGAGGUGGAAGAGGUCAAGAAGGAGUACCCUGACGCCUACGUCCGCAUCAUCGGCUUUGACAACCUGCGGCAGGUGCAGUGCGUCAGCUUCAUCGCCUUCAGGCCACCGGGUUGCGAGGAGUCCGGCAAGGCAUAAAGUGCAAGUUGAAGUAACCGAUAUACAUGCUAUGUUAGUUCACAUUGGUUGGUCGGCAGCUCUGCUUUCUCAAUUUUACUUCUCGUUCCAAUCAUAUGUGAAUAUACGAGCAUAUGUAUUUAAGCACCUACCAACGUAGGCCGAGAAGGAUGCAUAUGAGAAUCAUAGCACCGGCUAUACAUACUUUGUUUGCAGCUGGAAAUGCCUAUGUCUUGCAUUCUUUUCUUCUCAUGCAUUUUUUGCUCAAUCAUAUGUUGCGUAUUAUCUAAUGCAAAAAUUGUUAUGGAAUACCAAAGUACUUCGAAUUUCUGUGGAGAAACAGAUAACAAGUGGUGAGAACCCCCUGAAAACUAGUGGCAAAACAGUAGGGAAUUGACGAGAAACAUACAAUAACAAAAAACUAAAAACGAAAUUAAAAAACUACAAAAAAGUACAAACAAAGGUGUCAAAACAAGACAAGGACAAACCUACCGUACUGCACUUGUCAUGUGAGCCAUAUUCCAGCGUCGAUUCAUCAAUAACAUGCCACUUUUCCUAACCAUUUUACACCACAAUUAGAUAUUUUUUGUAGUAUUCACUAGUAGAAAAUGACCCAUUUGUCCCGGUUCCAGAUGCCCAUUAGCCCCGGUUCUGAAACCGGGACUAAAGGGUCCAUACUAAAGGCCCAAAUCUUUAGUCCCGGUUGGCUUACGAACCAGGCCCAAAGGAGCUCCAAGUGGCCGCUGCGGGGAGCCCAGGCAGGAGGAACUUUAGUUCCGGUUGGUCACACCAACCGAGAUCAAAUGGCAUCCACGCGUCAGCAUCUGGACGGAGCUGGAUUUUUUUUAAUUGGGGGGGGGGGGUUUGGGGUUUUUGAUGGUUUAAUUUAGUGGUUUCGUAUUCUGAUAGCUAGCUAAUAGAGAGAAGUGUCCUCUCUUUCUCCGUGCUUGGUCGACGCUAGCUACUGUACAUAUAGAAAGAACUUAACGCUAGCUAAUAAGAAAAUGAAGGAAACCAUUUACAAUCCCUAACAUCUUUUACAAUAUAACAUCUUUUACAAUCCCUAACAUCUUUUACAAUAUAACAUCUUUUACAAUCCCUAACAUCAUCUACCUAAGAUCUAAUCACAAAUAACUCACAUAGUAUUCUCCAUCUUUAGGUAUGACGUGGUCAAGAAAGAAUCCCGCGAAUUCCUCGUGAAUUGCUCGUAUGCGAUCAUGUGUUAGGAGUUCAUCCCGCAUCUGCGAGAUCUAAUUUAAAGAAGGGGGUCAAUACAUGCAUAUAUAUGAAUAAAACUCAACACAAUUGAUGGUAAUAUAAAAAAUAAAAUUGUGAAUAUUAUUUACGUAUUUGAUAUUGUUUCUCAGAUAAGCCCCCGCUCAGAGGUCGAGAGGCGAAUGAGCUCGCAUACGUAAUCUGCACAUAAUUCAGUCCCACUUUCCUGGUACAAGCAGUUUACGAGAAUAGAGUUCAAUCAAAGUGGUAAGCAAGCAUGGUAAUGAUAUAUUGAUGAAAAAUUGAAUCAAUUAGAGAUACGCGGAACUAGCUAGUACUACUUACUUUGGGGUGCGUAAAUUGCAACUCUUUGUUUAGACCGGGAGUCUUUUUGGUGAACUUCUUCCAAACCCUGCGAGACAAAGAAAAUGAUUACUUGAUAUCAGGAAAUUAACGAAAGUUGCAUGCCGAUAUGCUCCCGGUAUUGACUGAACUUACUUCUUGAGCAUUGCAGUCAUGUCCGUAUAAUACUCGGGAUCUUUACGUCUCGAGUCUAAGGCAGUUCCUUUUGCCCCGUCAAGCUUAAUGGAUAGUAGAAUAUAGUGGUAACUGCGCACACAUAUAUAACUGAUCAAAUACAUUACUUAACCUCGAGUAAGCGAAACUGAGUAUACAGAGAAGAUAACAACACUCACUUGAAGUUGUAAGGAAAGAGUAUUUCCCUUUUGUUUUGAUGUAUAAGGAACAACUUUAGCAAGUUCUUCUAGGUCUCUUUGGUUGAGUAUCGUGCCAACCAUUCAUUUACGGCAUCUGGGCUAAUGAACCCACAUCGAAGAUUCCUGCUUUUUUUAAUUCGAAGAUCUUCAAUCUGCAUAAUAUAUAUAAUGAGGACAAUUAUAUAUAUACAUGCAAUGAAUGAGCCGAGCUAGAGACUUAACUAUAGAAGUAAUACUUACAAAUAGUAGGAAGUCACGAGUUGUUUGUCUAGGGCCAGUUGAUUGUAUAACUGAAAUAACUACACAAAUUCAACAGGCAUCACUGGAGCUCCAAUGAAUUCGUGCUCUAGUUUUACUUCCAUCUAGAUAGUGUCUUUCCCAUACUCGAUGCAGGUAUUCAUGUACCACUCAUGAAAUUUGUGCAUCAUCGGUGCUAGAGGAGGAUGACCAGGUUUGACGAGAGGCUUCCCGUGCAUGUAUUUACAUCAUCCCCCAAGUAAUCACCAGGAUUGGUACCGGGCACCAUCCCGGAGGAUUAGCGACGAUAUCUCUCGACACCUUGAGCGGGGGGCACGAUAUCUUCUCGUGUUGGCCGAGUUGGGGAAUUGUUUUCCCACUUCUUCGUUUUGCUAACCUUGCAUCACUUCGAGCCGCCGGAGCAGCGGUGUAUCUCUUCUGCUUGAUAGAAGGAGGAGANNNNNNNNNNNNNNNNNNNNNNNNNNNNNNNNNNNNNNNNNNNNNNNNNNNNNNUGUACUCCUACUGCCAUAGACAUGUACUCCUCACGGCAUGAACCAGCUUAUUCUCCCCUUCACCUGUAGGGUGGUCAAGCUCGAGCUCCUCAAAUCUGUCCAUUACUUCAUCCACCAUCACAACAGCAAAGCCAUGUGGAAUCGGAAGGCAGUAAAAAAGUUUCGUUGGGUUGAGGAGGUGCAAUAGAGCCGAUAGCAGCCUUGAAAGUGAGGUUCCGACAUUUCGUCAUAAGCUCGCAAUUUUGAGCCUGUGUGAUAGUAUCCACGGGGUAGCUAGGAGCCGUGAAGUCAGGCUGAACGAGCUCCGUGGAAGCCACGCUUCUUCUCCGCUGAGAUGGCGGGGUAGCUUCUCGGGUAGCUCGCUGGCUCUCAAGUUCCUCUAGCUUUUGUAGUCUUGCAUUGAUCUUCUGCAUGUCGCUCAGCUCCGCUUUCCUCUUUCUCUCUCGGCUUCUGUAACCGCCUGCGUUGGGAAACCCAACCUUCCACGGAACGGAGCCUGGUGUUCCUCGUGUCCGUCCAGGGUGCUCAACAUUCCCUAGGGCCUCAGUCAUCUCGUCCUUCUCUCUGUCGGGAAUGAACGUCCCUUCCUGCGCUGCGGUGAUACAAUUCGGAAGCGUCUUGAUGGGUAUUGCAAAUUGCUCGUUCGUUCAACGGCACUUCCCUGUUUCAGGGUCCAAAGUUCCCCCAACCGCGAAGAACAAAGUCCUUGAAUGGUCUGGCUAGCUAAAUGUCUGUGGUUCGACCCUUUUAGCAAUCAUGUCAUUCUCAGCUUUGUCCCACAACGGAUGGGCUUUGAGGUAGCCACCUGACCCCGUGUGAUGGUGAUGCUGCUUCUUUGCAGCAUUGUUCUUGUUUGUCUCUCGCAUUUUCUUACUCUUGUCCGAUGUCUUGUAGGCCACAAAUGCGGGCUAGUGAUCUCUCAUCUUCUCAAAUCGGCCGAUGAACUCUGGAGUCUUCCCUUUGUUGGCAAACUUUGAUUUCAACUCAUUCUUCCACCUCCUGAAUAGAUCUGCCAUCUUCUUAAGAGCACACGCUUUGACCAGUGGCUCUAUAACUGGCUUAUUCGGAUCCUCCUCUGGCGGUAGGGUGAAAUUUUGCCUUCAGCACGGUCCAAAGAUCAUCUUUCUGCCUAUUGGUGACAUAAUCACCUUCAGGGACGUCGUCACCCUUAGGCUUAUUCCAUUGCUUGAUGCUGAUCGGGAUGUUGUCCCUAACAAUAGCUCCGCAUUCAGUAGAAAAGGCGUCCUUGGUCCGCUUGGGUAGAAUCGGUAGGCCAUCGUUCGCGAGUGUUGUGAUCGUGAAAUUUUCAUCCUUGCGCAACCUUCUCUUCGGGCCUCGUCUCGUAACCGAAGCUUGGCUCGAUGCUAACGUUGCAACAGCUCUCUACUCUGUUCGGUCACCGGAGCUAUCAUCAUGGUAUCCUUCUUCCUCCAACAUUCGGUCACCGGAGACAUCAUGAUCAUGUCCUCCCUCCUCCAUUGUUCGUUCACUGGAGCCGUCAUCCUCUCCUUCCAAACCAUCGAUGGCGUUGAGAUACCAAGAGACCUCAUCACCGUCGCGGAUUAUCUCACCCAACAACUACUCUUGUUCCAAGUUACUUGGAUCCAUAGUUUCUACAAAUAUUACAACAUGGCAAUUAAUAGACAAACAUGAAUGUCCGACGUCCGGACCGCCUCUCUCAUGAAUUUCAAACAACGGAUUCUAUACAAAAAACUUUCUACUAUAAACAAAAAACUUUCUUCUAUGAACAAAAAACCGUGUCUCAUCACUACUUGGAGGGGUGUGUUUAGUUCAUCCAUAAAAGAAUCUUCACAAGUCAUAAAUGUAUGAUCAUAAACUAGAAACAUCUAUCAUGAUAUUUGUAUACAUAAACAAAUGUACAUAGUGAGUAUUAGAAAAUGUACAAAAAUGCAUAGUGAAUAUUUGAAAAUGUACUCGGGGGCGACGACGACAGUGAUGGGCUCGGGGUGACGACGGGCUUGGGACGACGGCGAUGGGCUGGGAGGUGCUGAGACGUCUCCGUCGUAUCUAUAAUUUUUGAUUGUUUCAUGCCAAUAUUCUACAACUUUCAUAUACUUUUGGCAAUUUUUUAUACUAUUUUUGGAACUAACAUAUUGAUCCUGUGCCCAGUGCCAGUUCCUGUUUGUUGCAUGUUUUUUGUUUCGCAGAAUAUCCAUACCAAACGAAGUCCAAACGCAAUAAAAAACCGAAGGUGAUUUUUUAUGGAAUAUUUAUGAUUUUUGGGAAGAAGAAUCAACGCGAAACGAUGCCCGAGGGGGUCACAAGCCCAGGAGGCGCCCCCCUAGCACGCGGAUGGCAAGCUUGUGACCAAUCCCUAAGGCGGUUGGGGCCCUUCAUUCUCCGCAAGAAAGCUAAUAUCCGGAAUAAAAUAGUGUAAAAAUUUCAGCCCAAUCGGAGUUAUGGAUCUCCGAGAAUUUAAGAAACGGUGAAAGGUAGAAUCUGGGAGCGCAGAAACAGAAGGACAGAGAGAGAGGUAUCCAAUCUCGGAGGGGCUCUUGCCCCUCCGCUGCCACGGAGACCAUGGACCAGAGGGGAAACCCUUAUCCCAUCUAGAAAGGAGGUCAAGGAAGAAGAAGAAGGGGGGCUCUCUCCCCCUCUCUCCCGGCGGCGCCGGAACGCUGCCCGAGACAUCAUCGUCUGACGGAGAUCUACACUAACACCUCCGUCAUCUUCACCAACACCUCCAUCUCCUUCCCCCAUCUAUAUUCAGCGGUCCACUCUCCCGCAACCCUCUGUACCCUCUACUUGAACAGGGUGCUUUAUGCUUCAUAUUAUUAUCCGAUGAUGUGUUGCCAUCCUGUGAUGUCUGAGUAGAUUUUCAUUGUCCUAUCGGUGAUUGAUGAAUUGCUAUGAUUGGUUUAAUUUGUUUGUGGUUAUGUUGCUGUCCUUUGGUGCCCAUCAUAUGAGCGCGCACGUGGAUCACACCAUAGGGUUAGUAGUAUGUUGAUAGGACUAUGUAUUGGAGGGCAAGGGUGACAGAAGCUUCAUCCUAGCAUCGAAAUUGAUGCAUACGGGAUUGAAGGGGGAACAAUAUAUUUUAUUGCUAUGGUUGGGUUUUACCUUAAUGAACGUUAGUAGUUGCGGAUGCUUGCUAAUAGUUCCAAUCAUAAGUGCAUAGAAUUCCAAGUAAGGGAUGACAUGCUAGCAGUGGCCUCUCCCACAUAAAACUUGCUAUCGGUCUAGUAACGUAGUCAAUUGCUUAGGGACAAUUCCGCAACUCCUACCACCAAUUUUCCACACUUGUUAAACUAACGUAAUUGUUUCUUAGCAGCCCCUAGUCUUUAUUUACGUGUUCUUUCUUUUCUUGCAAACCUAUCCUAUCACUCCUACAAAGUACUUCUAGUUUCAUACUUGUUCUAGGUAAAGCGAACGUAAAGUGUGCGUAGAGUUGUAUCGGUGGUCGAUAGAACUUGAGCGAAUAUUGAUCCUACCUUUAGCUCCUCGUUGGGUUCGACACUCUUACUUAUCGAGAAAGGCUACAAUUGAUCCCCUAUACUUGUGGGUUAUCAAGACCUUUUUCUGGCGCCGUUGCCGGGAAGCAAUAGCUGUUGGAAAUAUGCCCUAGACACUACAGGAAUCAGCUUCUUUGCCGUCUGCCAUCACAGACGGCAAAGACGAAAUCCCGGACGGCAAAGACAAAACCACAGACGGCAAAGAAUCUCACGGCCGGCAAAAUUUCUGCAUCAGCCUACGACGGCAUAGGACCUUCUUUGCCGUCUGUCCCCCCCCCAAAGCGGACGGCAAAGAGCUUUGCCGUCAGCUUUUCAUAGGAGCAGUCGGCAAAGUGCUCGAGACGGCAGCCGACAGGCAUUGCCUCCAUUAGGGGUUAACGGAGGCUUUGCCGUCUGCCUCCCCCUUAUUCUUUGUCGUCUGCCUCCCCCUUAUUCUUUGCCGUCUGCCUCCUCCUCCCCCCUCCUCUCUUUGCCGUCUGCCUCCUCCUCCCCCCCUCCUGUGUGGCCUCUUCUUUGCCGUCUGCCCACCCUGGAGGCAGACGUCAAAGAGCCUAUAUAGACACCCCACGAUGCAUAGCUGGGUGCCAUGUGGCACCUUUGCCAUCUGCCAGCUGAUGGCACAGGUCUUUGCCAUCAGCUGGCAGACGAUAAAGAGCCCAUAUAGUACCUGUUUUUUUGUUUUAUNNNNNNNNNNNNNNNNNNNNNNNNNNNNNNNNNNNNNNNNNNNNNNNNNNNNNNNNNNNNNNNNNNNNNNNNNNNNNNNNNNNNNNNNNNNNNNNNNNNNUGAUGAGCUCAAUGUGACUAAGGAGUUAGUCACACGAUGACGUGCUACGGAACGAGUAAAGAGACUUACCGGUAACGAGAUUGAACAAGGUAUAGGUAUACCGACGAUCGAAUCUCGGGCAAGUUCUAUACCGACAGACAAAGGGAAUUGUAUACGGGAUUGAUUGAAUCCUUGACAUCGUGGUUCAUCCGAUGAGAUCAUCGUGGAGCAAGUGGCAGCCACCAUGGGUAUCCAGACCCCGCUGAUGGUUAUUGGCCGGAGAGGUGUCUCGGUCAUGUCUACCUGUCUCCCGAACUCGUAGGGUCUACACACAUAAGGUUCGAUGACGCUAGGGUUAUAGGGAAUUAUUAUACGAGGUUACCAAAAGUUGUUCGGAGUCCCGGAUGAGAUCCCGGACGUCACGAGGAGCUCCGGAGGUAAAGAUUGAUAUAUAGGAUGGAUGGUUUUGCACAUCGGAAAUGUUUCAGGAGUCACCGGUAAUGUACCGGGACCACCGGGACGACCGGAAAUGGUCCCGGGGGUCCACCGGGAGGGGCCACCAGCCCCAAGAGGUAGCAUGGGCCAAAAGAGGGAGGGCAACCAGCCCAAAGUGGGCUGGUGCACCUCCCACAAGGAGGCCCAAGGCGCAGGAGGUGGAGAGGGGGGAACCCUAGGCGCUGGUGGGCCUAAGGCCCACCUAGGGGUGCGCCACCUCUCCCCCUGCCCUGGCCACCGCACCUCCCAUCUGGGGGGGCUGCCGCACCACCUAGGGUGGGAACCCUAGGGGUGGCACCCCCUUCCCCUCCUCCUAUAUAUAGUGGGGGUUUUGGGGCUGUUUGACACACAGUUUCCCAUCUCCCUCGGUGCAGCCCUGCCCCCCUUCCUCCUCCUCUCCCACGGUGCUUGGCGAAGCCCUGCCGGGAGACCUCGUCUCUCCAUCGACACCACGCCGUCGUGCUGCCGGAGAUGUCACCCAACCUCUCCCUCCUCCUUGCUGGAUCAAGGUGCGGGAGACCUCACUGGGCUGCACAUGUGUUGAACGCGGAGGUGUCGUGGUUCAGCACUAGAUCGGAAUCAGACCGCAAUCUGAAUCGCCGCGAGUACGACUCCAUCAACCGCGUUCUAGCAACGCUUCCGCUUAGCGAUCUUCGAAUGAAUGAAGAUGCACUCACUCCUCUCUCGUUGCUGGUCUCUCCAUAGGAAGAUCUGAAUAUGUGUAGGAAUUUUUUUGAAUUUAUGCUACGUUACCCAACAAUAGCGUGGGGUGAAUAUUCGUGUGUGCUUGUUUGCUUUAUCACUAAGUAGAUUUAUUUGCUGUUCUAAGUUGUUCUCUAUCGUUAGUUAUGGAUAUGAAACACGAAAUGCCAAAAAAAUUAGGUGUACUUGCUACUCAUGGAGAUGGGGAACCUCCUAAAACCCUCGAUGCUCGUUGUGUGGAUAAUAUUAUGCAGUUCUUUAAUAAUCCUGAGAAAACCAUAUUAAAUUAUAUAAUGGGCUACACGUUCGAUCAACGUGAAUACUUUAGGUAUUAUCGCUUGACUCAAAAAGGGAAACUAUUAUGUGAUCAAAUUCAUAUGCUGAAAUGGUAUGCUUGGGAGCUAUGCUCGAGAUAUGAUAUUACUUGUUGCUCUACGAUGAAGGCUCAACACCUUCCCUUUUCUUAUAAAUUUAAUGCUAAUGAAACCUUGGCUUCUUAUGCUAAUGGUAUAUAUGAUUACUAUGAUGUGGAGCAAAUAGAAGAGUUUCUUUCUUUUAUGGGUGCUUAUGAAAUUGAAGCUCUGUUUAAAAGGUGUGAUGAUAAUGAUGAUCCUGCUUACCGAUCUGAAAAUUUGGUUAUGCUUCGUUAUUGUUAUACUCAUUAUGAAUACUGGUCGUCAACCCGUGCAUUUGCACGGGCUAGAUUAAUAACCUACAAUGGGAUGAAACUUCUGAGACUAUCUUUCAUUCAUUGGGGGUAAAGACAUAUCCUAAAUUUCUAUUGGAAAAAUUAUUCAAGUGUCAUCAUAGUUCAAAUUUAAUGCUUCAAAUAAUAGAAUGUCAAAGGACGCAUAUACUCAAAUAUUCUCUAUCCACAUAAAAAUUAAAUGAUUUAAUCUCCUCUAAUCUUGGUACAUAAUUCCUUCAACACAUUGGAUUUUUUUUCUUUUUGAAUUGUUCAUUCACUUGACAUCUAUUACCAUCAGUCUCUAGAGUAAUUUAGAAGUUUACUUUAGAUAUAUGAUGAAAGAGCCUCACAGAAUAAACAACAAAAAAAUUAGGUCUUUUUAAAGAGAUGACGAAUACAGACACACAUGAGAGAACAUUUUCUAUUACUUUUGUUCUUGUUCCAUAAUUUUAUCAUAAAAGAACAAAAUCCUAGUCUCCAACUGAUAUAAUCAUGCAUUGAAAAAAUAGUCAUUGGGUUGAGCAUCUGUUAGAUGUUUCGAUGGUUGCUCUUUUGUGCAUCCCCUUGGCUUCCAUCAUAUCCUAACGUACUGAUCUAAACAUAUUCAAUUUUAUUAUAUUAGUAAUUUCCUAAAAAUAAUAAAAUACUAAUAAUACGUUAACAUAUAUGGGCUGUUUGAAUGGCAGCUGAUGCCCACCUUACCAAAAUACGGGGUUGACCACCAGCGUGGGUGUCUUUUGGUUGUCAACUAAAUUUUUUAACCUACGCCAAAAGAAUUGUCGCUACUUCAUUUCCUGCACCAAUGGGCUGUUCGUAGCGGCGAAUUUUAUGGCCAGUUUUUCGGCUCAGGCGCGAUUCGGCGUGGCUGGCCUAGGCACCAUCAAAAUGACCGGCCUAUAGACAAAAGUAAACUGUCUGUCUCUAUUUUUAAUUCACAUGAACUUUGACUAAUAUGGUAUAUACAAAAUAUUAUUUGAAUGCAUAUUUUAUUUAGCUAAAUACUGAUACAAUGUUUUAUUUAAUAAAACACUGAUAAAAUAUCGUAUUUACCGAGAUACUCCUUUAAUAUUUAACUAAAAUUGUAUUUAUCAAACCGAACAAACUGACACACAUGCCUCAUUAUCCAUUAUCUACCGUGAGUAGGUGGUUCCUACAAACUAACAUGCAUAUUAUUCCUACAUAUUACUUUGCCGAGUUGUCAUUUUCAAAACUCAACAAUUGCUAUUUAAAUGUUUGUCGAGUACCUGAUAAUAUGAACUUCGCAAAGUUGAUGGUUGUUGACCUCCGUCUAGCCGAGUGAUGUUUGCCGAGAACAGAAAUCGACAAACACAAUGCAUAGUUGUUUCUAGCUAGGACUUGCUAAGUGUGUUGGAAACUCACCGAAUUCGGCGAUUCCGGUCGUGAAAUGGCAUUAACAAAAAACCUUAUCACCAUCACGUCCCAAAAAUGAACUGUGUAAAAAUAAGUAGCUAUAUUUUUUAAUGAAGAUUGUUCUUAUAUACGUGUUUAGUUUUCUUGAUUGUAUGUAAUAUCGACCUUUAUACCAUGCAUGCAUGGUACACUUGAAUUCGGUUUCAUUUAGUCGGUGUAAGCUUUAUUCAUACAUGUACAUAGGUUUGGUCUACUUUGCAAUUAUCUGAUUAUGCCGCAAAAUCUCGAACAAAACAUGUUUAACAUAUUUGUCCUCUCAAAACCAAACAUGCGUUUAUCGUAUUUUUAAGAAAUAUUAAUUUACAAAAGGUAUAGUUCAUGGACUAAUGUCACAUGUAAUUUUUACUCAUUAACAAUGAAAAUUGAGUAUCCUAGCAACCAGAAAAGCAGUUUGAGCGAAGUAGUCAACUGUAACCUCUAAUGCAUUAGGCAAUGUAAAGUCUUGGCAGUCCUGGUGAGAUAUAUAAUUCAUGCAUCGGCCUAUUUCGCAAGGCGGGGUUGCCAUAGUUCCGCUGUAAUUCACUCUUGUUCAUCCAGAAAAGGUUAAUUAGAAUACCUUCAGUGUCACAAUCUGAUGCCUUUUGUCGAUAAGAUAAAAAAAUGUGUAGAUGCAAAGUGUAUUACAUGGAACACGAACAUUUUUUUCUUGCGUAUAAUAACCUGUGCCAAACAAUGUGCUACCCUGGAAAACAAUUGAUUGAUCCUCCUUCACAGAAAUUACAUAGAACAUAGAGAACAUACCUUAUUAAAAUUGAAUCCCUGUAGAAAAUAUAAUAUGUUUGGAACCUGAAAAAAAGUCGAGUCAGGUGAAAUUCUUAUAACACCCAUGAAAUCAGGCCCAAUAUCGAAUGCGAUAACAAAAUGCACAUAUAGGAUAAGCCGUCAAAAGCACAGUCCGAGUAUAAGAGGUCAUAAAAACAAACUGGAUUAAAAUGUAUAUUUUUUACUCUGCAUGCCCCAAACAGACAAUGAUCUAAUCAACCGAAUUGUAUAUUUUACUACAUGUCAGAGAUUAAGAAAAAGGGAGAGGGUCAAGGGAUAUUGGUGGUAUAAAAUAUGAGAAACUGAGACAAAAAGACAGCUGAUAUGUGCACUAAAAAUGUGAAACUUGUUUAAUUGAGUGAAUCUCCAUGCCCCCAAACAGGUAAAUAUCAUAGAGAGAUACAUGUUAAAAAUUCAUUACAAUUAAAUACACCAAAAAAUAUAUUAUACUACCCCAGAUCAAAACCAAACCAUUUGCUUAAUGGUUAGCUUAUCACCUCGUCAUUGGCUGCGAUGGUGCCACGGCCAAGAAGAGCUUACCAUAUGUACCCCGGCUAGAUAGGUUAGACAAUGCUAGAUUUCACACGCUGCAUGGAGAGAGAAGCAUUGUAUUAACCCAAUCCAAUGGCUGGCAGGGCGAUGUUUGAUAUAUUAUCCAGUGCAUAGUGAAAGGUCCUGCACUGGACCUCAUCACCCAAUUUUAUAUAGCGCGUGGAGGCAGCCAAUUAUAUAAUCAGCUCAUGAUGUUCAUCAUGUACAUGCAAAUCUCGCUUUCCUAUUUGCCGGUGGAUAUAACUUGCCGCGAUCUCUUCGUCAGCUGCAACACACACAGAGAGAGGGACAUGCUGAUGCCUAAUUGCAUCAGAAGGAAGAUACCAAGGCCAACGUGCCAUGGUGCAGAUAGAUUUAGAUGUGAUUUGCGGCUGGAUCUAACACGCCGUCGAUGAAAGGAAAGACAUGUUACUCUAACAUGCCUAUAUGCCCUUCCACCUAUGAUUGGCACCAGAUCGCCAUGAAAGAGGCGAUGAAGGCUUAGACCAACAACUCUUCGUUAGGGAUUAACUAAAGGCGAUUUCUUGAGAUAACGAUCUUGUUGGUAGGAAAAUAGAUGACGGCUUUUUUUUUGUUUUGGAAGAGGUCAAUCUGGUAGUCCUUCCACGGCAAGAGUCUAAUGGAAAUAAUUUAUGGUUUUAGAUUUUAUCUAUGAAUAAUUGAGGCUUACUUAACGUGGAGACUUGAGAAUGUCUUUGUUACGUGUAGGCUGGGUCAGGUUGGUAGUUUUUCCCACGGCAAUACUCUAGAGGCCGACCAGUUUUUUUAGUUAUUUUACUGCAAGAGCAAAAGAAAUAAUAUAUAUGUUUUUGCCUGGGACUAAUUAACAUGCGCGAUUGAAAAUAUCAGUUACGUGUAGGCUGGGUCAGUCAGGUAGGCUACUUUUUUCUACCGCAGUAGUAACAUAAAAUUAAAUGGUCUAGAAAAAUACUGACUUAGGAUGUUAUGAUUGGAUCUGCACCGUAAUAAUUCGGUCCCACAAGAUGAACGGCUCGUAAAAUCUAAUUAACGUGAGAAUUUUUAAGGAGUCUCUAAUUAGUAUAAGUAUAGAUAAUGCCCAUAUUUAUCGAUUUAUGGAGAAAUUCUACGAUGCCCAAGAAGAGACUAAUAUUUUGCAGGAAACUAUGGAAGAAGAAAAUGCUGAUACUGUGAGCUCAUUAGAUGAAAAAGAUGACGAGGAGAGCGAAGAACAAAAGGAGGAAGAGCGGACUAGCUACCCGUGCCCACCUUCUAAUAAGAAUAACUCUUCAACUCAUACAUUGUUUAAUUUCCCUUCGAAGGAUGAAUGCUAUGUUUAUUGCUAUGAUCCCUUGGAUUUGUUUGAAAUAUCCCUUUUUGAUGAACUUGAUGCUAGCUAUGAUUAUGGCCAUGAUGCCAAUAUGAAUGAUGCUUAUGAAGAUGAACUUGCUAUAGUUCCUUAUGUUAAACAUGAAAUUGUUGCUAUCGCACCCACUUAUGAUAGUCCUAUUAUCUUUUUGAACUCUCCCAACUACACUAUAUCGGAGAAGUUUGCUCUUAUUAGGGAUUACAUAGAUGGGUUGCCUUCUACUAUUACACAUGAUGAUUUUUAUGAAUAUAAUAUGGAUAUGCUUGCUGCUCCUACUUGCAAUUAUUAUGACAGAGGAACUACAUCUCCACCUCUCUAUGUUUCCAAAACAAUAAAUAGCAAGAAACUGCUUAUGCUAUGUAUUGGCCUUUACUUGAUGUGCAUGAAUUGUUCUUUUAUGACAUGCCAAUGCAUAGGAAGAGAGUCAGACUUCGUCAUUGCAUGAUAUAUGUUACCUUCUGCUCACUACUAAAUUACAAAUCAUUGUCAAUUGAAAUUGGCUUUGAUAUACCUUGGGAUCCGGGUGGAUCCAUUACUUGAGCACUUUAUGCCUAGCUUAAUGGCUUUAAAGAAAGCGCUGCCUGGGAGACAACCCGGAAGUUUUAGAGAGUCAUUUAUUUCUGUUGAGUGCUUUUAUAUAGUUUAAAAACAAAAAAAAUAUAGAGGGGAGCUUAAAACUUUUUCAAAAAGAGAAGCGAUUGAAAGGUGAUGCAUUGUGGAAGUGAGGGUCGACCUUGAACACUUGUGUUCAUGCUCAUGGAAACAAUGUAGAAUUCUUCAUGGAAGUUUCUCGCACAAAUAAUUAUGCCUUUGUAAAUUUCCAUUGUAUUAUAAAAAUAAUGUGCCAAGUAAAGCCUUUAUGAUUAGUUUGGGUGAUAGUUGUUUGAUCAUGCUGAAAAAGACAGAAACUUUGUGCUCACAAAAUUAUUUUUAAUACCUAUCCACAAAGAGAUUUUGAGUUGAUUCUUUUUGCUGUUGAUUGAUAUGAAAAUUGCCCUAAUUUUCAUAAUUUUUCAGAAUUUUUGGAGUAUCAUAAGUAUGGCAUACGUUCAGAUUACUACAGACUGUUCUGUUUUUGACAGAUUCUGUUUUCUAUGCAUUGCUCUCUUAUUUUGAUGAAUCUAUGGGUAGUAUCGGGGGGUAUGAACCAUGGUGAAGUUGGAUUACAGUAGAUAUAAUUCUAAUAUGAAUUUGAAAUGAGUACACAACAGUACUUAAAGUGGUGAUUUACUUUAUUAUACUAACGGAUCUCACGAAGGUUUUGUUGAGUUUUGUGUGAUUGAAGUUUUCAAGUUUUGGGUGACACCACGAUGGAUGAAGGAAUAAGGAGAGGCAAGAGCCUAAGCUUGGGGAUGCCCGAGCAUCUAAGCUUGGGGAUGCCCCGGAAGGAAUCCCCUCUUUCGUCUACAAUCUAUCGGUAAUUUUACUCGGAGCUAUAUUUUUAUUCGUCACAUGAUAUGUGCAAAUGCUUGGAGCGUCUUUUGUGUUUAUUUUUCCUUUUUCUUUUAUGCACCAUGCUGGUAUGAGAUAGUCCUUGGUUGAUUUAUAGAAUGCUCUUUGCACUUCACUUAUAUCUUUCGAGUAUGGAUUUAUAGAAUGCUUAUGUGCUUCACUUAUAUCAUUUGAAGUUUGGAUUGCCUGUUUCCCUACACAUAGAAAACCGCCAUUUGUAGAAUGCUCUUUUGCUUCACUUAUAUUUUUUAGAGCGGGGCCUAUAUUUUGUAGAAAGAAUUAAAAUCUCAUGCUUCACUUAUACCUAUUUAGAGAGUUAACAGGAGUUGGUCAUUCACAUGGUUAGUCAUAAAAUCCUACAUAAACUUGUAGAUCACUGAAUAUGAUAUGUUUGAUUCCUUGCAAUAGUUUUGCGACAUGAAGAUGUGAUAUUAGAGUGAUGCUAGUGAAUAAUUGUGUAUUCAUAGAAAUACUUGUGUUAAGGUUUGUGAUUCCUGUAGCAUGCAGGUAUGGUGAACCGUUAUGUGACGAGGUCGGAGCAUGAUUUAUUUAUUGAUUGUCAUCCUUUGUGUGGAGGUCGGGACCGCGCGAUGGUUAACUCCUACCAACCCUUCCCCUAGGAGCAUGCGUGUAGUACCUUGUUUCGAUGACUAAUAGACUUUUGCAAUAAGUAUGUGAGUUCUUUAUGACUAAUGUUGAGUUCAUGGAUUAUACGCAAUCUCACCCUUCCACCAUUGCUAGCCUCUCUAGUACCGCGCAACUUUCGCCGGUGCAUUACACCCACCAUAUACCCUUCCUCAAAACAGCCACCAUACCUACCUAUUAUGGCAUUUCCAUAGCCAUUCUUAGAUAUAUUUCCAUGCAACUUCCAUCGUUCCAUUUAUUAUGACACGCACCAUCAUUGUCAUAUUGCUUUGCAUGAUCGUAAGAUAGCUAGCAUGAUGUUUUCAUGGCUUGUCCGUUUUUUGAUGUCAUUGCUACGCUAGAUCAUUGCACAUCCCGGUACACCGCCGGAGGCAUUCAUAUAGAGUCAUAUUUUGUUCUAAAUAUCGAGUUGUAAGUAAAUAAAAGUGUGAUGAUCAUCAUUAUUAGAGCAUUGUCCCAUGUGAGGAAGUAAAAAGAGGCCAAAGAAGCCCACCAAAAAAAGAGAAAAAAAAUAAAAAAAUGAGAGAAAAGAGAGAAGGGACAAUGCUACUAUCCUUUACCACACUUGUGCUUCAAAGUAGCACCAUGAUCUUCAUGAUAGAGAUUCUCCUAUGUUGUCACUUUCAAAUACUAGUGAGAAAUUUUCAUUAUAGUACUUGGCUUGUAUAUUCCAAUGAUGGGCUUCCUAAAAUUGCCCUAGGUCUUCGUGAGCAAGCGAGUUGGAUGCACACCCACUAGUUUCAUUUUGAACUUUCAUACACUUCUAGCUCUUGUGCAUCUGUUGCAUGGCAAUCCCUACUCACUCACAUUGAUAUCUAUUGAUGGGCAUCUCCAUAGCCCGUUGAUAUGCCUAGUUGAUGUGAGACUAUCUCCUCCUUUUUGUCUUCCCCACAGCCACCAUAUUCUAUUCCAACUACAAUGCUAUGUCCAUGGCUCACGCUCAUGUAUUGCGUGAAAGUUGAAAAAGGUUUGAGAACACUAAAGUAUGAAACAAUUGCUUGGCUAAAACCGGGGUUGUGCAUGAUUUAAAUACGUUGUGUGGGGAAGAUGGAGCAUAACCAGACUUUAUGAUUUUGUAGGGAUAACUUUCUUUGACCACGAUAUUUUGAGAAGACAUGAUUCCUUUGUUAGUAUGCUUGAAAUAUUAUUAUCUUUAUGUCAAAUGGUAGGCUAUUGCUUCGAAUCACUCGUGUUUUAGUAUUCAUGCCAUGAUUAGAUUAUAUAAUCAACAUUAUGCUAGGUAGCAUUCCACAUCAAAAAUUAUCUUUUUUAUCAUUUACCUACUCUGUUGGGGAACGUCGCAUGGGAAACAAAAAUUUUCCUACGCGCACGAAGACCUAUCAUGGUGAUGUCCAUCUACGAGAGGGGAUGAGUGAUCUACGAACCCUUGUAGAUCGUAUAGCAGAAGCGUUAGUGAACGCGGUUGAUGUAGUGGAACGUCCUCACGUCCCUCGAUCCGCCCCGCGAACAAUCCCGCGAUCAGUCCCACGAUCUAGUACCGAACGGACGACACCUCCGCGUUCAGCACACGUACAGCUCGACGAUGAUCUCGGCCUUCUUGGUCCAGCAAGAGAGACGGAGAGGUAGAAGAGUUCUCCGGCAGCGUGACGGCGCUCCGGAGGUUGGUGAUGACCUUGUCUCAGCAGGGCUCCGCCCGAGCUCCGCAGAAACGCGAUCUAGAGGAAAAACCGUGGAGGUAUGUGGUCGGGCUGCCGUGGAAAAGUCGUCUCAAAUCAGCCCUAAAACCUCCGUAUAUAUAGGUGGGAGGGAGGGGACCUUGCCUUGGGGCUCAAGGAGCCCCAAGGGGGUCGGCCGAGUCCAAGGGGGGAGGACUCCCCCCCCCCCAAACCGAGUUGGACUUGGUUUGGUGGGAGGGAGUCCCCCUUCCUUCCCACCUCCUCCUUUUUUUUUCCUUUCUCUUGAUUUUCUCUUCUUGGCGCAUAGAGCCCUUUUGGGCUGUCCCACCAGCCCACUAAGGGCUGGUGUGCCACCCUCAAGGCCUAUGGGCUUCCCCGGGGUGGGUUGCCCCCCCCCCCCCGGUGAACUCCCGGAACCCAUUCGUCAUUCCCGGUACAUUCCCGGUAACUCCGAAAACCUUUCGGUAAUCAAAUGAGGUCAUCCUAUAUAUCAAUCUUCGUUUCCGGACUAUUCCGGAAACCCUCGUGACGUCCGUGAUCUCAUCUGGGACUCCGGACAACAUUCGGUAACCAACCAUAUAACUCAAAUACGCAUAAAAUAACGUCGAAUCUUAAGUGUGCAGACCCUGCGGGUUCGAGAACUAUGUAGACAUGACCCGAGAGACUCCUCGGUCAAUAUCCAAUAGCGGGACCUGGAUGCCCAUAUUGGAUCCUACAUAUUCUACGAAGAUCUUAUCGUUUGAACCUCAGUGCCAAGGAUUCAUAUAAUCCCGUAUGUCAUUCCCUUUGUCCUUCGGUAUGUUACUUGCCCGAGAUUCGAUCGUCAGUAUCCGCAUACCUAUUUCAAUCUCGUUUACCGGCAAGUCUCUUUACUCGUUCCGUAAUACAAGAUCCCGCAACUUACACUAAGUUACAUUGCUUGCAAGGCUUGUGUGUGAUGUUGUAUUACCGAGUGGGCCCCGAGAUACCUCUCCGUCACACGGAGUGACAAAUCCCAGUCUUGAUCCAUACUAACUCAACUAACACCUUCGGAGAUACCUGUAGAGCAUCUUUAUAGUCACCCAGUUACGUUGCGACGUUUGAUACACACAAAGCAUUCCUCCGGUGUCAGUGAGUUAUAUGAUCUCAUGGUCAUAGGAAUAAAUACUUGACACGCAGAAAACAGUAGCAACAAAAUGACACGAUCAACAUGCUACGUCUAUUAAUUUGGGUCUAGUCCAUCACGUGAUUCUCCUAAUGACGUGAUCCAGUUAUCAAGCAACAACACCUUGUUCAUAAUCNUUAGUAUCCGUAUACCUAUUUCAAUCUCGUUUACCGGUAAGUCUCUUUACUCGUUCCGUAAUACAAGAUCCCGCAACUUACACUAAGUUACAUUGCUUGCAAGGCUUGUGUGUGAUGUUGUAUUACCGAGUGGGCCCCGAGAUACCUCUCCGUCACACGGAGUGACAAAUCCCAGUCUUGAUCCAUACUAACUCAACUAACACCUUCGGAGAUACCUGUAGAGCAUCUUUAUAGUCACCCAGUUACGUUGCGACGUUUGAUACACACAAAGCAUUCCUCCGGUGUUAGUGAGUUAUAUGAUCUCAUGGUCAUAGGAAUAAAUACUUGACACGCAGAAAACAGUAGCAACAAAAAUGACACGAUCAACAUGCUACGUCUAUUAGUUUGGGUCUAGUCCAUCACAUGAUUCUCCUAAUGACGUGAUCCAGUUGUCAAGCAACAACACCUUGUUCAUAAUCAGAAGACACUGACUAUCUUUGAUCAACUGGCUAGCCAACUAGAGGCUUGCUAGGGACGGUGUUUUGUCUAUGUAUCCACACAUGUAAAUGAGUCUUCAUUCAAUACAAUUAUAGCAUGGAUAAUAAACGAUUAUCUUGAUACAGGAAUUAUAAUAAUAACUAUAUUUAUUAUUGCCUCUAGGGCAUAAUUCCAACAGUCUCCCACUUGCACUAGAGUCAAUAAUCUAGCCCUCACAUCAUCAUGUGAAUUACAUUGUAAUAAAUCUAACACCCAUACAGUUCUGGUGUUGAUCAUGCUUUGGCCGUGGAAGAGGUUUAGUCAGCGGGUCUGCUACAUUCAGAUCCGUGUGCACUUUGCAUAUAUUCAUGUCCUCUCCCUCGACGUAGUCGCGGAUGAGGUUGAAGCGUCGUUUGAUGUGUCUGGUCUUCUUGUGAAACCGUGAUUCCUUUGCUAAGGCAAUGGCACCAGUGUUGUCACAGAACAAGGUUAUUGGAUUCAGUGCGCUUGGCACCACUCCAAGAUCCGUCAUGAACUGCUUCAUCCAGACACCCUCCUUAGCCGCCUCCGAGGCAGCCAUGUACUCCGCUUCACAUGUAGAAUCUGCUACGACGCUUUGCUUGGAACUGCACCAGCUUACUGCACCCCCAUUAAGAAUAAAUACGUAUCCGGUUUGCGACUUAGAGUCGUCCGGAUCUGUGUCAAAGCUUGCAUCGACGUAACCUUUUACGGCGAGCUCUUCGUCACCUCCAUACACGAGAAACAUCUCCUUAGUCCUUUUCAGGUACUUCAGGAUAUUCUUGACCGCUGUCCAGUGAUCCACUCCUGGAUUACUCUGGAACCUACCUGCCAUACUUAUGGCCAGGCUAACAUCCGGUCUAGUGCACAGCAUCGCAUACAUGAUAGAACCUAUGGCUGAAGCAUAGGGGACGGAGCGCAUAUGCUCUCUAUCUUCAUCAGUUGCUGGGCACUGAGUCUUACUCAAUCUCGUACCUUGUAGAACUGGCAAGAACCCUUUCUUGGACUGUUCCAUUUUGAACCUCUUCAAAACUUUAUCAAGGUAUGUGCUUUGUGAAAGUCCUAUCAGGCGUUUUGAUCUAUCCCUAUAGAUCUUAAUGCCUAGAAUGUAAGCAGCUUCUCCUAGGUCCUUCAUAGAGAAACUUUUAUUCAAGUAAUCCUUUAUGCUCUCUAAAAACUCUACGUUGUUUCCAAUCAGUAAUAUGUCAUCCACAUAUAAUAUUAGAAACGCCACAGAGCUCCCACUCACUUUCUUGUAAAUACAAGAUUCUCCAACCACUUGUAUAAACCCAAAUGCUUUGAUCACCUCAUCAAAGCGUUUGUUCCAACUCCGAGAUGCUUGCACCAGUCCAUAAAUGGAUCGCUGGAGCUUGCACACCUUGUUAGCAUUCUUAGGAUCGACAAAACCUUCGGGUUGUAUCAUAUACAACUCUUCCUUAAGGAAACCGUGAAGGAACGCCGUUUUGACAUCCAUCUGCCAGAUUUCAUAAUCGAAAAAUGCAGCUAUUGCUAACAUGAUUCUGACGGACUUAAGCAUCGCUACGGGUGAGAAAUUCUCAUCGUAGUCAACUCCUUGAACUUGUGAAAAACCCUUUGCCACAAGUCGAGCUUUAUAAACGGUCACAUUACCGUCAGCGUCCGUCUUCCUCUUAAAAAUCCAUUUGUUCUGAAUGGCCUUGCGGCCCUCAGGCAGUACCUCCAAAGUCCACACUUUGUUCUCAUACAUGGAUCCUAUCUCGGACUUCAUGGCUUCCAGCCAUUUGUUGGAAUCUGGGCCCACCAUUGAUUCUUCAUAAUUCGCAGGUUCAUUGUUGUCUAACAACAUGAUUGAUAAGACGGGAUUACCGUACCACUCUGGAGCAGCACGUGGUCUCGUCGACCUGCGUGGUUCGACAGAAACUUGAACUGGAGUUUCAUGAUCAUCAUCAUUAACUUCCUCCUCAACCGGUGUCGCAAUGACAGAGGUUUCCCCUUGCCGUGCGCCACCAUCCAGAGGGAUGAGAGGUUCGACAACCUCGUCAAGUUCUAUCUUCCUCCCACUCAAUUCUCUUGAGAGAAACUCCUUCUCGAGAAAAGCUCCGUUUUUAGCAACAAACACUUUGCCCUCGGAUUUGAGAUAGAAGGUGUACCCAACUGUCUCUUUUGGGUAACCUAUGAAGACGCACUUUUCCGCUUUGGGUUCCAGCUUUUCAGGCUGAAGCUUUUUGACAUAAGCAUCACAUCCCCAAACUUUAAGAAACGACAACUUUGGCCUUUUGCCAUACCACAGUUCGUAUGGUGUCGUCUCAACGGAUUUUGAUGGUGCCCUAUUUAAAGUGAAUGCAGCUGUUUCUAAUGCAUAGCCCCAAAAUGAUAACGGCAAAUCAGUAAGAGACAUCAUAGAUCGCACCAUCUCUAAUAGAGUACGAUUACGACGUUCGGACACACCAUUACGCUGUGGUGUUCCAGGCGGUGUUAACUGUGAAACAAUUCCACAUUGUCUUAAGUGAGCACCAAACUCGAAACUCAGAUAUUCACCCCCACGAUCAGACCGUAGGAACUUCAUCUUCUUGUUACGAUGAUUUUCCACUUCACUCUGAAAUUGCUUGAACUUUUCAAAUGUUUAGGACUUGUGCUUCAUCAAGUAGACAUAACCAUAUCUACUUUAAUCUUCAGUGAAGGUGAGAAAAUAACGAUAUCCGCCGCGUGCCUCCACGCUCAUCGGACCACACACAUCGGUAUGUAUGAUUUCCAACAAGUCACUUGCACGCUCCAUUGUUCCUGAGAAUGGAGUCUUAGUCAUCUUGCCCAUGAGGCAUGGUUCGCACGUGUCAAGUGAAUCAAAGUCAAGUGACUCCAAAAGUCCAUCAACAUGGAGUUUCUUCAUGCGCUUUACACCAAUAUGACCUAAGCGGCAGUGCCACAAAAAUAUGGCGCUAUCAUUGUUAACUCUAACUCUUUUGGUCUCAAUGUUAUGUAUAUGCGUAUCGCUAUCAAGAUUCAAUAUGAACAAUCCUCUCACAUUCGGUGCAUGACCAUAAAAGAUGUUACUCAUAGAAAUAGAACAACCAUUAUUCUCUGACUUAAAAGAGUAACCGUCUCGCAAUAAACAAGAUCCAGAUAUAAUGUUCAUGCUCAACGCAGGCACUAAAUAACAAUGAUUUAAGUUCAUCACUAAUCCUGACGGUAACUGAAGUGACACUGUGCCGACGGCGAUUGCAUCAACCUUGGAACCAUUUCCUACGCGCAUCGUCACUUCAUCUUUCGCCAGCCUUCGCCUAUUCCACAGUUCCUGUUUCGAGUUGCAAAUAUGAGCAACAGAACCGGUAUCGAAUACCCAGGCACUACUACGAGAGCCGGUUAAGUACACAUCAAUAACAUGUAUAUCAAAUAUACCUGAUUUUUCUUUGCCCGCCUUCUUAUCUGCCAGAUACUUGGGGCAAUUGCGCUUCCAAUGACCCAUACCCUUGCAAUAGUAACACUCCGUUUCCGGCUUAGGUCCAGCUUUGGGUUUCUUCGUCGGAUUGGCAACAGGCUUGCCGCUCUUCUUCGAAUUUCCCUUCUUGCCUUUGCUGUUUCUCUUGAAACUAGUGGUCUUAUUCACCAUCAACACUUGAUGCUCUUUACGGAGUUCAGACUCUGCGACUUUCAGCAUCGCAAACAACUCGCCGGGAGACUUGUUCAUCCCUUGCAUGUUGUAGUUCAACACAAAGCCUUUAUAGCUUGGUGGCAGUGAUUGAAGGAUUCUGUCAGUGAUAGCUUCUUGCGGGAGUUCAAUCCCCAGCUCAGCUAGAUGGUUUGAGUACCCAGACAUUUUGAGCACAUGUUCACUGACAGAUGAGUUUUCCUCCAUCUUGCAAGCAUAGAAUUUAUCGGAGGUCUCAUACCUCUCGAUCCGGGCGUUCUUCUGAAAGAUAAAUUCCAACUCCUGGAACAUCUCAAAUGCUCCAUGACGCUCAAAGCGACGUUGAAGUCCCGGUUCUAAGCCAUACAAGACUGCACAUUGAACUAUUGAGUAGUCCUCCUUACGUGCUAACCAAGCGUUCUUAACAUCUUGAUCAGCCGUAGCGGGUGGUUCAUCUCCUAACGCAGCAUUAAGGACAUAAUCCUUCUUCCCAGCUUGUAAGAUUAGCUUAAGAUUACGAGCCCAGUCUACAAAGUUGCUUCCAUCAUCUUUCAACUUAGCUUUCUCUAGGAACGUAUUAAAAUUCAGGAUGACUGUCGCGUGAGCCAUGAUCUACAACACAAAUAUUUCAAAGUGGACUUAGACUAUGUUUAAGAUAAUUAGAGUUCAACUUAAUCAAAUUAUUCACUAAACUCCCACUCAAAAAGUACAUCUCUCUAGUCAUUUGAGUGGUUCAUGAUCCACUUACACUAGCUCAAGUCCGAUCUUCACGUGAGUUGAGUAUAGUUUCAGUGGUAAGCAUCCCUAUGCUAAUCAUAUCAUCUAUAUGAUUCAUGAUCGACCUUUCGGUCUCAUGUGUUCCGAGGCCAUGUCUGCACAUGCUAGGCUCGUCAAGCUUAACCCGAGUAUUCCGCGUGCGCAACUGUUUUGCACCCGUUGUAUGUGAACGUUGAGUCUAUCACACCCGAUCAUCACGUGGUGUCUCGAAACGACGAACUGUAGCAACGGUGCACAGCCGGGGAGAACACAAUUUCGUAUUGAAAUUUUAGUGAGAGAUCACCUCAUAAUGCUACCGACGUUUUAAGCAAAAUAAGGUGCAUAAAAGGAUUAACAUCACAUGCAAUUCAUAAGUGACAUGAUAUGGCAAUCAUCACGUGCUUCUUGAUCUCCAUCACCAAAGCACCGGCACGAUCUUCUUGUCACCGGCGCCACACCAUGAUCUCCAUCAACGUGUUGCCAUCGGGGUUGUCGUGCUACUCAUGCUAUUACUACUAAAGCUACAUCCUAGCAAAAUAGUAAACGCAUCUGCAAGCACACACGUUAGUAUAAAGACAACCCUAUGGCUCCUGCCGGUUGCCGUACCAUCGACGUGCAAGUCGAUAUUUCUAUUACAACAUGAUCAUCUCAUACAUCCAAUAUAUCACAUCACAUCAUUGGCCAUACCACAUCACAAGCAUACCCUGCAAAAACAAGUUAGACGUCCUCUAAUUUUGUUGUUGCAUGUUUUACGUGGUGACCAUGGGUAUCUAGUAGGAUCGCAUCUUACUUACGCAAACACCACAACGGAGAUAUAUGAGUUGCUAUUUAACCUCAUCCAAGGACCUCCUCGGUCAAAUCCGAUUCAACUAAAGUUGGAGAAACCGACACUUGCCAGUCAUCUUUGAGCAACGGAGUUACUCGUAACGAUGAAACCAGUCUGUCGUAAGCGUACGAGUAAUGUCGGUCCAAGCCGCUUCAAUCCAACAAUACCGCGGAAUCAAGAAAAGACUAAGGAGGGCAGCAAAACGCACAUCACCGCCCACAAAAACUUUUGUGUUAUACUCGAGAAGACAUCUACGCAUGAACCUAGCUCAUGAUGCCACUGUUGCGGAACGUCGCAUGGGAAACAAAAAUUUUCCUACGCGCACAAAGACCUAUCAUGGUGAUGUCCAUCUACGAGAGGGGAUGAGUGAUCUACGUACCCUUGUAGAUCAUAUAGCAGAAGCGUUAGUGAACGCGGUUGAUGUAGUGGAACGUCCUGAUGUCCCUCGAUCCGCCCCGCGAACAAUCCCGCGAUCAGUCCCACGAUCUAGUACCGAACGGACGGCACCUCCGCGUUCAGCACACGUACAGCUCGACGAUGAUCUCGGCCUUCUUGAUCCAGCAAGAGAGACGGAGAGGUAGAAGAUUUCUCCGGCAGCGUGACGGCGCUCCGGAGGUUGGUGAUGACCUUGUCUCAGCAGGGCUCCGCCCGAGCUCCGGAGAAACGCGAUCUAGAGGAAAAACCGUGGAGGUAUGUGGUCGGGCUGCCGUGGAAAAGUCGUCUCAAAUCAGCCCUAAAACCUCCGUAUAUAUAGGUGGGAGGGAGGGGACCUUGCCUUGGGGCUCAAGGAGCCCCAAGGGGGUCGGCCGAGUCCAAGGGGGGAGGACUCCCCCCCCCCAAACCGAGUUGGACUUGGUUUGGUGGGAGGGAGUCCCCCUUCCUUCCCACCUCCUCCUUUUUUUUCCUUUCUCUUGAUUUUCUCUUCUUGGCGCAUAGAGCCCUUUUGGGCUGUCCCACCAACCCACUAAGGGCUGGUGUGCCACCCUCAAGGCCUAUGGGCUUCCCCGGGGUGGGUUGCCCCCCCCCNNNNNNNNNNNNNNNNNNNNNNNNNNNNNNNNNNNNNNNNNNNNNNNNNNNNNNNNNNNNNNNNNNNNNNNNNNNNNNNNNNNNNNNNNNNNNNNNNNNNNNNNNNNNNNNNNNNNNNNNNNNNNNNNNNNNNNNNNNNNNNNNNNNNNNNNNNNNNNNNNNNNNNNNNNNNNNNNNNNNNNNNNNNNNNNNNNNNNNNNNNNNNNNNNNNNNNNNNNNNNNNNNNNNNNNNNNNNNNNNNNNNNNNNNNNNNNNNNNNNNNNNNGGUAAGUCUCUUUACUCGUUCCGUAAUACAAGAUCCCGCAACUUACACUAAGUUACAUUGCUUGCAAGGCUUGUGUGUGAUGUUGUAUUACCGAGUGGGCCCCGAGAUACCUCUCCGUCACACGGAGUGACAAAUCCCAGUCUUGAUCCAUACUAACUCAACUAACACCUUCGGAGAUACCUGUAGAGCAUCUUUAUAGUCACCCAGUUAUGUUGCGACGUUUGAUACACACAAAGCAUUCCUCCGGUGUCAGUGAGUUAUAUGAUCUCAUGGUCAUAGGAAUAAAUACUUGACACGCAGAAAACAGUAGCAACAAAAAUGACACGAUCAACAUGCUACCUCUAUUAGUUUGGGUCUAGUCCAUCACCUGAUUCUCCUAAUGACGUGAUCCAGUUCUCAAGCAACAACACCUUGUUCAUAAUCGGAAGACACUGACUAUCUUUGAUCAACUGGCUAGCCAACUAGAGGCUUGCUAGGGACGGUGUUUUGUCUAUGUAUGCACACAUGUAGAUGAGUCUUCAUUCAAUACAAUUAUAGCAUGGACAAUAAACGAUUAUCUUGAUACAGGAAUUAUAAUAAUAACUAUAUUUAUUAUUGCCUCUAGGGCAUAAUUCCAACAUACUCGAGGACGAGCAGAAAUUAAGCUUGGGGAUGCUGAUACGUCUCCGUCGUAUCUAUAAUUUUUGAUUGUUUCAUGCCAAUAUUCUACAACUUACAUAUACUUUUGGCAACUUUUUAUACUAUUUUUGGGACUAAAAUAUUGAUCCAGUUCCCAGUGCCAGUUCCUGUUUGUUGCAUGUUUUUUGUUUCGUAUAAUAUCCAUACCAAACGAAGUCCAAACACAAUAAAAAACCUAUGGUGAUUUUUUAUGGAAUAUUUAUGAUUUUUGGGAAGAAGAAUCAACGCAAAACGAUGCCCGAGGGGGUCACAAGCCUAGGAGGUGCCCCCUAGGGCACGGCAGGCAGGCUUGUGACCAAUCCCUAAGGCGGUUGGGGCCCUUCUUUCGCCGCAAGAAAGCUAAUAUCCGGAAGAAAAUCGUGUUAAAAUCAGCCCACUUGGAGUUAUGGAUCUCCGGGAAUUUUAAGAAACGGUGAAAGGCAGAAUCUGGGAGCGCACAAACAGAAGGACACACAGAGAGAGAUCCAAUCUCGGAGGGGCUCUCGCCCCUCCGCCGCCAUGGAGACCAUGGACCAGAGGGGAAACCCUUCUCCCAUCUAGGGAGGAGGUCAAGGAAGAAGAAGAAGGGGGGCUCCCUCCCCCUCUCUCCCGGCGGUGCCGGAACGCCGCCCGGGACAUCAUCGUGUGACAGCGAUCUACACCAACACGUCCGUCAUCUUCACCAACACCUCCUUCUCCUUCCCCCAUCUAUAUUCAGCGGUCCACUCUCCCGCAACCCGCUGUACCCUCUACUUGAACAUGGUGCUUUGUGCUUCAUAUUAUUAUCCGAUGAUGUGUUGCCAUCCUAUGAUGUCUGAGUAGAUUUUUGUUGUCCUAUCGGUUAUUGAUGAAUUGGUGUGAUUGGUUUGAUUUGCUUGUGGUUAUGUUGCUGUCCUUUGGUGCCCAUCAUAUGAGCGCGCGCGUGGAUCACACGAUAGGGUUAGUAUUAUGUUGAUAGGACUAUGUAUUGGAGGGGAAGGGUGAUAGAAGCUUCAGCCUAGCAUAGAAACUGAUGCAUGCGGGAUUGAAGGGGGCCCAAUAUAUCUUAUUGCUAUGGUUGGGUUUUAACUUAUUGAACGUUAGUAGUUGCGGAUGCUUGCUAAUAGAUCCAAUCAUAAGUGCAUAGAAUUUCAAGUAAGGGAUGACAUGCUAGCAGUGGCCUCUCCCACAUAAAACUUGCUAUCAGUCUAGUAACGUAGUCAAUUGCUUAGGGACAAUUCCGCAACUCCUACCACCACUUUUCCACACUCGUUAAACUAACGUAAUUUUUUCUUAGCAGCCCCUAGUCUUUAUUUACGUGUUCUUUCUUUUCUUGCAAACCUAUCCUAUCACUCCUACAAAGUACUUCUAGUUUCAUACUUGUUCUAGGUAAAGCGAACGUGAAGUGUGCGUAGAGUUGUAUCGGUGGUCGAUAGAACUUGAGGGAAUAUUUAUCCUACCUUUAGAUCCUCGUUGGGUUCAACACUCUUACGUAUCGAGAAAGGCUACAAUUGAUCCCCUAUACUUGUGGGUUAUCAGUGACGGCGACGGCGAUUGGCUUGGGGCGAUGGGCUCGGGGGCGACGGCAGCGGGGACGUUUAUGGCCUCGGGGGUGACGGUGAUGACGGGCUCGGGAUGACGACGACGGCGACAGGCUCGGGGGCGACGACGACGGUGACGGGCUCGGGGCGACGACGGGCUCGGCGUGACAACGGGCUCGGGGCGAUGGCGACAAUGACGAUGGGCUCGUGGAGAAGGCGCGGGCCGGCGGCGACGGGCUCGGGGCGGCAACGACGACGGUGAGGAGAGAAGAGAACGGGGCAAAUGGGAGUUGGUAGAAAUUUUGGUAAGUCCCGCCAUAUAUGCGAACACCUUUGGUCCCCGUUGGUAGCUCCAACCGACACCAAUGCCACCCUUUUGUCCCGGUUGGAGCCACCAACCGGGACUAAAGGUCAAUUUUCAGCAGUCCAAAAGGGCGGGAAGAAGAGACCUUUAGUAUCGGUUGGUGGCUCCAACCGGGACGAAAGGGUGGUAUUGGUCCCGGUUGGAGGCACCAACCGGGACCAAAGUGUGGUGUUGCCCGGGUCUAAAUUUUUAGUCCCACCUCGCUUGCCGAGAGAGCUCGCGAGUGGUUUAUAAUCGCUGCUGCGCACAAUCUGUCGAGCUCCUCUCAACUGCAAGCUUUCGGACCUAAUCUGUCACUGCCUGUGGGCCUAUUGGGCCUUGUGUGGGCCUGAAUCCUGGCCCAACCAGGAGGAUGGGUUUCUAGUCGUAUUCACGCCGUUGUGGCCUAGUAGGUGGCAUUUUUUUUAAAUCUNNNNNNNNNNNNNNNNNNUUUACUUUUUCUUGUUCCUACUUAUUGUUUUUCGUUGAUUCUUUUUUGCUUUUAGGUCACAACAUUUCUCAAAAUGCACCAUUCAAAGCCACAUCAUCAAUUUUCAACAAAUUCUGACUUCAUUUGCUAUUUUUCAUGCAUUUACUGAUAUUUUGGACUAAAUGACCCUUAAAUUGGAAAGCACUACAAAUAAACUCUAAAAAGGUUGAAAGUUGGCAUGGUAUCAUCAUUUCACCGACAUAGGAUGUGCUAAAAAGUUGAGAGGGUUGCGCAAAAACUGGAUGCACUUUGUGUACAAAAUGGACAAUCUCUUUCGAAGUAUGAGGGUUUCAUACGAAAACUCAUCUGUUACAAAGGGAUUUCAUUUUAUUGAUAUUAUUUGAACUCCAUACUUUUUGUGUGUUCAAAAUGCACCAUUCAAAGCCACAUCAUCAAUUUUCAACAAUUUUUGACUUCAUUUGGUAUUUUUCAUAAAUUUAUUGUUUUUUUGAGCUAAAUGACCCUUAAAUUGAAAAGCACUACAAAUCACCUCUGAAAAGAUUGAAAAUUGGCAUAGUAUCAUCAUUUCACCCACAAAGCAUGUGCUAAAUAGUUGAGAGGGUUAUGGCAAAAACUGGAUGCACUUCGUGUACAAAACGGAGAAUCUCUUUCGAAGUAUCACAGAUUCACAUGAAAACUCAUCUAUUACAAAGGGAUUUCAUCUUUUUGAACUUAUUUGAACUCCAGACUUUUUGUGUGUUCAAAAUGCACCAUUUAAAGCCACAUCAUCAAUUUUGAACAAUUUAUGACUGCAUUUUGUAUUUUUCAUGCAUUUACUGAUUUUUUUGAGCUACAUGACCCUUAAAUUGAAAAGCAUUACAAAUGAACUCUGAAAAGGUUAAAAGUUUGCAUGGUUUCAUCAUUUCACCCACAUAGCAUGUGAUAAUAAGUUGAGAGGGUUACGGCAAAAACAGGAUGCACUUCGUGUACAAAACGAACAAUCUCUUUCGAACUAUCAAGGUUUCAUACGAAAACUCACCUAUUACAAAGGAAUUUCAUUUUUUGAACUUAUUUGAACUCCAUACUUUUUAUGUGUUAAAAUGCACCAUUCAAAGCCACAUCAUCAAUUUUCAAAAAAUUCUGACUUCAUAUGGUAUUUUACAUGCAUUUCCUUUUUUUUUGAGCUAAAUGACCAUGAAAUUGAAAAGCACUACAAAUGAACUAUGAAAAGGUUGAAAGGUGGUAUGGUAUGAUCAUUUCACCCACAUAGCAUGUGUUAAAAAGUUGAGAGGGUUACGGCAAAAACUGGAUGCACUUCAUGUAUAAAACAUACAAUCUCUUUCGAAAUAUCACAUUUUAAAUACGAAAACUCAUCCGUUACAAAGGGAUUUUAUUUUUUUGAACUUAUUUGAACUCCGGCCUUUUUGUGUGUUCAAAAUGCACAAUUCAGAGCCACAUCAUAAAUUUUCAAUAAUUUGUGACUUCAUUUGCUAUUUUUCAUGCAUUUAUUGAUUUUUUUAGCUAAAUGACCCUUAAAUUGGAAAGCACUACAAAUGAACUUUGAAAAGGUUGAAAGUUGGCAUGGUAUCAUCAUUCCACCCCACAUAGCAUGUGAUAAAAAGUUGAGAGGGUUACGGCAAAAACUGGAUGCACUUCAUAUACAAAACAGACAAUCUCCUUCGAAGUGUCAGGGUUUCAUACGAAAACUCAUUUGUUACAAAGGGAUUUCAUUUUUUUGAAUUCAUUUGAACUCCAGACUUUUUGUGUGUUCAAAAUGAACCAUUCAAAGCCACAUCAUCAAUUUUCAACAAUUUUUGAAUUCAUUUGGUAUUUUUCAUGCAUUUACUGAUUUUUUUGAGCAAAAUGACCCUUAAAUUGAAAAGCACUACAAAUGAACUCUGAAAAGGCUGAAAGUUGACAUGGUAUCAUCAUUUCACCUACAUAGCAUGUGCUAAAAAGUUGAGAGGGUUAUGACAAAAACUGGAGAACUUCGUGUAAAAAAUGGACAAUCUCUUUCGAAGUAUCACAGUUUCAUACGAAAAUUCUUCUGUUACAAAGGAAUUUUAUUUUGUUGAACUUAUUUGAAAUCCAGACUUUUUGUGUGUUCAAAAUGCACCAUUCAAAGCCAUAUCAUAAAAUUUCAACAAUUUCUGACAUCAUUUGGUAUUUUUUAUGCAUUACUGAUUUUUUUAGCUAAAUGACCAUGAAAUUGAAAAGCACUACAAAUGAACUCUCAAAAGUUUGAAAAUUGGCUUGGUAUCAUCAUUUCACCGACAUAGCAUGUGAUUAAAAGUUGAGAGGGUUACGAGAAAAACUGGAUGCACUUGGUCUACAAAACGAACAAUCUCUUUGGAAGUAUAAGGGUUUCAUACGAAAACUCAUCUAUUACAAAAGACAUUUCAUUACUUCACUUUUUCUUUGCUUGUGUUCUUUGAUUAUUGCGCCGUAACCAUGGAUAAUCAGUACUAGGAAAAAGCCUAGUAGUAGCGCGGGUUUAGUGCCUACUAGUAGCGCGGGUAAUCGCGCUACUAGUAAGGCGCUACAGCUAUUACUUACCAGCAGCGCGUGUAAGACGCGCUACUGCUAAGACAUAUAAGUGUCGUACAAGUGCUAUUGAUAAAACAAAUAUUAGUAGCGUUCUUCUAAACCCGCGCUACUAGUAAUCUGUUUUUCAUUAUUUUUAAUAUGUAGUGUAUUUAUACGUCGUUAUAUAAAUUUUGAUAGAGUACCAAUUAAGAGGUUGUUAUAUCAUUAUGUUCAUGAAGAAUUAUUAUAUCAUUGUGAUGAAUAAACCUGGAUUUUAUUCAUCUAAAUGAAUCAAAAGUGAUCAAAAGUUGAAUUAGUAGGACGACGAUCCUAGUAAUUCAACUUUUGGUCACUUUUGAUCCAUCCACAUGAAUCUAAUCCGCUUUCCUUCCCGCAAUGACAUAAUAACCAAUCAUGAUCAUAAUAACAAAUCUUCAUGAUAAUCAUGAUCAACAUCAUCAGCAUAUUAAUAUAAAAACUCUUGCAUCAUAUCAUCACUAACAACACUAUAGCGAAUAAUCAUCAUAGUCAUUACCACCAACACUAUUUAAUCAUCAUUUUCGUCAAUGAGACGUCAUAUAACAAGUUGGUGGCUAGUCAUAAUCACAACUCCUCCUCCUCCUCAUUAUCAACUAUAACACAUUUUAGCACAUAAUAACACAUUGUACCUAGGACCUACUCCUCUCUCAUAGUACCUACUCUACCCUCUCUUAGGUAGAAUAUCACAAAACAAGAUAGGCCCGGUCUCUCCAUUAUGGAGAAUGGAGAUCAUCCUGUCUCUAACUCUUACCCUACGCACAGUAUUGCUUCCAAGUAGCUCUCUACGAUUGGCCAUGCAUUUUUUCCAAUCUUUGAUUGUCAUUUCAUCGGUUAUAGAAACCCUGUAUGGACAGGAGUGAUGCAUAUACAUAGGCUACCUGGCCGUGCUGGCCGUAAGCUCAUAAUAUCAACACGACCUCUUGGAAACAUCACAUGAGGCACACAAUCCUUCUGGAUUUUCUGUUGAAAAACAUAGUAAUAACUUUGUAGCUAGCAAUGCAGUUUAGUUUUACAAGAAUUUAUGCAAAAGAUGCACGGAUGUCGUAAUAGUAGAAAAUAUUACCAUGCAAUCUCCAUGCAUGUUACCGUAGUUCACCACGUGCACUAUUGGCACGUAUUGACCAUAAUGUGGAGGAGUUUGCUGAUAGCUAUUGUAAUUCUCAAGAUCAUUAAUAAAUGCGACAAGAUGAUUUUUGUCCUGAUAAGUUAAUUCUGCUUCAUCAUUGUAGUGGUAGGUUCUGUCUACCAUCUCCCGUACAUUUUUUGAAGAAUGAAAAUAAGUUGUAAAUGGAAGUAAGUUGUCAACAAUUUUUAAAUAAACAAUAUAAAUUACUCAAUAAAUAUGGUUGAGAAACUCACAUAAUGGUGGAACUGGAGGCGUCUGCACAUCGACCCAGAUGUCGAUAUUACCUUCAAUUUCAUCUUCCAGACGAAUAUCAAAGGUGAUAAGCAUAUUAGGCUCAAGUGCAUAAGCCUUGCAUAGUGCUACCCAAUUUUUGCACUCAAAAAAGGAGUAGGUGUCUGCAUUGUACAACUUUACGGCAAAAGUAUAAUCAUACUCGAUCCUCAAGUGAACUCUCUUUACCUCCAUAGUUUUUUAGUACUGAAACCUAUCUUAUCCAAGACAUAAAUUCUUGCAUGGCAGGGGAUACGCUAGUAGAAUAGUAAAAAAUAAAAAUUAUAAAUUGAAGCAAAAGAAGUCAUGCUUAAUUAAGAAAAAAGACUUGUCAUUGUGACUUACUGUAUCCACUUCGAAGUCCUCAUCCAGCAUGAUGUUGAAGCGCUUAUCAUCAACUAGGUGAGGCACGUCGCACAAGCCGCGCUCGUCUUGACAGUAUUCGCACAUAGUGAAUUUCCUUUCGUCUUCAGACAUUUCCUAUGUUCAUAGUUGAAACAUUUAAAAUCGACCGAAAAGGCAACUACCAGGAAACUUAUAUGAAAGAUCACUAUUAAUUCUAAAACAGAUCACUAUUACACCAAGACAUCCUCUAUAUUAAGAAUGCAUCAUCAUCGACAUCAAUGACAUGGCCACUAGCACUUGCAUUUUCAUCAUCGACAUUUACAACACAUUAUCAUCUAUAUCAACAACAUGGGCAUUGCCGGCAAAACACACGCACUAGGAGGUGCUCCGUGCAAUAACAUACACACAUCAAAUAGAUGACAUAUAACUCAUCAUCAUCUUACUCAUUUAAUAACUCAUGAAAGUCAUACAAGGAGCAACGACAAACCGAAAGAUAACCGAUAUUAUCACUAAUACAUCUCGAAUAUUAUCAUACAAUAUCACAAAUAAAAAUUCAGUUGACGUCUCACGGUGCAGGCGGUGGCAACCGAAAGAUAAGGAACCAUCACCGGAUCAUAGCUCAGGUGAUGUCCCUGGAGAACCUGCCAGGUAUUGGAGAACCUGGCAUCCAACGCAGCCAUGUAGAGACAUACAUGCUCGUCCUCCUCCCUAACACGGCGACGUAACAACUCCGUGGGGCCCGGCUCCCUCGGCACCGAUAAAGGCCCACGCGACUGCCACCAAAGAAGCUCCGGGUCAACGAUGAGACCCGGAUUCCUCACAAAGGUGCGCCCCCCGGAAGGUAGCACCUCCUAGUGCCAGCCCAACGGAGCCUAGUCCCGCACAUGCUGGCGCCUAUCAAGCAGGUGGUCUCCAUCGAGUUGACGACGAGGAUGCGGAAUGGGCAUCGUCGAUGUUAAGACAAAUUCCUCUGAGAAAAUUUUCUUAUUGUUUAAUGUUUUACUUUCUAAUUCUCAUUUAUACAAUAAUCAUCUCAUUUGAAUUCAGCUAGCGCCCACUACCAAAUAUACAAUAAUAAAACACAAUAUAUAUAUUAUGCAAAUAUUUCCGCAACAACAUUGAGGGCCUGAGAAAAUAAAAUGAAUAAUGACAUAAAAUGGCCUAUGUUUUGCAGGAACGUUGAUUCAUUCCUAGUGCGGAAAAUCCCGGACACUCGAUAUAUCGUAGUUUGUAGCACAAGUCAUGUCAAAAUUCACGAAAAAAUUCGAAUGACCUUUGUUAAAAGUGAAAAAAUUGAGCAGCUGCAAUUUGCCGGAACAAAAAUGAAUCAACAUUUCCGGCAUAACAUAGGCCGCUCGGCUUCAUUCCCUGUAAACAACAAAAGGCUCCCUCUCUCACUAAGUAUACACCUAAGUAAAUUCUAUGUUAACCUACUGCCCUAACUAACAACAUGACCUUAUGCCCUAACUAACAACAUGACCUUAUGCCCUAACUAACAACAUAACCUAAUUAACCUAUUUAACCUAGAACCCUUGAACUCUAUAACCCUAGAACAUAACGUAACUAACAUUUGCUAAUUUGUUAAUUGUACUAACCAAUUUAACCUAGAACCCUAGAACAUAACCUACCUAACAUUUGCUAAUCAGUUAAUUGUACUAACCUAUCACUAGUAGAAAACGGGCCUUUGGCCUGGACCAUUUAGUCCCGGCCUGCCUCUGGGUCGGGACUAAAGGCCCGGCCACGUCGCCCCAAUUCUCAAUGCCUCCCUCGAGGCUUUAGUCCCGGCCCGUAAGGAGCCUGUAGUCUCGGUUCGAGUCACAAAGCGGGACUAAAGGGCUACGCGGCGGGCAGUGGUGGUGGCAACCGUUCGUAUACCUCUUUAGUCCCCGUUGGUGGCUCAACCCGGGACUAAAGGACUAACACGUGGCCUGCCGUGGUGGUGGCGACCGUUGGUAUACCUCUUUAGUCCCGGUUGGUGGCUCAACCCGGGACUAAAGGACUAACACGUGGCCUAACGUAGUGGGGCGACUGUUGGCAUACCUCUUUAGUCCCGGUUGGUGGUUGAACCCGGGACUAAAAGCCUAACACGUGGCCUGCCGUAGUGGUGGCAACCAUUUGGUAUACCUCUUUAGUCCCGGUUGGUGGCUCAAACCGGGAUUAAAGGCCCAAAUGGUUUGCAUCCCGCGUCGUUUCGGGAGAUGAAAAGCACGAACCGAAGCGUACAGUCGCCAUUUCUCUGUUCUUCUUCUCUCUCACGUCGCCCUCUCUAUUCUUCUCCUCUCUCGCGUCGCCCUCUCUGUUCUUCUCCUCUCUUCUUCCCUUCUCUUGUUCCACCAUGCCAACUACCUUUCAUGAGGUGGUCGCGCAUGGGACGACCAAGCUCCGUGUCGUGUACACGAACCUGAGCACGGAGGUGCCGUUUUUCCUUCAACAGUUGAAGGAACGAUGGUUUAACCAUGCACCAGAUCAUGAGAAGUUCUUCGGGCUUGAUCUGAAGUACACGGCCGAUCAACGCGGUGUUGCCGUCAUCCAAAUAUGCUUCGCAAGCCAUGUCUUGAUCUUCCAAUGGGGGAGGUAAGUUUUGAGGCUUUCUUUGAUCCAAGAUAAUACAUUGUAUAAGUUUAUUUGUUUCUAUCAUAGUUGGUUCCCUUCAAAUAGUUGUAGUGAAACAAUUUUGAUUACUUGAAGGGGAGCACAAUCUAAUUGGAAUAGUGUUCCAUAAUCUGAAAAAUCGUAUUAGAAUAAACUAGUGUUUAAUAUGUUCCAUUGGAAUCAUAGUUGGUUCCCUUCAAAUAGUUGUAGUGAAACAAUUUUGAUUAGUUGAAGGGGAGCACAAUCUAAUUGGAAUAGUGUUCCAUAAUCUGAAAAAUCGUAUUAGAAUCAACUAGUGUUUAAUAUGUUCCAUUGGAAUCAUAGUUGGUUCCCUUGAAAUAGUUGUAGUGAAACAAUUUUGAUUACUUGAAGGGGAGCACAAUCUGAUUGGAAUAAUCUUCCAUAAUCUGAAAAAUCGUAUUAGAAUCAACUAGUGUUUAAUAUGUUCCAUUGGAAUCAUAGUUGGUUCCCUUCAAAUAGUUGUAGUGAAACAAUUUUGAUUAGUUGAAGGGGAACACAAUCUGAUUGGAAUAGUGUUUCAUAAUCUGAAAAAUCGUAUUAGAAUGAACUAGUGUUUAAUAUGUUCCACUGGAAUCAUAGUUGGUUCGCUUCAAAUAGUUGUAGUGAAACAAUUUUGAUUAGUUGAAGGGGAACACAAUCUGAUUGGAAUAGUGUUCCAUAAUCUAAAAAAUCGUAUUAGAAUGAACUAGUGUUUAAUAUGUUCCAUUGGAACCAUAGUUGGUUCGCUUCAAAUAGUUGUAGUGAUCUCUCUAGGUUCCAUUGCAUAUGUUCUAUUUGAAUCCAAAAGAUAAGUUUCUCUUUAGUUGUAGUGAAACAUGUUUCCUUAUUGCAGCAGUAUGUAACAUUUGUUCCAUUCUAAUUUGUUUCUGUUGCAGGAGUGACAAGCAUUGUCCUGGACUCAUGGAGUUCCUUCGCAGCGGCGUCACUUUUGCUUCCGUUGACAUAUGGAACGACAGGCUGAAGAUGAGGCACAACUUCGGUAUUGAGAUACGAGCUGGUUGCCUCGUUGAUCUCCAAACGAUAUUCAGGCUUCGACAUGAGAGGACUUCGAUGGCUCAUAUGGCAGUUGCCUUGAUCGACGAUUCAUAUGGUGAUAUGAAGACCAGUUUCCCAAAGUCUCAGCACAGACUUUGGGAGAAGGGCCCACUUGAUGAUAUCAACAUUCAGUAUGCAGCAAAAGAUGCAUACGUUUCAUACGAGUUGUACCGCAAGAUUCGAGUCGUCAACUAUGGCCAGCGUCACCUCGAGGAAGGUGGGCAUUCUGAUUCAGAUGAUUCAGACGAGUAGUGUUCUUAACGUCGAACACUUGUAUAUAUAUAUCUAUGGUAGCUAUUAUUAUGUACUGUUUGGGCUAGUAUCAUGUACUUCUUGGACCAAUUUACAUAUGUCUAGUUUCUGUUUGUGCCAUUAUAGUUUCCCAAUUUGAAUGGUUUAGCCCUUUCUAACUUCGUUUGCUACUUUUGAAUGGUUUAGCCCUUUCUAACUUCAUGGUAUCAUGCAUUUCGACCACAUAUAUAUACAAAAAGUCUUUAGUUCAAAUAAGUUCAAAUAAGUUCAUGCAUUUCAACAUUUUCAGAGUUCAUUUGUAGUGCUUUUCAAUUUCAGGGUCAACUAGCUCAAAAAAAAUAAGUAAAUGCACGAAAUAUACCAAAUGAAGUCAGAAAUUGUUGAAAUUUUGUGAUGUGCCUUUGAAUGGUGCAUUUUGAACACACAAAAAGUAUGGAGUUCAAAUAAGUNUUUAAAAAAAUGAAAUCCUUUUGUAAGAGAUGAGUUCUCGUUCGAAACCCUGCUACUUCGAGAGAGAUUGUCAGUUUUGUACACGAACUGCAUCCAGUUUUUGUCGUAGCCUUCUCAACUUUUUAACACAUGCUAUGUGGGUGAAAUGACGAUAGCAUGCCAACUUUCAACAUUUUCAGAGUUCAUUUGUAGUGCUUUUCAAUUUCAGGGUCAACUAGCUNNNNNNNNNNNNNNNNNNNNNNNNNNNNNNNNNNNNNNNNNNNNNNNNNNNNNNNNNNNNNNNNNNNNNNNNNNNNNNNNNNNNNNNNNNNNNNNNNNNNUCUUUCAUAUUAUCCUUUCUUUAAUUUCCCCAACAUUGACAUAAUUAGCCCAUUUAGCUCCAAAAUGCCAUAAUAAGCUCAGAAUGGCAUAAGAACCUUGGUGAGCUCAUGAAUAUUAUAUACUUAGCUUGUUUUCCUGUAAAAUGGGAUAAUUAGCCCAUUUAGCUCCAAAAAGACAUAAUUAGGUAAUUUAGCUCCANNNNNNNNNNNNNNNNNNNNNNNNNNNNNNNNNNNNNNNNNNNNNNNNNNNNNNNNNNNNNNNNNNNNNNNNNNNNNNNNNNNNNNNNNNNNNNNNNNNNNNNUCCUUCUCCUCCUUCUUGAUUUCUUCUUCUUCUCCUCCGCCUCCUAUUUCUUCUCCUAUUUCAUAUUAUCCUUGCUUUAAUUUCCCCAACAAUGACAUAAUUAGCCCAUUUAGCUCCAAAAUACCGUAAUAAGCUCAAAAUAGCAUAAGAACCUUGGUUAGCUCAUGAAUAUUAUAUACUUAGCUUGUUUUCCUCUAAAAUGGGAUAAUUAACCCAUUUAGCUCCAAAAAGACAUAAUUAGGUAAUUUAGCUCCAACAAUAAAUAGGAAAAAUGAAAAGAAAGAAAGANNNNNNNNNNNNNNNNNNNNNNNNNNNNNNNNNNNNNNNNNNNNNNNNNNNNNNNNNNNNNNNNNNNNNNNNNNNNNNNNNNNNNNNNNNNNNNNNNNNNNNNNNNNNNNNNNNNNNNNNNNNCCCCAACAAUGACAUAAUUAACCCAUUUAGCUCCAAAAUGCCAUAAUAAGCUAAAAAUGGCAUAAGAACCUUGGUUAGCUCAUGAAUAUUAUAUUCUUAGCUUGUUUUCCGCUAGAAAUGACAUAAUUACCUCAAAACAUCAUAUUUUGUUCUUUUUCUGACUUUCUUAUUCACANNNNNNNNNNNNNNNNNNNNNNNNNNNNNNNNNNNNNNNNNNNNNNNNNNNNNNNNNNNNNNNNNNNNNNNNNNNNNNNNNNNNNNNNNNNNNNNNNNNNUGAAAAGUGUUUCAAAUUGAAUAAAUAAUGCAAAACUAUUUUUUAUUUUCAUAAUUAAUAAUUUUGACUAUCCAAACUAUUAUCUAUUUUGUUAUUUUCAAUUAAAAACUAUGUUUAUUAAAAAUUCUUUUUGCAUAUUUGAGAAUUUAACAAAACUAUGAUAAUGAAAAGUGUUUCAAAUUGAAUAAAUAAUGCAAAACUAUUUUUAUUUUCAUAAUUAAUAAUUUUGACUAUCCAAACUAUUAUCUAUUUUGUUAUUUUGACUUCAUUUGGUAUAUUUCGUGCAUGUACUUAUUUUUUUUGAGCUAGUUGACCCUGAAAUUGAAAAGCACUACAAAUGAACCACUACUGAAAUUCAGAAAUUUGCCGUCUGCCAAGGCGGACGGCAAAGGGGGCAACCAUGGACGGCAAAGGCUUUGCCGUCUGCCCCCUCAUGGCAAAGUAGAUGGUAAAAAAAAUCCGGUGAAGAGGCUCUUUGCCGUCUGCUUUCACAAAGCGGACGGCAAAGAAUCUUUGCCAUGAGGGGGAAGACGGCAAAAUAAGUGGGACGGCAUAUAUUGCAACGUCCCCGUUAAGUGUUAACGGCAGGCCUCCUCUCUUUGCCGUCUGCCUCCCCCCCUUUGCCAUGUGGGGGUAAACGGCAAAGAGGGAGAGAGAGGGGGCAGAUUCUCUCUUUGCCGUCUGCCUCCCCCCCUUUGCCAUGUGGGGGCAGACGGCAAAAAGGGGAGAGAGAGGGGGCAGAUUCUCUCUUUGCCGUCUGCCUCCCCCCCUUUGCCAUGUGGGGGCAGACGGGGGGGGGGGGAGAGAGAGGGGGCAGAUUCUCUCUUUGCCGUCUGCCUCCCCCCCUUUGCCAUGUGGGGGCAGACGGCAAAGAGGGGAGAGAGAGGGGGCAGAUUCUCUCUUUGCCGUCUGCCUCCCCCCCUUUGCCAUGUGGGGGCAGACGGCAAAGAGGGGAGAGAGAAGGGGCAGAUUCUCUCUUUGCCGUCUGCCUCCCCCCUUUGCCAUGUGGGGGCAGACGGCAAAGAGGGGAGAGAGAGGGGGCAGAUUCCCCCUUUGCCGUCUGCCUCCACCCCUUUGCCAUGUGUUGGCAGACGGCAAAGAGGGGAACCAUCCCCUUUUUUAUUUAUUUUUUGUUAUAUCCAGCAUUUUUAACAAUAAUCAGGAUAUAUAUAUAUAUUUGACAUAAAUAAAUUUCUUUUCGUACCCAUAACCAUAUUAAAAUAACUCUCAUCCAUAGUGCAUACAUAUUAUGGAAGUUACAUUCGUACCAAACCUAAUAUUACACCAGUUUCAUCCACGUGCAUACAAAGUUUCAUAUAUUCAUAUACUACAACAGNNNNNNNNNNNNNNNNNNNNNNNNNNNNNNNNNNNNNNNNNNNNNNNNNNNNNNNNNNNNNNNNNNNNNNNNNNNNNNNNNNNNNNNNNNNNNNNNNNNNAAAUGUUGAAAGUUGGCAUGCUAUCAUCAUUUCACCCACAUAGCAUGUGUUAAAAAGUUGAGAGGGCUACAACGAAAACUUGAUGCAGUUCGUUUACAAAAUUAACAAUCUCUCUCGAAGUAGCAGGGUUUCGAACGAGAACUCAUCUCUUACAAAGGGAUUUCAUUUUUUUAAACUUAUUUGAACUCCAUACUUUUUGUGUGUUAAAAAUGCACCAUUCAAAGGCACAUCACAAAAUUUCAACAAUUUCUGACUUCAUUUGGUAUAUUUCGUNGUGCAUUUACUUAAUUUUUUUGAGCUAGUUGACCCUGAAAUUGAAAAGCACUACAAAUGAACUCUGAAAAUGUUGAAAGUUGGCAUGCUGUCAUCAUUUCACCCACAUAGCAUGUGUUAAAAAGUUGAGAGGGCUAUGAAAAAAACUGGAUGCAGUUCAUGUACAAAACUGACAAUCCCUCUGGAAGUAGCUGGGUUUCGAACGAGAACUCAUCUCUUACAAAGGGAUUUCAUUUUUUUAAACUUAUUUGAACUCCAUACUUNNNNNNNNNNNNNNNNNNNNNNNNNNNNNNNNNNNNNNNNNNNNNNNNNNNNNNNNNNNNNNNNNNNNNNNNNNNNNNNNNNNNNNNNNNNNNNNNNNNNGUUGGAAAUAUGCCCUAGAGGCAAUAUACUAAAUUUCUUAUUAUUAUAUUUCCUUGUUCAUGAUAAUCGUUUAUUAUCCAUGCUAGAAUUGUAUUGAUUGGAAGCUCAAAUACAUGUGUGGAUACGUAGACAACACACUGUCCCUAAUGAGCCUUUAAGUACUAGCUCGUUGAUCGAAGAUGGUCAAGGAUUCCUGACCAUAGACACGAGUUAUCAUUUGAUAAGAGGAUCACAUCAUUAGGAGAAUGAUGUGAUGGACAAGAUACAAACUAUAAACUUAACAUACGAUCGUGUUAGUUUAUUGCUACUGUUUUCUGCAUGUCAACUAUCUGUUUCUAUGACCAUGAGAUCAUGCAACUAUCAGGCACCGGAGGAAUGCCUUGUGUGUAUCAAACGUAACAACGUAAUUGGGUGACUAUAAAAGUGCUCUAAUGGUAUCUCUGAAGGUGUAUGUUGGGUUGGCAUGAAUUGAGACUUUGAUUUGUCACUCCGUAUGACGAAGAGGUAUCUCUAGAGCCUACUCGGUAAUGAAAAAUCACAAUGAGCUUGCAAGUAAUGUGACUAAAGAGUUAGUCACGGCAUCUUGUAUUACGGAAUGAGUAAAGACACUUGCCGAUAACGAGAUUGAACUAGGUAUGGAGAUACCGACGAUCGAAUCUCGGGAAAGUAACAUACCGAUGGACAAAGGGAACAAUAUACGAGAUUGAUUGAAUCCUUGACAUCGUGGUUCGACCGAUAAGGAUCUUUGUACAAUAUGUAGGAGCCAAUAUGGGCAUCCAUGUCCCGCUAUUGGUUAUUUACCAGCGAGUGUCUCAGGUCAUGUGUGCAUAGUUCUUGAACAUGCAGGACCUGCACACUUAAAGUUUGGCGACGUUUUAGUAUAGUUGAGUUAUGUAUGUUGGUGACCGAAGGUUGUUCGGAGUCCCGGAUGAGAUCCCGGACGUCACCAGGAGCUCUUGAAUGGUCCGGAUGUAAAGAUUGAUACAUGGGAAGUUCUGUGUUGGUCACUAGAGAAAGUUCGAGCGUCAUCGAUGGCGUACCGGGGGUGCCGGAAGGUUUCCGGGGGUCCACCAGCCCGGAGGGUCCACACGGGCUGUGAGGGAUGCACACCAGCCCCUGCUGGACUUGGUGCACAUCCCCGCCUAAGGCCCAUGUGGCUGGGCUGGUGGAGGGCCAACCCUAUAGGGGCGCGCCACCCUAACGUUGGGGGGGGGGGGGGGGCAAGCCACCCCUAGGGCAGAUGCCCCUUCCUCCUUUGGCCGCUGCCCCUCCCUCCUUUGGCCGCCGCCCCCUAGGGUUGAAUCCCUAGGGCGGAGCCCCUCUCCCCUUCCCCCUAUAUAUAUAGAUGGGGAGAGAGAGGGCUCCAACACACCAAGGCCACGACGCAGCCCUGUCUCUCCCACAUAUCAGUUUUCUCCUCUAGAUUGGUUCCGGUAUUGCUUGGCGAAGCCUUGNNNNNNNNNNNNNNNNNNNNNNNNNNNNNNNNNNNNNNNNNNNNNNNNNNNNNNNNNNNNNNNNNNNNNNNNNNNNNNNNNNNNNNNNNNNNNNNNNNNNCUCUCUCUCUCUCUCUCUCUCUCUCUCUCUCUCUCUCUUCUUCUUCUUCUCUCCUCCUCCUCCUCUUCUUCUUCUCUCUUCUUCUUCUUCUUCUCCUGCUUUUUUUCCUUCUGCUUUUYYUCUUCUAACCUAACUAACUAACCUAAUUAGCCUAAUAAUCUAACCAAAUAAACUAACUAAAUUACCCUAUAUAUAAUAAAAAACUAACCUAAUAAACUAACUAAAGUAAUUAACUUUUUUAAAAAGAAAAACAGGAAAAACUCACCGGCAGGGGGCGGCGGCGGCAGGGGGCGCGCGGCUGGGGGCUCGCCGCAGGGGGGCGKCGGCGGCAGGGGGCGGCGACGGCAGGGGGCGCAAUGCAGGUGGMGCGSGCGCGCGGCAGGGGGCGGCGGCGGCAGGGGGCGCGCCGCAGGGGAGGUGCUCACCGUGGGGGUGGGUCGCCGCGGGGAGGGGAUCCCACGGGGAGGGGUCNCCGGGGGGGGGUGGCUCGCCGCGGGGAGGGGAUCUCGCGGGGAGGGGUCGCCGCCGUGGAGAGAGAGAGUGGUCGGGGUGAGAGAGAGAGAGAGACAGUGAGCGAGGGGGUAACGGCCGUUAUAGGGCGGCCCCUUUGCCGUCCGCCCCCCGACGGCAAAGGGCCGUAUGGCAGACGGCAAAGGCCCGCGGACGGCAAAGGCCGCCGGAUUUCGGACACGGCAGGCAUGGGACCCACGCGUCCCCUUUGCCGUCUGCCCUGGGGCUCUUUGCCGUCUGCUGGCAGACGGCAAAGGACCCACACAUGGAAAAUAGUAUUUUUGCCAUGUGUCAGUUCUUUGUCGUCUGUAUUGUGUCAACUGAUGGCAAAGAGGUUCUUUGCCGUCAGCCAGCAGACGGUAAAGAACUGGCUGACGGCAAAUUUCUGGAUUCCAGUAGUGAACUCUGAAAAUGUUGAAAGUUGGCAUGCUAUCAUCAAUUCACCCACAUAGCAUGUGUUAAAAAGUUGAGAGGGAUACGACCAAAACUGGAUGCUGUUCGUGUACAAAACUGACAAUCUCUCUCGAAGUAGCAGGGUUUCGAAAGAGAACUCAUCUCUUACAAAGGGAUUUCAUUUUUUUAAACUUAUUUGAACUCCAUACUUUUUAUCUGUUCAAAAUGCACCAUUCAAAGGCACAUCACAAAAUUCCAACAAUUUCUGACUUCAUUUCGUAUAUUUCGUGCAUUUACUUAUUUUUUUGAGCUAGUUGACCCUGAAAUUGAAAAGCACUACAAAUGAACUCUGAAAAUGUUGAAAGUUGGCAUGCUAUCAUCAUUUCACCCACAUAGCAUGUGUUAAAAAGUUGAGAGGGCUACGAGAAAAACUGGAUGUAGUUCGUGUACAAAACUGACAAUCUCUCUCGAAGUAGCAGGGUUUCGAACGAGAACUCAUCUCUUACAAAGGGAUUUCAUUUUUUAAAACUUAUUUGAACUCCAUACUUUUUGUGUGUUCAAAAUGCACCAUUCAAAGGCACAUCAUCAAUUUUCAACAAUUUUUGACUUCAUUUGGUAUUUUUCAUAAAUUUAUUGUUUUUUUGAGCUAAAUGACCCUUAAAUUGAAAAGCACUACAAAUCACCUCUGAAAAGAUUGAAAAUUGGCAUAGUAUCAUCAUUUCACCCACAAAGCAUGUGCUAAAUAGUUGAGAGGGUUAUGGCAAAACUAGGAUGCACUUCGUGUACAAAACGGAGAAUCUCUUUCGAAGUAUCACAGAUUCACAUGAAAACUCAUCUAUUACAAAGGGAUUUCAUCUUUUUGAACUUAUUUGAACUCCAGACUUUUUGUGUGUUCAAAAUGCACCAUUUAAAGCCACAUCAUCAAUUUUGAACAAUUUAUGACUGCAUUUUGUAUUUUUCAUGCAUUUACUGAUUUUUUUGAGCUACAUGACCCUUAAAUUGAAAAGCAUUACAAAUGAACUCUGAAAAGGUUAAAAGUUUGCAUGGUUUCAUCAUUUCACCCACAUAGCAUGUGAUAAUAAGUUGAGAGGGUUACGGCAAAAACAGGAUGCACUUCGUGUACAAAACGAACAAUCUCUUUCGAACUAUCAAGGUUUCAUACGAAAACUCACCUAUUACAAAGGAAUUUCAUUUUUUGAACUUAUUUGAACUCCAUACUUUUUAUGUGUUAAAAUGCACCAUUCAAAGCCACAUCAUCAAUUUUCAAAAAAUUCUGACUUCAUAUGGUAUUUUACAUGCAUUUCCUUUUUUUUUGAGCUAAAUGACCAUGAAAUUGAAAAGCACUACAAAUGAACUAUGAAAAGGUUGAAAGGUGGUAUGGUAUGAUCAUUUCACCCACAUAGCAUGUGUUAAAAAGUUGAGAGGGUUACGGCAAAAACUGGAUGCACUUCAUGUAUAAAACAUACAAUCUCUUUCGAAAUAUCACAUUUUAAAUACGAAAACUCAUCCGUUACAAAGGGAUUUUAUUUUUUUGAACUUAUUUGAACUCCGGCCUUUUUGUGUGUUCAAAAUGCACAAUUCAGAGCCACAUCAUAAAUUUUCAAUAAUUUGUGACUUCAUUUGCUAUUUUUCAUGCAUUUAUUGAUUUUUUUAGCUAAAUGACCCUUAAAUUGGAAAGCACUACAAAUGAACUUUGAAAAGGUUGAAAGUUGGCAUGGUAUCAUCAUUCCACCCCACAUAGCAUGUGAUAAAAAGUUGAGAGGGUUACGGCAAAAACUGGAUGCACUUCAUAUACAAAACAGACAAUCUCCUUCGAAGUGUCAGGGUUUCAUACGAAAACUCAUUUGUUACAAAGGGAUUUCAUUUUUUUGAAUUCAUUUGAACUCCAGACUUUUUGUGUGUUCAAAAUGAACCAUUCAAAGCCACAUCAUCAAUUUUCAACAAUUUUUGAAUUCAUUUGGUAUUUUUCUAUGCAUUUACUGAUUUUUUUGUAGCAAAAUGACCCUUAAAUUGAAAAGCACUACAAAUGAACUCUGAAAAGGCUGAAAGUUGACAUGGUAUCAUCAUUUCACCUACAUAGCAUGUGCUAAAAAGUUGAGAGGGUUAUGACAAAAACUGGAGAACUUCGUGUAAAAAAUGGACAAUCUCUUUCGAAGUAUCACAGUUUCAUACGAAAAUUCUUCUGUUACAAAGGAAUUUUAUUUUGUUGAACUUAUUUGAAAUCCAGACUUUUUGUGUGUUCAAAAUGCACCAUUCAAAGCCAUAUCAUAAAAUUUCAACAAUUUCUGACAUCAUUUGGUAUUUUUUAUGCAUUACUGAUUUUUUUAGCUAAAUGACCAUGAAAUUGAAAAGCACUACAAAUGAACUCUCAAAAGUUUGAAAAUUGGCUUGGUAUCAUCAUUUCACCGACAUAGCAUGUGAUUAAAAGUUGAGAGGGUUACGAGAAAAACUGGAUGCACUUGGUCUACAAAACGAACAAUCUCUUUGGAAGUAUAAGGGUUUCAUACGAAAACUCAUCUAUUACAAAAGACAUUUCAUUACUUCACUUUUUCUUUGCUUGUGUUCUUUGAUUAUUGCGCCGUAACCAUGGAUAAUCAGUACUAGGAAAAAGCCUAGUAGUAGCGCGGGUUUAGUGCCUACUAGUAGCGCGGGUAAUCGCGCUACUAGUAAGGCGCUACAGCUAUUACUUACCAGCAGCGCGUGUAAGACGCGCUACUGCUAAGACAUAUAAGUGUCGUACAAGUGCUAUUGAUAAAACAAUAUUAGUAGCGUUCUUCUAAACCCGCGCUACUAGUAAUCUGUUUUUCAUUAUUUUUAAUAUGUAGUGUAUUUAUACGUCGUUAUAUAAAUUUUGAUAGAGUACCAAUUAAGAGGUUGUUAUAUCAUUAUGUUCAUGAAGAAUUAUUAUAUCAUUGUGAUGAAUAAACCUGGAUUUUAUUCAUCUAAAUGAAUCAAAAGUGAUCAAAAGUUGAAUUAGUAGGACGACGAUCCUAGUAAUUCAACUUUUGGUCACUUUUGAUCCAUCCACAUGAAUCUAAUCCGCUUUCCUUCCCGCAAUGACAUAAUAACCAAUCAUGAUCAUAAUAACAAAUCUUCAUGAUAAUCAUGAUCAACAUCAUCAGCAUAUUAAUAUAAAAACUCUUGCAUCAUAUCAUCACUAACAACACUAUAGCGAAUAAUCAUCAUAGUCAUUACCACCAACACUAUUUAAUCAUCAUUUUCGUCAAUGAGACGUCAUAUAACAAGUUGGUGGCUAGUCAUAAUCACAACUCCUCCUCCUCCUCAUUAUCAACUAUAACACAUUUUAGCACAUAAUAACACAUUGUACCUAGGACCUACUCCUCUCUCAUAGUACCUACUCUACCCUCUCUUAGGUAGAAUAUCACAAAACAAGAUAGGCCCGGUCUCUCCAUUAUGGAGAAUGGAGAUCAUCCUGUCUCUAACUCUUACCCUACGCACAGUAUUGCUUCCAAGUAGCUCUCUACGAUUGGCCAUGCAUUUUUUCCAAUCUUUGAUUGUCAUUUCAUCGGUUAUAGAAACCCUGUAUGGACAGGAGUGAUGCAUAUACAUAGGCUACCUGGCCGUGCUGGCCGUAAGCUCAUAAUAUCAACACGACCUCUUGGAAACAUCACAUGAGGCACACAAUCCUUCUGGAUUUUCUGUUGAAAAACAUAGUAAUAACUUUGUAGCUAGCAAUGCAGUUUAGUUUUACAAGAAUUUAUGCAAAAGAUGCACGGAUGUCGUAAUAGUAGAAAAUAUUACCAUGCAAUCUCCAUGCAUGUUACCGUAGUUCACCACGUGCACUAUUGGCACGUAUUGACCAUAAUGUGGAGGAGUUUGCUGAUAGCUAUUGUAAUUCUCAAGAUCAUUAAUAAAUGCGACAAGAUGAUUUUUGUCCUGAUAAGUUAAUUCUGCUUCAUCAUUGUAGUGGUAGGUUCUGUCUACCAUCUCCCGUACAUUUUUUGAAGAAUGAAAAUAAGUUGUAAAUGGAAGUAAGUUGUCAACAAUUUUUAAAUAAACAAUAUAAAUUACUCAAUAAAUAUGGUUGAGAAACUCACAUAAUGGUGGAACUGGAGGCGUCUGCACAUCGACCCAGAUGUCGAUAUUACCUUCAAUUUCAUCUUCCAGACGAAUAUCAAAGGUGAUAAGCAUAUUAGGCUCAAGUGCAUAAGCCUUGCAUAGUGCUACCCAAUUUUUGCACUCAAAAAAGGAGUAGGUGUCUGCAUUGUACAACUUUACGGCAAAAGUAUAAUCAUACUCGAUCCUCAAGUGAACUCUCUUUACCUCCAUAGUUUUUUAGUACUGAAACCUAUCUUAUCCAAGACAUAAAUUCUUGCAUGGCAGGGGAUACGCUAGUAGAAUAGUAAAAAAUAAAAUUAUAAAUUGAAGCAAAAGAAGUCAUGCUUAAUUAAGAAAAAAGACUUGUCAUUGUGACUUACUGUAUCCACUUCGAAGUCCUCAUCCAGCAUGAUGUUGAAGCGCUUAUCAUCAACUAGGUGAGGCACGUCGCACAAGCCGCGCUCGUCUUGACAGUAUUCGCACAUAGUGAAUUUCCUUUCGUCUUCAGACAUUUCCUAUGUUCAUAGUUGAAACAUUUAAAAUCGACCGAAAAGGCAACUACCAGGAAACUUAUAUGAAAGAUCACUAUUAAUUCUAAAACAGAUCACUAUUACACCAAGACAUCCUCUAUAUUAAGAAUGCAUCAUCAUCGACAUCAAUGACAUGGCCACUAGCACUUGCAUUUUCAUCAUCGACAUUUACAACACAUUAUCAUCUAUAUCAACAACAUGGGCAUUGCCGGCAAAACACACGCACUAGGAGGUGCUCCGUGCAAUAACAUACACACAUCAAAUAGAUGACAUAUAACUCAUCAUCAUCUUACUCAUUUAAUAACUCAUGAAAGUCAUACAAGGAGCAACGACAAACCGAAAGAUAACCGAUAUUAUCACUAAUACAUCUCGAAUAUUAUCAUACAAUAUCACAAAUAAAAAUUCAGUUGACGUCUCACGGUGCAGGCGGUGGCAACCGAAAGAUAAGGAACCAUCACCGGAUCAUAGCUCAGGUGAUGUCCCUGGAGAACCUGCCAGGUAUUGGAGAACCUGGCAUCCAACGCAGCCAUGUAGAGACAUACAUGCUCGUCCUCCUCCCUAACACGGCGACGUAACAACUCCGUGGGGCCCGGCUCCCUCGGCACCGAUAAAGGCCCACGCGACUGCCACCAAAGAAGCUCCGGGUCAACGAUGAGACCCGGAUUCCUCACAAAGGUGCGCCCCCCGGAAGGUAGCACCUCCUAGUGCCAGCCCAACGGAGCCUAGUCCCGCACAUGCUGGCGCCUAUCAAGCAGGUGGUCUCCAUCGAGUUGACGACGAGGAUGCGGAAUGGGCAUCGUCGAUGUUAAGACAAAUUCCUCUGAGAAAAUUUUCUUAUUGUUUAAUGUUUUACUUUCUAAUUCUCAUUUAUACAAUAAUCAUCUCAUUUGAAUUCAGCUAGCGCCCACUACCAAAUAUACAAUAAUAAAACACAAUAUAUAUAUUAUGCAAAUAUUUCCGCAACAACAUUGAGGGCCUGAGAAAAUAAAAUGAAUAAUGACAUAAAAUGGCCUAUGUUUUGCAGGAACGUUGAUUCAUUCCUAGUGCGGAAAAUCCCGGACACUCGAUAUAUCGUAGUUUGUAGCACAAGUCAUGUCAAAAUUCACGAAAAAAUUCGAAUGACCUUUGUUAAAAGUGAAAAAAUUGAGCAGCUGCAAUUUGCCGGAACAAAAAUGAAUCAACAUUUCCGGCAUAACAUAGGCCGCUCGGCUUCAUUCCCUGUAAACAACAAAAGGCUCCCUCUCUCACUAAGUAUACACCUAAGUAAAUUCUAUGUUAACCUACUGCCCUAACUAACAACAUGACCUUAUGCCCUAACUAACAACAUGACCUUAUGCCCUAACUAACAACAUAACCUAAUUAACCUAUUUAACCUAGAACCCUUGAACUCUAUAACCCUAGAACAUAACGUAACUAACAUUUGCUAAUUUGUUAAUUGUACUAACCAAUUUAACCUAGAACCCUAGAACAUAACCUACCUAACAUUUGCUAAUCAGUUAAUUGUACUAACCUAUCACUAGUAGAAAACGGGCCUUUGGCCUGGACCAUUUAGUCCCGGCCUGCCUCUGGGUCGGGACUAAAGGCCCGGCCACGUCGCCCCAAUUCUCAAUGCCUCCCUCGAGGCUUUAGUCCCGGCCCGUAAGGAGCCUGUAGUCUCGGUUCGAGUCACAAAGCGGGACUAAAGGGCUACGCGGCGGGCAGUGGUGGUGGCAACCGUUCGUAUACCUCUUUAGUCCCCGUUGGUGGCUCAACCCGGGACUAAAGGACUAACACGUGGCCUGCCGUGGUGGUGGCGACCGUUGGUAUACCUCUUUAGUCCCGGUUGGUGGCUCAACCCGGGACUAAAGGACUAACACGUGGCCUAACGUAGUGGGGCGACUGUUGGCAUACCUCUUUAGUCCCGGUUGGUGGUUGAACCCGGGACUAAAAGCCUAACACGUGGCCUGCCGUAGUGGUGGCAACCAUUUGGUAUACCUCUUUAGUCCCGGUUGGUGGCUCAAACCGGGAUUAAAGGCCCAAAUGGUUUGCAUCCCGCGUCGUUUCGGGAGAUGAAAAGCACGAACCGAAGCGUACAGUCGCCAUUUCUCUGUUCUUCUUCUCUCUCACGUCGCCCUCUCUAUUCUUCUCCUCUCUCGCGUCGCCCUCUCUGUUCUUCUCCUCUCUUCUUCCCUUCUCUUGUUCCACCAUGCCAACUACCUUUCAUGAGGUGGUCGCGCAUGGGACGACCAAGCUCCGUGUCGUGUACACGAACCUGAGCACGGAGGUGCCGUUUUUCCUUCAACAGUUGAAGGAACGAUGGUUUAACCAUGCACCAGAUCAUGAGAAGUUCUUCGGGCUUGAUCUGAAGUACACGGCCGAUCAACGCGGUGUUGCCGUCAUCCAAAUAUGCUUCGCAAGCCAUGUCUUGAUCUUCCAAUGGGGGAGGUAAGUUUUGAGGCUUUCUUUGAUCCAAGAUAAUACAUUGUAUAAGUUUAUUUGUUUCUAUCAUAGUUGGUUCCCUUCAAAUAGUUGUAGUGAAACAAUUUUGAUUACUUGAAGGGGAGCACAAUCUAAUUGGAAUAGUGUUCCAUAAUCUGAAAAAUCGUAUUAGAAUAAACUAGUGUUUAAUAUGUUCCAUUGGAAUCAUAGUUGGUUCCCUUCAAAUAGUUGUAGUGAAACAAUUUUGAUUAGUUGAAGGGGAACACAAUCUGAUUGGAAUAGUGUUUCAUAAUCUGAAAAAUCGUAUUAGAAUGAACUAGUGUUUAAUAUGUUCCACUGGAAUCAUAGUUGGUUCGCUUCAAAUAGUUGUAGUGAAACAAUUUUGAUUAGUUGAAGGGGAACACAAUCUGAUUGGAAUAGUGUUCCAUAAUCUAAAAAAUCGUAUUAGAAUGAACUAGUGUUUAAUAUGUUCCAUUGGAACCAUAGUUGGUUCGCUUCAAAUAGUUGUAGUGAUCUCUCUAGGUUCCAUUGCAUAUGUUCUAUUUGAAUCCAAAAGAUAAGUUUCUCUUUAGUUGUAGUGAAACAUGUUUCCUUAUUGCAGCAGUAUGUAACAUUUGUUCCAUUCUAAUUUGUUUCUGUUGCAGGAGUGACAAGCAUUGUCCUGGACUCAUGGAGUUCCUUCGCAGCGGCGUCACUUUUGCUUCCGUUGACAUAUGGAACGACAGGCUGAAGAUGAGGCACAACUUCGGUAUUGAGAUACGAGCUGGUUGCCUCGUUGAUCUCCAAACGAUAUUCAGGCUUCGACAUGAGAGGACUUCGAUGGCUCAUAUGGCAGUUGCCUUGAUCGACGAUUCAUAUGGUGAUAUGAAGACCAGUUUCCCAAAGUCUCAGCACAGACUUUGGGAGAAGGGCCCACUUGAUGAUAUCAACAUUCAGUAUGCAGCAAAAGAUGCAUACGUUUCAUACGAGUUGUACCGCAAGAUUCGAGUCGUCAACUAUGGCCAGCGUCACCUCGAGGAAGGUGGGCAUUCUGAUUCAGAUGAUUCAGACGAGUAGUGUUCUUAACGUCGAACACUUGUAUAUAUAUAUCUAUGGUAGCUAUUAUUAUGUACUGUUUGGGCUAGUAUCAUGUACUUCUUGGACCAAUUUACAUAUGUCUAGUUUCUGUUUGUGCCAUUAUAGUUUCCCAAUUUGAAUGGUUUAGCCCUUUCUAACUUCGUUUGCUACUUUUGAAUGGUUUAGCCCUUUCUAACUUCAUGGUAUCAUGCAUUUCGACCACAUAUAUAUACAAAAAGUCUUUAGUUCAAAUAAGUUCAAAUAAGUUCAUGCAUUUCAACAUUUUCAGAGUUCAUUUGUAGUGCUUUUCAAUUUCAGGGUCAACUAGCUCAAAAAAAAAAGUAAAUGCACGAAAUAUACCAAAUGAAGUCAGAAAUUGUUGAAAUUUUGUGAUGUGCCUUUGAAUGGUGCAUUUUGAACACACAAAAAGUAUGGAGUUCAAAUAAGUUUAAAAAAAUGAAAUCCCUUUGUAAGAGAUGAGUUCUCGUUCGAAACCCUCCUACUUCGAGAGAGAUUGUCAGUUUUGUACACGAACUGCAUCCAGUUUUUGUCGUAGCCCUCUCAACUUUUUAACACAUGCUAUGUGGGUUAAAUGACUAUAGUAUGCCAACUUUCAACAUUUUCAGAGUACAUUUGUAGUGCUUUUCAAUUUCAGGGUCAACUAGCUCAAAAAAAAUUAAGUAAAUGCACGAAAUAUACCAAAUGAAGUCAGAAAUUGUUGAAAUUUUGUGAUGUGCCUUUGAAUGGUGCAUUUUGAACACACAAAAAGUAUGGAGUUCAAAUAAGUUUAAAAAAAUGAAAUCCCUUUGUAAGAGAUGAGUUCUCGUUCGAAACCCUGCUACUUCGAGAGAGAUUGUCAGUUUUGUACACGAACUGCAUCCAGUUUUUGUCGUAGCCCUCUCAACUUUUUAACACAUGCUAUGUGGGUUAAAUGACUAUAGUAUGCCAACUUUCAACAUUUUCAGAGUACAUUUGUAGUGCUUUUCAAUUUCAGGGUCAACUAGCUCAAAAAAAUAAGUAAAUGCACGAAAUAUACGAAAUGAAGUCAGWAAUUGUUGAAANNNNNNNNNNNNNNNNNNNNNNNNNNNNNNNNNNNNNNNNNNNNNNNNNNNNNNNNNNNNNNNNNNNNNNNNNNNNNNNNNNNNNNNNNNNNNNNNNNNNCUCCUUCUUCUUCUCCUUCUUCUUCUUAUCCUUUUGUCCCCUUCUUCUUAUCCUCCUCCCUCUCCUCCUUCUUCUUCUCCUUUUUCCUCUUCCUUCCUUUCAUUUUCCUCUUUUUCUCUUCUUGUCCCCUUCUUCGGGCUAAAUUGGCUAAGAAUGCCUUUUUGGAGCUAAUUAUGUCAUUUCGAGGAUAAUUAGCUAAGUAUAGGUCAUUUUUUAUUAAAUAGGCCAUUUUGGAGCUAACUAAGCUAAUUAUGUCCUUUCGUAGGAUAAUUAGCCAAUUUAGCCUUUCUUGGAUAAGUCUAAGCUACGUAGAAGAAGAGAUAGAGAAGAAGAAAUAAAAUAAGGAGGAGGAGGAGGAGGAGGAGAAGAAGAAGGAAGAGGAGAAGAAGAAGAAAAGAAGAAGGAGAAGGAGGAAGAAGAAGGAGUAGGAGGAGCUCCUUCUCCUUCUCCUCCUUCUUCUCCUUCUUCUCCUUCUUCUUCUCCUCCUCCCUGUCCUCCUUCUUCUCCUUAUUUUUCCUCUUCCCUCCUUUCAUUUUUCCUCUUUUUCUCUUCUUGUCCCCUUCUUCGGGCUAAAUUGGCUAAGAAUGCCUUUUUGGAGCUAAUUAUGUCAUUUCGAGGAUAAUUAGCUAAGUAUAUGUAAUUUUUUAUUAAAUAGGCCAUUUUGGAGCUAACUAAGCUAAUUAUGUCAUUUCGUAGGAUAAUUAGCCAAUUUAGCCUUUCUUGGAUGAGUCUAAGCUACGUAGAAGAAGAGAUAGAGAAGAAGAAGUAAAAUAAGGAGGAGGAGGAGGAGGAGGAGGAGAAGAAGGAAGAGGAGAAGAAGAAGAAAAGAAGAAGGAGAAGAAGGAGAAGAAGAAGGAGAAGGAGAAGGAGGAAGAAGGAGGAAGAAGAAGGGGAAGGAGGAGCUCCUUCUCCUUCUUCUCCUUCUUCUCCUUCUUCUUCUCCUCCUCCCUCUCCUCCUUCUUCUUCUCCUCAUUUUUCCUCUUCCUGCCUUUCAUUUUCCUCUUUUUCUCUUCUUGUCCCCUUCUUCGGGCUAAAUUGGCUAAGAAUGCCUUUUUGGAGCUAAUUAUGUCAUUUCGAGGAUAAUUAGCUAAGUAUAGGWCAUUUUUUAUUAAAUAGGACAUUUUGGAGCUAACUAAGCUAAUUAUGUCAUUUCGUAGGACAAUUGGCUAAUUUAGCCUUUCUUGGAUGAGUCUAAGCUACGUAGAAGAAGAGAUAGAGAAGAAGAAGUAAAAUAAGGAGGAGGAGGAGGAGGAGGAGGAGGAGAAGAAGAAGGAAGAGGAGAAGAAGAAGAAAAGAAGAAGGAGAAGAAGGAGAAGAAGAAGGAGAAGGAGAAGGAGGAAGAAGAAGGAGUAGGAGGAGCUCCUUCUCCUUCUCCUCCUUCUUCUCCUUCUUCUCCUUCUUCUUCUCCUCCUCCCUCUCCUCCUUCUUCUCCUCAUUUUUCCUCUUCCCUCCUUUCAUUUUCCUCUUUUUCUCUUCUUGUCCCCUUCUUCGGGCUAAAUUGGCUAAGAAUGCCUUUUUGGAGCUAAUUAUGUCAUUUCGAGGAUAAUUAGCUAAGUAUAGGUCAUUUUUUAUUAAAUAGGCCAUUUUGGAGUUAACUAAGCCAAUUAUGUUAUUAGAUGGAAGUCUAGCUAUUUUGGGGCUAACUAAGCUAAUUAUGUCAUUAGAUGGAAGUCUAGCUAUUUUUUAUUAAAACACUAGAAAUAACAUACCUAAGUUAGGGUGAAGCACGGUGGCUCUGGCUUGUUUCACCUGGAGAAGGCUGCCCUGGAGAAGGCUCGACUGUAGAAGGGUCAUGCGAUGCGUUUCGGGACAUAUUCUGCACCAAACAUCGUUUGCAAUGUGUAGUUAGCAUGAGGACACUCUUAAGAUCACUCCACUGAAAUGAAACUCACCGUCCCCGCCACGUUAAUGACUGGCAUCGGCGGAGGGACUUGGCCGUUCUUCUCGCACAUAGACUGUACAUUUGGUUUCGACAAGUCAAACUUUUUAUUUAUUAAUGAAACGGACAUUCAAAUGCAAGAUUUGAAAUAACAUGAAGAAGAAACUUACCACGAAGAGCUCGUAUAUGGCCCUGGUAGACGCUUCAUUCCGUGCCCUCUCCGCCUCCACCAAUGCAGUCGUCCUCUCCUCCAGCUCCCUAAUUUCCUUAUCCUUCUCCGCCAUAGCCGCCUGCAUUGCCGCUCUCUCUUUCUGAAUAGCAGCCUGCAACACAACUCAUUGUUAGCAAUGUAAUCAUAUUGGUUCCAACGCACAACAUAAUGCGGAAAGAUUGUUCAGUCCAUUAAACUAACCUCGAUGGCGAGCUCGACUGGCCGUGGACGACGUGUUAUCUCCGGACAAGAGCUCGUUUGGCGUGCCUUUAUCUACCGGAGAGUGCUAGGACAACGUAUAAGGCCGUCUCCAAUGGCGAUCGAGCCAUGGGGCCUCCCGUUGCCAGCUAUCAUCACCAGCUCUGGAUCAAUUGGCCCCUCGCUCGGGUUAAAGUCCUCCCCUUUCCUCGCCUUCCCGUGAUCUCUGUACUUCACGAGCUUGUCGUGGGAGGAGAUGUUGGUGAAGUUUUCUGGAUGCUCGAGGUCAGACUCACAGAAUGCCUUGACCUUCUUGUACGAGGCAGUAUGGGCCAUCGCAUACAGGUCGUACAUCUGUGGCGCCUCCGUCUUAUUGUGACGCGCCUAAAAGAGAGAGAGCAGAAAAUUGUAUUGGUAAAGGGCUCAAGAUAGCAUUAAGAAUGAAUUGCAUGAGGCAUGAACCAAACCACAUACCCAGUUCUCGCCAAAUUGGAUUAAGUUGACGCUCCCUUGAUGGUGUGGCACGCCAACCAUUUUGCCACGCCUCUCCUUGGCGUUGUUGUGGCUGGUCUCCCACGUUUUGGAGCACCACUGGUCCACCAAGGCCUCCCAACAAUCCAUCUUAUCCACACACCAUCUAGGGGGCACCUAAGUUAAUAAAGAGAAAUUUGAGUGCGUAAGAACCAAAUCAAGGAAACUAACUACAAAGCCUUAAUAAUAUGUAAUUACCUUCAUGUAAUGCUCCUUCUCCAUCUUAGCAUCAUGGCACUUCGCCUUAUCAAUCCUAAUACGCCGCGUGGCAUAGUAGUCUCGAACAGCCUGCACCCGAGCCUCGUGCCGAAAGUUUUGAAGUAGGCGGCGACAUUCGGUUUCGAUAACCUUUGCCGCGUCGUCCUCGUAUCCCUCCUCACACCUGUAGAAGGUCUGCAAACGGGACAACACCGAUUAGUACAAUAAAUAGCUAUGGUUAAUUUAUAAUUGUGUGAAAGAGAAAUUACCCAGAACUUUCGGAUCACCAUGUCCGCCCUCGUGUCACACAAAACACCGUCGAUCUCCACCUCCGGCGGGGCCAGGGCACCCAAGUAGUGCUCCCAGGUCAUCCCUACCUCUCGCUCCCGACCGGGCAACGUAACAAACCCUGGGAAGUUUUGACGGCAAAGAACACCGAGGACGCUGUUGGGCUUGCGGACACCCUUGGCAACAAUCCAACCCCUACAGUAUGACAAAUUAAAGCCAAAACAUUAGAUAUUUGAGAAAACGCGAAGGCAAAAGGUUAAAUAAGAGUAAAUUAACUUACUUGUCCCCAUUUGGCCUAAUCGAGCACCUCUGCUCGGGGGUCGCUGGCACGAGCGGGAGCCCCGAACUACCACGCUGGUAGACGGUAUCCCCCUCACCCAGCUCCUCGUCGCUACCAGCAUGGCAGUUGGCUCUGGCCAGGGAUCCCACUGGGUCUCUUGGGACGUACCCUCAUCCCUGCUGUGCUCCGCAGUCGUGUGGAAGGAAGCCUCUGGGACACGAGUCUCGUGGGUCAAAGGCUCGUCGACCUGAGGCUCGUCGACCCGAGGCUCGUGAACCGGAGACCGUGUAGCCUCCACCUCAGACGAAUCCACCCUAGAAGUCCUCCUGUGCUCAGGUGAAUCAGCUUGGGGUGGUGGCGGAGACCGUGUAUCCCUACCUCUCCCGCGGCCACGUGUACCUUUAGUACAACAUAAAUACCAACAUGAGUAAUAAAAUGUAUAUAAAUACCAAUAUGCAUACAACAUGAGUACAACAUAAAUACCAACACGAAUACAACGUGUACCUUUAGUGCCUCUCGGCUUCGCGGGUGGUCGACCUCCUCUCACGGGGGCCGCUCCUUGCAUACUAGAGAGCAACACUCUCCGAAGAGGCGAGGCCGGAAUGGAAGUACCCAUCCCAUCACCCGCCGACGAAGAAGCAGCCGCGGCAUGCUUUCGACCCUUUCCCACCAUCUUUCAACACCUGUCAUGACAAAGAGUAAAUGAAAUUAGUACAACAUAAAUACCAACAUGACUAAUAAAAAUUGAAUACCUAACAUGAACUCAAAAUUUAUAUAUAGUAUAAUAGUUGAAUACCUGACAUGAACUAAUAACAAUCGUCCUCGUCUAUAUAUGCUUCGGGGUCAAUAAAUGCAUCAUGAUCAUCACUAUCAUCAAUAAAUGCAUCAUCAUCAUCACUAUCUAGAAGAACAUGUGGAAGGCCACCAUUAUGUAAUCGGUCAAGAAGUGACAGGUCAUCCGCAGCAGUAACCUCUUCUUCUUCCAGAUCUUCCUCUUCGGGCUCAGGGGUUAAGACGGAUUCACUGUCACUGUCUACUUCAAUGUUCUGGGGUGAAGUAGAGCGGUUCUUGAAACGUUUCUUGGACAUACGUGUUUCUUGGAAGAAUUCUCCUUCAUAUGUGUCUGGGUUAAUGUGAGGUUCGUAAUCCUCUUCAUUGAGGGUAGGUGGUCUAAAAUGUGGUGGCACAUCAUAAACGACAUCCCAACCUUUGAGAUUUGGAUCAAUUUGGCAGGCCCACGGUAGAUAGAAAACUUGUGUCGCCUGUUGAGACAUAAUAUAGACAUCGGGAACAUCUAAGUGGGUGUUUUGGUUGAUUUCGACUAGUCCUAUAUGUUCAUGAGUCCUUCUAGUCUCCCUCGGCUCAAACCAAUAACAUUUGAAGACUACGACGGUCGGUGGGUUUUCACCAUAGAAUAGAAGUUCAUAAAUUGCUUCAACCCUUCCAUAAUACUCGGUGUCUCCUUCGCCGAUAGCAGAGACAGAACAAUUUGUAGUCUUUAGGUCGGGCAUAGAUAGCUCUUUGCCAAAGGUACGAAAGUGAUACCCGUUGAUGUUGUAUUUGUCAAAUGAACGGACCUUAUAGUCAAAACCAUUAGCGACUUGUCUCAACUCGGCGUCCAUAGACUCUGCAUCAGCCUACAAGUUUAAUACGAAAGAAUGGAUGCAUUAGCCGCAAAUUAGACCAAUAAUUCAAAUGGGCCCUUAAUGGUAAUUAAUUACCCUUUGUUUGAACCAAGAGAUGAAACCAGGAUAGUUGCCUCCAUGCUUUGCGAGAAGCUCAUACUCUUCGACGGAAUCCUUUUCGAUGACCGCUCCAUCCGAGAAUUCGGCGACGUAUCGACUAUAUCAAAUAUCCGGGAAUAAGAGUGGUUCAAAGCAAUUAGAAGUUGCGGAACAAUAAAUUACCGAGAACUUACUCGAUGUACGGCCGCACUUCUGUUAGGUUGGUGAAGAUAUACAAUGAAAUGGUCCGCCAUUCUUCGACAUCCAACGAUUUCCCUUUCGAAGCACCGGAUGGUGCGAGCUUACCUUUGAAUAGGCUGAGGUUGGAUCGAACUUUUUCUCGAUCGCCAUCAUUGUACCGAGGCUUCGGGUUAUGCAAAUGAUAAUUUUUGGCUUCGUAGUGUGCUGUCACGAAGUUUGCCGCCUCCUCAGUAAUGAAUGCCUCGGCCAUCGAUGCUUCAAUUCUACGUUUAUUUUUACACUUAGCUCGAAGCGUCUUCUGCAUCCUCUCAGUUGAGUAGCACCAUUGAUUUUGAACGGGCCCCCCCAUUCUUGCCUCGGUCGGGAGAUGCAAAAUCAAAUGUUGCAUUGGAUUAAAGAAGCCCGGUGGAAAGAUCUUUUCUAAUUUGCAGACCAACUCCGGCGCCAACUCUUCCAUUUCAUCUAGCACGCCAGGCGAUAGUUCUUUCGCACGAAGAGAACGGAAGAAAUAGCUCAGCUCUGCCAGUACUAGCCAUUCAUCCUCAGGGAUAAAGCCACGCAACAUCACCGGCAUUACCCGCUGAAUCCAUAUGUGCCAAUCAUGACUCUUGAGCCCAAAUAUUUUCAAUUUCUCAAGACUUGCUCCCCUCUUUAGAUUCGCAGCAUACCCAUCGGGGAACAUCAACCGCAUUUUCACCCACAAUAGCAUUUCCCUCAUAGCUGGCCUUUCAAGAUUGAACCAUGCCUUUGGCUUCGCUAUGCUUUGCUUUCCUUUCCGUUGUCGCAAGUUUUGCAACGGUCUAUCACAUAGAGCCUCCAGGUCGAUUCUAGCCUUAGGAUUAUCUUUUGACUUCCCCUCUAUGCCGAACAAUGUACCAAAAAUGGCCUCCGCAAUAUUCUUUUCAGUGUGCAUCACGUCAAUGUUGUGUGGGCAAAGGAGGUCUUUGAAGUAAGGGAGAUCCCAUAAGCAUGACUUGUGAGUCCAGGCGUGUUCCGUAUUAUACCCUUUGAAGUAUCCUGGACGCAAAGGAUCGGGCUCGAGAGCGUUUAACUGAUCAAGGGUCUGUUGGCCUGUCAACGCAGCUGGUGCAGUGUUUUUGACAACUCUACCUUUGAUGAAAUUCUUCUUGUCUUUUCUGAACUUAUGGUCAGGAUCCAGGAAUUGUCUAUGCAUGUCGAAGCAAGAAUACUUGCGACCAUCCUGCAGCCAACGGAACUGAAGAGCUGCCUUGCAUGUGGUGCACGGGAACCUUCCAUGCACACACCAGCCAGCGAAUAGCGCAAACGCCGGAUAAUCAUGCGUCGAGUACAUGUACCACACAUGCAUUUUGAAAUUUGUUUUGGUAGCCGCGUCGUAGGUCUUGAUCCCAUUAUCCCAGGCUUCUUGCAACUCAUCCUUAAGCGGCUGCAUGUACACAUUCAUAUUCUUCCCCGGAUAGUUGGGCCCUGGAACUAUCAACGUCAGGAAAAUGUUCUUUCUUUUCAUAAUCUCUCCGGGUGGCAAAUUUAGUGGAAUGACAAAUACAGGCCAACAACUGUAUUGUGCUGCCGUCAUACCAUACACAUUGAACCCAUCCGUGCUGAUGGCAACUCUAGGUUGCCUUGGAUCUUCCGAUUUAUCCUUAUGUAAUGCAUCGAAGUGCCUCCACGCAAAACCAUCUGAAGUGUGUACCAGCAUCUUGUUCCCAUCCGCAUCUAGUUCGGUUCUUUUGCCCAAUUUGUGCCAUGUCAUCUGUCCGGCCGUCUCUUCGACCAUGAAAAGACGUUGAAGUCUUGGUACGAUUGGCAAAUAUUGAAGAACACUAAUGGGGAUUUUGGUCUGAUUCUUCUCACCCAUGCCGUUGUCUACCACAAUAUACCUGGAAGAAUUGCAAAUGGGGCAAUAGUUCAAGGCCGCAUACUCAAGCCUAAAUAAGGCACAUCCAUUCUCACAGGCAUGUAUCUUCUCAUAGGGCAUCUUAAGUACACGGAGGAUUUUCUCCGACUGGUACAGGUUUGCAGGCAGUACAUGGCCUUUGGGUAGAAAGCGUCCAAAUAUCGUCAUCAUCGCGUCGUAGCAUUCUCUGCCUAGGUUGAGUUGAGCCUUCAGAGCCAUUACUUGCGCGAUGACAUCCAGCUGACAAAGCUCAGUCUGCUCGUGGAGAGGACAUUUUGAAGACUCCAGCAUUUCAUAGAAGGCCUUUGCAGAUUCCUCCAUCUCAUCGUCCGAAUCCCGAGCAUCAUCAAAGUCUUGCACCAUGUCUUCAAUCCCGGUACCAUGCUCGUCGGUGCGACGACGAAUCACCUCAGCUCUGGCACGUUGGUCAGACUCACCAUGAAAAGUCCACACCGUAUAAUUAGGCGUAAAACCCCACUUCUGCAAGUGUUUACCCAUUUCAAACUCUGUCUGCUUUUUCCAGUUGUCGUAGUUGGGACACGGGCACCAUGUUUUUUGCUGGCCAUUUGCAAAUGCGGCUCUCACAAACCCCCUGGUUUUUGUUAACCAUUCAUGGGUCAUGUCUUUCUGACUAGGGUGACCAGUGUACAUCCAAGCACGAUCACUCAUGUUGCCUAGCUACCUAUGGGGGCACAAGAAAUAAAUACAUAAUUCAUCAUCUAUAUUCAUACGCUAAUCAAGUUUGUCAGUUUUAUUACGUCCAUGCAACCUACACGCUAAUAGGUAAAGAUAGGUCCUAAUCCCACCCGAGUAUGUGUAGACUGGGUUCGUUUUCCCGUGCUCUGCUCCAGAUGCGACGCAGAAUUUCGGCAGCACCUCCCCGCUGUUCUCCUGAUACACGUCUCGGCAAUAAGCAGAGAGGAUGUGUACCCGGAGAACAACAGGGGAGGCACUGACGAAAUUCCGCAUCGGAUCCGGAGCACAGCAUACGGGAAAACAAACCCAAUCUACACAUACUCGGGCUGUCGAUGGAUAAUGUUGGACAAUUCGAAAGGAUGGCGGUUAUAAAUAUGCAAAGAAAUGCAUAUUUAUAGAUGUCGCCCUUUCGAACGGGAGACGCAUACUGGUCACGCAUACUCAUGAUUGAAGAAACCUAUAGCUAGCAAGUUUCAUCGGCACGAAGACCGGGACAGAGCAAAUUGAGGGGGUAGGAGGAGAAGUCAUUUGUGCUCACCAACAAACGCAAGGGCGGAGCUCGUCCAACGCACGUGGAGGUCGUCGAACAACUGCACAUUGAAAUUCACCCGAUCAACACAAAUACGAUGUUUUUAUAAUUAACAUGAUCGGAAAAUAUGUGACCUAACUCAUAAUUUACAAAACUAUGACCCCGUGGGCCUCUGGAAGGCCGAAAAGCACCUUCUCGUUCAAAAGAAGGCAGAAGAGGUGUCGGGGGUCGGGGCUUAGUGGCGUCGGGAGUCAGUGCCGUCGAGGGUCGGUGGCAUCGGGGGUCGGGGGGUUAGUGGCGUCGGUUGUGGGGGGUCAGUGGCGUCGGGGGUCCAGGGUCAGUGGCGUCGGGGGUCCAGGGUCAGUGACGUCGGGUGUCAGUGGCGUCGGGGGGUCGGGAGUCGUGGGCCGAGGGUCUGGGUCGGGGGCAGUGGCGUCGGGGUCGAGGGUUAGUGGCGUCNNNNNNNNNNNNNNNNNNNNNNNNNNNNNNNNNNNNNNNNNNNNNNNNNNNNNNNNNNNNNNNNNNNNNNNNNNNNNNNNNNNNNNNNNNNNNNNNNNNNUCUCUCUCUCUCUNUNUNUCUUCUUCUUCUGUUCUUCUUCUUCUUCUUUCUUUUCAUUUUGCCUAUUUCUUCUCCGCUUCUCCUCAUGUUGGAGCUAAAUUACCUAAUUAUGUCUUUUUKGAGCUAAAUGGGCUAAUUAUCCCAUUUUAGAGGAAAACAAGCUAAGUAUAUAAUAUUCAUGAGCUAACCAAGGUUCUGAUGCCAUUUUGAGCUUAUUAUGGCAUUUUGGAGCUAAAUGGGCUAAUUAUGUCAUUGUUGGGGAAAUUAAAGCAAGGAUAAUAUGAAAGAGGAGAAGAAAGAGGAGGAGGAGGAGAAGAAGAAGAAAUCAAGAAGAAGGAGGAGAAGGAGAAGGAGGAGAASNNCUAKMUCCUCCUYSKCCUCCUCCUCCUCCUUCUCCUUCUUCUCUUCUUCUUCUUCUUCUUUAUUUUUAUUUUUCCUAUUUCUUCUCCUCUUCUUGGAGCUAAAUUACGUAAUUAUGUUUUUUUGGAGCUAAAUGGGCUAAUUAUCUCAUUUUAGAGGAAAACAAGCUAAGUAUAUAAUAUUCAUGAGCUAACCAAGGUUGACCAAGAAUGAAAUGGUCCAUUAUUGAUAAUUACCGUUUGUUUGAACCAAGAGAUGAAACCGGGAUAGCCGCCUCCUGUCUUUGACAGAAGCGCAUAAUCUUCGACGGAAUCAUUUUCGAUCACCGCUCCAUCCGAGAAUUUGACGAUGUAAGGGCUGUUUGAAAUAUCCGGGAAUAAGAGCAGUUCAAAUGAAUUAGAAGUUACGGGAAAAUGUGUCGAGAACUCACUCGAUGUACGGCCGCACUUCUGGUAGGUUGUUGAAGAUAUACAACGAAAUGUUCCGCCAUUCUUCGACAUCCAACGUUAUUGGUUUCGAAGCACCGACUGGUGCGAGCUUCCCUUUGAAUAGGCUGAGGUUGGACCCACCUUUUUUAUGGUCUGCAUCAUUGUGCCGAGGCUUCGGAUUAUGCAGAUGAUGAUUUUUGGCUUCGUAGUGUGCUGUCACAAAGUUUGCCACCUCCUCAGUAAUGAAUGACUCAGCCAUCGAUGCUUCAAUUCAACGCUUAUUCUUACAUUUAGCUCGAAGGGUCUUCUGCAUCCUCUCAGUUGCAUAGCACCAACGAUCUUGCACGGGCCCACCCAAUCUUGCCUCGGUCAGUAGAUGUAAAAUCAAAUGCUGCAUUGGAUUAAAGAAGCCCGGUGGAAAGAUCUUCUCUAACUUGCACAACAACUCCAGUGCAAACUCCUCCAUGUCUUCUACCACGCCAGGCGACAAUUCUUUCGCACAAAGAACAUGAAAGAAAUAGCUCAGCUCCGCCAGUACUAGCCAUUCAUCCUCGGGAAUAAAGCCACAUAACAUCACCGGUAUUACCCGCUCUAGCCAUAUGUGCCAAUCAUGACUCUUGAGACCAAAGAUUUUUAAUUUUUCAAGACUCGCUCCCCUCUUUAGAUUCGCUGCAUACCCAUCGGGGAACAUCAAGUGCAUUUUGACCCACAAGAUAAUUUCCCUCAUAGCUGGCCUUCCAUGAAUGAACCAGGCCUUUGGCUUCGACCACUUCUGCUUUCCUUUGCCUUCUCGCAUGUUUUGUAAUGGUCUAUGACAUAGUGUCUCUUGAUCGACUCUAGCCUUAAUAUUAUCCUUUGUCUUCCCAUCUAUGUCGAACAAUGUACCAAAAAUAGCCUCUCCGAUAUUAUUUUCAGUGUGCAUCAUGUCGAUAUUGUGUGGAAGAAGGAGGUCUUUGAAGUAAGGCAGAUCCCAGAAGCAUGGCUUGUGAGUCCAGGCGUGUUUUGAAUUAUAACCCUUGAAAUACCAUGGACGCUCUGGAUCAGGCUCGAGGGCGUUUAACUCAUCCAAGAUCUGUUGGCCUGUGAACGCAGGUGGUGCCAAGUUCUUGACAACUUUACCUUUAUUAAAGUUCUUCUUGUCUUUUCUGAACUGAUGGUCAGGAUCCAGGAACUGUCUAUGCAAGUCAAAGCAAGAAUACUUCCGACCCUCCUGCAACCAAUGAAACUGAAGAGCUGCCUUGCAUUUGGGGCACGGGAACCUUCCAUGCACACACCAUCGAGAGAAUAGUGCAUACGCUGGCAAGUCAUGCAUAGAGUACAUGUACUGUUGGAAUUAUGCCCUAGAGGCCAUAAUAAAUAUAGUUAUUAUUAUAAUUCCUGUAUCAAGAUAAUCGUUUAUUAUCCAUGCUAUAAUUGUAUUGAAUGAAGACUUAUAUACAUGUGUGGAUACAUAGACAAAACACUGUCCCUAGCAAGCCUCUAGUUGGCUAGCCAGUUGAUCAAAGAUAGUCAGGGUCUUCUGAUUAUGAACAAAGCGUUGUUGCUUGAUAACUGGAUCAUGUCAUUAGGAGAAUCACGUGAUGGACUAGCCCAAACUAAUAGACGUAGCAUAUUGAUCGUGUCAUUUUAGUGCUACUGUUUUCUGCGUGUCAAGUAUUUGUUCCUAUGACCAUGAGAUCAUAUAACUCACUGACACCGGAGGAAUGCUUUGUGUGUAUCAAAUGUCGCAACGUAACUGGGUGACUAUAAAGAUGCUCUACAGGUAUCUCCGAAGGUGUUCGUCGAGUUAGUAUGGAUCGAGAGUGGGAUUUGUCACUCCGUGUGACGGAGAGGUAUCUCGGGGCCCACUCGGUAAUACAACAUCACACACAAGCCUUGCAAGCAAUGUGACUUAGUGUAAGUUGCGGGAUCUUGUAUUACGGAACGAGUAAAGAGACUUGCCAGUAAACGAGAUUGAAAUAGGUAUGCGGAUACUGACGAUCGAAUCUCGGGCAAGUAACAUACCGAAGGACAAAGGGAAUGACAUACGGGAUUAUAUGAAUCCUUGGCACUGAGGUUCAAACGAUAAGAUCUUCGUAGAAUAUGUAGGAUCCAAUAUGGGCAUCCAGGUCCCGCUAUUGGAUAUUGACCGAGGAGUCACUCGGUUCAUGUCUACUUGGUUCUCGAACCCGCAGGGUCUGCACACUUAAGGUUCGACGUUGUUUUAUGCGUAUUUGAGUUAUAUGGUUGGUUACCGAAUGUUGUUCGGAGUCCCGGAUGAGAUCACGGACGUCACGAGGGUUUCCGGAAUGGUCCGGAAACGAAGAUUGAUAUAUAGGAUGACCUCAUUUGAUUACCGGAAGGUUUUCGGAGUUACCGGGAAUGUACCGGGAAUGACGAAUGGGUUCCGGAUGUUCACCGGGGGGGGCAACCCACCCCGGGGAAGCCCAUAGGCCUUGGGGGUGGCGCACCAGCCCUUAGUGGGCUGGUGGGACAGCCAAAGAAGUCCCUAUGCGCCAUAGGAAGAAAAUCAAAGAGAAAAAAAAGGGAGGUGGGAAAAAGGGGAAGGACUCCUCCUUCCAAACCUAGUUGGAUUCGGUUUGGAAGGGGAGGACUCCCCCCCCUUGGCUCGGCCGAACCCCUUGGUGGUCCUUGGACCCCAAGGGAAGGCUCCCCCUCUUCCUCCUAUAUAUACGGAGGUUUUAGGGCUGAUUUGAGACAACUUUGCCACGGCAGCCCGACCACAUAUCUCCACGGUUUUACCUCUAGAUCGCGUUUCUGCGGAGCUCGGGCGGAGCCCUGCUGAGAUAAGAUCACCACAAACCUCCGGAGCACCGUCACGCUGCCGGAGAACUCAUCUACCUCUCCGUCUCUCUUGCUGGAUCAAGAAGGCCGAGAUCAUCGUCGAGCUGUACGUGUGCUGAACGCGGAGGUGGUCCGUUCGGCACUAGAUCGUGGGACUGAUCGCGGGGCGGUUCGCGGGGCGGAUCGAGGGACCUGAGGACGUUCCACUACAUCAACCGUGUUCACUAACACUUCAGCUGUGCGAUCUACAAGGGUACGUAGAUCGAAUAUCCCCUCUCGUAGAUGGACAUCACCAUGAUAGGUCUUCGUGCGCGUAGUAAAUUUUUUGUUUCCCAUGCGACGUUACCCAACAGUGGCAUCAUGAGCUAGGUUCAUGCGUAGAUGUCUUCUCGAGUAGAACACAAAAGUUUUUGUGGGCGGUGAUGUGCGUUUUGCUGCCCUCCUUAGUCUUUUCUUGAUUCCGCGGUAUUGUUGGAUCGAAGCGGCUUGGACCGACAUUACUCGUACGCUUACGAGAGACUGGUUUCAUCGCUACGAGUAACCCCGUUACUCAAAGAUGACUGGCAAGUGUCAGUUUCUCCAACUUUAGUUGAAUCGGAUUUGACCGAGGAGGUCCUUGUAUAAGGUUAAAUAGCAAUUCAUAUAUCUCCGUUGUGGUGUUUGCGUAAGUAAGAUGCGAUCCUACUAGAUACCCAUGGUCACCAUGUAAAACAUGCAACAACAAAAUUAGAGGACGUCUAACUUGUUUUUGCAGGGUAUGCUUGUGAUGUGAUAUGGCCAACGAUGUGAUGUGAUAUAUUGGAUGUAUGAGAUGAUCAUGUUGUAAUAGAUAAUAUCGACUUGCACGUCGAUGGUACGGCAACCGGCAGGAGCCAUAGGGUUGUCUUUAAACUAACGUUUGUGCUUGCAGAUGCGUUUACUAUUUUGCUAGGAUGUAGCAUUAGUAGUAAUAGCAUGAGCAGCACGACAACCCUGAUGGUGACACGUUGAUGGAGAUCAUGGUGUGGCGCCGGUGACAAGAAGAUCGUGCCGGUGCUUUGCUGAUGGAGAUCAAGGAGCACGUGAUGAUGGCCAUAUCAUGUCACUUAUGAAUUGCAUGUGAUGUUAAUCCUUUUAUGCACCUUAUUUUGCUUAGAACGACGGUAUCAUUAUGAGGUGAUCUCUCACUAAACUUUCAAGACGAAAUUGUGUUCUCCCAGACUGUGCACCGUUGCUACAGUUCGUCAUUACGAGACACCACGUGAUGAUCGGGUGUGAUAGACUCAACGUUCACAUACAACGGGUGCAAACCAGUUGCACACGCGGAACACUCGGGUUAAGCUUGACGAGCCUAGCAUCUGCAGACAUGGCCUCGGAACACAUGAGACCGAAAGGUCGAUCAUGAAUCAUAUAGAUGAUAUGAUUAGCAUAGGGAUGCUUACCACUGAAACUAUACUCAACUCACGUGAUGAUCGGUAUUGAGAUAGUGUAAGUGGAUCAUGAACCACUCAAAUGACUAGAGAUAUGUACUUUUUGAGUCCACUUUGAAUAUAGUCUUGAACAUAGUCUAAGUCCACUAUGAAUAUAUUUGUGUUGUAGAUCAUGGCUCACGCGACAGUCACCCUGAAUUUUAAUACGUUCCUAGAGAAAGCUAAGUUGAAAGAUGAUGGAAGCAACUUUGUAGACUGGGCUCGUAAUCUUAAGCUAAUCUUACAAGCUAGGAAGAAGGAUUAUGUCCUUAAUGCUGCACUAGGAGAUGAACCACCCGCUACGGCUGACUAGGAUGUUAAGAACGCUUGGUUAACACGUAAGGAGGACUACUCAGUAGUUCAAUGUGCAGUCUUGUAUGGCUUAGAACCGGGACUUCAACAUCGCUUUGAGAGUCAUGGAGCAUAUGAGAUGUCCCAGGAGUUGAAGUUUAUCUUUCAGAAGAACGCCCGGAUCGAGAGGUAUGAGACCUUCGAUAAAUUCUAUGCUUGCAAGAUGGAGGAGAAUUCGUCUGUCAGUGAACAUGUGCUCAAAAUGUCUGGGUACUCAAACCGUCUAGCUGAGCUGGGGAUUGAACUCCCGCAAGAGGCUAUCACUGACAGGAUCCUUCAGUCACUGCCGCCAAGCUAUAAAGGCUUUGUGUUGAACUACAACAUGCAAGGGAUGAACAAGUCACCCGGCGAGUUGUUUGCGAUGCUGAAAGUCGCAGAGUCUGAACUCCAUAAAGAGCAUCAAGUGUUGAUGGUGAAUAAGACCACUAGUUUCAAGAGAAACGGCAAAGGCAAGACGGGUAAUUCAAAGAAGAGCGGCAAGCCUGUUGCCAAUCCGAUGAAGAAACCCAAAGCUGGACCUAAGCCUGAAACAGAGUGUUACUAUUGCAAGGGUAUGGGUCACUAGAAGCGCAACUGCCCCAAGUAUCUGGCUGAUAAGAAGGCGGCCAAAGAAAAAUCAGGUAUAUUUGAUAUACAUGUUAUUGAUGUGUACUUAACCGGCACUCGUAGUAGUGCCUGGGUAUUCGAUACCGGUUCUGUUGCUCAUAUUUGCAACUCGAAACAGGAACUGCGGAAUAGACGAAGGCUGGCGAAAGAUGAAGUGACGAUGCGCGUAGGAAAUGGUUCCAAGUUUGAUGCAAUCGCCGUCGGCACAGUUUCACUUCAGUUACCAUCAGGAUUAGUUAUGAACUUGAAUCAUGGUUAUUUAGUGCCUGCGUUGAGCAUGAACAUUAUAUCUGGAUCUUGUUUAUUGCGAGACGGUUACUCUUUUAAUUCAGAGAAUAAUAGUUGUUCUAUUUCUAUGAGUAACAUCUUUUAUGGUCAUGCACCCAAUGUGAGAGGAUUGUUCAUAUUGAAUCUUGAUAGUGAUACACACAUACAUAACAUUGAGACCAAAAGAGUUAAAGUUAACAAUGAUAGCGCCAUAUUUUUGUGGCACUACCGCUUAGGUCAUAUUGGUGUAAAGCGCAUGAAGAAACUCCAUGCCGAUGGACUUUUGGAGUCACUUGACUUUGAUUCACUUGACACGUGCGAACCAUGCCUCAUGGGCAAGAUGACUAAAACUCCGUUCUCCGGAACAAUUGAGCGUGCUAGUGACUUGUUGGAAAUCAUACAAGGGUACGUAGAUCGAAUAUGCCCUCUCGUAGAUGGACAUCACCAUGAUAUGUCUUCGUGCGCGUAGGAAAUUUUUUGUUUCCCAUGCGACGUUCCCCAACAUGUACCACACAUGCAUUUUGAAGUUUUUUUUUCUAGCGGCAUCGUAUGUCUUGACCCCAUUAUCCCAAGCUUCUUCCAAUUCAUCCUUAAGCGGUUGCAGAUACACAUUCAUAUUCUUCCCCGGAUAAUUGGGCCCUGGAAUUAUCAACGUCAGAAAUAUGAUCUUUCUUUGCAUAAUCUGCCUAGGGGGGAGAUUGAGUGGAAUGACAAAUACAGGCCAACAACUGUAUUGGGUUGUCGUCAUGCCGAAGGGAUUAAAACCGACCGUGGCGGCACAGACUCGAGGAUUCCUUGGAUCUGUCGCUUUAUCUUGAUGCAAUCCAUCGAAAUGUUUCCACGCUUCCCCAUCCGAUGUGUGUACCAUCAUCUUAUUCCCAUCCGCAUCUAGUUCGGUUCUUUUGCCCAAUUUGUGCCUUGUCAUCUGUCUGGCUGUCUCUUCGACCAUGAAAAGACGUUGAAGUAUUGGUACGAUUGUGAUAUACCGAAGAACACUAACUGCGAUUUUGGUCUGCCUCUUCUCACCCAUACCGUUGUCUAUCACAAGAUACUUGCAAGACUCACAAUUGGGACAAUAGUCCAAGUGUUCAUACUCCUUCCUAAAUAAGACACAUCCUUUCUCACAUGCAUCUAUCUUCUCAUAGGGCAUCUUAAGUACACGAAGUAUUUUGUCCGACUGGUACAGGUUUGCAGGAAUGACAUGGCCUUUGGGUAGGAAACGUCCAAAUAGUGUCAUCAUCGCGUCAUAGCAUUCUCUUCCCAAGUUGAACUGAGCCUUCAGAGCCAUUACUUGUGCAAUUGCAUCCAGCUGACAGAGCUCAGUGUGCUCAUGGAGAGGACGUUUUGAAGACUCCAACAUUUCACAAAAGGCCUUUGCAGAUUCCUCCAUCUCAUCUUCCGAAUCCCGAGCAUCAUCAAAGUCUUGCACCAUGUCUUCCAUCCCGGUACCAUGCUCAUCCGUGCGACGACGGACCACCUCAGCUCUUGUGCGUUGUAUAGACUCACCAUGAAAUGUCCACACCGUAUAAUUAGGCUUAAAACCCCUCCUCUACAGGUUUUUAGUCAUUACAACCUCUGUCGUCUUUUUAUAGUUGUCGCAUCCAGGACAGGGGCAAUAGUUUCUUUCCUGGCCAUUUGCGAAUGCGGCUUUCACAAAUUGCUUUGUUUUUAAAAACCAUUCUUUCGUCAUCUCUUUCUGCCUAGGGUGACCGGUAUACAUCCACGCACGAUCACUCAUCUUGCGUAGCUACUAAAGACAGAAGAAAUAUAUUUAUAUAUAAUUUAGCAUUUAUAUUCAUCGGUUAAUCAGGUUCGCCAUUUUUAUUAUGUCCAGGCAACCUACAUGCUAAUAGGUAAAGAUAGGUCCUAAUCCCACCCGAGUAUGUGUAGAUUGGGUUCGUUUUCCCAUGCUCUGCUCCGGAUCCAAUGCAAAAUUUCGACAACACCUCCCCGCUGUUCUCCUGAUACACGUCUCCGCAAUAAACAGAGAGGAUGUGCAUCCAGAGAACAGCAGGGAGGCACUGAUGAAAUUCCGCAUCGGAUCCAGAGCACAUCAUACGGGAAAACGAACCCAAUCUACACAUGCUCGGGCUAUCCAUGGAUAAAGUUGGACAAUUCGAAAGGAUGGCGGUUAUAAAUAUGCAAAGACAUGCAUAUUUAUAGAUGUCGCCCUUUCGAACGGGAGACGCAUACUGGUCACGCAUACUGAUAAAUUAAUUGAAUUACCUAAAUCUAGAAAGUUUCAUCCGGAAACCGAGCCACAGUAAAUGAAGGGGCGGGGAGGAGAUGAAAUUUGUACUGACCCACGAAUGCAGGGGCGGAGCUCGUACAACGCACGGGCAGGUCUUCGCACAGCAGACCUCACAGCGACGAGACAACUACCACAUGUAAAUCCACCCGAUCAACGCAAAUAUUCCAAUUAUGUCAUUUUAGAGGAAAACAAGCUAAGUAUAUAAUAUUCAUGAGCUAACCAAGGUUCUUAUGCCAUUUUGAGCUUAUUAUGGUAUUUUCGAGGUAAAUGGGCUCAUUAUGUCAUUGUUGGGUUAAUUAAAGCAAGGAUAAUAUGAAAGAGGAGAAGAAAGAGGAGGAGGAGGAGAAGAAGAAGAAAUCAAGAAGAAGGAGGAGAAGGAGGGGGAGGAGAAGGACUAGAAGGUCCUUGGCCUUCUCCUCCUCCUCCUCCUCCUCCUCCUCCUUCUCCUUCUUCUCUUCUUCUUCUUCUUCUUUAUUUUAAUUUUUCCUAUUUCUCCUCCUCUUGUUGGAGCUAAAUUACCUAAUUAUGUCUUCUUGGAUCUAAAUGGGCUAAUUAUCUCAUUUUAGAGGAAAACAAGCUAAAUUUGGAGGAGAAACUUACCGUAGUGGUCAUCAACGAGGAGAAACACCACGGUUGCUCGCGGCGGCUUCGUUUGGAGACGGUUGCCCUGGAGAAGGGUCGUGCGAUGCCGCUUGGGAGUUAUUCUGCAGAGAAGAUAUUUUGCAAUGUCUUAGUUUGCAUGAUGACACUCAAUUAUUAAUACUAGUUUAUAAUGAAACUCACCGUGCCAAUCGAAGAGAAGACGGGCAUCGGCGGAGGGACUUGACCGCUCUUCUCGCACAGACCCUGAAGAGUGGGUCGUAUUAGUUGGUAUUGAAACAUACAUUACACACAUGAUUUGGCUAAUGUGAAUAAAACAUACCACAGAAAGCUCGUACAGGGCCCGUUGACCCGCCUCAUUCCGAGCCCUCUCCUCCUCAAGCAAUCGUGCUCUGGUCUGGUCCCUCUCAUCAAGAGCAGCCUGAAGAGCAGCCUGGCUUGCCAAUCUCUCUUUCUCAAGAGCAGCGUGGUUUGCCGCUCUCUCUUUCUGAAGAGCAGCCUGAAACACCAUUCCUCGUUACCACAGUAAUGAUCUAUGGUGACACAGAUAAUGAAAUGGAUGAAAGUGUUCUUAGUCCAUACAACUAACCUUGAUGGCAAGUUCGACUGGCCGUGGACGACGCGUUAUCUCAGGACAGUUGCUCGACUGGCGCGCCUUGAUCUCCGGAAGAGUGAGUGGACAACGUAUUAUCCCAUCUCCAAUGGCUAUCGAGCCAUGGGGCCUCCCGCCACCAGAUAUCAUCACCAGCUCUGGAUCCAAAGGUUCCUGGCUAGGGUUAAAGUCAUCCCCUUUCGUAGCCUUCCCCGCGUCCCUGUAUGCCACGAGCUUCUGGUGGGAUGAUAUGUUGGUAAAGUUAUUGGGAUCAUCCAGGUCAGACUCAGAGAAUGCCUUCGCCUUCUUGUACGAGGCAGUAUGGGCCAUGCCAUAAAGGUCGUACAAGUGUGGCAUCUCAGUCUUAUUGUGAUGCGCCUAAAAGAGAGGAACACAAUAUUAGCAUCAAGAAUGAAUUGCAUGAAUCAUGAAGCAAAUCACAUACCCAGUUUCGUCCAAACUGAAGUAAGUUGGCGCUGCCUUGAUGGUGUGGCACACCAACUAUUUGGCUACGCCGAUCCUUCGCAUUCUCGUGGAUGGCUCGCCAGCUGCGUGUGCACCACUCAUCAACAAACGCCCCCCAACAAUCCAUCUUAUCCGCACACCAUCUCGGGGGCACCUGUAAGUUAUUAGAAAGAAUUUUCAGCGCUACGCCUAUGAAUGAAAUCAAGAAAACUACGUAGAAGGACUUAAGAAUAGGUAAUUACCUUCAUGUAUUGCUCCUUCUUCAGAAACUUUCCAAAUCAAUCCUUCUUCGUCUUCUUAAUACCACGCGUGGCGUAGUAAUCUCGAAUAGCCUGCGGCCGAGCCUCGUGGCGCAAGUUCUGUAGUAACCGCCUACACUCGACCUCGAGAACCCUGGCCGCCUCCUCCUCAUAUCCAUCCUCACACCUAUAGAAGGUCUGCAAUCAAACGUGAAAACACCGAUUAGUACAAUAAUUAGCUAUAUUGUUAAUUUUAGAUCCUGUAAAAGGAUAAUUUACCCAAAAGCUCUUGAUCACCAUCUCGGCCCUCGUGUGGCACAAGACACCAUCUAUAAUCUCCUCCGGCGGGGCCUGCGCAGCCUGGUAGUGCUCCCAGGUAAAUCCUAGUGUAGGAACCUGACCCUCACCACGCAACGUGAAAACCCCGGGGAAAUUUGUCUGGCAAAGCACACAAUGGACGGAGUUCGGCCUGCGGACUCCAAGAGGGUGUACCCAUCCCCUGCAGUAUGAUAAGGUCAGCGCAUUAGAUAUUUGAAUAAACUUGAAGGCAAAAGCUAAAAAAGGGUAAAUGUACUUACCUAUCUCCUUCAGGUUUAAUCACCGGCCUCUGCUCGCGGGUAGCCGGGGCGACCGGGAGACGUGUACUACCACGCUUGUACACGGUGGCCCCGUCCACCUGCACAUCGCCCUCACUAUCCGUAAGCUCAUCCCCGCCAUCCCCGCCCCCUGAGCCACCCGGACCCUCGGUCCAAUCCGGCAACUCGGUACGAUCCGGCCAGAUCUCCCAUCCGGCCCUCUCCACGUCGGGUGAAGCCUCCGGAACCCUAGUCUCCUCCGGCUGCUCCUGGGCCGAAUGCACCUCGACCCGAGGCUGCUCCUGGACCGGAGUCUCAUGGGACGAAUGCCCGUGAACAGCAGGCUCCUGGACCGGAGUCCCCGUAGCCUCCUCCGCAAACGGGUCGACCGUACUAGUCCUAUGCUCGGGUGAAUGAGCUAGUGGUGGUGGCGAGGACGGCUCAACAGUCCUCCUGGAUCUUCCGCGGCCACCACCUCUCCCUGUACCCUUCCCCUCCUUCCCUACCCGACCAGCACCUCUCCCAGUGGGCAAUGCCGCCGACAAAGAAGAACCCACGGCUGGUGUCGAAAGACUGUCUGCCAAGGCUCUACAGAGAGAUAGGGGUGGAAGGGAAGUACCACCCCUCGUGCGGGGCGCCUCGGAAGAACCCGUCGAGCGAUCUCGACCCGCGCCCACCAUCUUUCAACACCUGCCAUGAUAAAGAUUAAAAGAAAUUAGUACAACAUAAAAAAAWUUGAAUGACUGACAUGAAUAAUAAUAUGUACAUGAAUAAUAAAGAUUAAAAUAUAUAUAAUUUAAGUUGUGAAUCUUACAAACUAAUAAUCAUCAUCAAUAAAUGCAUCAUCAUCAUCACUAUCACGCAUGUCUUCAUGAAUGACGUGCUCAUCGGGUUCAACGGCGUGAAGUUGUGAAAGGCCUUCCUUUAAUCGUUGAAGCAUUGACAGGUCAUCCGCAUCAGUAACCUCUACGAGUUCCAGGUCUUCUGGUUCCGGCUUAGGGCUAGAGUCGGAUUCAUUGUCGCUGUCUACUUCCAUGUUCUUGGAUGAAGCACGACGGUUCUUGAAACGUUUCUUGGAAAGACGUGUUUCUUGGAAGAAUUCUCCAUCAUAUGUGUCUGGGUUAAUGUGAGGUUCAUAAUCCUGUUCAUUUGGGAGAGGUGGUCUGACAUGUGGCGGCACUUCAUAAACAACAUACCAACCUUCCAUAUUCUUAUCCGUUUGGCAUGCCCACGGUAUAUAGAAAACUUGGGUCGCCUGUUGAGCCGUAAUAUAGACAUCGGGAAUAUCUAAAUGGGUGUUUGGAUUGAUUUCGACUAGUCCUAUAUGUUCAUGACUCCUUCUAGUCUUUUUCGGCCGGAACCAAUAACAUUUGAAGCCUACGACGUUCGGUGGGUUCUCACCAUAGAAUUGAAGUUCAUAAAUUGCUUCAACUCUUCCAUAGUACUCGAUAACACCUUCGCCGAUAGCAGAGACACCACAAUUUGUAGAUUUCCAGUCGGGCAUAGAUAGCUCUUUGCCAAAGGUACGAAAGAGAUACCCGUUGAUGUUGUAUUUCUCAAAUGAACGGACCUUAUAGUGAAAACCAUUAGCGACUUGUCUCAAUUCGGCGUCCAUAGACUCUGAAUUAGCCUACAAGUUUAAUACGAAAAGGUUGUUGCAUUAGCCGCAAGUUAGACCAAGAAUGAAAUGGUCCAUUAUUGAUAAUUACCGUUUGUUUGAACCAAGAGAUGAAACCGGGAUAGCCGCCUCCUGUCUUAGUCAGAAGCUCAUAUUCUUCCACGGAAUCAUUUUCGAUCACCGCUCCAUCCGAGAAUUUGACGACGUAACGGCUGUUUGAAAUAUCCGGGAAUAAGAACCGUUCAAAUGAAUUAGAAGUUACGGGAAAAUGUGUCGAGAACUCACUCGAUGUACGGCCGCACUCCUGUUAGGUUGUUGAAGAUAUACAACGACAUGUUCCGCCAUUCUUUGAUAUCCAACGUUAUUGGUUUCGAAGCACCGGCUAGUGCGAGCUUCCCUUUGAAUAGGCUGACGUUGGACCCACCUUUUUUAGGGUCUCCAUCAUUGUGCCGAGGCUUCGGAUUAUGCAAAUGAUGAUUUUUGGCUUCGUAGUGUGCUGUCACAAAGUUUGCCACCUCCUCAGUAAUGAAUGCCUCAGCCAUCGAUGCUUCAAUUCUACGCUUAUUUUUACAUUUAGCUCGAAGGGUCUUCUGCAUCCUCUCAGUUGCAUAGCACCAACGAUCUUGCAAGGGCCCACCCAAUCUUGCCUCGGUCGGUAGAUGUAAAAUCAAAUGCUGCAUUGGAUUAAAGAAGCCCGGUGGAAAGAUCUUCUCUAACUUGCACAACAACUCCGGUGCAAACUCCUCCAUGUCUUCUACCACGCCAGGCGACAAUUCUUUCGCACAAAGAACACGGAAGAAAUAGCUCAGCUCCGCCAGUACUAGCCAUUCAUCCUCAGGAAUAAAGCUAUGUAACAUCACCGGCAUUACCCGCUCUAGCCAUAUGUGCCAAUCAUGACUCUUGAGACCAAAGAUUUUUAAUUUUUCAAGACUCGCUCCCCUCUUUAGAUUCGCUGCAUACCCAUCGGGGAACAUCAAGUGAAUUUUGACCCACAAGAUAAUUUCCCUCAUAGCUGGCCUUCCAAGAUUGAACCAGGCCUUUGGCUUCGACCACUUCUGCUUUCCUUUGCCUUCUCGCAUGUUUUGUAACGGUCUAUGACAUAGUGUCUCUUGAUCGACUCUAGCCUUAAUAUUAUCCUUUGUCUUCCCAUCUAUGUCAAACAAUGUACCAAAAAUAGCCUCUCCCAUAUUCUUUUCAGUGUGCAUCAUGUCGAUAUUGUGUGGAAGAAGGAGGUCUUUGAAGUAAGGCAGAUCCCAGAAGCAUGGCUUCUGAGUACAGGCGUGUUUUGAAUUAUACCCCUUGAAAUACCCUGGACGCUCUGGAUCAGGCUCGAGGGCGUUUAACUAAUCCAGGAUCUGUUGGCCUGUGAACGCAGGUGGUGCCAAGUUUUUGACAACUUUACCUUUGGUAAAGUUCUUCUUGUCUUUUCUGAACUGAUGGUCAGGAUCCAGGAACUGUCUAUGCAAGUCAAAGCAAGAAUACUUCCGACCCUCCUGCAACCAAUGAAACUGAAGAGCUACCUUGCAUUGGGGGCACGGGAACCUUCCAUGCACACACCAUCCAGAGAAUAGCGCAUACGCUGGCAAGUCAUGCAUAGAGUACAUGUACCACACAUGCAUUUUGAAGUUUUCUUUUCUAGCGGCAUCGUAUGUCUUGACCCCAUUUUCCCAAGCUUCUUCCAAUUCAUCCUUAAGUGGUUGCAGGUACACAUUCAUAUUCUUCCCUGGAUAAUUGGGCCCUUGAAUUAUCAACGUCAGAAAUAUGUUCUUUCUUUGCAUAAUCUGCCCGGUGGGGAGAUUGAGUGGAAUGACAAAUACAGGCCAACAACUGUAUUGGGUUGCCGUCAUGCCGAAGGGAUUAAAACCAUCCGUGGCAUUGCAGACUCGAGGAUUCCUUGGAUCUGCCGCUCUAUCCUGAUGCAAUCCAUCGAAAUGUUUCCACGCUUCCCCAUCCGAUGUGUGUACCAUCAUCUUAUUCCCAUCCGCAUCUAGUUCGGUUGUUUUGCCCAAUUUGUGCCAUGUCAUCUGUCUGGCUGUCUCUUUGACCAUGAAAAGACGUUGAAGUCUUGGUACGAUUGGCAUAUACUGAAGAACACUAACUCCGAUUUUGGUCUGCCUCUUCUCACCCAUACCGUUGUCUAUCACAAGAUACUUGCAAGACUCACAAUUGGGACAAUAGUCCAAGUGUUCAUACUCCUUCCUAAAUAAGACACAUCCUUUCUCACAUGCAUCUAUCUUCUCAUAGGGCAUCUUAAGUACACGAAGUAUUUUGUCCGACUGGUACAGGUUUGCAGGAAUGACAUGGCCUUUGGGUAGGAAACGUCCAAAUAGUGUCAUCAUCGCGUCAUAGCAUUCUCUUCCCAAGUUGAACUGAGCCUUCAGAGCCAUUACUUGUGCAAUUGCAUCCAGCUGACAGAGCUCAGUGUGCUCAUGGAGAGGACGUUUUGAAGACUCCAACAUUUCACAAAAGGCCUUUGCAGAUUCCUCCAUCUCAUCUUCCGAAUCCCGAGCAUCAUCAAAGUCUUGCACCAUGUCUUCCAUCCCGGUACCAUGCUCAUCCGUGCGACGACGGACCACCUCAGCUCUUGUGCGUUGUAUAGACUCACCAUGAAAUGUCCACACCGUAUAAUUAGGCUUAAAACCCCUCCUCUACAGGUUUUUAGUCAUUACAACCUCUGUCGUCUUUUUAUAGUUGUCGCAUCCAGGACAGGGGCAAUAGUUUCUUUCCUGGCCAUUUGCGAAUGCGGCUUUCACAAAUUGCUUUGUUUUUAAAAACCAUUCUUUCGUCAUCUCUUUCUGCCUAGGGUGACCGGUAUACAUCCACGCACGAUCACUCAUCUUGCGUAGCUACUCCAGCACCGCUGCUAUUGUUCUAUGUAUAAGGUUUUCCCUACUAGUGAAUCUUCAUCGUUUAACAGGGUGCUUGGGUCAGCCUUUACUUUGAAGGGAGGAACUUCAUGAAACUUUUCAUAAUCUUCACACAUGUCUGUCUUGCCCUCCAAUCCCACGAUGUCUCUUUUUCCUGAAAGAACUAUGUGGCGCUUUGGCUGAUCGUAUGAUGUAUUCGCUGCCUUAUAUUUUCUUUUUCUCGGUUUGGUAGACAUGUCCUUCACAUAGAAAACCUCAUAGAAAACCUACGCCACAUCAUUGGCUAGGACGAAUGGUUCGUCUGUGAACCCAAGAUUGUUCAGAUCCACUGUUGUCAAUCCAUAUUGUGGGUCUAUCUGUACCCCACCUCCUGACAUAUUGACCCAUUUGCACUGAAACAAAGGGACCUUGAAAUCAUGUCCAUAGUCAAGUUCCCAUAUGUUCACUAUGUAACCAUAGUGUUGGGACUUGGCGACUCACUGGCGACUGAGAGUGACCUAGCGGGCGGCUCAUACAUUACCCCGUAGGCGACUCAGACAAAUGACGAAGGCCCAAGGCCCGGCGUACACUCUGACAUAAGGCAACUCAUAGAGAGGCUAGGAGGGCCGACUCACACAGAAGGCCCAAGAAGACAAAAGACUCCCACAAGAAGGAAACAAGACCCGGAUUAGGAUUCAAGAGAGACUAGUCCUAUUCCUAGUCCUAGUAGGACUCUACAUGUAAACUUACCCCUUCCACCUAUAUAAGGAGGGGUAAGGCGUCCCAAGAGGGACCAGAUUCACAACUUAGAUCUAGACAAGACAAAUCAUGAGAUAGACAGAUUAGACACCCAUGAGAUUAGAGGUGCCUAGUCUGCACCCUUGUAAUUGAGAUCAUCAUCUUCAUCAAUUAAACACAUCCUCUCAAGCCGCCACAUGGUUGCGAUGGCCUCACACCUAAGUUCUCUCACAAGGACAUCUGCCGUGACAAAACCACGACACAUAGUAUGUGUCCUUUUUCCCAUUCUCGUCUGUUGCAUCAAAGCAAACACCGCUGUUUUGGUUGGUGCUCUUUUGAUAUUGGGCGAUCGUGUAAAAUGUAUUCCCAUUUAUCUCAUACUCUUGGUAAGUCAAUACAGUCGAAGAUGGUGCCCUGGACAAAGAGUACAACUCAUCAGAAAAAAUGUUGUCACCUAUGAGACGUUUUUGCAACCAACUGCCAAACGUCCUGAUGUGUUCGUAUGUAAUCUAGUCGUCACACUGCUUCGGGUGUUUGGAGCGCAGAAUAUUCUUGUGUUCAUCGACAUACGGGGUCACCAAGGUAGAAUUCUGUAGAACCGUGUAGUGUGCUUGAGACCAAGAAUGCCCGUCCGUACAUAUUAUUGAGCCUCGCUCCCUAGUGUGCCUUUUCUAGUCAGUCUUUCCUCAUACCGCGAUUCAGGGAGACUAGGAAUGAAGUCAACACAAAACCAAUGACACCCUCUGUUUGAUGGCACAUGGAGAUGCUUACUUAUGGCCUAGCGCGGUUAUGAACAUAUUUCUUUAAGACUCCCAUGAACCUCUCAAAGGGGGACAUAUUGUGUAGAAAUACAAGGCCCAGAAAUAAAAUCUCGUCGACUAUAUGAACUAGGACGUGUGUCAUGAUAUUGAAGAAGGAUGGUCGGAACACCGGCUCGAAACUAACAAGACAUUGCACCAAAUCACUCCUUAACCUUGGCAGGAUUUCUGGAUCGAUCACCUUCUGAGAGAUUGCAUUGAGGAAUGCACAUAGCUUCACAAUGGCUAAUCGAACGUUUUUCGUUAGAAGCUCCCUCAAUGCAACCGAAAGCAGUUGCAUGAUAAUCACGUGGCAGUCAUGAGACUUUAGGUUCUAGAACUUUUUCUCUGCCUUAUUUAUUAUUCCUUUUAUAUUCAAUGAGAAGCCAGAGAGGAACUUCAUACUGAGCAGGCAUUCAAAGAAGAUUUCCUUCUCUUCUUUGGCAAGAGCAUAGCUGGCAGGACCUUCAUACUGCUUCGGGUGCAUGUCGUCUUUUUCAUGCAUACUUCUUCGUCACGUGCAUCACGUUGAUUGCAGAGGGGACCUCUAGGUCUUUCCAAUAGGAUAAGUCCAAAAAUAUAGAUUUCUUCUUCCACAUGGGUGCGCGUCCCGCAUCGUCAUUUGAAACAGAUAGUCCGCUAGGACCCUUUCCAAAGAUUACUUGUAAAUCAUUGACCAUAUCAAGUAUGUGAUCACCAGUACGGAUGGCCUGUUUCUUCCGGUGAUCCGCCUCACCUUUGAAAUGCUUUUCUUUCUUCCGACAUUGAUGGUUGGUCGGAAGAAAUCGACGAUGCCCCAGGUACACAUUCUUCCUGCAUUUGCCCAAAUAUAUAUUGUCGCUGUCAUCUUAACAGUGUGUGCAUGCGUUGUAUCCCUUGUUUCUCUCACCUGAAAGGUUACUGAGAGCAGGUCAAUCAUUGAUGGUUACAAACAACAACGCAUGUAGGUCAAAUUCCUCCCGUUCGUUCUCAUCCCACACACGUACACCAUUUCCAUUCCAUAGCUGUAAAAGUUCAUCAACUAAUGGCCUUAGAUACACAUCAAUGUCAUUGUCGGGUUGCCUAGGGCCUUGGAUAAGCACUGACAUCAUGAUGAACUUCCGCUUCAUGUACAACCAAGGAGGAAGGUUAUACAUACAUAGAGUCACAGGCCACGUGUUAUGCUCGCUGCUCUGCUCCCCAAAAGGAUUAACGCCAUCUGCACUUAAACCAAACCAUACGUUCCUUGGGUCACGUGUAAAGUCGCUCCACUUUUUCUCGAUCUUUCUACACUGCGACCCGUCAGCGGGUGCUCUCAGCUUCCCAUAUUUCUUACGGUCUUUUCUGUGUCAUUGCAUCAACUCGGCAUGCUUUUUAUUUCUAAACAGACGUUUCAACCGUGGUAUUAUAGGAGCAUACCACAUCACCUUGACAGGAACAAUCUUCGCUGUGCGUUGGCCCUCAACAUCACGAGGGUCAUCUCUUCUGAUCUUAUACCGCAAUGAGCCGCAUACCGGGCAUGCGUUCAAAUCCUCGUAGGCACCGCGGUAGAGGAUGCAGUCAUUAGGGCAUGCAUGUAUCUUCUGCACCUCGAAUCCUAGAGGGCAUAGAACCUUCUUUGCUUCGUACACACUGUCGGGCAAUUCGUUAUCCUUUGGUAGCUUUUUCUUCAUUAUUUUCAGUAGAGAACUAAAUCCCUUGUCACAUACACCAUUGUCUGCUUUCCAUUGCAGCAAUUCCAUGCUAGUUUAAUUAAUUGUACCAACAAAACAUAUAUUUUAUUUUGAGAGACAUUGUAUAAAUGUAGACGUUCACAUACACGCAUGUACACCAUCCAUAUGAAUGCAUGCACACACACUCCACGCCUUUUAACAUUUUCAACAGAGCGAGCCAUCAGAUCUUAUGAUAAAAUGAAAAAUAUUUUGUCCGCACCACUCAAGUCGCAUCUCAGACAAUUUGUAAUCAAGAAAUUCGUGGCUUAUAAUGAAACAAAAAACAAGCAAAGCCGGAAAAAGGUUGUGUAGCAACCAUAUAAUGAAUUGAACGGCUGAAAUUUCCAGCACGCACAAUGUAUCCGACGGCCAUGCUUCUUCACUGAUCCGGUGAAGAUAAGGAACCAGGGAACGUCAGCCACCCCUACCACAUCUGCAUGAAAGAAACGGGGCUAUAUAUACCGUGGUGAACAGGCAAUGGGGGCCUCAAGUGUAGCCGGCAUCAUCCUCUCUACAGUUAAUACAGUACCAUGGCCCCCGCCGUGAUGGCUUCGUCGGCUACCACCGUCGCACCCUUCCAGGGGCUCAAGUCCACAGCCGGUCUCCCCGUCAGCCGCCGCUCCAGCGCCAGCCUCGGCAGCGUCAGCAAUGGCGGAAGGAUCAGGUGCAUGCAGGUAUGUCGGGGCACAAAACUGAUAUGAGUUUCUUCCACAUUACAAUUACUGCACUUAGCAGUUACUAGCACUAAGUGUUAAGCGUUCCAUAAUUUCCAAUCAUUCAGGUGUGGCCGAUUGAGGGUAUCAAGAAGUUCGAGACCCUGUCUUACUUGCCACCCCUCACCACGGAGGCCCUCCUGAAGCAGGUUGACUACCUGAUCCGCUCCAAGUGGGUGCCCUGCCUCGAGUUCAGCAAGGUUGGCUUCGUCUUCCGUGAGCACAACAGCUCCCCCGGGUACUACGACGGCCGAUACUGGACAAUGUGGAAGCUGCCUAUGUUUGGGUGCACCGACGCUACACAGGUGCUUAACGAGGUGGAGGAGGUCAAGAAGGAAUACCCUGACGCUUACGUCCGUAUCAUCGGCUUUGACAACCUGCGGCAGGUGCAGUGCGUCAGCUUCAUCGCCUUCAGGCCACCGGGUUGCGAGGAGUCCGGCAAGGCAUAAACUACGAGGUGAAACAAUGGCCUAUGUCGUAUGAAGGUCUUCUGUGAACUUCACUUUUGUCCACGACUCUGCUUUCCGACUAGAGCAUAAUUUGCAUCUCUAUGAUCUGUGUUUGUACGAGCAUAGGUUGUGGAGCAUAUAUGCAUAUGUAAAUUCUAGCACGGCCUACACAUAUACAACACCUGUGCCAUAUUUAUAAUAUACAACAAGCGGACCAUUGUCUUGCUGUUAAUUAUCGGAAAAGUUUAUUUUAUUUAGCACUGCAAUGGAUGUCUCGCAGCUAGUGGGUGGAAGAUUCCUGUAUUUGACAUUAAGACCCACUGAUUGACAAUUGCAAUUUUCAGUUUCUUUACUUAUAUCAAUAACAAAAUAGCUGUGGUAUCUUUUCCAUGUCACUACCAUCAUUUUCAUCGGUUUUUGCUAGUAGAAUAGGAUGACACAUAUUCUUAGUAGAGACACUUACUAAAGAACUUGUGAUGGUCUGGAUAAUAAGCAUCUAACUGAACUAGAUAUAACAACAACAUUCGAACCAUAUUAUGCAACUAUUGGAAUAAAUCUCCAACAUGCAUUGCAUGAGCUCCUUGAGAAGGAUUGUAAUCAUGCUAGUGAAAAUCAAGAAAAAAAACUCGGAUUUCUGUAAGUACUAUGGAGCAACAGCUCCACCGUCCUUUUUCCAUGAAAACAAAAGCAGGCAAGAAAUAUUUACAAAGGGAACAAAGGAAAAGAAAAAACACUUACCUACUUACCUAUUUAUCUAAUGGAGGUUAGAGCAACCUCAACCGGACGACCCAAACGGAUGCUCAUUUUGUCUGUGUUUUAUACAUUUGGAUCGGCUUGUUCGCCCUGUUUUUCUUUUGGGUGACCCAUGCGCCCAAUGCGCGGACCCUUCUUUCGUCCGCACGACAGGUUUGCGGCCAUUUUUUGAUCUCUUUGUUACAUAUGUUUAAAAUUUAAUCCAAGAUUAACGAAGUUGAAUAAAAAUACAACCAUUUCAUAGUUCACAAACCACAUAAAUAUCUCAUAGUUUACAAGCCAAAUUAACAUUAAAUUGUCUCGAAUACAUUUGAAAGAAAAGGUUGCCAAUACAUCUAUUGGUUUCCAAUAUGAAUGCACAUAUGCUCAACCAAAUCAUUUCGCAGGUACAUGUGACUUUCAAUCACGUAUUUGAUGAUGAAACUCGGCGAACUAUGCAAACGUUAUUGCUCCUCCAUGCACAGGCACAACAUUGUCAUCCUGAUUGGAAUUGCCUACCAGGUAAACCAUUCAAAAGGAUGGAAGGUGUUGCAUAGGAUAAGAUCUUCUUGAUCCAAGUGAUGGCUCCAAUUUGUACACAAUUUUAGAGCUCAUUUGUCGCCUAUUAGCUCCAUAUAGCAUGUUCUAUUCAGCAAAUUACAUGUCCAUAUGCAUGAUAUCCAUUAUUUGUCCUUUCCAUCACAAGGAUUGCGUAAUCAUAAUUCUUUGUUAGUGCUUUUUCGUUUUCUUUGUUUUUGAAUGUUUUGUAGGUGAUGUGGAACUCCCAUCCACUUAACACAAUGAAAAGGAUCCAAAGGUAAGGACUUCCUGGCACCAGAUUUAGGCAUUCGGUUUUUUAGUUGCUCAAAAUCAAUAUCUGAUAUUGUACGUGCAUCAACAUUGUUCUCAUGAUUCCAACGAGCAGAAGAACAUUGAAAACAGAGUUUGGAUGUAAAAGUUACGAUUUUACCAAAGAGUCCAAAGCGUUUAACGACCUUUGGCAUGACCAAAAAUGCUCGUAUCAGGCCCUGACAAGCUCGAAAGUUGCCCUUUCAACAGGAAUUUUUCGAGGAUUUCUUGUUCAGUGCCAUAAAAAAGUGGUACUAUCAUUAUUAACUUUGCAUCUGUUGGCGUCAAUGUUAUGGACAUCAAUAUCACUACUAUCUAGAUUCAACAAGAAUAAACCAUUCACAGUAGCCUCAUGACCAUAAAAGAUGUUAGUCAUAUAAAUAGAUAAACCAUUAUUCUCUAAUUUAACCGAAUAACUGUCUCACAAUAAACAAAAUCUAGAUAUAACGUUCAUGCUCAACGUGGGCACCAAAUAACAAUUAUUUAGGUUUACAACUAAUCCCUGAUGGUAAUCGAAGGGCGAGUGUGUCGACGGCGAUCACAUCAACCUUGGAACCAUUUCCGACGUGCAUCGUCAUUUCGUCCUUUGCCAGCCUUCGUUUAUUCCAUAGUUCCUAUUUCAAGUUACAAAUAUGAGCAACCGAACCGCUAUCAAAUACUAAGGCAUUACUACGAGAGCUAGUAUGAUACACAUCAAUAACAUGUACAUCAAGUAUACCUUUGCUGACAUUGCCACGCUUCUUAUUGGACAGGUACUUAGGGAAAUUCCGCUUCUAGUUACCAGUUCCAUUGCAAUAGAAGCACUCAGUCUCAGGCUUGGGCCCAGCUUUGGGUUUCUUGAGGGGGGGGACUGUCUUCCCGUUUUUCUUUAAGUUUCCUUUCUUGCCCUUGCCUUUCUUAAAACUAGUGGUUUUAUUCACCAUCAACACUUGAUGCUCCUUCUUGAGUUCUACUUCUGCGAUUUUCAGCAUCGCGAAUAGCAUAGAGAUUAGCUUCUUCAUCCCUUGCAUAUUAUAGUUCAUCGUGAAGCCUUUGUAGCUAGGUGGCAGUGACUAGAGAACUAUGUCGGUGAUCGUCUCAGGUGGAAGCUCAACUUCCAACUGAUUCAGGCGGUUGUACCACCCACACAUUCUGAGUAUGUGCUCACUGACAGAACUAUUAUCUUCGAUCUUGCAGGUGAAGAACUUAUUAGAGGUCUCAUACCUCUUGAUCCGGCCAUUUGCUUGAAAUACUAACUUCAACUCCUGGAUCAUUUGAUAUGCUCUAUGGCGUUCAGAAUGGUUUUGAUGUCCCGAUUCUAAGUCGUACAACAUGGCGCACUGAACUAUCGAACAACCAUCACCACGCGCCUGCGAGACGUUCACAAAAUCUGCAGAGGGCACUAGAGGGGUGGCGCCUGAGGCGGUGCAUCAAGGACAUAAGCCUUUUGCGAAACCGUGAGGAUAAUCCUGAGAUUAAGGACCUAGUCUGCAUAGUUACUUCCCUCAUCUUUCAGCUUAUCUUUCUCUAGGUACACAUUAAAAUUCAGGGGAGCUACUGCGUGAGCCACUGAUCUACAACGUAAUUUGCAAAGACAUCUAUAGACUAUGUGUCAUGACAAUGAGUUCAAUCAAUCAUAUUAUUAGAUAACUCCCACUCAAAUCAACAUCCCUUAGUUGUCUAAGUGUGACAUGAUCCAAAUACACCAACCCAAGUCCGAUCAUCAUGUGAGAUGACGUGAUUUCAAUGGUGAACAUAUCCAUUUGAUGAUAUGUACUAUAUGACUCAUGUCCGACCUUUAGGUCUCCUCUAUUCCCAGGCCAUGUUUGUACAUGCUAGGCUCGUCAAGUUUAACCCAAGUGUUUUCCAUGUGCAAAACUGGCUUACAACCGUUGUAUGUAAACGAAGAGUGUAUCACACCUGAUCAUCACGAGGUGCUUCGAAACAACAAACUUUCGCAACAGUGAGGGAUCAACUUAUAAUGCUAUCAUUGUCCUAAGGAGAAUAAGAUGCAUAAAAGAUAUACAUCACAUGCAAAUCAUAUAAGUGACAUGAUAUGGCCAUCAUCAUCUUGUGAUUUUGAUCUCCAUAUCCAAAGCACCGACAUGACACCAUGAUCUCCAUCAUCGUGUCGUCAUGUGGUUGUCGCGCCAACUAUUGCUAACUCAUAGUGAUAAAGUAAAGCAAAUGGCACAAAUAAAUGAAAGACAACCCUAUGGCUCCUACCGGUUGUCGUACUCAUGCAUGCAUGGACAUGGAAGUCGUGAUAACUAUACAAAACAUGAUCAUCUCAUACAUCACAUAUAUCAAAUAACGUUUUUGGCCAUAUCACAUCAUAACAUUCCCUGCACAAACAAGUUAGACAUCCUCUACUUUGUUAUUGUAAGUUUUAUGUGGCUGCUAUGGGAAACUAGCAAAAACCAUUCUUACAUGCUCAAAGCCACAACGGUGAUAUUCAAGUUGCUAUCUAACCCUUUACAAGGACCGCCUCUAUCGACUCCGAUUCAACUAAUUAAAGUGAGAGAGACAGACACCCGCCAUCAACCUUUAUCGAAGCAAGUUACAUAUUAGUUGGUCAAACCGGUCUCUUGUGCGUGGACAAGUAAGGUUGGUCUGAGCCGCUCCAUCCCAGAGUUUCACGGAAUCAAAAUAAUACUAAGGAGCUAAGCAAGAUGAACAUCAACACCCACAAACACUUCGUGUUCUACUUGUGCAUAUCAUCUAUGCAUAAACCUAGCUCAUGAUGCCACUGUUGGGGAACGUUGCUUGGGAAACAAUAAUUUUCCUACGAACACCCAAGAUCCAUCUAUGGAGAUGUAUAGCUACGAGACGGGGAGUGACCUUGUAGAUCGCUAAGCGGAAGAGUUAAGAAAAGUGGUGAUGGUGGUGGUGGUGCAAUCUCAACGGGGCUUUACCAAGCGCUGCUACAGACGCGACGGGGGAUAAAAUUGAUCUCAAGAGAGAGGGAGAGCGCCGACAAAGGCUUGAUGUGUGGUUGCCCUCCCCAUCCUCUCAUAUAUAUAUAGGGAAGGGAGGAUGGGGCCGACACUAGGGUUUCCCCUAGGGGUGGGGGCCGCGGCCUAGGAGCUGGCUUGCCACCCAAGCAAGGGUGGCGCCACCCCUCGGGCAUGCACUUCCACCAGCCCAGUCGCAUGGGCCUAGGUGGGGAGGGGCGCCCAGCCCACCAGGGGCUGGUGCGCGUCCUUCUCAGCCCAUGUGGCCCCUCCGGGGCAGGUGGCACCCUUUCGAUACUCCCGGUACUCUACAUAAUACUUACUAAAGAACUUGUGAUGGUAUGGAUAAUAAGCAUCUAACUGAACUAGAUAUAGCAACAACAUUCGAAACAUAUUAUGGAACUAUUGGAAGAAAUCUCCAACAUGCAUUGCAUGAGCUCCUUGAGAAGGAUUGUAAUCAUGAUAGUGAAAGUGAAGAAAGAAACACUGAUUUUUGUAAGUACUAUGGAGCAACAGCUCCACCGUCCUUUAUUCCACUAAAAAAAAGCAAGCAAGAAAUAUUUAAGAAGGGAACCAAGGAAAAAGGAAACAAACACUUACCUACUUACCUCUUUAUCUAAUGGAGGUUAGAGCAACUCCAACCAGGCGAUCCAAUUGAACAUGUGUUUUGUCCGCGUUUUGUCCAUUUGAGACAGCAUGUCCGCCCUGUUUUUCUUUUAGGCCGGCCUUGUGCCCAAUGCGCCGACCCAUCUUUCGUCUGCGCGACAUGCUUGCGGGCAUUUGUUGAUCACUUUGUCACAUAUGUAUAAAAUUUGAUCCUAGACUAACAAAGUUCAAUAAAAAUACAAAAAAAUCGUAGUUCAGAAACCACAUAAAUAUCUCAUAGUUUACAAGUCAAAUAAACAUUAUAUUGUAUCAAAUACAUUUGAAAGAAGCAGUUGUCGAUACAUAUUUUAGUUGCCAACACGAAUCCACAUAUGAUCAACCAAAUCCUUUUGUAGUUGCAUGUGAGUUUCCCAAUCACGUAUCUGAUGGUGAACUGUGCAAAUGUUAUCCCUCCUCCAUGCACAGGCACAACAUUGUCGCCAUGAAACUCAAAUCCUUGAUCAUAGACACGUUCUGGGCGCUCAUCUUCUACGAUCAUGUUGUGCACGAUCACACAAACAAUAAUCACCUUCCAUCACUUCUGGGUGCCCGAAGUUCUUGCAGGAUACCGAACAAUGCCCCAUCGAGAUUGAAAACACCAUAGGGACGCUCAACAUCCUUCCUAGCACUCUAUUGAUCUUGGGCAUAUCAUGGAAUAAGUCGGCCAGUGACAAGGUAGCAUACCUAGGUAGAGACGACAUAGAUGAGGUGGCUGGGAGGGAUACAGACGGAUGGUUGGCGGCGUCGAUGGAAGGUGGGAUGGACGGGUGAGUUUGAGGCGAAGAGAGAAAGAUGAGAUUGGCCUAUUUGGGCCAGUGGAAAGAAAAGGGCGGGUGUCACGGGCGUCAAUCCCGUGUUCGUGCCGAUGCAAAUGCGGUCAAAUUUGGGCAUGGAAUGGGUCACAGGUGGACAUAAACAAGACGUGUGUCCGUUUGGUUCGCCGCAUUGGGUCGAGUGUUGUGUUAGCGAUGACCCAAACGGACAGGCAUGGACGAAAUGGGUCGGCCGGUUGGAUUUGCUCUUACUAAUCCAAUCUAGGAGCUUUGGUUUUAUACAAGCCUUAACACCAUGUUCAAGAAGAGAUGGCAUGUCCAAGUUUACAACACCAAGUGGGAUUGGUUGACCGCUCCCCUAUGAAGAUAUUGACAUUUCUAAUAAUACAAAUAUUAGUUCCAAGAACACAACUUCAAAUAAGAAAGGGUGUCCAAAUCAUUUACAAGCAGCAUCCAUACAUCGUGUACUAUUUUGUCAAGGGAUCCAAUUAAUCUGCAAAUAAGCCCAAAUCCUUUGACUCAAAUUAUAGGGAGAAAAAGAGGUGGUCUAUUUUCUCAUGUGACAAUAGUGGUUUUCAUCCUGAGGAGAAUGCGAGUGAUCUUCUAAGAGAAAUUUUUCAAGCCUUCAAUCGAUAAAAAAAUAGGAUCUAAGCAAAGAUCUUGAUCUUAGUGGUCCACUGUCAUAUCCAUUUGCAAGGUUCAUAUCUGGGCAAGUGCAUGCAUCAUGGAGUACAAACUCUCAGAAGAAAAUGAUUCUCUUAAUGAAGAACAAGUAAGACAAGGUUGCGGUACGUUGAAGGUUAUGUAACCUACCAUCCACAGGUUGCAAUUCAUCCAUCGCCUCCGGAGAAAUUGGAGGAGCAAAAGAUGGCCCAAUCAGGGUUUUCGACAAAAUCUUCAAUUGAAAUGUAGUCAUCCAAGGCAAAGAAAGGAGCUUUUCCAAGUGGUGUUGAAGAGAUCGAGGAGAUCCCUCAACCAACUAGGUUCACACAAGAACAAGGAAGAGUCGCUCGUACUAACUUUCAUUGAUCAUAUGGUGUUGUACUAAUCGUUAAAUUCAAACAUAUUCAUCCAUGUUGCGACAGGUAUGACUCCAUGAUAGUAAGAAAUCCAUAUCAAAGUUUCCCAUGGAAGAUGAUCUUUGUUAUUAAAUUUGCCUCAAUGUUCUGUAAGAAAAGCUCGGUCUUGAAUAUGAUGGUUAAUGAUACCCAUACCUACCCAUACCACCAUUCUCCUUUGGUUUACAUACCAGAUGAAAUGACGCUAAUGGUUGCUUUGGGCUAUCAGCAUUGCCAUGCCGCCUCAAUUCCCUCAAGUUCAUUAAUUAUACCAGGGGGUCUAGAGACUACACCCAUAGUAUAUAGCACAAAUGAAAUGGCAGAGCUCAAAAUUUCAAUUUACCUUGUCAGAGAUAGAGAAGAGCUAGCUACCAGUCACCUUUUGAUUCUAUCAACCAAAGGCAUUAAGUCCUGGAUCUUGGGCGUAGUGUUACCCAUAGGUAAACCAGGUAAAUGAAAGGAAUCUUACCCAGUUGACACUCAAACAUACUAACCAACGAAAAUAUUCAUCGUCAAUCACAUUCAUAAGCACCAUAGAGGAUUUACAAAAAUUCACUUUCAAACGAGUGGAUUUAGAUAAAGAUUAAAACAUUUCUUUUAGGUCAAUAAGUUGAGAAUCAAUACCCAGCCUGAACAGCAGACUACACAACUCGAGAGUCUAGAUACUGAGAUGGGAUUGGAAAAGAUACCUCCUCACGAUGAUACAUGUUAUUGUGAAUACGCUGAAGUAAAUCCUCUCCCAAGAAAAAUAGAAGUGGCAACAGUGGGUCACCCUAUUAAAUCCUAGGUUUUCAUUGUAAUUGCUAAAAGUAGGUGGAUGUCGCCUAGGGGGCGUGAAUAGGCGUUUUAAAAUAAUUACAUUUUAGGCAAGAAAAAAUGCCCAAUAAAACUAACGUUUAAUUAGUCAAGCACAAAACCUAAAACAACUAGGCUCACCUAUGUACACCAACAAGUUAUGCUAAGCAAGAUCAACAACUAAAUGAUAGCAAGGUAUUUGACGAGAAACAAUAUGUCUAUCACAAAGUAAAGUGCAUAAGUAAAGUGCUCGGGUAAGAGAUAACCGAGGCACGCAGAGACGACGAUGUAUCCCUAAGUUUACAUCCUUGUGGAUGCUAAUCUCCGUUUGGAGUGGUGUGGAGGCACAAUGCUCCCCAAGAAUCCACUAGGGCCAACAUAAUCUUCUCAUGCCCUCGCACAAUACAAGAUGCCGUGAUUCCACUAAGGAACCCUUGAGGGCGGUCACCGAAACUGAAAGCACAUAUGCUCCCUUGGUGGUUUUGAUAAUUCAUGACAACAUACAUUGUCUCUUGCACUAACACUUUCACCUAGUAUAUUUCAGGUAUAGUCCACAAAGAGCAUUGGCUAAAUGAUUGUGUGGAGAAGUUCCAAGGAAAGGAAUAGGAUUGUCCAAGGUUCAAGCAAGAGGACUCUAUAUUUUAUAUUUGUGAGAAAUCAAUUUUGAGUCCAUAAAAAGCCAAUACUAUUAAAAGGGGUGAGGUAUGUGUGAUGAAUUGGUUGUUCAAGUGCUUAGGGAUAGACACAAAAAAUAUUCAGUGAUUCUCCCACAAAUAUAUCUGUCCAAAGCCUUCACAUCAAAAUUGGUGCCACCAAGAAUUCUAUUUCGUCCCUAUCUAUUUUCCGAGUGACAGAUCCUUUGCACAAACCCUAAUCUCUCGGUACCACCAACUUUCAUAUUGGUGCCACCAAAAGACAGUGACCAACUUUUUGGUAUCUCUAUUUCUAGAAUUGGAAUUUCCGAGAUUGAAAUCGGUACCACCGAGAAUUGGAAACUGCCCUAGGUCAUCGAGUCGGUACCACCAAGAUUUCUAUAUCGGUCUCACCAAAAAUUAAAAAGUUGUCACGUUUAGUGCAACUCGGUACCACCGAGAUUAAUUUCGCUGUCACUGAGUUGGGCAAUAAUUUUGUAAUGGUUGGAUUUUGGGAGAUGCCUAUAUAUACCCUUCCACCUCCAUUCAUUCGCAUAGGAAGCACUCAGAACACACUUACACUUGCCAUAUCCAUUUUUUCAGAGAGAGAGCCACCUACUCAUGUGUUGAGAUCAAGAGAUUCCAAUCCAUCCAUUUUAAACUACAUCUCUAGCCUCCCGAAGUUGCUUUCCACCAAAUCAAUCUCUCCUAGCCAUGUCAAAUCUAUGAGAGAGUGAUUGAGUGUUGAGGAGACUAUCUUUUGAAGCACAAGAGCAAGGACUUCAUCGUUCUACCGCAUCUAUUACCUUUUGGAGGGUGGUGCCUCCUAGAUUGGUUAAGUGUUGCUUGGGAGCCUCCUACUUCAUGUUGUGGAAUUGAACCAAGAAGUUUGUACGGGCAAGGAUAUCGCCUACAACGUGAAGAUCUACCCUCAGUGAGGCUAGUCCUAUGUGGACGUAAGCCACGAUGGAAUAUACAAGGCAGCUUCUUCGUGGACCCCUUGUGGGUGGAGCCCUCAAUGGACUCUUGAAGUCGUUACCCUGUGUGCGUUGAAGUCUCCAUUAACGUGGACGUACAAUAGCACUAGCUAUCUAAACCACGCCAAAAAUCACCGUGUCUUCUUUGCGUUUGAUCUUCCUAAACUCUACUCCUUACUUACAUGUGCAAUGCUUUACUUUCCGCUGCCAUAUAUGUUGACUAGCAUGUGUAGGGUGCACUAGACUUGUUAGAAUUGCUAAAAUCUACCAACCAUUAAAAUUGGGAAAAGGCUAGGAUUUUAAUUUUUCCAAUUAGACUAUUCACCCCCUAGACAUCCCUUCUAGUGAUCCCACAAUUUGUAAUAGAUAUUUGGCCUCCAUAGCCUGGGUUUAAUCACCAUUGGAGGAAGAUGGAUGUGCGUAGUUUGGGGAACCUUAGUUGUAGAGUGUCUAUUCUCGAUGGAGAGUAAUUUAGACAAUGGAAAUAUGAAAUGUUUCAUAUAUUGAAUGAAUUCCAUUUGCGCUAGUAUGUUGAAUAUCCCUAUGUGUCUCCCAUUGAUCCCUUACAUCCUUCUCAUGAUGAUGAUGAAGUUAAUAUGCUUGGUAAUGUUAAAACUAUUAAUCUUAUCAUUAGAGGACUGCCAAGAAAUGUGCUUAAGCAAAUGAAGAACUUUGAAUUUGCUUAUACUUUGGGGAAAUAUUUGGAGAAAAGAUACCCCGACUACUGCCAAUAAUAACACUUAGUUUUUGGCUUAGGUCCAGCCUUGGGUUUCUUCGUCGGAGGGGCAACAGAUUUUCCACUCUUCUUGGAGUUACCCUUCUUUCCUUUGUCGUUAUUCUUGAAACUGGUGGUCUUAUUGACCAUCAACACUUGAUGUUCUUUCUGGAUUUCUGACUCUGCCACUUUCAGCAUCACAAACAGCUCGGCGAGUGAGUUAUUCAUCCCUUGCAUGUUAUAGUUCAACAAGAAGCUCUUAUAGCUAGGUGGAAGUGACUGAAGAACUCUGUCAGUGACAGCCUCUUGCAGGAGUUCAAUCCCCAGCUGAGCUAGAUGGUUAGAGUACCCAGACAUUCUGAGUAUGUGUUCACUGGCAGACCCGUUCUCCUCCAUUUUGCAAUCAUAGAACUUAUCGGAGGUCUCAUACCUCUCGAUCCGGGCAUUCUUCUCAAAGAUAAACUUCAACUCCUGCAACAUCUAAUAUGCUCCAUGACGUUCAAAACGUCUUUGAAGUCCUGGUUCUAAGCCAUACAAAACUGCACAUCGAACUCAUGAGUAGUCAUCCUUACGCGACUACCAAGUGUUCAAAACAUCUUUGUCGCCGUAGCGGCUUGUGCAUCACCUAGCGCAACAUCAAGGACAUAUUGCUUUUGGCCAGAUGUGAGGAUAAGCCUCAGAUUACAAGUCCAGUGAACAAAGUUGCUUCCAUCAUAUUUCAACUUAGCUUUCUCUAGGGACGUAUUAAAAUUCAGCAUUGCUACUGCGUGAGCCAUUGAUCUACAACAUAAAUUUUUGCAAAUAUUACUUAGAUUAUGUUCAAGAAAAUUGAAUUUAGCUAAUCAUAUUACUAAUAAACUCCCACUCAAAUUGACAUCCCUCUAGUCAUUCGAGUGUCGCAUGAUCCAAAUUCACUAACUCAAGUCUGGUCAUCACGUGAGUUGAGUAUAGUUUCAAUGGUGAACAUCUACAUGUUGAUCAUAUCAACUAUGUGAUUCAUGCUCGACCUUUCGGUCUCUUGUGUUUCGAGGCCAUGUCUUUACAUCCUAGGCUCAUCAAGUUUAACCCGAGUGUUCCACGUGUGCAACUGUUUUGCACCCUUUGUAUGUGAAGUUGAGUCUAUCACACCCGAUUAUCACCUGUUGUCUCAAAACGACGAACUGCCGCAACGGCGCACAGUCGGGGAGAACACAACUUUAUCUUGAAAUUUUAGUAAGAGAUCACCUUAUAAUGGUACCGUCGUUUUAAGAAAAAUAAGGUGCAUAAAAGGAUUAACAUCACAUGCAAAUCAUAAGUGACAUGAUAUGGCCAUAAACUUGUGCUUCUUGAUCUCCAUCAGCAAAGCACCGGCAUGAUCUCCAUCGUCACCGGCGCCACACCAUGAUCUCCAUCAUCGUACUGCCAUCGAGGUUGUCGCGCUAACUAUGCUUUUACUAAUAAAGCUACUACUAGCGAUAAAGCAAAGCAUCACCAAGGGCAAAAAUAAUUAAAGACAACCCUAUGGCUCCUGCCGGUUGCCGUAGCAUCGACGUGCAAGUCGAUAUUUAACUACUACAACAUGAUCAUCUCAUACAUCCAAUAUAUCAUAUCAUGUAUUUGGCCAUAUCAUAUCACAUGCAUACCGUGUAAAAACGAGUUAGACGUCCUCUAAUUUGUUGUUGCAAAUUUUACGUGGUUGCUAUGGGUAUCUAUUAUGAUCGCAUCUUACUUACGCAAAGCCACAACGCUGAUAUGCAAAUUGCUAUUUAAUCUUCUCCAAGGAACACCUUGGUCAAAUCCGAUUCAACUAAAGUUGAAGAAACAAACACCCUCCAGUCAACUUUAUGCAACAAGUUGCAUGUUAGUCGAUGAAGCCGGUCUCUCGUAAGCGUACGAGUAAUGUUGGUCCGGUCGCUUCGAUCCAACAAUACCGCUGAAUCAAGAAAAGACUAAGGAGGGCAGCAAAUUGAACAUCAACGCCCACAAACUCUUUUAUGUUCUACUCGAGAUAUCAUCUACGCAUGAACCUAGCUCAUGAUGCCACUUUUGGGGAACGUUUCAUGGGAAACAAAAAAUUUCCUACACAUACGAAAGACCUAUCAUGGUGAUUAUCAUCUACGAGAGGGGAGAUCGGAUCCACAUACCCUUGUAGAUCGCUAAGUGGGAAGCGUUAAGAAACGUGGUUGAUGUAGUCGAACAUCUUCGCUAUCCAAUCACGAUCCAUCCCACGAACUGCGUCCCGAUCUAGUACUGAACGGACGACACCUCCGCGUUCAGCACACGUACAACUUGAUGACAAUCUGCGCCUUCUUGAUCCAACAAGAGAGACAAAGAAGUAGCUGAAUUCUCUGACAACACGAUGGCACGGCAGUGAUGGUGGUGGAGCUACUCCGGUAGGGCUUCACCGUGUCGUACUUAACUAGCUACGGGGUGUCACGAAGUAGUGGAGGGAGAGAGGGCUGCACAAAGACUUGGGGUGCAAAAACCCUCUCAAACCUCCACUAUAUAUAGGAGGAACAAGUGAGAGGGUGGCUUGCCUCCUACUCCAAGUAGGAGGGUUUGGACGAGCCCAAGAGGGAGGAGUCCUCCACCAAUUCGGUUUGGUGGAGGACUCCUUCCCAUCUUGUCCACCUCCUUCCUUUUAUUUUCUUUUUUACUUCUUAUUAUUGCUUUUAGCCAUUAUAGGCUUAUUGGGCUGGCCUCAACAGCCCACUAAAGGCUGGGGCGCCACCCAUGGGCCUAUUAGGUCCUAUCCCGAGUGGGUGGCCCCUCCCGGUAAAACCCCAGAACCAGUUCGUCUCUCUCGGUACUUUAGCGGUAAUGCCCGAAAUCUUUCCGAAAGCCUAUAUAUCAAUUGUUGUUUCCGGACCAUUCCGGAGACCCUCGUGACGUCCGAGAUCUCAUCUGGGACUCCAAACAACAAUCGGUUACCAACAUCAAUAAUUCAACAAUACCAAAACGUCACCGAACCUUAAGUUUGCACACCCUGCGGGUUCGAGAACUGUGUAGACUUGAUCGAGACACUCUCCAGCCAAUAUCCAAUAGCGGGACCUGGAUGCCCAUAUUUGAUCCUACAUAUUCUACGAAGAUCUUAUCGGUCCAACCUCUAUGUCAAUGAUUCAGUUAAUCCCGUGUAAUGUUCCCUUUGUCCUUCGGUAUGUUACUUGCCCGGGAAUCGAUCGUCGGUAUCUCUAUACCUAGUUCAAUCCCAUUAAUGGCAAAUCUCUUUACUCGUUCCGUAAUACAGUAUCCCGUGGCUAACUCUUUAUUCACAUUUCUUGCAAGGCUUAUUGUGAUGUUGUAGUACUAAGUGGGCCCCGAGAUACCUCUGCAUCAGAAGGAGUGAUAAAUCCCAGUCUUGAUGCACGCCAACCCAACAUACACUUUCGGAGAUACCUGUAGAGCACCUUUAUAGUCAUCCAGUUACGUUGCGACAUUUAAUACACACAAGAUAUUCCUCCGUUGUUCGGGAGUUGCAUGAUCUCAUAGUCAUAGGAAUAGAUACUUGACACACAGAAAACAAUAGCAACAAAAUGACACAAUCACAUGCUAUGUUUAUAGUUUGGGUCUUGUCCAUCACAUCAUUCCCCCAAUGAUGUGAUCUCGUUAUCCAUUGACAACACUUGUCUAUGGCUAGGAAACCUUAACCAUCUUUGAUCAAUGAGCUAGUCAACUAGAGGUUUACUAGGGACAAUAUUUCGUCUAUGUAUCUACACAUGUAUCUGUGUUUCCAUUCAAUACAAUUCUAGCACUGGAAACAGGAAAUAUAAUAAUAACUAAUUUAUAAUUGCCUCUAGGUCAUAUUUCCAAGAGAGGAAGCUCCACCAUCCAACAAGAAGAAGCUCUCAUGAGUUCGAGAAAAGAGUGGACAAGGAUUAUCCGCUGAAUCAAAUCUUCGUUGACAUACAAACUGGGAGAAUUACUCACUCUAAAACUUGUUUAGGUAACUUUUGGAGCAUUACUCAUUAUCUCUGGCAUAGAGCCUAUGAAGGUACAAGAAUCCCUUCAAGACCCAUAUUGGGUGAAUGCGAUGCAUGGAGUGUUACACAGAUUCACGAGGAAUGACGUUUUUACACUUGUGGAAAAGCCCAAGGACGAGAAAAGCGUCAUUGGUACAAAAUGGGUAUUUGGCAACAAGCAAGAUGAACAUGGUCAAUUUGUACGCAACAAGGCGUGUCUCAUAGCCCAAGGAUACACGCAAGUUGAUACGUCUCAAACGUAUCUAUAAUUUUUGAUGGUUUCAUGUUGUUAUCUUGUCAACUUUGGAUGUUUUAUAUACCUUUUAGAUCUUUUUUGGGACUAACUUAUUAAUUCAGUGCCAAGUGCGAGUUCCUGUUUUUUCUGUGUUUUUGACUCUUUUCAGAUCUGAUUUUGGAACGGAGUCCAAACGAAAUAAAAUCCCCGAAAUAAAUUUUGAGGGCCAAGGCAGGAGGCCCAUAGGGAGCCCACAAGCCGUGACGCUGCGGCCAGGGGGGCCGCGGCGACCAGGCUUCUGGCCUCCCUGGCGCUCCCCUGCCCGAGCUCUUUCGCCUAUAUAUUCCCUAAAAUCCCAGAAAAAAUCAGGGCAUCCACGAAAACACUUUUCCGCCGCCGCAAGCUUCCGUUUCCGCGAGAUCUCAUCUGGAGACCCUUCCCAGUGCCCUGCCGGAGGGGACUUUGGAGUUGGAGGGCUUCUACAUCAACAUCAUCGCCUCUCCAAUGACUCGUGAGUAGUCCACUUCAGACCUACGGGUCCGUAGUUAGUAGCUAGAUGGCUUCUUCUCUCUCUUGGAUCUACAAUACAAUGUUUUCCAUGAUCUUCAUGGAGAUCUAUCCGAUGUAAUCCUCUUUGGCGGUGUGUUUGUCGAGAUCCGAUAAAUUGUGGAUUUGUGGUCAGAUUAUCUAUGAAUUAUAUUUGAGUCUUUGCUGAUUUCUUAUAUGCAUGAUUUGAUAUCCUUGUAAGUCUCUCCGAGUCUUGGGUUUUGUUUGGCCAACUAGAUCUAUGAUUCUUGCAAUGGGAGAAGUGCUUGGUUUUGGGUUCAUACCGUGAGGUGACCUUUCCCAGUGAUAGAAGGGGCAGCAAGGCACACAGGGGAUAGGUGCCAUCAAGGGUAACAAGAUGGGAUUUUAGUCAUAGAUUUGAGAUUGUUCAUCUACAUCAUGUCAUCUUGCUUAGAUGCAUGCUGGAUAGCGGUCGACGUGUGGAGUAAUAGUAGUAGAUAAAGAAAGUAUCGGUCUACUUGUUUUGGACGUGAUGCCUAUAGAUAUGAUCAUUGCCAUAGAUAACGUCAUGACUUUGCACGGUUCUAUCAAUUGCUUGACAGUAAUUCGUUGACCCACCGUCUACUUGCUUUCAUGAGAGAAGCCACUGGUGAACACUACGGCCCCCGGGUCUAUUCACAACUAUCGCUUCCACUUUUACUUUUACUUUGCUUUGUUUACUUUUUGCUUUCAGUUCUCACUUUGCAAACAAUCUAUAAGGGAUUGACAACCCCUUCAUAGCGUUGGGUGCAAGCUCUUUGUGUUUGUGCAGGUACUUGUGACUUGACGCGAUCCUCCUACUAGAUUGAUACCUUGGUUCUCAAACUGAGGGAAAUACUUACCGUCGCUGUGCUACAUCACCCUUUCCUCUUCAAGGGAACACCAACGCAAGGCUCCAAGGCCGCGGGGGAAUCCUUUGCAUAUUUGCCAAGGAAGUUCCUAUAGGCAUAGCCCGUAGCAGAAGGAUUCCUGGCGCUGUUGCCAGGGAGGGUCUUUUGUUGCCGUAGCAGAAGUAUUUCUGGAGCCGUUGACGGGGAGGAUCGCUUGCCAAGGAGUAUCAAGACAGGAAUAAUCUCCCAUCAACACACCUAUUUCUGGCGCCGUUGCCGGGGAGAGAUCAAGUCAAGAUCUAUCCAAGUAGGUGUCACAAACUCAUCUCUUGCAUUUACCUUUUUUCCCAGUUGCCUCUCGUUUUCCUCUCCCCCACUUCACAUUUGCCGUUUUCAUUCGCCUUUUUCGUUUGCCUUUUUGGUUCACCCUUUUCUCUCGCUUGCUUUCUGUUCGCUUGUGUGCCAUGUGCCUUCAAUAUGUUUGCAUCUUCGCUUGCUGAAAAUCUAGUGAUAUGGAUCCUCAUCCACUUGCUAAUCUCUUUAAGAGAUCCAAUUAUGUUGAUCCAAUUGCUAGUGAGUUGAGUGCACUUAUGUAUCUUUAUGGAGUUUUGCUUGAGAUGCGUGAAUCUGAAAAUUGUGAGGAAGAAAUUUAUGAAGUGAUUGACGAGGGCUCCUUGGAUGAAAAGCAUGAUUGCAAUGGUUUCACUAUAAAUUCUAUUAGUGACAAUCAUGCUAAGAAUAUGGAAAACCCUAAGCUUGCAGAUGCUAGUUUUGCUAUGUCCCCUACUUGUUGCAAUGAUCAUGAGUGGGGCGAUGAUUUUUCUUAUGAUCUUGAAAAUUUGUUUAAGCCUCAUGAUGAAUAUGAUAUUUGCAAUAUCAUUGAAAGUGGGUUUGGAGAAAUCAUGACUUUAGUUGAUGAUAAUCCGACUAUUUUUGAAGAGCGUCAACUUUGCAUGCAUGUGGAUCAUGAAAAGAAUAUCCUAUGUGAUAGUUACAUUGUUUAAUUCGAAUAUGAUCCCACAUGUAAUUACUAUGAGAGAGGAAAAUAUUGUGGUAGAAACUUUCAUGUUACCAAAUUACCUCUCGUUAUGUGGAGAUUGCUAUUGUCUCUUUCUUCUUCCUUGCAUACGGUAACUAUUGGUUGUCUUGACAAUCUGUUUUCCUAUAAAAUGCCUAUGCAUAGGAAGUAUGUUAGACUUAGAUGUGAUUUUCCCAUGCUUUAUGAUGCUCUCGUUGUGCUUCAAUUCUUGUCUUUUGUGUGAGCAUCAUUGAAUUAUCAAUGCCUAGCUAAGGGCGUUAAGCAAUAGCUCUUGUUGGGAGGCAACCCAAUGAAUUUAUCUUUUUCUUUCUGUUUUGUGUUUUCCACACUUUCAUAAUUCUGUUAUGAUUGUGUUUUUUGUGUUUCUUUUGCGUUUGUGCCAAGUAAAACUGUUAUGAUUAGUCUUGGGGAUGAUCGUUUGGUCAUGCUGGAAAAGACAGAAACUUUCUGCUCACGAAAAGAAUUUUCAUUUUGUUUCUGUAAGAGCUUUUGAGUUGAUUCUUUUUGCUUCUGAUUUCUAUGCAAAUUCUUCAGACUGUCGUAAUUGGUCGGAAUUUUUGAAGUACCAGAAGUAUACGAAGUAUACAUAUUACUACAGACUGGUCUGCUGUUAAUAGAUUCUGUUUUUGUUGAGUUGGUCGAUUAUUUUGAUGAAACUAUGGAUAGUAUCGGGGGGGGGGGGGUAUUAGCCAUGGAAGAUUGAAAAUACAGUAACCCAACAUCAACAUAACUAGAAUUUAAUUUUCCUAUAGUACCUAAGGAAGUGGUGGUUUGCUUUCUUAUACUAAUGAUAUCACGAGUUUCUGUUUAAGAUUCGUGUUGUGAAGUUUUCAAGUUUUGUGUGAAGUUCUUAUGGACAAAGAGAUAAAGAGUGGCAAGAGCUCAAGGUUGGCGAUGCCCAAGGCACCCCAAGUGGAUUCAAGGAUGCCAAAAAAGCCUAAGCUUGGGGAUGCCCCGGGAAGGCAUCCCCUCUUUCGUCUUCAAUCCAUCGGUAAUGUUACUUGGGGCUAUAUUUUUAUUCACCACAUGUUAUGUGUUUUGGUUGGAGCGUCUUGUACCGUAGGAGUCUUUUAUUUAUUUUGUUCCACAAUAUUCCUUGCUGCACACUUAGAGAGAGAGACAUGCGCUCACUGUGAUUUUGUCGAGCUUCACUUAUAUCCUUUGGUUAGACAAUUCAGCUCACAUGUGUUUCACUUAUAUCUUUUGAGCUUGUUGAUUUUUCUCUAUGUGUUUCACUUCUAUCUUUUAGAGCACGGAACCGCUUGGCGUGGUAGUUGAUCUAUGCUAUGAAAGUAGUCUCAAAAGGGGUAGUUAUACAAAGGAAUAUGAAAACUUCCACCUUCAUGUGCAUUGAGUAGUUAGAGAAGUUUGAUUCAUCUCAAUCAGUUUUGAGUUGUGGUUGUGGUAAUAUUAAAGUUAUAUUAGUAAGGUGUAGUGGAUCUAGAAAUACUUGUGUUGAAGUUAGUGAUUCCGGUAGCAUGCACGUAUGGUGAACCGCUAUGUGAUGAAGUCUGAGCAUGAUUAGUAUAUUGAUUGUCAUCCUUUGUGUGGUGGUCGGGAUCACGCGAUGGUUUAUACCUACCAACCCUUCCCCUAGGAGUAUGCGUUGAAUGCUUUGUUUCGAUUACUAGUAGAACUUUUGCAACAAGUAUAUGAGUUCUUCAUGACUAAUGUUGCGUCCAUGGUCUAGAUGCACUUUCAGCUUCCGCCAUCACUAUCUUCUUUAGUGCCGUGCAACUUUCGCCUGUGCAUAAAACCCACCAUUAGCCUCCCUCAAAACAACCACCAUACCUACCUACUAUGGUUUUUUCAAAGCCAUUCCGAGAUAUAUUGCCAUGAAACUACCACCAUGACAUGUGCCACCACUUCUACAUUGCCAUUGCAUGAUCAUAAGAUAGCUAGCAUGAUGUUUCCAUUGAUGUCUAUGCCAUGCUAGAUCAUUGUCACGGUACACUACCGAAGUCAUUCCAUAUAGAGUCAUCAUUGCUCUAAGUUUUGAGUUGUAAGUGUGAUGAUCAUCAUUGAUGGAUCAUUGUCCCAUGUGAGGAAAUAAAAGAGGCCAAAGAUGCCCACCAAAAAAAAGAAGGCCAAAGAGCCCACCAAAAAAAAUAGAGAGAAAAAGAGAGAAGGGACAAUGCUACUAUCUUUCCACAAUUGUGAUUAUUAAGUACCAUGAUUUUCAUGAUUGAGAGUCUCUCGUUUUGUCACCACCAUAAAGCUAGUGGGAAAUUUUUAUUAUAUAACUUGGCUUGCAUAUUCAAAUGAUAGGCUUCCUCAAAAUUGCCUUAGGUCUUCGUGAGCAAGAAAGUUGGAUGAAGAUGGGGAGGAACCACCUCCUCCUAAUGGCAACCCACACCCUCAGUUUGGCCCUGAGCUCACUGGUGAGCAAUUGUACCAACAGCAAGUGCAUAACUGGCUAGUUCAAAAUGCAGCUCAACCUUAGGGGGCUCCUCCUGCUCAUGAAGCCCCAUAGCAACAGGAUCAGCACAAUGGAUGGGGAGUGUGGCCAGCCUCACCACCAUAGGCACCACAAUUACCUCCUUAUGUCUACAACUUUCAAGCUUGGCUUGCUGCCCAGGGACUACAAGUGCAAGAUGGCCUGCUUCCUGAAGAUAACAUCUCAGAUAGUGCUUCCCAAGCUUGGAAUGAUGCUAUAUCCAACUCCAACAACUCUGCUAGCACCAACCUAUCUGCUGGAUCUCUGAAUCCCCUGGUGAUACACUCUCAAACACAUCAGCUGCAACACUCUGAGGGUCUUUUGAGAAUCUCCCUGGAAGUUCACAAUAGUGGAAUUCGCUUUGGCUUAUCUGAACAUGGAGAAUCAGUGCUCACCCUGCUACUAACUGAUCCAGCUCCAAGACAGCAGCUAAAUGACUUCAUCUUUAGAGCCAUCAAACCUCUAAUGGCUUAUAGAGGCCCUUGGAAUGCUGAUUAUGGUUUCAAGCAUGAAUGCAUGCAGGUGGAAGUUGCAGUUGCUCUGCGUGAUGAUGGCAUAAUAUUUAGCAACACCUAUCCUACUCUCCCCAUGAGCACUACAUCAUCUACUGUUAUCAUAGAAGCACUAUCCCCUGAGCAGGCACUGGCUCCAACUAUUGAUCCUACGGAUCCAUUGGAAAUAGAAUGCAGCAUGGAUCAGGAACUACAAGUCAGCAAGAUUCCUCUGAAGCAGAAAGGCAAAAUGAAACUGCAAGUAGAUACUUCCAACCUUCGCCGCAGCCUGAGAUCAAACAAGUAUGAUGGUUUCAAGAUCCCAUCCAUGGCAGAGGGCAAGAUCACUAAAUCCAAAGUUAAGCCCAGGAUGAUUCCCAAUAUUGCUCUUCAGGAAGUUGAUCGUGCUCUGACACUUGAGGUUCCCCCUCCUACUGCCAUCAACACCAUGCAAGCCAUUGGGACGCAGCUGUGUGCCAUACCUGAAACAGAGCUUGCAGACUCGGAGCUUCUUCGAGAAGAUCCAGGCCCGACAGAUGGCCAAGUUUGAUAUUGUGCCUGACCCACCUCCUCUUUGAAUCUCUAUGGUACUUUUGCGUAGUUGGAACGUCUUAUGUUGGAAUAUUCGUGGACUUAAUUCGCCCAAAAAACAUCUAGCUCUAUCGAAUGCUAUUCGUGACAGCAGUUGCUCCAUCAUUUGCUUACAAGAAUCGAAAAUGACCUCAUUUGAUGAACAUGCUUUACGUACAUUGUGUCCUAAACGAUUUGACAAAUUUGCAUAUAUUCCCUCCCGAGGGGCUUCUGGUGGGAUAGUCACGAUUUGGAACAGCUCUAUAUUUAUAGGAACUACAUUUGUAGAAGAGGAUUUCGUGUUAGGGGUCCAGUUCUCAUCAACACAAACUUUGCAUACCUGGAAGCUAUUGAACAUAUAUGGCCCCUGCCAAGGGGAUCAAAGGGUUUGUUUCACAUCUUGGCUCUUUGAUCUUGACAUUGUGGCAACUGAGGAUUGGUUGAUCCUAGGGGAUUUCAACUUCAUUAGGGCACCAACGAACUGCAAUCUACCCGGAGGUAACAUUCAAGACAUGUUUACGUUUAAUGAAUUCAUCAGUGAGCAGAUGUUAACGGAGAUCCCAAUCAAAGGCCGACCAUAUACAUGGUCGAACAUGCAGCUAAACCCUUUGCUCGAACAACUCNNNNNNNNNNNNNNNNNNNNNNNNNNNNNNNNNNNNNNNNNNNNNNNNNNNNNNNNNNNNNNNNNNNNNNNNNNNNNNNNNNNNNNNNNNNNNNNNNNNNUAUAAGGCAGCGAAUACAUCAUACGAUCAGCCAAAGACGCCACAUAGUUCUUUCAGGAAAAGAAGACAUCGUGGGAUUGGAGGGCAAGACAGACAUGUGUGAAGAUUAUGAAAAGUUUCAUGAAGUUCCUCCCUUCAAAGUAAAGGCUGACCCAAGCACCCUGUUAAACGAUGAAGAUUCACUAGUAGGGAAAACCUUAUACAUAGAACAAUAGCAGCGGUGCUGGAUAAAAGGCGGCGCUACUGCUACAUAUCAGUAGCAUGCUUCCAGUACAGGCGCUACUGCAAACUACUUAUCAGUAGCGCGGCUUUAGGAAACACGCUACUACUAAUAUUGCCCCACUGUUGCCGACGGAGCUAGAUUUAGUAGUAGCCCGCCCCGAAUACCAACACUACUACUAAAAGAAUAGUAGCAGCGCGUUUUUACAACCGCGCUAAUACUAAGUGGGGCACUUAUCAUUUCGUCGCCCCCACAGGCCCCUCUCUCACUCUCUCCCUCUCUCCCUCUCCACACUCCGCCGUCGCCGCCGCACCGCACUCCCUCCCUCACCACUCUGCACCGCCGCCGCCGCCCCGCACUCCCUCUCUCCCCACUCUGCGUCGCCGCCCCGCCCCUGCCUCACCGACACCCCUGCCUCGUUAUCGCCCCUGCCUCGCCGACGUGGACACCCCUGCCUCGCCGACACCCUUCCUCCUACAUCGUCGACGCCACCUCCUCCACCCGCUGCUGUCGAUCUCACCACCGUAAGUCCCUCUCCCCUCCCCUCUUCUCUAUAGAUACACUAGUGGGGACAGGGCCUAUAGCCCCGGCCCGUAAGGGGCUUUAGUCCCGGUUCACCAACCGGGACUAAAGGGGCGGGACUAAAGGCCUAACCUUUUCGUCCCGGCCCUCUUACACGCCGGGACUAAAGGUGCUCCACGUGGGCGCCUCGUAGCGCCCCACAGGCAGGCCCUUUAGUCCUGGUUCGUUACACGGUCCGGGACUAAAGAUUUUCAGAUUUUGCUGGCUUUUGGGUUUUUUUUGAAUAAAUUAUUUUGGGUUUUAGGGUUUUAGGGUUUAGGUGUUCAGGAGAUUAACGUGAUGCCUCGUUUUGUGUUCGGGAAUUAGUUUUCAUAUAAUUUAAAAUAGAAAUAAUUAUGCAUAUAUAUAUAUAUAAGAUUAACUUAUCUUACAAGCGAUCAUAUAUAUACAAUUAUAUGGAGAUCUGAAUUAUCGAGACUAGAGCCCGUCUAUUCGAUUACAUGGACGAACAUGAGUAAUGGCCCUUAGCUACACUAAAUCGUCAUGUGUCUUCUAUAGCUUCCGUCCUCAGAAAUCCCGCAAGCUCCUCUGCAACAGCAAUCGCGCGUUGCUCUGGUAGGACCUUCGUCCUCAUGGCCGUGUGCUAUAUAAGAAGAGGAGAUGAAUAUGAAUAUCAAUCAUGAUAACAAAGAAUGACAGGUAAAAAUAGAGGUGUGAAUGUUCAUUGCUUACGUCGAAUCUAUGCUCCUUGAACUCAGAGGUAAACGUGCGAAUGGUCUCGCAAACAUAGUAUCCGCAUAGAUGCGUUCCCCGUGGCUGCUGGUCGCACUUUACGAGAAUGGAAUAUAUAUAAUCAAAAUAAUAAUCUAGCAUCAUAAAUGUAUUGAAAAUUAAUAGAAGUAUAUCAUACUACUACUUACCUGAGCCGCUCUAAAGGUCAGCUUCUCAGGAAAGUUACCGGGAGUCACGCACUUGAACCGAUUCCAAACCCUGCCCGACAAGGAUAAUGAUUUACUAAGUUUUUCAUUAAUUGAUAUAUCAGAAAAUCAUCGAAAGAGACCGAUAGAGCGCAAGAAUGAUUAAAAUUACCCUUGGAGCAUGUCCUGUAGGCUUUGGAACUGUUCCAAGGGUCUCGAUAAUGGGUCGAAGGCAUCAACCCUUCCCUUAUCAAUUUGAAUGUCCAACAGAAUCCAAUGGAAGCUGCACACGUAUAUAUAUAUAUGUGUGUGUGUGAGUAACUUAUCAAUUACACUUAUAAGUGAAUGGACACAACAGAGUAAAGACCCUCACCUGAAGUUGUAUGGAAACAGUAUGUGGUCAUAGAAAUUUUGAUCUCUUAGAAACCUUAGAAGGUUUUCCUCCGUCUCCUUGGGAUAAUUAGUUAGCGUCGCUAUAUGUAUUUUAUCUGGAUCAAUAAACCCAAUAUUUAUGAUGCUCUUACUUUUACACUCCAGAAUCUUCAUUCUGCGUAAUAGAGUACAAGUUAUAUAUAGACAAUGAAUUGAAAUAACUAAACAAGUUAUAUGUAGUCAACGAAUUGAAAAACUUACAGACAAUAGCAACUCAUAAGCGAUUUGUCGAGGGCGUCGCCAUUGUACAUCUGGGAGAGUUCAUCAAAGUCGAUAUGGAUUUCUUCGGAGCGGCCGUAGUACUCCUGUGGGACACUCAGCACGAUCAUCGUUCUCCCAUUCUUUGAUUCACUUAAGUACCAUUUAUGCAAGUAACGCAAAUUUGUUGGGAGAUUAUCUUUGCUGACCAAAGGCUCUCCCAUGACAAACUGUGGCUUAGGGGCUACCACAGCCUUGGGUAUCCUGUCGUCUUGGGAAGCCAGCAAAUUUUCAACCAAGAUACCACAUUCAUCCGCCAACUCCUUUGCUUUUUCAAAAGCUUGCCCCUGCACCGGAGGGGGAACAUUCUGGGUUAACACCUUGAGGGGUGGGAUCGACUGUUUGGCCUGUUGUCCAAGCUGAGGAACGUCUGAUUUUUUCUUGCUUGUAGUUGAACUUGAUUUGCUCCCACUUGCACUUGCAUGUGACCUGCUCUUUUUCACUUCCUUCUGCAAUGUGCGUGUAUAGUCAUCAGGCUUAUAGUGUAAGUCAUACUAUGAUGGAGUGGUUAUGAAGUCUUUUGCCCAUGCUAUGUCCUUCUCGGUGUAUUUCGGGCGGGGCUCGGGUUCCUUCCUUUUCAUAUGCGCCUCAUGUUGUUCCUUUGCUAUCCUGGCGUUUUCCUCGGGGGUACGAUCAUAAGGUCUGAUAGGAAGAUUAGCAUGAGGUACCUUUGGGAGGGGCGACAAUUUGCGCUUUGGGGAGCUCCGUCCCUUAGAAAUCAUCGAUGAAGCGUUCUUGCUGGCACACUUCCGCUUAGUAUCAUGUGCGGGCGGCGGCGGAGACGGACGACCCAAGUCCGGCGGCGGUGAUCGAGAUGGACUCGUGUUGUGCUGGCCGACGUCAUGUGGAGGGCUUGAAGGUAAUGGAGGUGUAGGUGACCUGCGACGACUCGGAGGCGGUGUUGUCCUUGGGGCCGAGCCUGGAAGCUUGAUGUAGUUCUUGUCCCAUAGGAUGACUCCACCCAGUACUUCUCCGAGUGUCCUCUCAUCUUCGGGUCCAGCUAUGUCGAGCUCCAUAUCAUUAAACCCCGUCAUGAUUUCAUCCACCCCGACUUUAGCAAAGCCAGCUGGAAUCUCACGGCCAUGCCAGCGUGCAUCAGGGCCAGAAGGUAAAGCUUGUCCGACGGCCACCUUCAUGGAUAUGUUCUUGAAUUUCUGAUGGAGUUCACAUGAUGUUGACUCCUUGAUUCCAUCCACGGGGUAGCCGGGACCGUCCUCUAGCAUUCUUUGUUCAUCGUCGAGCGGGGCCUCAGAUUCAGCCACGCUGCUUUUCCGCUUAGAUGGGGCGCCGGUAAUAUCAACUGCAGGAUCUUCCUGGCGCGGUACUCCUCUAAGCUCAUCAAUCUGCUUCUCUUGCUCGUUAAUCCUGGCAAGCAACUGGUUGAACUUGUCAUUAUCCUCAUCCUGCUGCCGCUUCUUUGCUCUCUCUCUCGGCUUCUGUAAGUGUCUUGGUCUCUGGCAAACCCAAGCCACCACGGGUAAGAAGGACCGAAGCCUCGCGUUCGUCCUCCAUGUUCUUCAUUGCCGAGGACCAGUGUGAGCAAAUUUUUCUCUCUAUCUGCAGUGAACUUUCUUCUUCCCUCCUUAAUUUCUUUCACUAACCUUUUCCAAUUCUCCCUGGGUAUCCUAAGAUUGUCAUUGCAGAUGAGGUCCCCUGUUGUUUCGUCGUACGACCCAUCAUGCGCAAGGAACCAAUUUCUUGCUCUCAAUUCCCACUCAUCACGGAGUUGUUCAGGUACGACGCCUUUAUCUAUCAGAUCUUGCUCUUUCUUAUCCCACUUUGGGAUGGCAGUCUCAUAGCCCCCUGGCCCCAGCUUGUGGUGAUAUAUCUUCUUGUUGGCAUUUAUCUUGUUCUUUUCUGAUAAUGCCUGGGCAUCUUCUGACUCCUUGUACUCUUGAAAUGCCUUCCAGUGAUUCGCCUGCUUGGCUAGAUACCCCUCGAAUACUGGCACUUUCUGUGUCUUCAGAUAGUUUUUCCAUAGCUUCUUCUUCCAGCUACGGAACAGUUUGUUCAUCUUCUUCAGAGUCCACCGCUUGACUUUGGCCCUCAGUUUGUCUGCGGCGUCUUCAUUCUCACAUUCUGGCAGGUUGAAAUGUGACAUGAGAUCAUUCCAAAGAUUAUCUUUGUACCUUUCGGCGACAUAGUCACUAUCGGCUGCCCCUUUGCGCUUGUUCCACUCCCGAACGCUGAUCGGGACGUGAUCCCUAACGAGAACUCCGCAUUGCUUCUUGAAUGUGUCAGCACCAUUCUUCGGAAGCUUGGGUUUGCCCGUAGGAAAUAUCACCUCAAAUGUGUAAUGCGUCCGUGCAUCCAACUUUCUAGUCGGGCCUCGUUUCGUAGUUUUGCUCGAUGUGGAGGCCUAAGAGGGAGAAACAUUCGUCAAAUGAAAGUAUAUGUAUACAAUAUAGAGCUAUCUCCAAUAUUUUUCACAUAUUACAAGUGAUUGUCAAACUUCAUAUGUAUACCUCGCCUGACUUCUCCUCUUCACCGGCUUCUCCAUCAGUGGAGCUAUCACCUUCUCCGUCAUUGGACAUAUCUCCUGCCCCAUCAGCUUCAUCUUCGUGUCGCUCGACCUCCAUUCCAACGUCCUGGUUUAGAUAUAACGAUGGAGAUUCAGUUGGUUCAACGUCGGGGCCGUCUUUGAUUAUAUCUUCCAGAAGUUCUUCCUCUUCGAGGUUCCUCAUAUGUGGAUCCAUAGUUCUGCAAAAAACGGAUUCUCUUAACCUUUGUACCAAAAACCAAAGUAGGAGUACUUUUCCAAUUUGAGAGUCCUAGAUUUCUGCAUAGUAUUCAAAGUAGGAGUAAUUUUCCAAUUUGAGCAUUCAAUAAGCAAAACCAAAUCGUAAAAUAAAGUAGUAUUCAAAUUAGCAUGCAUUCAAUUAUAAGCUAAUACAUCAUCACUUUUGUCCGUACAUCGUUGAAUAUUAUCAUUAAUACUCCUCGAAUACUACCAUACAUAUAGCAUCACUAAUACAUCUAGAACCGUAGCGCCCGACGGGUAAGGGCGCGGGCGGUGGACACCCAAAGAGAAGGAACCAUCACAGGAUCAUAGCUCCAGUGAGAUCCCCGAAGAACCUGCCAGGUAUGCUCGAACCUGCCCUCCAACGCAACCAUGUAGCGACGGACAUGCUCAUCCUCCUCGCUGACACGGUGACGUACCACCUCCGCGGUGAUCGGAAGCCUCGGCACCCUCACUGGCCCACGCGACCGCCACCAAACAAGGAUCGGGUCAACGACGGGCUGGCUCCUCACCAACCUACGCCCCCCGCAAGGUAGCACCUCCCAAUACCAGCCGGGCGGAGCCCAGUCCCGGACAGGGCCCCUCUGAUCAAGCAGGUGUCCUCCGCCGAGUCGACGACGAGGAUGCGGGAUAGGCAUCGUAAAAUGAACUAAAAAAAUAAACUAGUUCUAUUAAUUUUCUUGCUAAAAUAAACUAUUAGCACUUAAGCAUAUACAAUAGCAAAAUUAAACUAUUAACACUUAUUUUCAUUUUCUUCUCCUCCUCUUCUUUCUUCUCUUCUCCUCCUCUUCUUUUCUUCUCUUCUCCUCCUCUUCUUUUCUUCUUUUCUUAUACACUAUACACUAUAUACACUAUAGCAAAAUUCCUCCUCUCCUUAUACACUAUACACUAUAUACACUAUACACUUAAGCAUAUACACUAUACACUAUACACUUUUUCUUCUUUUCUUCUCCUCCUCUUCUUAUUUUCAUUUUUCCUAAUCUUAUUUUCUUAUUUUUGUUCAUAUUUAUUCUUCUUCUAACCCUAACCUAAUUCUAAAUAUUUCUAACCCUAAUAAUCUUUUCUUUUUCUUCUUUUCUUCUCCUUUUUCUUCUUUUCUUCUCCUUUUUCUUCCUUUCUUCUCCUUUUUCUUCUUUUCUUCUCCUCUUUCUUCUUUUCUUCUAUACUGGCCGGAGUGUUGGGGAGGAGGGGCGAGGGGCUUACUGGCCGGAGUUUUGGCGAGGAGGAUGGCGCGGCGGCGAGGAGCACGGCGCGACGGCGUGUAGGACGGCGCGGCGACGAGGAGGACGGCGAGGAGGACGGCGCGGCGGCGGGGAGGACGGCGCGGAGGCGAGGAGGACGGCCGACGGCGAGCAGGACGGCGGGCAGCCUGACGGCGUCGGUUAGUUCGUCGUUGUGCCGCGCCGGGCAGGAGAACGAGAGGAAGAAGAAGAGAAAUGGACGAUUUGGGUUGGAAAUUUUGAAGUCCCGCUUAAAUAGGUGGAUCUAUAGUCCCGGUGCGUGGCUCGAACCGGGACUCAAGACCCCCUUUAGUCCCGGGUGGAGCCAUGACCCGGGACUAAAGGCCCUUUUUCGGGCAGACCAAGAGGCGGGAAGAAAGGGGUCUUAAUCCCGGUGCGUGGCUCCAGCCGGGACUAAAGCCCCUCCUCGGCUGUACGAUAAGUUUAGUCCCACCUCGCCCAACGAGGGGGACUAACACUUGUUUAUAAGCCCCGUCGCAGCUUCUCCAUCGAGCUCCUCUCUAAGCAGGCUUACGGGCCUAAACUCACAGAAAAUUGUAACUAUAUUAGAAAAUUGUAGGGAAAAUUCAAUCUAAAUUCAAUGAGAAUUUAGAUUGAAUUUUCUCUAUGAUUUCGAAUAUAGUUUCAAUUUUUUCUAUUUUCAUAAUUAAUAAUUUUGACUAUCCAAACUAUUAUCUAUUUUGUUAUUUUCAAUUAAAAACUAUGUUUAUUAAAAAUUCUUUUUGCAUAUUUGAGAAUUUGACAAAACUAUGAUAAUGAAAAGUGUUUCAUAUUGAAUAAAUAAUGCAAAAUUAUUUUGUAUUUUCAUAAUUAAUUAUUUUGACUAUCCAAAAUAUUAUCUAUUUUGUUAUUUUCAAUUAAAAACUAUGUUUAUUAAAAAAUUCUUUUUGCAUAUUUGAGAAUUUGACAAAACUAUGAUAAUGAAAAGUGUUUCAAAUUGAAUAAAUAAUGCAAAACUAUUUUUAUUUUCAUAAUUAAUAAUUUUGACUAUCCAAACUAUUAUCUAUUUUGUUAUUUUGACUUCAUUUGGUAUAUUUCGUGCAUGUACUUAUUUUUUUUGAGCUAGUUGACCCUGAAAUUGAAAAGCACUACAAAUGAACCACUACUGAAAUUCAGAAAUUUGCCGUCUGCCAAGGCGGACGGCAAAGGGGGCAACCAUGGACGGCAAAGGCUUUGCCGUCUGCCCCCUCAUGGCAAAGUAGAUGGUAAAAAAAAAUCCGGUGAAGAGGCUCUUUGCCGUCUGCCUUUCACAAAGCGGACGGCAAAGAAUCUUUGCCGAUGAGGGGAAGACGGCAAAAUAAGUGGGACGGCAUAUAUUGCAACGUCCCCGUUAAGUGUUAACGGCAGGCCUCCUCUCUUUGCCGUCUGCCUCCCCCCCUUUGCCAUGUGGGGUAAACGGCAAAGAGGGAGAGAGAGGGGGCAGAUUCUCUCUUUGCCGUCUGCCUCCCCCCCUUUGCCAUGUGGGGGCAGACGGCAAAAAGGGGAGAGAGAGGGGGCAGAUUCUCUCUUUGCCGUCUGCCUCCCCCCCUUUGCCAUGUGGGGGCAGACGGCAAAGAGGGGAGAGAGAGGGGGCAGAUUCCCCCUUUGCCGUCUGCCUCCACCCCUUUGCCAUGUGUUGGCAGACGGCAAAGAGGGGAACCAUCCCCUUUUUUAUUUAUUUUUUGUUAUAUCCAGCAUUUUUAACAAUAAUCAGGAUAUAUAUAUAUAUUUGACAUAAAUAAAUUUCUUUUCGUACCCAUAACCAUAUUAAAAUAACUCUCAUCCAUAGUGCAUACAUAUUAUGGAAGUUACAUUCGUACCAAACCUAAUAUUACACCAGUUUCAUCCACGUGCAUACAAAGUUUCAUAUAUUCAUAUACUACAACAGUUUCAAUACAACCCAUGGUACAAGAAAUCAUCUUCAAGCAUUCCAUCAACCAAGCUUCCCGUGAAGUGAAGGUAAUCUGCAAAAUGACAAAUAAGAAAGUUAGAAAAAUAAUACUAGAUGAAGUAGUGUAUAUAUAGGUUAUUUCGGAGAGAAAUUAGCUAAUUAUAGACCAUUUAGGAGCUAACUAAGCUAAUUAUGUCAUUUAGGUGGAACCCUAGCUAACUAUAGGAGAAGAGAAAGAGAAGAAGAAGUAAAAGAAGAAGGAGGAGGAGGAGAAGGAGAAGGAAGAGGAGAAGAAGAAGAAAAAGGAGGAGGAGGAGGAGGAGGAGAAGGAGAAGGAAGAGGAGAAGAAGAAGAAGGAGAAGAAGGAGAAGAAGAAGGAGAGAGAGAGAGAGGAGAAGGAGCUCGCNNNNNNNNNNNNNNNNNNNNNNNNNNNNNNNNNNNNNNNNNNNNNNNNNNNNNNNNNNNNNNNNNNNNNNNNNNNNNNNNNNNNNNNNNNNNNNNNNNNNAAAAUUAAGUCCCACUUUAAGUCUCCAAAACUAAGCCACUAAUAAAUACGUCAAAAAUGGCAUAAGAACCUUGGUUAGCUCAUGAAUAUUGUAUACUUAGCUUGUUUUCCUCUAAAAUGAGAUAAUUAGCCCAUUUAGCUCCAAAAAGACAUAAUUAGGUAAUUUAGCUCCAAUAAGAGGAGAAUAAAUAGGAAAAAUGAAAACAAAGAAGAAGAAGAAGAAGAGAAGAAUGAGAAGGAGGAGGAGGAGGAGGAGGAGGARGAGAAGGAGGAGAAGGCCAAGGACCUUCUAGUCCUUCUCCUCCUCCUCCUUCUCCUCCUUCUCCUCCUUCUUCUUGAUUUCUUCUUCUUCUCCUCCUCCUCCUUCUUCUUCCCCUCUUUCAUAUUAUCCUUKCUUUAAUUUCCCCAACAWUGACAUAAUUAGCCCAUUUAGCUCCAAAAUGCCAUAAUAAGCUCAGAAUGGCAUAAGAACCUUGGUGAGCUCAUGAAUAUUAUAUACUUAGCUUGUUUUCCUGUAAAAUGGGAUAAUUAGCCCAUUUAGCUCMAAAAAGACAUAAUUAGGUAAUUUAGCUCCAACAAGAGGAGAAGAGGAGAAGAAAUAGGCAAAAUGAAAAGAAAGAAGAAGAAGAAGAAGAGAAGAAGAAGAGAAGAAGGAGAAGGAGGAGGAGGAGGAGGAGGAGAAGGCCAAGGACCUUCUAGUCCUUCUCCUCCCCCUCCUUCUCCUCCUUCUUCUUGAUUUCUUCUUCUUCUCCUCCUCCUCCUCUUUCUUCUCCUCUUUCAUAUUAUCCUUGCUUUAAUUAACCCAACAAUGACAUAAUUAGCCCAUUUAGCUCCAAAAUACCAUAAUAAGCUCAAAAUGGCAUAAGAACCUUGGUUAGCUCAUUAAUAUUAUAUACUUAGCUUGUUUUCCUCUAAAAUGGUAUAAUUAGCCCAUUUAGCUCAAAAAAGACAUAAUUAGGUAAUUUAGCUCCAACAAAUGAUAUAUAGUUCACCACACAUAUACUUAGCUUGUUUUCCGCUAAAAAUGACAUAAUUAGCUUAAAAACAUCAUAUUUUGUUCUUCUUCUAACUUUCUUAUUCACAUUUUUGCAGAUUGGAUAUACUACAUGCAUGGGAGCUGGCAUUCAUGGAGUUGAACAAUGUCGAUGGAUGAACUUUAUAUGUAUAUCAUCUAGUUUUCAUUUGAGUUGAUGAACAAUGUUGAACUAUAUGUAUAUGUAUAUAUGGAUAAACAGUGCAAUACUUGGUAUGUUGGUUCUUUGGAUAUAUGGGGAUGUACAUUGGUGAAUCAUAUAUGUGUGGUGAAUUAUAUAUAUGUGUUGGCAAGUAUAUCUGUCGUGAACUAUAUAUCAUAUAUGUGUGGUGAAUUAUAUAAAUGUGCUAUCAAUAAUAUAUAUAUAUAUAUAUAUAUAUAUAUGUAUAUGUGUGUGUGUGUGUGUGUUGUGAAACAAUNNNNNNNNNNNNNNNNNNNNNNNNNNNNNNNNNNNNNNNNNNNNNNNNNNNNNNNNNNNNNNNNNNNNNNNNNNNNNNNNNNNNNNNNNNNNNNNNNNNNCACGUAGCUUCUUUCAUGUGACAUGAAUGUUCAGAUCCGUAAGAUUCAAAACAAUAGUUUGCUAUUGACAUGAAAACAAUAAUACUUCAAGCAAACUAUCAAGGUAACCAUGAACUUUCAAAAUAACAAGGCCAAAGAAAGUCACCCUACAAAAUCAUAUAGUCUGGCUAUGCUCCAUAAUCCUCACACAACUAAUGUAAAUCAUGCACAACCCCGGUAUUGGCCAAGUAAUUGUUUUCGCACUCUUUACUUUCUCAAACUUUUUAUAACUAUCACGCAAUACAUCAGCGUGAGCCAUGGAUAUUGUACUAUAGGUGGAAUAGAGUGUGGUGGUGGUUGUGAGAGAAAAAGGAGGAGAUGGUCACAUUGACUCGGCGUAUCAAAGGGCUAUGGAGAUGCCCAUUAAUAGAUAUCAAUGUGAAUGAGUAGGGAUUGCCAUACAAAUGAUGCACUAGAGCUAAGAGUAUGUUAAAGCUCUUAAGAAAACUAGCGGGUGUUCAUCCAACUUGCUUGCUCACGAAGACCUAAGGCAAUUUUGAGGAAGCCUAUCAUUGGAAUAUACAAGCCAAGUUAUAUAAUAAAAAUUUCCCACUAGCUAUACGGUGGUGACAAAACGAGAGACUCUCAAUCAUGAAAAUCAUGGUGCUUAAUAAGCACAAGUGUGGAAAGAUAGUAGCAUUGUCCAUUCUCUCUUUUUCUCUCAUUUUUUUUGGUGGGCUCUUUGGCCUCUUUUUUUUGGUGGGCAUCUUUGGCCUCUUUUAUGUCCUCACAGGGGACAAUGCUCCAUCAAUGAUGAUCAUCACACUUACAACUCAAAACUUAGAGCAAUGAUGACUCUAUAUGGAAUGCAUUCGGUAGUGUACCGUGACAAUGAUCUAGCAUGGCAUAGACAUCAAUGGAAACAUCAUAGACAUCAAUGGAAACAUCAUGCUAGCUAUCUUAUGAUCAUGCAAUGGAAAUGUAGAAGUGGUGGCACAUGUCAUGGUGGUAGUUGCAUGGCAAUAUAUCUCGGAAUGGCUUUGAAAAAGCCAUAGUAGGUAGGUAUGGUGGUUGUUUUGAGGGAGGCUAAUGGUGGGUUUUAUGCACCGACGAAAGUUGCACGGCACUAAAGAAGAUAGUGAUGGUGGAAGGUGAAAGUGCAUCUAAACCAUGGACUCAACAUUAGUCAUGAAGAACUCAUAUACUUGUUGCAAAAAAUUUAGUAGUAAUCGAAACAAAGCAUUCAACGCAUACUCCUAGGGGAAGGGUUGGUAGGUAUAAACCAUCGCGCGAUCCCGACCGCCACACAAAGGAUGACAAUCAAUAUACUAAUCAUGCUCAGACUUCAUCACAUAGAGGUUCACCAUACGUGGAUGCUACGGGAAUCACUAACUUCAACUCAAGUAUGUCUAGAUCCACAACACCUUACUAAUAUAACUUUAAUAUUACCACAACCACAACUCAAAACUGAUUGAGAUGAAUCAAACUUCUCUAACUACUCAAUGCACAUGAAGGUGGAAGUUUUCAUAUCCCUUUGGAUAAAUACCCCUUUUGAGACUACUUUCAUAGCAUAGAUCAACUACCACGCCACGCGCUUCCGUGCUCUAAAUGAUAGAAGUGAAACACAUAGAGCAAAAUAAAUUAGCUCAAAAGAUAUAAGUGAAACACAUGUGAGCUGAAUUGUCUAACCAAAGGAUAUAAGUGAAGCUCGACAAAAUCACGGUGAGUGCAUUUCUCUCUCUCUAGGUGUGCAACAAGGAAGAUUGUGGCACAACAAAAAUAAAAGACUCCUACGAUACAAGACGCUCCAAGCAAAACACAUAACAUGUGGUGAAUAAAAUAUAGCCCCCAAGUAACGUUCAUUACUGGAAAUCAGUUUUUUGCCGUGUGCCUAAUCUUUGCUGUCAGCUAGCUGAUGGCAAAGAGUGUCUUUGCCGUCAGCUCUCAGAAAGCAGAUGGCAAAGAACUGGAUGAUGGCAAAGAAGGUCUUUGCCAACAGUCAAUCCUUUGUUGUCUGCCGCAAACGACAAAGAAGGGGACAGGAGACGGCAAAGAAGCUCAUUCGGCCCGGGGAACCUUAGGUCAACCAACGCCCUUCUUUGUCGUCUGCUGGCGGACGGCAAAGAUGCCAGAGGCAGACGUCAAAGAGUAUAGACCCCUUUGCCGUCCGCCAGCAGACGACAAAGGUCCUGAAUCUACUCAAACGGCCGUCCCGCCCCCACCCCGGCCCUCUCUCUCUCUCAAACGGCCACUCUCUCUCUCUCCUCCCCCGACACCCAACGCCGCCACCGUCGCCCGGCCACCCCCGGCGCCCCCGGUUCCCCACAACCCUCCGGCACCACUGGUGCCGCCCCCGCAGCCCCACCGCCGGCGCCGCUGGUGCCCCUGGUGCCGCCCCGCAGCCCCACCGCCGGCGCCCCUGCUGCACCCCCAGCCCCACCACCGGCGCCGCCGGCCCAGCCACUGCCCCGCAGGCCCCGGCGCCGCCCCCGCAGCCCCAACACUGCCGGUAACGCCCCMMCACCCCACCCCCUUGUUAUUUAGUUUUUUGGAGGAAGAAGAAGAAUAAGAAGAGAGGAGGAGAAGAGGAGAAGAAGAGGAGGAGUAGGAGGAGGAGGAGUAGGAGGAGGAUGAGGAAGAGAAGAAAAAGAAGAAGAAGAACAAGAAGAACAAGAAGAAGAGAAGAAAAAAUUAAGAAGGAGAAGAAGAAGAAGAGAAGAAAAAAAAAGAAGGAGAAGAAGUAAAGAAGAAGAGAAGAAGAGAAUAAGAAAAAAAUAAGAAGGAGAAGAAGAGAAAAAAGAAGAAGAAGUUGAUUUUUUAUUGUCUGGUAUUUAGUUUUUUGGAAUUAAUUAGUAGUNNNNNNNNNNNNNNNNNNNNNNNNNNNNNNNNNNNNNNNNNNNNNNNNNNNNNNNNNNNNNNNNNNNNNNNNNNNNNNNNNNNNNNNNNNNNNNNNNNNNCAUGAUCAAACACUAUCACCCAAACUAAUCAUUAAAGGCUUUACUUGGCACAUAUUUUUAUAAUACAAUGGAAAUUUACAAAGGACAUAAUUAUUUGUGCGAGAAACUUCCAUGAAGAAUUCUACAUUGUUUCCAUGAGCAUGAACACAAGUGUUCAAGGUCGACCCUCACUUCCACAAUGCAUCACCUUUCAAUCGCUUCUCUUUUUGAAAAAGUUUUAAGUUCCCCUCUAUAUUUUUUUGUUUUUAAACUAUAUAAAAGCACUAAACAGAAAGAMAAAGAUAAAUWCAUUGGGUUGCCUCCCAACAAGCGCUAUUGUUUAACGCCCUUAGCUAGGCAUUGAUAAUUCAAUGAUGCUCACACAAAASACAAGAAUUGAAGCACAACGAGAGCAUCAUAAAGCAUGUGAAAAUCACAUGUAAGUCUAACAUACUUCCUAUGCAUAGGCAUUUUAUWGGAAAACAGAUUGUCAAGACAACCAAUAGUUACCAUAUGCAAGGAAGAAGAAAGAGACAAUAGCAAUCUCCACAUAACAAGAGGUAAUUUGGUAACAUGAAAGUUUCUACCACAAUAUUUUCCUCUCUCAUAGUAAUUACAUGUGGGAUCAUAUUCGAAUUAAACAAUGUAACUAUCACAUAGGAUAUUCUUUUCAUGACCCACAUGCAUGCAAAGUUCACGCUCUUAAAAAAUAGUGGGAUUAUCAUCAACCAAUGUCAUGAUUUCUCCAAACCCACUUUCAAUAAUAUUGCAAAUAUCAUAUUCAUCAUGAGGCUUAAACAAAUUUUCAAGAUCAUAAGAAAAAUCACCGCCCCACUCAUGAUCAUUGCAACAAGUAGGGGACAUAGCUAAACUAGCAUCUGCAAGCUUAGGGUUUUGCAUAUUCUUAGCAUGAUUGUCACUAAUAGAAUUUAUAGUGAAACCAUUCCAAUCAUGCUUUUCAUCCAAGGAGCCCUCGUCAAUCACUUCAUAAAUUUCUUCCUCACAAUUUUCAGAUUCACGCAUCUCAAGCAAAACUCCAUAAAGAUACUCAAGUGCACUCAACUCACUAGCAAUUGGAUCAACAUAAUUGGAUCUCUUAAAGAGAUUAGCAAGUGGAUGAGGAUCCAUAUCACUAGAUUUUCAGCAAGCGAAGAUGCAAACAUAUUGAAGGCACAUGGCACACAAGCGAACAGAAAGCAAGCGAGAGAAAAGGGCGAACCAAAAAGGCAAACAAAAAAAGGAAAACGAAAAAGGCGAAUGAAAACGGCAAAUGUGAAGUGGGGGAGAGGAAAACGAGAGGCAACUGGCAAAAAGGUAAAUGCAAGAGAUGAGUUUGUGACACCUACUUGGAUAGAUCUUGACUUGAUCUCUCCCCGGCAACGGCGCCAGAAAUAGGCGUGUUGACGGGAGAUUAUUCUUGUCUUGAUACUCCUCGGCAAGCGAUCCUCCCCGGCAACGGCGCCAGAAAUACUUCUCCUACGGCAACAAUAGACCUUCCCUGGCAACGGCGCCAGGAAUCCUUCUACUACGGGCUACGCCUCUAGGGAUUUCCUUGGCAAAUAUGCAAAGGAUUCCCCCGCGGCCUUGGAGCCUUGCGUUGUUGUUCCCUUGAAGAGGAAAGGGUGAUGUAGCACAGCGGCGGUAAGUAGUUCCCUCAGUUUCAGAACCAAGGUAUCAAUCCAGUAGGAGGAUCGCGUCAAGUCACAAGUACCUGCACAAACACAAAGAGCUUGCACCCAAUGCUAUGAAGGGGUUGUCAAUCCCUUAUAGAUUGUUUGCAAAGUGAGAACUGAAAGCAAAAAGUAAACAAACCAAAGUAAAAGUAAAAGUGGAAACGAUAGUUGUGAAUAGACCCGGGGGCUGUAGUGUUCACUAGUGGCUUCUCUCAUGAAAGCAAGUAGACGGUGGGUGAACGAAUUACUGUCGAGCAAUUUAUAGAACCGCGCAAAGUCAUGACGUUAUCUAUGGCAAUGAUCAUAUCUAUAGGCAUCAUGUCCAAAACAAGUAGACCGAUACUUUAUGCAUACUACUAUUACUCCACACGUCGACCGCUAUCCAGCAUGCAUCUAGUGUAUUGAGUUCAUAAGAACAGAGUAACGCCUUAAGCAAGAUGACAUGAUGUAUAUGAACAAUCUCAAAUCUAUGAUGAAAGCCCAUCUUGUUACCCUUGAUGGAAAACACCUAUCCCCUGUGUGCCUUGCUGCCCCUUUUGUCACUGGGAAAGGUCACCGCACGGUAUGAACCCAAAACCAAGCACUUCUCCCAUUGCAAGAAUCAUAUAUCUAGUUGGCCAAACAAAACCCAAGACUCGGAAAGACUUACAAGGAUAUCAAAUCAUGCAUAUAAGAAAUCAGGAAAGACUCAAAUAUAAUUCAUAGAUAAUCUAAUCACAAAUCCACAAUUCAUCGGAUCUCGACAAACACACCGCCAAAGAGGAUUACAUCGGAUAGAUCUCCAUGAAGAUCAUGGAGAACAUUGUAUUGAAGAUCCAAGAGAGAGAAGAAGCCAUCUAGCUACUAACUAUGGACCCGUAGGUCUGAAGUGGACUACUCACGAGUCAUUAGUAGAGGCGAUGAUCUUGAUGUAGAAACCCUCCAACUCCAAACUCCCCUCCGGCAGGGCACCGGGAAGGGUCUCCAGAUGGGAUCUCGCGGAAACGGAAGCUUGCGGCGGCAGAAAAGUGUUUUCGUGGAUGCCCUGAUUUUUUCUGGGAUUUUAGGGAAUAUAUAGGCGAAAGAGAUAGGGCAGGGGAGAGCCAGGGAGGCCACAAGCCUAGUCGCCGCGGGCCCCCCUGGCCGCGGCGUCAGGGCUUGUGGGCCUCCUGCCUUGGCCCUAAAGUCCCCCGAUCUUCUUCUGUUCUGGAAAAUUUUAUUUUGGGGAUUUUAUUCCNNNNNNNNNNNNNNNNNNNNNNNNNNNNNNNNNNNNNNNNNNNNNNNNNNNNNNNNNNNNNNNNNNNNNNNNNNNNNNNNNNNNNNNNNNNNNNNNNNNNAGAAAUUUGACAAAACUUAUGAUAAUUGAAAAGUGUUUCAAAUUUGAAUAAAUAAUGCUUAAACUAUUUUUUUUCAUAAUUAAUAAUUUUGACUAUCCAAACUAUUAUCUAUUUUGUUAUUUUCAAUUAAAAACUAUGUUUAUUAAAAAUUCUUUUUGCAUAUUUGAGAAUUUGACAAAACUAUGAUAAUGAAAAGUGUUUCAAAUUGAAUAAAUAAUGCAAAACUAUUUUUUAUUUUCAUAAUUAAUAAUUUUGACUAUCCAAACUAUUAUCUAUUUUGUUAUUUUCAAUUAAAACUAUGUUUAUUAAAAAUUCUUUUUGCAUAUUUGAGUAAUUUAACAAAACUAUGAUAAUGAAAAGUGUUUCAAAUUGAAUAAAUAAUGCAAAACUAUUUUUAUUUUCAUAAUUAAUAAUUUUGACUAGUCCAAACUAUUAAGUCUAUUUGUUAUUUGACUUCAUUUGGUAUAUUCGUGCAUGUACUUAUUUUUUUUGAGACUAAGUUGANNNNNNNNNNNNNNNNNNNNNNNNNNNNNNNNNNNNNNNNNNNNNNNNNNNNNNNNNNNNNNNNNNNNNNNNNNNNNNNNNNNNNNNNNNNNNNNNNNNNUCCUAUGUGAUAGCUAUAUUGUUGAAUUUGAAUAUGAUCCCACAUGUAAUUAUUGUGAGAGAGGAAAAUAUGGUGGUAGAAAUUUUCAUACCACUAAAUCACCUCUUGUUUUGUUGAGAUUGAUAUUGUCUCUUUCUUCUUCCUUGCAUAUGGUAACUAUUGGUUGUCUUGACAAUCUKWUUUCCUAUAAAAUGCCUAUGCAUAGGAAGUAUGUUAGACUUASAUGUKAUUUUCACAUGCUUUAUGAUGCUCUCGUUGUGCUUCAAUUCUUGUYKUUUGUGUGAGCAUCAUUGAAUUAUCAAUGCCUAGCUAAGGGCGUUAAACAAUAGCGCUUGUUGGGAGGCAACCCAAUGAAUUUAUCUUUUCUUUCUGUUUAGUGUUUUCCAUACUUUCAUAUAUCUGUUAUGAUUGUGUCUUUUGUGUUUAUUUUUGUGUUUGAUCCAAGCAAAACCUUUAUGACUAGUCUCGGUGAUGGUUGUUUGAUCCUGCUGGAAAAAAGAUAGAAACUUUUCGUCUCACGAGAUGAUUUUUCUAUUUUUAUUUCAGAAAAAAGAUUAUGAGUUGAUUCUUUUUUCUGCUGGUUGAUAUUCCUUUUUCCCAGGCAGUCGUAAGUUUUCAGAAUUUUGGAGGUACCAGAAGUAUACGAAGUAUACAGAUUGCUACAGACUGGUCUGUUUUUGACAGAUUCUGUUUUUGUUGAGUUGGUUGCUUGUUUUGAUGAAACUAUGGAUAGUAUAGGGGGUCAUAAUAGUCUGAUGUCUAUGAGGUCAGCUACUAAUGGUAGGCUCAUCAGCACUGAACAAACUACAAUCCAUGGGAAUCGUAAAGCAAGAUGAUCACCUACCAAACACAGUUGACGUNNNNNNNNNNNNNNNNNNNNNNNNNNNNNNNNNNNNNNNNNNNNNNNNNNNNNNNNNNNNNNNNNNNNNNNNNNNNNNNNNNNNNNNNNNNNNNNNNNNNCACGUAGCCUCACUUCAUUUGGUAUAUUUCGUGCAUUUACUUAUUUUUUUUUGAGCUAGUUGACCCUGAAAUUGAAAAGCACUACAAAUGAACUCUGAAAAUGUUGAAAGUUGGCAUGCUGUCAUCAUUUCACCCACAUAGCAUGUGUUAAAAAGUUGAGAGGGCUAUGAAAAAAACUGGAUGCAGUUCAUGUACAAAACUGACAAUCCCUCUGGAAGUAGCUGGGUUUCGAACGAGAACUCAUCUCUUACAAAGGGAUUUCAUUUUUUUAAACUUAUUUGAACUCCAUACUUUUUGUGUGUUCAAAAUGCACCAUUCAAAGGCACAUCACAAAAUUUCAACAAUUUCUGACUUCAUUUGGUAUAUUUCGUGCUAUUUACUUUUUUUUGAGCUAGUUGACCCUGAAAUUGAAAAGCACUACAAAUGAACUCUGAAAAUGUUGAAAGUUGGCAUGCUAUCAUCAUUUCAGCCACAUAGCAUGUGUUAAAAAGUUGAGAGGGCUACGAGAAAAACUGGAUGCAGUUCGUGUACAAAACUGACAAUCUCUCUCGAAGUAGCAGGGUUUCGAACGAGAACUCAUCUCUUACAAAGGGAUUUCAUUUUUUUAAAACUUAUUUGAACUCCAUAAUUUUUGUGUGUUCAAAAUGCACCAUUCAAAGGCACAUCACAAAAUUUCAAUAAUUUCUCACUUCAUUUGGUAUAUUUCGUGCAUUUACUUAUUUUUUUGAGCUAGUUGACCCUGAAAUUGAAAAGCACUACAAAUGAACUCUGAAAAUGUUGAAAGUUGGCAUGCUAUCAUCAUUUCACCCACAUAGCAUGUGUUAAAAAGUUGAGAGGGCUACAACGAAAACUUGAUGCAGUUCGUUUACAAAAUUAACAAUCUCUCUCGAAGUAGCAGGGUUUCGAACGAGAACUCAUCUCUUACAAAGGGAUUUCAUUUUUUUAAACUUAUUUGAACUCCAUACUUUUUGUGUGUUAAAAAUGCACCAUUCAAAGGCACAUCAAAAAAUUUCAACAAUUUCUGACUUCAUUUGGUAUAUUUCGUGCAUUUACUUAUUUUUUUUGAGCUAGUUGACCCUGAAAUUGAAAAGCACUACAAAUGAACUCUGAAAAUGUUGAAAGUUGGCAUGCUGUCAUCAUUUCACCCACAUAGCAUGUGUUAAAAAGUUGAAAGGGCUAUGACAAAAACUGGAUGCAGUUCAUGUACAAAACUGACAAUCCCUCUCGAAGUAGCAGGGUUUCGAAUGAGAACUCAUCUCUUACAAAGGGAUUUCAUUUUUUUUAAACUUAUUUGAACUCCAUACUUUUUGUGUGUUCAAAAUGAACCAUUCAAAGGCACAUCACAAAAUUGCAACAAUUUCUGACUUCAUUUCGUAUAUUUCGUGCAUUUACUUAUUUUUUUUGAGCUAGUUGACCCUGAAAUUGAAAAGCACUACAAAUGUACUCUGAAAAUGUUGAAAGUUGGCAUACUAUAAUCAUUUAACCCACAUAGCAUGUGUUAAAAAGUUGAGAGGGCUACGACAAAAACUGGAUGCAGUUCGUGUACAAAACUGACAAUCUCUCUCGAAGUAGCAGGGUUUCGAACGAGAACUCAUCUCUUACAAAGGGAUUUCAUUUUUUUAAACUUAUUUGAACUCCAUACUUUUUGUGUGUUCAAAAUGCACCAUUCAAAGGCACGUCACAAAAUUUCAAUAAUUUCUCACUUCAUUUGGUAUAUUUCGUGCAUUUACUUUAUUUUUUUGAGCUAGUUGACCCUGAAAUUGNNNNNNNNNNNNNNNNNNNNNNNNNNNNNNNNNNNNNNNNNNNNNNNNNNNNNNNNNNNNNNNNNNNNNNNNNNNNNNNNNNNNNNNNNNNNNNNNNNNNCCUAUCAUGGUGAUGUCCAUCUACGAGAGGGGAUAUUCGAUCUACGUACCCUUGUAGAUCGCACAGCUGAAGUGUUAGUGAACACGGUUGAUGUAGUGGAACGUCCUGAUGUCCCUCGAUCCGCCCCGCGAACAAUCCCGCGAUCAGUCCCACGAUCUAGUACCGAACGGACGGCACCUCCGCGUUCAGCACACGUACAGCUCGACGAUGAUCUCGGCCUUCUUGAUCCAGCAAGAGAGACGGAGAGGUAGAAGAUUUCUCCGGCAGCGUGACGGCGCUCCGGAGGUUGGUGAUGACCUUGUCUCAGCAGGGCUCCGCCCGAGCUCCGUAGAAACGCGAUCUAGAGGAAAAACCGUGGAGGUAUGUGGUCGGGCUGCCGUGGAAAAGUGCGUCUUCAUAGGUUACCCAAAAGAGACAGUUGGGUACACCUUCUAUCUCAAAUCCGAGGGCAAAGUGUUUGUUGCUAAAAACGGAGUCUUUUCUCGAGAAGGUAGUUUCUCUCAAGAGAAUUGAGUGGGAGGAAGAUAGAACUUGACGUAGGUUGUNNNNNNNNNNNNNNNNNNNNNNNNNNNNNNNNNNNNNNNNNNNNNNNNNNNNNNNNNNNNNNNNNNNNNNNNNNNNNNNNNNNNNNNNNNNNNNNNNNNNCUAUUGGUUACUGACCAGAGAGUGUCUCGGUCAUGUCUACAUAGUUCUCGAACCCGCAGGGUCUUGCUACCUCUUGAGUUUGCGUUGGUUUUUCCCUUGAAGAGGAAAGGGUGAUGCAGCACAGUAGCAGUAAGUAKUUCCCUCAGUUUSAGAACCAAGGUAUCAAUCCAGUAGGAGKAUCRMGKMAAGUCWMCAAAGUACCUGCGCAAAAACAGCAAACUUGCACCCAACGCUACAAAGGGGUUGUCAAUACCUUCAAGAUUGAUUGCAAGGUGAGAUCUGAAGGCGGAAAGUGCAACAAAGUAAAAGUGUAAGGCUGAAAAUAUGAUGUGGAGUAGACCCGGGGGCCAUAGUGUUCACUAGAGGCUUCUCCAAAAUAGCAAAUAUUAUGGUGGAUGAACAAAUUACUGUCGAGCAAUUGAUAGAACUGCGCAAAGUCAUGACGAUAUCUAAGGCAAUGAUCCUACAUAUAGGCAUCACGUCCGAGACAAGUAGACCGAUACUUUCUGNNNNNNNNNNNNNNNNNNNNNNNNNNNNNNNNNNNNNNNNNNNNNNNNNNNNNNNNNNNNNNNNNNNNNNNNNNNNNNNNNNNNNNNNNNNNNNNNNNNNUAUCAUGUACUUCUUGGACCAAUUUUACAUUAUGUUCUAGUUUCUGUUUUGUUGCCAUUAUAGUUUCCCAAUUUGAAUGGUUUAGCCCUUUCUAACUUCGUUUGCUACUUUUGAAUGGUUUAGCCCUUUCUAACUUCAUGGUAUCAUGCAUUUCGACCACAUAUAUAUACAAAAAGUCUUUAGUUCAAAUAAGUUCAAAUAAGUUCAUGCAUUUCAACAUUUUCAGAGUUCAUUUGUAGUGCUUUUCAAUUUCAGGGUCAACUAGCUCAAAAAAAAUAAGUAAAUGCACGAAAUAUACCAAAUGAAGUCAGAAAUUGUUGAAAUUUUGUGAUGUGCCUUUGAAUGGUGCAUUUUGAACACACAAAAAGUAUGGAGUUCAAAUAAGUUUAAAAAAAAUGAAAUCCCUUUGUAAGAGAUGAGUUCUCGUUCGAAACCCUGCUACUUCGAGAGAGAUUGUCAGUUUUGUACACGAACUGCAUCCAGUUUUUGUCGUAGCCUUCUCAACUUUUUAACACAUGCUAAUGUGGGUGAAAUGACGAUAGCAUGCCAACUUUCAACAUUUUCAGAGUUCAUUUGUAGUGCUUUUCAAUUUCAGGGUCAACUAGCUCAAAAAAAUACGUAAAUGCACGAAAUAUACAAAAUGAAGUAAGAAAUUGUUGAAAUUUUGUGAUGUGCCUUUGAAUGGUGCAUUUUGAACACACAAAAAGUAUGGAGUUCAAAUAAGUUUAAAAAAAAAUGAAMUMCSUKUGUAAGAGAUGAGUUCUCGUUCGAAACCCAGCUACUUCCAGAGGGAUUGUCAGUUUUGUACAUGAACUGCAUCCAGUUUUUUUCAUAGCCCUCUCAACUUUUUAACACAUGCUAUGUGGGUGAAAUGAUGACAGCAUGCCAACUUUCAACAUUUUCAGAGUUCAUUUGUAGUGCUUUUCAAUUUCAGGGUCAACUAGCUCAAAAAAAAAUAAGUAAAUGCACGAAAUAUACCAAAUGAAGUCAGAAAUUGUUGAAAUUUUUUGAUGUGCCUUUGAAUGGUGCAUUUUGAACACACAAAAAGUAUGGAGUUCAAAUAAGUUUAAAAAAAUGAAAUCCCUUUGUAAGAGAUGAGUUCUCAUUCGAAACCCUGCUACUUCGAGAGAGAUUGUCAGUUUUGUACACGAACUGCAUCCAGUUUUUGUCGUAGCCCUUUCAACUUUUAACACAUGCUAUGUGGGUGAAAUGAUGAUAGCAUGCCAACUUUCAACAUUUUCACAGUUCAUUUGUAGUGCUUUUCAAUUUCAGGGUCAACUAGCUCAAAAAAAUAAGUAAAUGCACGAAAUAUACCAAAUGAAGUCAGAAAUUGUUGAAAUUUUCUGUUGUGCCUUUGAAUGGUGCAUUUUGAACACACAAAAAUUAUGGAUUUCAAAUAAGUUUUAAAAAAAUGAAAUCCUUUUGUAAGAGAUGAGUUCUCGUUCGAAACCCUGCUACUUCGAGAGAGAUUGUCAGUUUUGAACACGAACUGCAUCCAGUUUUUGUCGUAGCCCUCUCAACUUUCUAACACAUGCUAUGUGGGUUAAAUGAUGAUAGCAUGCCAACUUUCAACAUUUUUCAGAGUUCAUUUGUAGUGCUUUUCAAUUUCAGGGUCAACUAGCUCAAAAAAAAUAAGUAAAUGCACGAAAUAUACCAAAUGAAGUCAGAAAUUGUUGAAAUUUUGUGAUGUGCCUUUGAAUGGUGCAGUUUGAACACACAAAAAGUAUGGAGUUCAAAUAAGUUUUAAAAAAUGAAAUCCCUUUGUAAGAGAUGAGUUCUCGUUCGAAACCCUGCUACUUCGAGAGAGAUUGUUAGUUUUGUAAACGAACUGCAUCCAGUUUUUGUCAUAGCCCUCKCAACKUKUUAACACAUGCUAUGUGGGUGAAAUGAUGAUAGCAUGCCAACUUUCAACAUUUUCAGAGUUCAUUUGUAGUGCUUUUCAAUUUCAGGGUCAACUAGCUCAAAAAAAAAAGUAAAUGCACGAAAUAUACCAAAUGAAGUMAGAAAUUAGUUGAAAUUUUGUGUUGUGCCUUUGUAAUGGUGCAUUUUGAACANNNNNNNNNNNNNNNNNNNNNNNNNNNNNNNNNNNNNNNNNNNNNNNNNNNNNNNNNNNNNNNNNNNNNNNNNNNNNNNNNNNNNNNNNNNNNNNNNNNNGGGAUAAUUAACCCAUUUAGCUCCAAAAAGACAUAAUUAGGUAAUUUAGCUCCAACAAUAAAUAGGAAAAAUAGAAAAGAAAGAAAGAAGAAGAAGAAGAGAGGAAGGAGAAGGAGGAGGAGGAGGAGAAGGCCAAGGACCUUCUAGUCCUUCUCCUCCUCCUUGUCCUCCUUCUUGAUUUUCUUUUUCUUUCUCCUCCUCCUCCUCUUUCCUCUCCUMUUUCAUAUUAUCCUUGCUUUUAAUUUCCCCAAAAAUGACAUAAUUAGCUCAUUUAGCUCCAAAAUGCCAUAAUAACCUCAAAAUGGCAUAAGAACCUUGGUUAGAUCAUGAAUAUUAUAUACUUAGCUUGUUUUCCUAUAAAAUGAGAUAAUUAGCCCAUUUAGCUCCAAAAAGACAUAAUUAGGUAAUUUAGCUCCAAGAAGAGGAGAAGAGGAGAAGAGGAGAAGAAAUAAGAAAAAUGAAAAGAAAGAAGAAGAUGAAGAAGAGAAGAAUGAGAAGGAGGAGGAGUAGGAGGAGAAGGAGGAGAAGGCCAAGGACCUUCUAGUCCUUAUCCUCCUCCUCCUUCUCCUUCUUAUCCUCCCUCUUCUUGAUUUCUUCUUCUUCUCCUCCUCCUCCUCUUUUCUUCUCCCCUUUCAUAUUAUCCUUGCUUUAAUUUCCCCAAAAAGACAAUAAUUAGCCCAUUUAGCUCCAAAAUGCCAUAAUAAGGUCAAAAUGGCAUAAGAACCUUGGUUAGCUCAUGAAUAUUAUAUACUUAGCUUGUUUUCCUCUAAUAUGAGAUAUUUAGCCCAUUUAGCUCCAAGAAGACAUAGUUAGCUAAUUUAGCUCCUAGAAGAGGAGAAGAAAUAGGAAAAAUGAAAAGAAAGAAUAAGAAGAAGAAGAGAAGAAGGAGAAGGAGGAGGAGAAGGACGAAGGACGUAGNNNNNNNNNNNNNNNNNNNNNNNNNNNNNNNNNNNNNNNNNNNNNNNNNNNNNNNNNNNNNNNNNNNNNNNNNNNNNNNNNNNNNNNNNNNNNNNNNNNNCACGAAAUAUACGAAAUGAAGUUCAGAAAUUGUUAGCUAAUUUUGUUGAUGUGCCUUUGUAAUGGUCCAUUUUGAACUACACAAAAAGUAUAGGAGUUCAAAUAAGUUUAAAAAAAAUGAAAAUCCCUUUGUAAGAGAUGAGUUCUCAUUCGAAACCCUSCUACUUCGAGAGAGAUUGUCAGUUUUGUACACGAACUGCAUCCAGUUUUUGUCGUAGCCCUCUCAACUUUUUAACACAUGCUAUGUGGGUUAAAUGAUUAUAGUAUGUGAACUUUCAACAUUUUUAGAGUACAUUUGUAGUGCUUUUCAAUUUCAGGGUCAACUAGCUCAAAAAAAAUAAGUAAAUGCACGAAAUAUACGAAAUGAAGUCAGAAAUUGUUGACUAAUUUUGUGAUGUUGACCUUUGGAAUGGUCCAUUUUGAACACACAAAAAGUAUGGAGUUCAAAUAAGUUUAAAAAAAUGAAAUCCCUUUGUAAGAGAUGAGUUCUCGUUCGAAACCCAGCUACUUCCAGAGGAGGGGGGGGGGUUUNNNNNNNNNNNNNNNNNNNNNNNNNNNNNNNNNNNNNNNNNNNNNNNNNNNNNNNNNNNNNNNNNNNNNNNNNNNNNNNNNNNNNNNNNNNNNNNNNNNNUCAAGGSCCUACGUAGCGAUGAGUUCUCGUUCGAAACCCUGCUACUUCGAGAGARAUUGUCAGUUUUGUACACGAACUGCAUCMAGUUUUUCUCGUAGCCCUCUCAACUUUUUAACACAUGCUAUGUGGGUGAAAUGAUGAUAGCAUGCCAACUUUCAACAUUUUCACAGUUCAUUUGUAGUGCUUUUCAAUUUCAGGGUCAACUAGCUCMAAAAAAAUAAGUAAAUGCACGAAAUAUACAAAAUGAAGUAAGAAUUAGUUGAAAUUUUGUGAUGUGCCUUUGAAUGGUGCAUUUUGAACACACAAAAAGCAUGGAGUUCAAAUAAGUUUAAAAAAAUGAAAUCCCUUUGUAAGAGAUGAGUUCUCGUUCGAAACCCUGCUACUUCGAGAGGGAUUGUCAGUUUUCUACAUGAACUGCAUCCAGUUUUUGUCAUAGCCCUUUCAACUUUUUAACACAUGCUAUGUGGGUGAAAUGAUGACAGCAUGCCAACUUUCAACAUUUUCAGAGUUCAUUUGUAGUGCUUUUCAAUUUCAGGGUCAACUAGCUACAAAAAAAUAAGUAAAUGCACGAAAUAUACCAAAUGAAGUCAAGAAAGCNNNNNNNNNNNNNNNNNNNNNNNNNNNNNNNNNNNNNNNNNNNNNNNNNNNNNNNNNNNNNNNNNNNNNNNNNNNNNNNNNNNNNNNNNNNNNNNNNNNNGGUAAAGGAUAGUAGCAUUGUCCCUUCUCUCUUUUCUCUCAUUUUUUUAUUUUUUUCUUCUUUUUUUGGUGGGCUUCUUUGGCCUUCUUUUUACUUCCUCACAUGGGACAAUGMUCYAWYAAUGAUGAUCAUCACACUUACAACUCAAAACUUAGAGCAAUGAUGACUCUAUAUGGAAUGCACUUCGGUAGUGUACCGUGACAAUGAUCUAGCAUGGCAUAGACAUCAAUGGAAACAUCAUGCUAGCUAUCUUAUGAUCAUGCAAUGGCAAUGUAGAAGUGGUGGCACAUGUCAUGGUGGUAGUUUCAUGGCAAUAUAUCUCGGAAUGGCUUUGAAAAAACCAUAGUAGGUAGGUAUGGUGGUUGUUUUGAGGAAGGCAUAUGGUGGGUUUGUGUACCGGCAAAAAAUGCGCGACACUAGAGAGGCUAGCAAUGGUGGAUGGUGAAAGUGCAUCUAUACCAUGGACUCACAUUAGUCAUGAAGAACUCACAUACUUGUUGCGAAAGUUUUUAUUAUUAAUCGAAACAAAGUGCUAAACGCAUACUCCUAGGGGAAGGGUUGGUAGGUGUUAACCAUNNNNNNNNNNNNNNNNNNNNNNNNNNNNNNNNNNNNNNNNNNNNNNNNNNNNNNNNNNNNNNNNNNNNNNNNNNNNNNNNNNNNNNNNNNNNNNNNNNNNUCUGAAAACUUACGACUGCCUGGGAAAAAGGAAUAUCAACCAGCAGAAAAAAGAAUCAACUCAUAAUCUUUUUUCUGAAUAAAAAUGAAAAAUCAUCUCGUGAGCGAAAAGUUUCUAUCUUUUUUUCCAGCAGGAUCAAACGAUCAUCCCCAAGACUAAUCAUAACGGUUUCACUUGGCACAAAGGAAAAAGAAACACAAAAAAACACAAUCAUAACAGAAUUAUGAAAGUAUGGAAAACACUAAACAGAAAGAAAAAGAUAAAUUCAUUGGGUUGCCUCCCAACAAGCGCUAUUGUUUAACGCCCUUAGCUAGGCAUUGAUAAUUCAAUGAUGCUCACACAAAAGACAAGAAUUGAAGCACAACGAGAGCAUCAUAAAGCAUGUGAAAAUCACAUSUAAGUCUAACAUACUUCCUAUGCAUAGGCAUUUUAUAGGAAAMWRAUUGUCAAGACAACCAAUAGUUACCGUAUGCAAGGAAGAAGAAAGAGACAAUAGCAAUCUCCACAUAACGAGAGGUAAUUUGGUAACAUGAAAGUUUCUACCACAAUAUUUUCCUCUCUCAUAGUAAUUACAUGUGGGAUCAUAUUCGAAUUAAACAAUGUAACUAUCACAUAGGAUAUUCUUUUCAUGAUCCACAUGCAUGCAAAGUUGACGCUCUUCAAAAAUAGUCGGAUUAUCAUCAACUAAAGUCAUGAUUUCUCCAAACCCACUUUCAAUGAUAUUGCAAAUAUCAUAUUCAUCAUGAGGCUUAAACAAAUUUUCAAGAUCAUAAGAAAAAUCAUCGCCCCACUCAUGAUCAUUGCAACAAGUAGGGAGMCGMUUAUAUAGAGUGCACUAUGUCCCAUGACAAUUGCCAUUACAAGGGUUUAAAUAUGUCUAANNNNNNNNNNNNNNNNNNNNNNNNNNNNNNNNNNNNNNNNNNNNNNNNNNNNNNNNNNNNNNNNNNNNNNNNNNNNNNNNNNNNNNNNNNNNNNNNNNNNGGAUUCAAAUAAGUUUAAAAAAAAUAGAAAUACCCUUUGUAAGAGAUGAGUUCUCGUUCGAAACCCUGCUACUUCGAGAGAGAUUGUCAGUGUUGUACACGAACUGCAUCCAGCUUUUGUCGUAGCCCUCUCAACUUUCUAACACAUGCUAUGUGGGUUAAAUUAUGAUAGCAUGCCAACUUUCAACAUUUUCAGAGUUCAUUUGUAGUGCUUUUCAAUUUCAGGGUCAACUAGCUCAAAAAAAAGUAAAUGCACGAAAUAUACCAAAUGAAGUCAGAAAUUGUUGAAAUUUUGUGAUGUGCCUUUGAAUGGUGCAUUUUGAACACACAAAAAGUAUGGAGUUCAAAUAAGUUUAAAAAAUAUGAAAUCCCUUUGUUAAGAGAUGAGUUCUCGUUCGAAACCCUGCUACUUCGAGAGAGAUUGUCAGUUUUGUACACGAACUGCAUCCAGUUUUUUUCGUAGCCCUCUCAACUUUUUUAACACAUGCUAUGUGGGUGAAAUGAUGAUAGCAUGUCAACUUUCAACAUUUUCAGAGUUCAUUUGUAGUGCUUUUCAAUUUCAGGGUCAACUAGCUCAMAAAAAAAUAAGUAAAUGCACGAAAUAUACCAAAUGAAGUGAGAAAUUAUUNNNNNNNNNNNNNNNNNNNNNNNNNNNNNNNNNNNNNNNNNNNNNNNNNNNNNNNNNNNNNNNNNNNNNNNNNNNNNNNNNNNNNNNNNNNNNNNNNNNNAAAUGAAGGGCGGGGAGGAGAUGAAAUUUGUACUGACCCACGAAUGGCAGGGGCGGAGCUCGUACAACGCACGGGCAGGUCUUCGCACAGCAGACCUCACAGCGACGAGACAACUACCACAUGUAAAUCCACCCGAUCAACGCAAAUAUUCCAAUUAUGUCAUUUUAGAGGAAAACAAGCUAAGUAUAUAAUAUUCAUGAGCUAACCAAGGUUCUUAUGCCAUUUUGAGCUUAUUAUGGUAUUUUCGAGGUAAAUGGGCUCAUUAUGUCAUUGUUGGGUUAAUUAAAGCAAGGAUAAUAUGAAAGAGGAGAAGAAAGAGGAGGAGGAGGAGAAGAAGAAGAAAUCAAGAAGAAGGAGGAGAAGGAGGGGGAGGAGAAGGACUAGAAGGUCCUUGGCCUUCUCCUCCUCCUCCUCCUCCUCCUUCUCCUUCUUCUCUUCUUCUUCUCUUCUUCUUCUUCUUCUUUCUUUUCAUUUUGCCUAUUUCUUCUCGUCUUCUCCUCUUGUUGGAGCUAAAUUACCUAAUUAUGUCUUUUUUGAGCUAAAUGGGCUAAUUAUCCCAUUUUAGAGGAAAACAAGCUAAGUAUAUAAUAUUAAUGAGCUAACCAAGGUUCUUAUGCCAUUUUGAGCUUAUUAUGGUAUUUUGGAGCUAAAUGGGCUAAUUAUGUCAUUGUUGGGUUAAUUAAAGCAAGGAUAAUAUGAAAGAGGAGAAGAAAGAGGAGGAGGAGGAGAAGAAAAGAASAGGAAGRAGGAGRAGGAGAGGAGAAGGAGGAGGAGGAGAAGGAUAGAAKSUSCUUGGCCUUCUCCUCCUCCUCCUCCUCCUUCUCCUUCUUCUCUUCUUCUUCUUCUUCUUCUUCUUCUUUCUUUUCUAUUUUGCCUUAUUUCUUCUCCUCUUCUCCUCUUGUUGAGCUAAAUUGCUACGUGNNNNNNNNNNNNNNNNNNNNNNNNNNNNNNNNNNNNNNNNNNNNNNNNNNNNNNNNNNNNNNNNNNNNNNNNNNNNNNNNNNNNNNNNNNNNNNNNNNNNAAAUCCCUUUGUAAGAGAUGAGUUCUCGUUCGAAACCCUCCUACUUCGAGAGAGAUUGUCAGUUUUGUACACGAACUGCAUCCAGUUUUGUCGUAGCCCUCUCAACUUUUAACACAUGCUAUGUGGGUGAAAUGAUGAUAGCAUGUAAACUUUCAACAUUUUCAGAGUUCAUUUGUAGUGCUUUUCAAUUUCAGGGUCAACUAGCUACAAAAAAAAAUAGUAAAUGCACGAAAUAUACCAAAUGAAGUGAGAAAUUAUUGAAAUUUUGUGAUGUGCCUUUGAAUGGUACAUUUUGAACACACAAAAAGUAAUGGAGUUCAAAUAAGUUUAAAAAAAAUAGAAAUACCCUUUGUAAGAGAUGAGUUCUCUUUCGAAACCCUGCUACUUCGAGAGAGAUUGUCAGUUUUGUACACGAACUGCAUCCAGUUUUUCUCGUAGCCCUCUCAACUUUAUAACACAUGCUAUGUGGGUGAAAUGAUGAUAGCAUGCCAACUUUCAACAUUUUCAGAGUUCAUUUGUAGUGCUUUUCAAUUUCAGGGUCAACUAGCUACAAAAAAAAAUAAAWAUGCACGAAAUAUGCCAAAUNNNNNNNNNNNNNNNNNNNNNNNNNNNNNNNNNNNNNNNNNNNNNNNNNNNNNNNNNNNNNNNNNNNNNNNNNNNNNNNNNNNNNNNNNNNNNNNNNNNNCGCAUUUACUAUGGAUGACGCAAACUCUUAAGGAUUMWSGUAUKCAUGUGAAACAUGUUCCAUUGUUGCGUUAUAGUGGAAGUGCUAUUAAAAUUAGUUCAUAAUCCACUAAACAUUCACGAACUAAACAUAUUCAAGCGCGACAUCAUUUCAUUCGUGAUCAUGUUGGUAAAGGAGAUAUUAAUCUCAAGCAUGUUCGUACCAACAAACAAUUGGCUGAUAUCUUUACAAAACCACUUGAUGAGAAAGUGUUUUCCAUUUGAGGAGUGAGUUGACCAUCAUAUAUAGAUGCUUCAAACUCGAGCUAGACUCACUCGGAUGCAUGCAAGGGCAUGAGCUUACCUUAUUAUUUCAUGAUGCUAUUGAUGUGACACUAUCUUAUAUCUUGGAAAACUAUGCUCCCUUGUAUUGCAUCUAACCUUACUUUAGGUACUUGGAAGAAUUACAAUUCACAAGAUUUCCAUCAACUCACAUCAAACGCAAUCUUGUCAUGGCCAAGUAUCAACAACCCCUUCUUCGAAUAUNNNNNNNNNNNNNNNNNNNNNNNNNNNNNNNNNNNNNNNNNNNNNNNNNNNNNNNNNNNNNNNNNNNNNNNNNNNNNNNNNNNNNNNNNNNNNNNNNNNNCUCACCACGCCAGAAUGAAACUUCCGACCGCGUCCUCAAAAAUACACCUUCUCAGGUUGCUAAAAUAACCAGAAAGAAUACUGGGCAUCCNCGAAACACUUUUCCGCCGCCGCAAGCUUCCGUUUCCGCGAGAUCUCAUCUGGAGACCCUUCCCAGUGCCCUGCCGGAGGGGACUUUGGAGUUGGAGGGCUUCUACAUCAACAUCAUCGCCUCUCCAAUGACUCGUGAGUAGUCCACUUCAGACCUACGGGUCCGUAGUUAGUAGCUAGAUGGCUUUUUCUCUCUCUUGGAUCUACAAUACAAUGUUUUCCAUGAUCUUCAUGGAGAUCUAUCCGAUGUAAUCCUCUUUGGCGGUGUGUUUGUCGAGAUCCGAUAAAUUGUGGAUUUGUGGUCAGAUUAUCUAUGAAUUAUAUUUGAGUCUUUGCUGAUUUCUUAUAUGCAUGAUUUGAUAUCCUUGUAAGUCUCUCCGAGUCUUGGGUUUUGUUUGGCCAACUAGAUCUAUGAUUCUUGCAAUGGGAGAAGUGCUUGGUUUUGGGUUCAUACCGUGAGGUGACCUUUCCCAGUGAUAGAAGGGGCAGCAAGGCACACAKGGGAUWGKUGCCAUCAAGGGUAACAAGAUNNNNNNNNNNNNNNNNNNNNNNNNNNNNNNNNNNNNNNNNNNNNNNNNNNNNNNNNNNNNNNNNNNNNNNNNNNNNNNNNNNNNNNNNNNNNNNNNNNNNUUGUUGCAAUGAUCAAGAUUGGGGUAAUGAUUUUUCUUAUGAUCUUAAAAAAUUUGUUUAAGCCUCAUGAUGAAUAUGAUAUUUGCAAUAAUAUUGAAGGUGGGUUUGGAGAAGUCAUGACUUUAGUUGAUGAUAAUCCCACUAUUUUUGAUGAGCGUCAACUUUGCAUGUAUGUGGAUCAUGAAAAGAAUAUCCUAUGUGAUAGCUAUAUUGUUGAAUUUGAAUAUGAUCCCACAUGUAAUUAUUGUGAGAGAGGAAAAUAUGGUGGUAGAAAUUUUCAUACCACUAAAUCACCUCUUGUUUUGUUGAGAUUGAUAUUGUCUCUUUCUUCUUCCUUGCAUAUGGUAACUAUUGGUUGUCUUGACAAUUUAUUUUCCUAUAAAAUGCCUAUGCAUAGGAAGUAUGUUAGACUUAGAUGUUAUUUUCACAUGCUUUAUGAUGCUCUCGUUGUGCUUCAAUUCUUGUGUUUUGUGUGAGCAUCAUUGAAUUAUCAAUGCCUAGCUAAGGGCGUUAAACAAUAGCGCUUGUUGGGAGGCAACCCAAUGUAUUUAUCUUUGCUUUUUUUCUUUCUUGUUUUUUUUUUGUGUCCACACCGUCAUAAUUUUGUUAUGAUUGUUGUUUUUUUUUGUUUUCUUUUUUGUUGUUUGAGCCAAGUAAACCUUUAUGACUGGUUUUGGUGAUGUUGUUUGAUCUUNNNNNNNNNNNNNNNNNNNNNNNNNNNNNNNNNNNNNNNNNNNNNNNNNNNNNNNNNNNNNNNNNNNNNNNNNNNNNNNNNNNNNNNNNNNNNNNNNNNNUUCUGAUUAUGAACAAGGUGUUGUUGCUUGACAACUGGAUCACGUCAUUAGGAGAAUCAUGUGAUGGACUAGACCCAAACUAAUAGACGUAGCAUGUUGAUCGUGUCAUUUUUGUUGCUACUGUUUUCUGCGUGUCAAGUAUUUAUUCCUAUGACCAUGAGAUCAUAUAACUCACUGACACCGGAGGAAUGCUUUGUGUGUAUCAAAUGUCGCAACGUAACUGGGUNACUAUAAAGAUGCUCUACAGGUAUCUCCGAAGGUGUUCGUCGAGUUAGUAUGGAUCGAGAGUGGGAUUUGUCACUCCGUGUGACGGAGAGGUAUCUCGGGGCCCACUCGGUAAUACAACAUCACACACAAGCCUUGCAAGCAAUGUGACUUAGUGUAAGUUGCGGGAUCUUGUAUUACGGAACGAGUAAAGAGACUUGCCAGUAAACGAGAUUGAAAUAGGUAUGCGGAUACUGACGAUCGAAUCUCGGGCAAGUAACAUACCGAAGGACAAAGGGAAUGACAUACGGGAUUAUAUGAAUCCUUGGCACUGAGGUUCAAACGAUAAGAUCUUCGUAGAAUAUGUAGGAUCCAAUAUGGGCAUCCAGGUCCCGCUAUUGGAUAUUGACCGAGGAGUCACUCGGUUCAUGUCUACUUGGUUCUCGAACCCGCAGGGUCUGCACACUUNNNNNNNNNNNNNNNNNNNNNNNNNNNNNNNNNNNNNNNNNNNNNNNNNNNNNNNNNNNNNNNNNNNNNNNNNNNNNNNNNNNNNNNNNNNNNNNNNNNNGUAGUAUGUUGAUAGGACUAUGUAUUGGAGGGCAAGGGUGACAGAAGCUUCAUCCUAGCAUCGAAAUUGAUGCAUACGGGAUUGAAGGGGGAACAAUAUAUUUUAUUGCUAUGGUUGGGUUUUACCUUAAUGAACGUUAGUAGUUGCGGAUGCUUGCUAAUAGUUCCAAUCAUAAGUGCAUAGAAUUCCAAGUAAGGGAUGACAUGCUAGCAGUGGCCUCUCCCACAUAAAACUUGCUAUCGGUCUAGUAACGUAGUCAAUUGCUUAGGGACAAUUCCGCAACUCCUACCACCAAUUUUCCACACUUGUUAAACUAACGUAAUUGUUCUUAGCAGCCCCUAGUCUUUAUUUACGUGUUCUUUCUUUUCUUGCAAACCUAUCCUAUCACUCCUACAAAGUACUUCUAGUUUCAUACUUGUUCUAGGUAAAGCGAACGUAAAGUGUGCGUAGAGUUGUAUCGGUGGUCGAUAGAACUUGAGCGAAUAUGAUCCUACUUUAGCUCCUCGUUGGUUCGACACUCUUACUUAUCGGCUACGUCGNNNNNNNNNNNNNNNNNNNNNNNNNNNNNNNNNNNNNNNNNNNNNNNNNNNNNNNNNNNNNNNNNNNNNNNNNNNNNNNNNNNNNNNNNNNNNNNNNNNNAUCCCCAAGCUUAACUCCUGCUCGUCCUCGAGUAGGGAAGUGAUAAAGACCGAAUUUUUGAUGUGGAAUGCUACCUAACAUACUUGUCCUUUGUAACUUCUUUCAUGUGACAUGAAUGUUCAGAUCCAUGAGAUUCAAAACAAUAGUUUUCUAUUGACAUGAAAACAAUAAUACUUCAAGCAAACUAGCAAGGUAAUCAUGAACUUUCGAAAUAACAAGGCUAAAGAAAGUUAUCCCUACAAAAUCAUAUAGUCUGGCUAUGCUCCAUCAUCCCCACAUAAUGAAUUUAAAUCAUGCACAACCCCGGWAUUGGCCAAGUAAUUGUUUUCGCACUCUUUUACUUUCUCAAACUUUUUAUAACUAUCACGCAAUACAUCAGCGUGAGCCAUGGAUAUUGUACUAUAGGUGGAAUAGAGUGUGGUGGUGGUUGUGAGAGAAAAAGGAGGAGAUGGUCACAUUGACUCGGCGUAUACGAAAGGGCUAGUGGAGAUGACCCAUUAAUAGAUAUNNNNNNNNNNNNNNNNNNNNNNNNNNNNNNNNNNNNNNNNNNNNNNNNNNNNNNNNNNNNNNNNNNNNNNNNNNNNNNNNNNNNNNNNNNNNNNNNNNNNCACGUAGCUAUGAAAGAGGAGAAGAAAUAGGAGGAGGAGGAGAAGAAGAAAAAUCAAGAAGAAGGAGGUGAAGGAGAUGGAGGAGAAGGACUAGAAGGUCCUUGGCCUUCUCCUCCUCCUUCUCMUUCUUCUCUUCUUCWUCUUMUUCUUUCUUUUCAUUUUUCUUAUUUCUUCUCCUCUUCUCCUCUUCUCCUCUUCUUGGAGCUAAAUUACCUAAUUAUGUCUUUUUGGAGCUAAAUGGGCUAAUUAUCUCAUUUUAUAGGAAAACAAGCUAAGUAUAUAAUAUUCAUGAUCUAACCAAGGUUCUUAUGCCAUUUUGAGGUUAUUAUGGCAUUUUGGAGCUAAAUGAGCUAAUUAUGUCUUUUUGGGGAAAUUAAAGCAAGGAUAAUAUGAAAGAGGAGAAGAAAGAGGAGGAGGAGGAGAAGAAGAAGAAAUCAAGAAGAAGGAGGAAGAAAAAGGAGAAGGAGGAGGAGAUAAGGACUAGAAGGUCCUGGCCUUCUCCUCCUUCUCCUCCUACCUCCUCCUCCGCUCGUNNNNNNNNNNNNNNNNNNNNNNNNNNNNNNNNNNNNNNNNNNNNNNNNNNNNNNNNNNNNNNNNNNNNNNNNNNNNNNNNNNNNNNNNNNNNNNNNNNNNAGGAGACUAUUAAACGGAGUCCAAACGGAAUAAAACCUGCGGAAUGAUUUUUUCCAUAACAGAAGACACGCAGGAGACUUGAGAACCAGGGAAGGGGACCUCGGAGGAGGUCACAAGCCACCUAGGACCGACCUAGGGGGAGGGCGGGCCUAGCAGGCUUGUGGGCCCCCUGUGGUUCCCCUGCCCUAGUUCUUCCGCCUAUAAAUUCCAUAAAAAUCUGAAAACACGAAAGAGAGCCACGAAAAUACUUUUCCACCGCCGCAAGCUUCUCUCUCCGCAAGAUCCCAUCUGGGGAACGUUCUGGUGCCCUGCCGGAGGGGGAUUCGCACACUGAGGGCUUCUUCAUGAAAACCNUUGCCUCUCCGAUGAUGCGUGAGUAGUUCACCAUAGACCCUWCSGGUCCWUAGCUAGUAGCUAGAUGGCUUCUUCUCUCUCUURGAUMUUCAAUACAAAGUUCUCCAUGAUCUUCAUGGAGWUCUAUCCAAUGUAAUAUUCUUUUGCGGUGUGUUUGUCGAGAUUCGAUGAAUUGUGGAUUUAUGAUCAUAUUAUCUAUGAAUCUUAUUUGAGUUUCUUCUGAUCUCUUAUAUGCAUGAUUUCAUAUCCUUGUAAUUCUCUUCGAGUUGUGGGUUUUGUUUGGCCAACUAGAUCUAUGAUUCUUGCAAUGGGAGAAGUGCUUGGUUUUGGGUUCAUACCGUGCGGUGACCUUUCCCAGUGACAAAAGGGGCAGCAAGGCACACAGGGGAUAGGNNNNNNNNNNNNNNNNNNNNNNNNNNNNNNNNNNNNNNNNNNNNNNNNNNNNNNNNNNNNNNNNNNNNNNNNNNNNNNNNNNNNNNNNNNNNNNNNNNNNGCUUUUCAUGAACUUAGUACACUAGAUGCAUGCUGGAUAGCGGUCGAUGUGUGGAGUAAUAGUAGUAGAUGCAGAAAGUAUCGGUCUACUUGUCUCGAACGUGAUGCCUAUAGAUAUGAUCAUUGCCAUAGAUAACGUCAUGACUUUGCGCGGUUCUAUAAAUUGCUCGACAGUAAUUCGUUCACCCACCGUCUACUUGCUUUCAUGAGAGAAGCCACUAGUGAACACUACAGCCCCCCGGGUCUAUUCACAACUAUCGUUUCCACUUUUACUUUUACUUUGGUUUGUUUACUUUUUGCUUUCAGUUCUCACUUUGCAAACAAUCUAUAAGGGAUUGACAACCCCUUCAUAGCAUUGGGUGCAAGCUCUUUGUGUUUGUGCAGGUACUUGUGACUUGACGCGAUCCUCCUACKSKACKUGAUACCUUGGUUCUGAAACUGAGGGAACUACUUACCGCCGCUGUGCUACAUCACCCUUUCCUCUUCAAGGGAACAACAACGCAAGGCUCCAAGGCACGCNNNNNNNNNNNNNNNNNNNNNNNNNNNNNNNNNNNNNNNNNNNNNNNNNNNNNNNNNNNNNNNNNNNNNNNNNNNNNNNNNNNNNNNNNNNNNNNNNNNNAUCACACCAUAGGGUUAGUAUUAUGUUGAUAGGACUAUGUAUUGGAGGGGAAGGGUGAUAGAAGCUUCAGCCUAGCAUAGAAACUGAUGCAUGCGGGAUUGAAGGGGCCCAAUAUAUCUUAUUGCUAUGGUUGGGUUUUAACUUAUUGAACGUUAGUAGUUGCGGAUGCUUGCUAAUAGAUCCAAUCAUAAGUGCAUAGAAUUUCAAGUAAGGGAUGACAUGCUAGCAGUGGCCUCUCCCACAUAAAACUUGCUAUCAGUCUAGUAACCGUAGUCAAUUGCUUAGGGACAAUUUCCGCAACUCCUACCACCACUUUUCCACACUCGUUAAACUAACGUAAUUUUUUCUUAGCAGCCCCUAGUCUUUAUUUACGUGUUCUUUCUUUUCUUGCAAACCUAUCCUAUCACUCCUACAAAGUACUUCUAGUUUCAUACUUGUUCUAGGUAAAGCGAACGUAAAGUGUGCGUAGAGUUGUAUCGGUGGUCGAUAGAACUUGAGCGAAUAUUGAUCCUACCUUUAGCUCCUCGUUGGGUUCGACACUCUUACUUAUCGAGAAAGGCUACAAUUGAUCCCCUAUACUUGUGGGUUAUCAAGACCUUUGCUACGUGNNNNNNNNNNNNNNNNNNNNNNNNNNNNNNNNNNNNNNNNNNNNNNNNNNNNNNNNNNNNNNNNNNNNNNNNNNNNNNNNNNNNNNNNNNNNNNNNNNNNAUGCUUUUCAAUUUAAGGGUCAUGUAGCUCAAAAAAAUCAGUAAAUGCAUGAAAAAUACAAAAUGCAGUCAUAAAUUGUUCAAAAUUGAUGAUGUGGCUUUAAAUGGUGCAUUUUGAACACACAAAAAGUCUGGAGUUCAAAUAAGUUCAAAAAGAUGAAAUCCCUUUGUAAUAGAUGAGUUUUCAUGUGAAUCUGUGAUACUUCGAAAGAGAUUCUCCGUUUUGUACACGAAGUGCAUCCAGUUUUUGCCAUAACCCUCUCAACUAUUUAGCACAUGCUUUGUGGGUGAAAUGAUGAUACUAUGCCAAUUUUCAAUCUUUUCAGAGGUGAUUUGUAGUGCUUUUCAAUUUAAGGGUCAUUUAGCUCAAAAAAACAAUAAAUUUAUGAAAAAUACCAAAUGAAGUCAAAAAUUGUUGAAAAUUGAUGAUGUGGCUUUGAAUGGUGCAUUUUGAACACACAAAAAGUAUGGAGUUCAAAUAAUAUCAAUAAAAUGAAAUCCCUUUGUAACAGAUGAGUUUUCGUAUGAAACCCUCAUACUUCGAAAGAGAUUGUCCAUUUUGUACACAAAGUGCAUCCAGUUUUUGCGCAACCCUCUCAACUUUUUAGCACAUCCUAUGUCGGUGAAAUGAUGAUACCAUGCCAACUUUCAACCUUUUUAGAGUUUAUUUGUAGUGCUUUCCAAUUUAAGGGUCAUUUAGUCCAAAAUAUCAGUAAAUGCAUGAAAAAUAGCAAAUGAAGUCAGAAUUUGUUGAAAAUUGAUGAUGUGGCUUUGAAUGGUGCAUUUUGAGAAAUGUUGUGACCUAAAAGCAAAAAAGAAUCAACGAAAAACAAUAAGUAGGAACAAGAAAAAGUAAAGUAAAAAAUAAAACAAAAAACUAGAUUUAAAAAAAAUGCCACCUACUAGGCCACAACGGCGUGAAUACGACUAGAAACCCAUCCUCCUGGUUGGGCCAGGAUUCAGGCCCACACAAGGCCCAAUAGGCCCACAGGCAGUGACAGAUUAGGUCCGAAAGCUUGCAGUUGAGAGGAGCUCGACAGAUUGUGCGCAGCAGCGAUUAUAAACCACUCGCGAGCUCUCUCGGCAAGCGAGGUGGGACUAAAAAUUUAGACCCGGGCAACACCACACUUUGGUCCCGGUUGGUGCCUCCAACCGGGACCAAUACCACCCUUUCGUCCCGGUUGGAGCCACCAACCGAUACUAAAGGUCUCUUCUUCCCGCCCUUUUGGACUGCUGAAAAUUGACCUUUAGUCCCGGUUGGUGGCUCCAACCGGGACAAAAGGGUGGCAUUGGUGUCGGUUGGAGCUACCAACGGGGACCAAAGGUGUUCGCAUAUAUGGCGGGACUUACCAAAAUUUCUACCAACUCCCAUUUGCCCCGUUCUCUUCUCUCCUCACCGUCGUCGUUGCCGCCCCGAGCCCGUCGCCGCCGGCCCGCGCCUUCUCCACGAGCCCAUCGUCAUUGUCGCCAUCGCCCCGAGCCCGUUGUCACGCCGAGCCCGUCGUCGCCCCGAGCCCGUCACCGUCGUCGUCGCCCCCGAGCCUGUCGCCGUCGUCGUCAUCCCGAGCCCGUCAUCACCGUCACCCCCGAGGCCAUAAACGUCCCCGCUGCCGUCGCCCCCGAGCCCAUCGCCCCAAGCCAAUCGCCGUCGCCGUCACUGAUAACCCACAAGUAUAGGGGAUCAAUUGUAGCCUUUCUCGAUACGUAAGAGUGUUGAACCCAACGAGGAUCUAAAGGUAGGAUAAAUAUUCCCUCAAGUUCUAUCGACCACCGAUACAACUCUACGCACACUUCACGUUCGCUUUACCUAGAACAAGUAUGAAACUAGAAGUACUUUGUAGGAGUGAUAGGAUAGGUUUGCAAGAAAAGAAAGAACACGUAAAUAAAGACUAGGGGCUGCUAAGAAAAAAUUACGUUAGUUUAACGAGUGUGGAAAAGUGGUGGUAGGAGUUGCGGAAUUGUCCCUAAGCAAUUGACUACGUUACUAGACUGAUAGCAAGUUUUAUGUGGGAGAGGCCACUGCUAGCAUGUCAUCCCUUACUUGAAAUUCUAUGCACUUAUGAUUGGAUCUAUUAGCAAGCAUCCGCAACUACUAACGUUCAAUAAGUUAAAACCCAACCAUAGCAAUAAGAUAUAUUGGGCCCCCUUCAAUCCCGCAUGCAUCAGUUUCUAUGCUAGGCUGAAGCUUCUAUCACCCUUCCCCUCCAAUACAUAGUCCUAUCAACAUAAUACUAACCCUAUCGUGUGAUCCACGCGCGCGCUCAUAUGAUGGGCACCAAAGGACAGCAACAUAACCACAAGCAAAUCAAACCAAUCACACCAAUUCAUCAAUAACCGAUAGGACAACAAAAAUCUACUCAGACAUCAUAGGAUGGCAACACAUCAUCGGAUAAUAAUAUGAAGCACAAAGCACCAUGUUCAAGUAGAGGGUACAGCGGGUUGCGGGAGAGUGGACCGCUGAAUAUAGAUGGGGGAAGGAGAAGGAGGUGUUGGUGAAGAUGACGGACGUGUUGGUGUAGAUCGCUGUCACACGAUGAUGUCCCGGGCGGCGUUCCGGCACCGCCGGGAGAGAGGGGGAGGGAGCCCCCCUUCUUCUUCUUCUUCCUUGACCUCCUCCCUAGAUGGGAGAAGGGUUUCCCCUCUGGUCCAUGGUCUCCAUGGCGGCGGAGGGGCGAGAGCCCCUCCGAGAUUGGAUCUCUCUCUGUGUGUCCUUCUGUUUGUGCGCUCCCAGAUUCUGCCUUUCACCGUUUCUUAAAAUUCCCGGAGAUCCAUAACUCCAAGUGGGCUGAUUUUAACACGAUUUUCUUCCGGAUAUUAGCUUUCUUGCGGCGAAAGAAGGGCCCCAACCGCCUUAGGGAUUGGUCACAAGCCUGCCUGCCGUGCCCUAGGGGGCACCUCCUAGGCUUGUGACCCCCUCGGGCAUCGUUUUGCGUUGAUUCUUCUUCCCAAAAAUCAUAAAUAUUCCAUAAAAAAUCACCAUAGGUUUUUUAUUGUGUUUGGACUUCGUUUGGUAUGGAUAUUAUACGAAACAAAAAACAUGCAACAAACAGGAACUGGCACUGGGAACUGGAUCAAUAUUUUAGUCCCAAAAAUAGUAUAAAAAGUUGCCAAAAGUAUAUGUAAGUUGUAGAAUAUUGGCAUGAAACAAUCAAAAAUUAUAGAUACGACGGAGACGUAUCAGCAUCCCCAAGCUUAAUUUCUGCUCGUCCUCGAGUAUGUUGGAAUUAUGCCCUAGAGGCAAUAAUAAAUAUAGUUAUUAUUAUAAUUCCUGUAUCAAGAUAAUCGUUUAUUGUCCAUGCUAUAAUUGUAUUGAAUGAAGACUCAUCUACAUGUGUGCAUACAUAGACAAAACACCGUCCCUAGCAAGCCUCUAGUUGGCUAGCCAGUUGAUCAAAGAUAGUCAGUGUCUUCAGAUUAUGAACAAGGUGUUGUUGCUUGAUAACUGGAUCACGUCAUUAGGAGAAUCACGUGAUGGACUAGACCCAAACUAAUAGAUGUAGCAUGUUGAUCGUGUCAUUUUUGUUGCUACUGUUUUCUGCGUGUCAAGUAUUUAUUCCUAUGACCAUGAGAUCAUAUAACUCACUGACACCGGAGGAAUGCUUUGUGUGUAUCAAACGUCGCAACAUAACUGGGUGACUAUAAAGAUGCUCUACAGGUAUCUCCGAAGUUGUUAGUUGAGUUAGUAUGGAUCAAGACUGGGAUUUGUCACUCCGUGUGACGGAGAGGUAUCUCGGGGCCCACUCGGUAAUACAACAUCACACACAAGCCUUGCAAGCAAUGUAACUUAGUGUAAGUUGCGGGAUCUUGUAUUACGGAACGAGUAAAGAGACUUACCGGUAAAUGAGAUUGAAAUAGGUAUACGGAUACUGAUGAUCGAAUCUCGGGCAAGUAACAUACCGAAGGACAAAGGGAAUGACGUACGGGAUUAUAUGAAUCCUUGGCACUAAGGUUCAAACGAUAAGAUCUUCGUAGAAUAUGUAGGAUCCAAUAUGGGCAUCCAGGUCCCGCUAUUGGAUAUUGACCGAGGAGUCUCUCGGGUCAUGUCUACAUAGUUCUCGAACCCGCACGGUCUGCACACUUAAGGUUCGACGUUGUUUUAUGCGUAUUUGAGUUAUAUGGUUGGUUACCGAAUGUUGUUCGGAGUGCCGGAUGAGAUCACGAACGUCACGAGGGUUUCCGGAAUAGUCCGGAAACGAAGAUUGAUAUAUAGGAUGACCUCAUUUGAUUACCGAAAGGUUUUCGGAGUUACCGGGAAUGUACCGGGAAUGACGAAUGGGUUCCGGGAGUUCACCGGGGGNNNNNNNNNNNNNNNNNNNNNNNNNNNNNNNNNNNNNNNNNNNNNNNNNNNNNNNNNNNNNNNNNNNNNNNNNNNNNNNNNNNNNNNNNNNNNNNNNNNNCGAAUCUCGGGCAAGUAACAUACCGAAGGACAAAGGGAAUGACGUACGGGAUUAUAUGAAUCCUUGGCACUGAGGUUCAAACGAUAAGAUCUUCGUAGAAUAUGUAGGAUCCAAUAUGGGCAUCCAGGUCCCGCUAUUGGAUAUUGACCGAGGAGUCUCUCGGGUCAUGUCUACAUAGUUCUCGAACCCGCAGGGUCUGCACACUUAAGAUUCGACGUUAUUUUAUGCGUAUUUGAGUUAUAUGGUUGGUUACCGAAUGUUGUCCGGAGUCCCAGAUGAGAUCACGGACGUCACGAGGGUUUCCGGAAUAGUCCGGAAACAAAGAUUGAUAUAUAGGAUGACCUCAUUUGAUUACCGGAAGGUUUUCGGAGUUACCGGGAAUGUACCGGGAAUGACGAAUGGGUUCCGGGAGUUCACCGGGGGGGGGGGGGGCAACCCGCCCCGGGGAAGCCCAUAGGCCUUGAGGGUGGCACACCAGCCCUUAGUGGGCUGGUGGGACAGCCCAAAAGGGCUCUAUGCGCCAAGAAGAGAAAAUCANNNNNNNNNNNNNNNNNNNNNNNNNNNNNNNNNNNNNNNNNNNNNNNNNNNNNNNNNNNNNNNNNNNNNNNNNNNNNNNNNNNNNNNNNNNNNNNNNNNNGAGCUCCCGCUCCUUCUCCUUCUUCUUCUCCUUCUUCUCCUUCUUCUUCUCCUUCUUCUUCUUAUCCUUUUGUCCCCUUCUUCUUAUCCUCCUCCCUCUCCUCCUUCUUCUUCUCCUUUUUCCUCUUCCUUCCUUUCAUUUUCCUCUUUUUCUCUUCUUGUCCCCUUCUUCGGGCUAAAUUGGCUAAGAAUGCCUUUUUGGAGCUAAUUAUGUCAUUUCGAGGAUAAUUAGCUAAGUAUAGGUCAUUUUUUAUUAAAUAGGCCAUUUUGGAGCUAACUAAGCUAAUUAUGUCCUUUCGUAGGAUAAUUAGCCAAUUUAGCCUUUCUUGGAUAAGUCUAAGCUACGUAGAAGAAGAGAUAGAGAAGAAGAAGUAAAAUAAGGAGGAGGAGGAGGAGAAGAAGAAGGAAGAGGAGAAGAAGAAGAAAAGAAGAAGGAGAAGGAGAAGAAGAAGGAGAAGGAGAAGGAGGAAGAAGGGGAAGGAGGAGCUCCUUCUCCUUCUCCUCCUUCUUCUCCUUCUUCUUCUCCUCCUCCCUCUCCUCCUUCUUCUUCUCCUUUUUCCUCUUCCUUCCUUUCAUUUUCCUCUUUUUCUCUUCUUGUCCCCUUCUUCGGGCUAAAUUGGCUAAGAAUGCCUUUUUGGAGCUAAUUAUGUCAUUUCGAGGAUAAUUAGCUAAGUAUAGGUCAUUUUUUAUUAAAUAGGCCAUUUUGGAGCUAACUAAGCUAAUUAUGUCAUUUCGUAGGACAAUUAGCCAAUUUAGCCUUUCUUGGAUAAGUCUAAGCUACGUAGAAGAAGAGAUAGAGAAGAAGAARUAAAAUAAGGAGGAGGAGGAGGAGGAGGAGGAGAAGAAGAAGGAGAAGAAGAAGAAAAUAAGAAGGAGAAGGAGGAAGAAGAAGGAGUAGGAGGAGCUCCUUCUCCUUCUCCUCCUUCUUCUCCUUCUUCUCCUUCUUCUUCUCCUCCUCCCUGUCCUCCUUCUUCUCCUUAUUUUUCCUCUUCCCUCCUUUCAUUUUUCCUCUUUUUCUCUUCUUGUCCCCUUCUUCGGGCUAAAUUGGCUAAGAAUGCCUUUUUGGAGCUAAUUAUGUCAUUUCGAGGAUAAUUAGCUAAGUAUAUGUAAUUUUUUAUUAAAUAGGCCAUUUUGGAGCUAACUAAGCUAAUUAUGUCAUUUCGUAGGAUAAUUAGCCAAUUUAGCCUUUCUUGGAUGAGUCUAAGCUACGUAGAAGAAGAGAUAGAGAAGAAGAAGUAAAAUAAGGAGGAGGAGGAGGAGGAGGAGAAGAAGAAGGAAGAGGAGAAGAAGAAGAAAAGAAGAAGGAGAAGAAGGAGAAGAAGAAGGAGAAGGAGAAGGAGGAAGAAGGAGGAAGAAGAAGGGGAAGGAGGAGCUCCUUCUCCUUCUUCUCCUUCUUCUCCUUCUUCUUCUCCUCCUCCCUCUCCUCCUUCUUCUUCUCCUCAUUUUUCCUCUUCCUUCCUUUCAUUUUCCUCUUUUUCUCUUCUUGUCCCCUUCUUCGGGCUAAAUUGGCUAAGAAUGCCUUUUUGGAGCUAAUUAUGUCAUUUCGAGGAUAAUUAGCUAAGUAUAGGUCAUUUUUUAUUAAAUAGGCCAUUUUGGAGCUAACUAAGCUAAUUAUGUCAUUUCGUAGGAUAAUUAGCCAAUUUAGCCUUUCUUGGAUGAGUCUAAGCUACGUAGAAGAAGAGAUAGAGAAGAAGAAGUAAAAUAAGGAGGAGGAGGAGGAGGAGGAGGAGAAGAAGAAGGAAGAGGAGAAGAAGAAGAAAAGAAGAAGGAGAAGGAGAAGGAGAAGGAGAAGGAGGAAGAAGGAGGAAGAAGAAGGGGAAGGAGGAGCUCCUUCUCCUUCUCCUCCUUCUUCUCCUUCUUCUUCUCCUCCUCCCUCUCCUCCUUCUUCUCCUCAUUUUUCCUCUUCCUUCCUUUCAUUUUCCUCUUUUUCUCUUCUUGUCCCCUUCUUCGAGCUAAAUUGGCUAAGAAUGCCUUUUUGGAGCUAAUUAUGUCAUUUCGAGGAUAAUUAGCUAAGUAUAGGACAUUUUUUAUUAAAUAGGACAUUUUGGAGCUAACUAAGCUAAUUAUGUCAUUUCGUAGGACAAUUGGCUAAUUUAGCCUUUCUUGGAUGAGUCUAAGCUACGUAGAAGAAGAGAUAGAGAGGAAGAAGUAAAAUAAGGAGGAGGAGGAGGAGGAGGAGGAGGAGGAGAAGAAGGAAGAGGAGAAGAAGAAGAAAAGAAGAAGGAGAAGGAGAAGAAGAAGGAGAAGGAGAAGGAGGAAGAAGAAGGAGUAGGAGGAGCUCCUUCUCCUUCUCCUCCUUCUUCUCCUUCUUCUCCUUCUUCUUCUCCUCCUCCCUCUCCUCCUUCUUCUCCUCAUUUUCCUCUUCCCUCCUUUCAUUUUCCUCUUUUCUCUUCUUGUCCCCUUCUUCGGGCUAAAUUGGCUAAGAAUGCCUUUUUGGAGCUAAUUAUGUCAUUUCGAGGAUAAUUAGCUAAGUAUAGGUCAUUUUUUAUUAAAUAGGCCAUUUUGGAGUUAACUAAGCCAAUUAUGUUAUUAGAUGGAAGUCUAGCUAUUUUGGGGCUAACUAAGCUAAUUAUGUCAUUAGAUGGAAGUCUAGCUAUUUUUUAUUAAAACACUAGAAAUAACAUACCUAAGUUAGGGUGAAGCACGGUGGCUCUGGCUUGUUUCACCUGGAGAAGGCUGCCCUGGAGAAGGCUCGACUGUAGAAGGGUCAUGCGAUGCGUUUCGGGACAUAUUCUGCACCAAACAUCGUUUGCAAUGUGUAGUUAGCAUGAGGACACUCUUAAGAUCACUCCACUGAAAUGAAACUCACCGUCCCCGCCACGUUAAUGACUGGCAUCGGCGGAGGGACUUGGCCGUUCUUCUCGCACAUAGACUGUACAUUUGGUUUCGACAAGUCAAACUUUUUAUUUAUUAAUGAAACGGACAUUCAAAUGCAAGAUUUGAAAUAACAUGAAGAAGAAACUUACCACGAAGAGCUCGUAUAUGGCCCUGGUAGACGCUUCAUUCCGUGCCCUCUCCGCCUCCACCAAUGCAGUCGUCCUCUCCUCCAGCUCCCUAAUUUCCUUAUCCUUCUCCGCCAUAGCCGCCUGCAUUGCCGCUCUCUCUUUCUGAAUAGCAGCCUGCAACACAACUCAUUGUUAGCAAUGUAAUCAUAUUGGUUCCAACGCACAACAUAAUGCGGAAAGAUUGUUCAGUCCAUUAAACUAACCUCGAUGGCGAGCUCGACUGGCCGUGGACGACGUGUUAUCUCCGGACAAGAGCUCGUUUGGCGUGCCUUUAUCUACCGGAGAGUGCUAGGACAACGUAUAAGGCCGUCUCCAAUGGCGAUCGAGCCAUGGGGCCUCCCGUUGCCAGCUAUCAUCACCAGCUCUGGAUCAAUUGGCCCCUCGCUCGGGUUAAAGUCCUCCCCUUUCCUCGCCUUCCCGUGAUCUCUGUACUUCACGAGCUUGUCGUGGGAGGAGAUGUUGGUGAAGUUUUCUGGAUGCUCGAGGUCAGACUCACAGAAUGCCUUGACCUUCUUGUACGAGGCAGUAUGGGCCAUCGCAUACAGGUCGUACAUCUGUGGCGCCUCCGUCUUAUUGUGACGCGCCUAAAAGAGAGAGAGCAGAAAAUUGUAUUGGUAAAGGGCUCAAGAUAGCAUUAAGAAUGAAUUGCAUGAGGCAUGAACCAAACCACAUACCCAGUUCUCGCCAAAUUGGAUUAAGUUGACGCUCCCUUGAUGGUGUGGCACGCCAACCAUUUUGCCACGCCUCUCCUUGGCGUUGUUGUGGCUGGUCUCCCACGUUUUGGAGCACCACUGGUCCACCAAGGCCUCCCAACAAUCCAUCUUAUCCACACACCAUCUAGGGGGCACCUAAGUUAAUAAAGAGAAAUUUGAGUGCGUAAGAACCAAAUCAAGGAAACUAACUACAAAGCCUUAAUAAUAUGUAAUUACCUUCAUGUAAUGCUCCUUCUCCAUCUUAGCAUCAUGGCACUUCGCCUUAUCAAUCCUAAUACGCCGCGUGGCAUAGUAGUCUCGAACAGCCUGCACCCGAGCCUCGUGCCGAAAGUUUUGAAGUAGGCGGCGACAUUCGGUUUCGAUAACCUUUGCCGCGUCGUCCUCGUAUCCCUCCUCACACCUGUAGAAGGUCUGCAAACGGGACAACACCGAUUAGUACAAUAAAUAGCUAUGGUUAAUUUAUAAUUGUGUGAAAGAGAAAUUACCCAGAACUUUCGGAUCACCAUGUCCGCCCUCGUGUCACACAAAACACCGUCGAUCUCCACCUCCGGCGGGGCCAGGGCACCCAAGUAGUGCUCCCAGGUCAUCCCUACCUCUCGCUCCCGACCGGGCAACGUAACAAACCCUGGGAAGUUUUGACGGCAAAGAACACCGAGGACGCUGUUGGGCUUGCGGACACCCUUGGCAACAAUCCAACCCCUACAGUAUGACAAAUUAAAGCCAAAACAUUAGAUAUUUGAGAAAACGCGAAGGCAAAAGGUUAAAUAAGAGUAAAUUAACUUACUUGUCCCCAUUUGGCCUAAUCGAGCACCUCUGCUCGGGGGUCGCUGGCACGAGCGGGAGCCCCGAACUACCACGCUGGUAGACGGUAUCCCCCUCACCCAGCUCCUCGUCGCUACCAGCAUGGCAGUUGGCUCUGGCCAGGGAUCCCACUGGGUCUCUUGGGACGUACCCUCAUCCCUGCUGUGCUCCGCAGUCGUGUGGAAGGAAGCCUCUGGGACACGAGUCUCGUGGGUCAAAGGCUCGUCGACCUGAGGCUCGUCGACCCGAGGCUCGUGAACCGGAGACCGUGUAGCCUCCACCUCAGACGAAUCCACCCUAGAAGUCCUCCUGUGCUCAGGUGAAUCAGCUUGGGGUGGUGGCGGAGACCGUGUAUCCCUACCUCUCCCGCGGCCACGUGUACCUUUAGUACAACAUAAAUACCAACAUGAGUAAUAAAAUGUAUAUAAAUACCAAUAUGCAUACAACAUGAGUACAACAUAAAUACCAACACGAAUACAACGUGUACCUUUAGUGCCUCUCGGCUUCGCGGGUGGUCGACCUCCUCUCACGGGGGCCGCUCCUUGCAUACUAGAGAGCAACACUCUCCGAAGAGGCGAGGCCGGAAUGGAAGUACCCAUCCCAUCACCCGCCGACGAAGAAGCAGCCGCGGCAUGCUUUCGACCCUUUCCCACCAUCUUUCAACACCUGUCAUGACAAAGAGUAAAUGAAAUUAGUACAACAUAAAUACCAACAUGACUAAUAAAAAUUGAAUACCUAACAUGAACUCAAAAUUUAUAUAUAGUAUAAUAGUUGAAUACCUGACAUGAACUAAUAACAAUCGUCCUCGUCUAUAUAUGCUUCGGGGUCAAUAAAUGCAUCAUGAUCAUCACUAUCAUCAAUAAAUGCAUCAUCAUCAUCACUAUCUAGAAGAACAUGUGGAAGGCCACCAUUAUGUAAUCGGUCAAGAAGUGACAGGUCAUCCGCAGCAGUAACCUCUUCUUCUUCCAGAUCUUCCUCUUCGGGCUCAGGGGUUAAGACGGAUUCACUGUCACUGUCUACUUCAAUGUUCUGGGGUGAAGUAGAGCGGUUCUUGAAACGUUUCUUGGACAUACGUGUUUCUUGGAAGAAUUCUCCUUCAUAUGUGUCUGGGUUAAUGUGAGGUUCGUAAUCCUCUUCAUUGAGGGUAGGUGGUCUAAAAUGUGGUGGCACAUCAUAAACGACAUCCCAACCUUUGAGAUUUGGAUCAAUUUGGCAGGCCCACGGUAGAUAGAAAACUUGUGUCGCCUGUUGAGACAUAAUAUAGACAUCGGGAACAUCUAAGUGGGUGUUUUGGUUGAUUUCGACUAGUCCUAUAUGUUCAUGAGUCCUUCUAGUCUCCCUCGGCUCAAACCAAUAACAUUUGAAGACUACGACGGUCGGUGGGUUUUCACCAUAGAAUAGAAGUUCAUAAAUUGCUUCAACCCUUCCAUAAUACUCGGUGUCUCCUUCGCCGAUAGCAGAGACAGAACAAUUUGUAGUCUUUAGGUCGGGCAUAGAUAGCUCUUUGCCAAAGGUACGAAAGUGAUACCCGUUGAUGUUGUAUUUGUCAAAUGAACGGACCUUAUAGUCAAAACCAUUAGCGACUUGUCUCAACUCGGCGUCCAUAGACUCUGCAUCAGCCUACAAGUUUAAUACGAAAGAAUGGAUGCAUUAGCCGCAAAUUAGACCAAUAAUUCAAAUGGUUUUGUACACGAACUGCAUCCAGUUUUUGUCGUAGCCCUUCACUUUACGANNNNNNNNNNNNNNNNNNNNNNNNNNNNNNNNNNNNNNNNNNNNNNNNNNNNNNNNNNNNNNNNNNNNNNNNNNNNNNNNNNNNNNNNNNNNNNNNNNNNCAAUUAAAAACUAUGUUUAUUAAAAAUUCUUUUUGCAUAUUUGAGAAUUUAACAAAACUAUGAUAAUGAAAAGUGUUUCAAAUUGAAUAAAUAAUGCAAAACUAUUUUUAUUUUCAUAAUUAAUAAUUUUGACUAUCCAAACUAUUAUCUAUUUUGUUAUUUUGACUUCAUUUGGUAUAUUUCGUGCAUGUACUUAUUUUUUUUGAGCUAGUUGACCCUGAAAUUGAAAAGCACUACAAAUGAACCACUACUGAAAUUCAGAAAUUUGCCGUCUGCCAAGGCGGACGGCAAAGGGGGCAACCAUGGACGGCAAAGGCUUUGCCGUCUGCCCCCUCAUGGCAAAGUAGAUGGUAAAAAAAAUCCGGUGAAGAGGCUCUUUGCCGUCUGCUUUCACAAAGCGGACGGCAAAGAAUCUUUGCCAUGAGGGGGAAGACGGCAAAAUAAGUGGGACGGCAUAUAUUGCAACGUCCCCGUUAAGUGUUAACGGCAGGCCUCCUCUCUUUGCCGUCUGCCUCCCCCCCUUUGCCAUGUGGGGGUAAACGGCAAAGAGGGAGAGAGAGGGGGCAGAUUCUCUCUUUGCCGUCUGCCUCCCCCCCUUUGCCAUGUGGGGGCAGACGGCAAAGAGGGGAGAGAGAGGGGGCAGAUUCCCCCUUUGCCGUCUGCCUCCACCCCUUUGCCAUGUGUUGGCAGACGGCAAAGAGGGGAACCAUCCCCUUUUUUAUUUAUUUUUUGUUAUAUCCAGCAUUUUUAACAAUAAUCAGGAUAUAUAUAUAUAUUUGACAUAAAUAAAUUUCUUUUCGUACCCAUAACCAUAUUAAAAUAACUCUCAUCCAUAGUGCAUACAUAUUAUGGAAGUUACAUUCGUACCAAACCUAAUAUUACACCAGUUUCAUCCACGUGCAUACAAAGUUUCAUAUAUUCAUAUACUACAACAGUUUCAAUACAACCCAUGGUACAAGAAAUCAUCUUCAAGCAUUCCAUCAACCAAGCUUCCCGUGAAGUGAAGGUAAUCUGCAAAAUGACAAAUAAGAAAGUUAGAAAAAUAAUACUAGAUGAAGUAGUGUAUAUAUAGGUUAUUUCGGAGAGAAAUUAGCUAAUUAUAGACCAUUUAGGAGCUAACUAAGCUAAUUAUGUCAUUUAGGUGGAACCCUAGCUAACUAUAGGAGAAGAGAAAGAGAAGAAGAAGUAAAAGAAGAAGGAGGAGGAGGAGAAGGAGAAGGAAGAGGAGAAGAAGAAGAAAAAGGAGGAGGAGGAGGAGGAGGAGAAGGAGAAGGAAGAGGAGAAGAAGAAGAAGGAGAAGAAGGAGAAGAAGAAGGAGAAGAGAGAGAGAGAGAGAGANNNNNNNNNNNNNNNNNNNNNNNNNNNNNNNNNNNNNNNNNNNNNNNNNNNNNNNNNNNNNNNNNNNNNNNNNNNNNNNNNNNNNNNNNNNNNNNNNNNNGGUGCAAGACUUUGAUGAUGCUCGGGAUUCGGAAGAUGAGAUGGAGGAAUCUGCAAAGGCCUUUUAUGAAAUGUUGGAGUCUUCAAAACGUCCUCUCCAUGAGCACACUGAGCUCUGUCAGCUGGAUGCAAUUGCACAAGUAAUGGCUCUGAAGGCUUAGUUCAACUUGGGAAGAGAAUGCUACGACGCGAUGAUGACACUAUUUGGACGUUUCCUACCCAAAGGCCAUGUCAUGCCUGCAAACCUGUACCAGUCGGAAAAAAUAUUUCGUUUACUUAAGAUGCACUAUGAGAAGAUACAUGCAUGUGAGAAAGGAUGUGUCUUAUUUAGGAAGGAGUAUCUACACUUGGACUAUUGUCCCAAUUGCGAGUCUUGCAGGUAUCUUGUGGUAGACAAACGGUAUGGGUGAGAAGAGGCAGACCAAAAUCGCAGUUAGUGUUCUUCGGUAUAUCACAAUCGUACCAAUACUUCAACGUCUUUUCAUGGUCGAAGAGACAGCCAGACAGAUGACAAGGCACAAAUUGGGCAAAAGAACCGAACUAGAUGCGGAUGGGAAUAAGAUGAUGGUACACACAUCGGAUGGGGAAGCGUGGAAACAUUUCGAUGGAUUGCAUCAAGAUAAAGCGACAGAUCCAAGGAAUCCUCGAGUCUGUGCCGCCACGGUCGGUUUUAAUCCCUUCGGCAUGACGACAACCCAAUACAGUUGUUGGCCUGUAUUUGUCAUUCCACUCAAUCUCCCCCCUAGGCAGAUUAUGCAAAGAAAGAUCAUAUUUCUGACGUUGAUAAUUCCAGGGCCCAAUUAUCCGGGGAAGAAUAUGAAUGUGUAUCUGCAACCGCUUAAGGAUGAAUUGGAAGAAGCUUGGGAUAAUGGGGUCAAGACAUACGAUGCCGCUAGAAAAAAAAACUUCAAAAUGCAUGUGUGGUACAUGUUGGGGAACGUCGCAUGGGAAACAAAAAAUUUCCUACGCGCACGAAGACAUAUCAUGGUGAUGUCCAUCUACGAGAGGGCAUAUUCGAUCUACGUACCCUUGUAUGAUUUCCAACAAGUCACUAGCACGCUCAAUUGUUCCGGAGAACGGAGUUUUAGUCAUCUUGCCCAUGAGGCAUGGUUCGCACGUGUCAAGUGAAUCAAAGUCAAGUGACUCCAAAAGUCCAUCGGCAUGGAGUUUCUUCAUGCGCUUUACACCAAUAUGACCUAAGCGGUAGUGCCACAAAAAUAUGGCGCUAUCAUUGUUAACUUUAACUCUUUUGGUCUCAAUGUUAUGUAUGUGUGUAUCACUAUCAAGAUUCAAUAUGAACAAUCCUCUCACAUUGGGUGCAUGACCAUAAAAGAUGUUACUCAUAGAAAUAGAACAACUAUUAUUCUCUGAAUUAAAAGAGUAACCGUCUCGCAAUAAACAAGAUCCAGAUAUAAUGUUCAUGCUCAACGCAGGCACUAAAUAACCAUGAUUCAAGUUCAUAACUAAUCCUGAUGGUAACUGAAGUGAAACUGUGCCGACGGCGAUUGCAUCAAACUUGGAACCAUUUCCUACGCGCAUCGUCACUUCAUCUUUCGCCAGCCUUCGUCUAUUCCGCAGUUCCUGUUUCGAGUUGCAAAUAUGAGCAACAGAACCGGUAUCGAAUACCCAGGCACUACUACGAGUGCCGGUUAAGUACACAUCAAUAACAUGUAUAUCAAAUAUACCUGAUUUUUCUUUGGCCGCCUUCUUAUCAGCCAGAUACUUGGGGCAGUUGCGCUUCUAGUGACCCAUACCCUUGCAAUAGUAACACUCUGUUUCAGGCUUAGGUCCAGCUUUGGGUUUCUUCAUCGGAUUGGCAACAGGCUUGCCGCUCUUCUUUGAAUUACCCGUCUUGCCUUUGCCGUUUCUCUUGAAACUAGUGGUCUUAUUCACCAUCAACACUUGAUGCUCUUUAUGGAGUUCAGACUCUGCGACUUUCAGCAUCGCAAACAACUCGCCGGGUGACUUGUUCAUCCCUUGCAUGUUGUAGUUCAACACAAAGCCUUUAUAGCUUGGCGGCAGUGACUGAAGGAUCCUGUCAGUGAUAGCCUCUUGCGGGAGUUCAAUCCCCAGCUCAGCUAGACGGUUUGAGUACCCAGACAUUUUGAGCACAUGUUCACUGACAGACGAAUUCUCCUCCAUCUUGCAAGCAUAGAAUUUAUCGAAGGUCUCAUACCUCUCGAUCCGGGCGUUCUUCUGAAAGAUAAACUUCAACUCCUGGGACAUCUCAUAUGCUCCAUGACUCUCAAAGCGAUGUUGAAGUCCCGGUUCUAAGCCAUACAAGACUGCACAUUGAACUACUGAGUAGUCCUCCUUACGUGUUAACCAAGCGUUCUUAACAUCCUAGUCAGCCGUAGCGGGUGGUUCAUCUCCUAGUGCAGCAUUAAGGACAUAAUCCUUCUUCCUAGCUUGUAAGAUUAGCUUAAGAUUACGAGCCCAGUCUACAAAGUUGCUUCCAUCAUCUUUCAACUUAGCUUUCUCUAGGAACGUAUUAAAAUUCAGGGUGACUGUCGCGUGAGCCAUGAUCUACAACACAAAUAUAUUCAUAGUGGACUUAGACUAUGUUCAAGACUAUAUUCAAAGUGGACUCAAAAAGUACAUAUCUCUAGUCAUUUGAGUGGUUCAUGAUCCACUUACACUAUCUCAAUACCGAUCAUCACGUGAGUUGAGUAUAGUUUCAGUGGUAAGCAUCCCUAUGCUAAUCAUAUCAUCUAUAUGAUUCAUGAUCGACCUUUCGGUCUCAUGUGUUCCGAGGCCAUGUCUGCAGAUGCUAGGCUCGUCAAGCUUAACCCGAGUGUUCCGCGUGUGCAACUGGUUUGCACCCGUUGUAUGUGAACGUUGAGUCUAUCACACCCGAUCAUCACGUGGUGUCUCGUAAUGACGAACUGUAGCAACGGUGCACAGUCUGGGAGAACACAAUUUCGUCUUGAAAGUUUAGUGAGAGAUCACCUCAUAAUGAUACCGUCGUUCUAAGCAAAAUAAGGUGCAUAAAAGGAUUAACAUCACAUGCAAUUCAUAAGUGACAUGAUAUGGCCAUCAUCACGUGCUCCUUGAUCUCCAUCAGCAAAGCACCGGCACGAUCUUCUUGUCACCGGCGCCACACCAUGAUCUCCAUCAACGUGUCACCAUCAGGGUUGUCGUGCUGCUCAUGCUAUUACUACUAAUGCUACAUCCUAGCAAAAUAGUAAACGCAUCUGCAAGCACAAACGUUAGUUUAAAGACAACCCUAUGGCUCCUGCCGGUUGCCGUACCAUCGACGUGCAAGUCGAUAUUAUCUAUUACAACAUGAUCAUCUCAUACAUCCAAUAUAUCACAUCACAUCGUUGGCCAUAUCACAUCACAAGCAUACCCUGCAAAAACAAGUUAGACGUCCUCUAAUUUUGUUGUUGCAUGUUUUACAUGGUGACCAUGGGUAUCUAGUAGGAUCGCAUCUUACUUACGCAAACACCACAACGGAGAUAUAUGAAUUGCUAUUUAACCUUAUACAAGGACCUCCUCGGUCAAAUCCGAUUCAACUAAAGUUGGAGAAACUGACACUUGCCAGUCAUCUUUGAGUAACGGGGUUACUCGUAGCGAUGAAACCAGUCUCUCGUAAGCGUACGAGUAAUGUCGGUCCAAGCCGCUUCGAUCCAACAAUACCGCGGAAUCAAGAAAAGACUAAGGAGGGCAGCAAAACGCACAUCACCGCCCACAAAAACUUUUGUGUUCUACUCGAGAAGACAUCUACGCAUGAACCUAGCUCAUGAUGCCACUGUUGGGUAACGUCGCAUGGGAAACAAAAAAUUUACUACGCGCACGAAGACCUAUCAUGGUGAUGUCCAUCUACGAGAGGGGAUAUUCGAUCUACGUACCCUUGUAGAUCGCACAGCUGAAGUGUUAGUGAACACGGUUGAUGUAGUGGAACGUCCUCAGGUCCCUCGAUCCGCCCCGCGAACCGCCCCGCGAUCAGUCCCACGAUCUAGUGCCGAACGGACCACCUCCGCGUUCAGCACACGUACAGCUCGACGAUGAUCUCGGCCUUCUUGAUCCAGCAAGAGAGACGGAGAGGUAGAUGAGUUCUCCGGCAGCGUGACGGUGCUCCGGAGGUUUGUGGUGAUCUUAUCUCAGCAGGGCUCCGCCCGAGCUCCGCAGAAACGCGAUCUAGAGGUAAAACCGUGGAGAUAUGUGGUCGGGCUGCCGUGGCAAAGUUGUCUCAAAUCAGCCCUAAAACCUCCGUAUAUAUAGGAGGAAGAGGGGGAGCCUUCCCUUGGGGUCCAAGGACCACCAAGGGGUUCGGCCGAGCCAAGGGGGGGGAGUCCUCCCCUUCCAAACCGAAUCCAACUAGGUUUGGAAGGAGGAGUCCUUCCCCUUUUUCCCACCUCCCUUUUUUUUCUCUUUGAUUUUCUUCCUAUGGCGCAUAGGGACUUCUUUGGCUGUCCCACCAGCCCACUAAGGGCUGGUGCGCCACCCCCAAGGCCUAUGGGCUUCCCCGGGGUGGGUUGCCCCCCCCGGUGAACAUCCGGAACCCAUUCGUCAUUCCCGGUACAUUCCCGGUAACUCCGAAAACCUUCCGGUAAUCAAAUGAGGUCAUCCUAUAUAUCAAUCUUCGUUUCCGGACCAUUCCGGAAACCCUCGUGACGUCCGUGAUCUCAUCCGGGACUCCGAACAACAUUCGGUAACCAACCAUAUAACUCAAAUACGCAUAAAACAACGUCGAACCUUAAGUGUGCAGACCCUGCGGGUUCGAGAACCAAGUAGACAUGAACCGAGUGACUCCUCGGUCAAUAUCCAAUAGCGGGACCUGGAUGCCCAUAUUGGAUCCUACAUAUUCUACGAAGAUCUUAUCGUUUGAACCUCAGUGCCAAGGAUUCAUAUAAUCCCGUAUGUCAUUCCCUUUGUCCUUCGGUAUGUUACUUGCCCGAGAUUCGAUCGUCAGUAUCCGCAUACCUAUUUCAAUCUCGUUUACUGGCAAGUCUCUUUACUCGUUCCGUAAUACAAGAUCCCGCAACUUACACUAAGUCACAUUGCUUGCAAGGCUUGUGUGUGAUGUUGUAUUACCGAGUGGGCCCCGAGAUACCUCUCCGUCACACGGAGUGACAAAUCCCACUCUCGAUCCAUACUAACUCGACGAACACCUUCGGAGAUACCUGUAGAGCAUCUUUAUAGUCACCCAGUUACGUUGCGACAUUUGAUACACACAAAGCAUUCCUCCGGUGUCAGUGAGUUAUAUGAUCUCAUGGUCAUAGGAACAAAUACUUGACACGCAGAAAACAGUAGCACUAAAAUGACACGAUCAAUAUGCUACGUCUAUUAGUUUGGGCUAGUCCAUCACGUGAUUCUCCUAAUGACAUGAUCCAGUUAUCAAGCAACAACGCUUUGUUCAUAAUCAGAAGACCCUGACUAUCUUUGAUCAACUGGCUAGCCAACUAGAGGCUUGCUAGGGACAGUGUUUUGUCUAUGUAUCCACACAUGUAUAUAAGUCUUCAUUCAAUACAAUUAUAGCAUGGAUAAUAAACGAUUAUCUUGAUACAGGAAUUAUAAUAAUAACUAUAUUUAUUAUGGCCUCUAGGGCAUAAUUCCAACAGUACAUGUACUCUAUGCAUGACUUGCCAGCGUAUGCACUAUUCUCUCGAUGGUGUGUGCAUGGAAGGUUCCCGUGCCCCAAAUGCAAGGCAGCUCUUCAGUUUCAUUGGUUGCAGGAGGGUCGGAAGUAUUCUUGCUUUGACUUGCAUAGACAGUUCCUGGAUCCUGACCAUCAGUUCAGAAAAGACAAGAAGAACUUUAAUAAAGGUAAAGUUGUCAAGAACUUGGCACCACCUGCGUUCACAGGCCAACAGAUCUUGGAUGAGUUAAACGCCCUCGAGCCUGAUCCAGAGCGUCCAUGGUAUUUCAAGGGUUAUAAUUCAAAACACGCCUGGACUCACAAGCCAUGCUUCUGGGAUCUGCCUUACUUCAAAGACCUCCUUCUUCCACACAAUAUCGACAUGAUGCACACUGAAAAUAAUAUCGGAGAGGCUAUUUUUGGUACAUUGUUCGACAUAGAUGGGAAGACAAAGGAUAAUAUUAAGGCUAGAGUCGAUCAAGAGACACUAUGUCAUAGACCAUUACAAAACAUGCGAGAAGGCAAAGGAAAGCAGAAGUGGUCGAAGCCAAAGGCCUGGUUCAUUCAUGGAAGGCCAGCUAUGAGGGAAAUUAUCUUGUGGGUCAAAAUGCACUUGAUGUUCCCCGAUGGGUAUGCAGCGAAUCUAAAGAGGGGAGCGAGUCUUGAAAAAUUAAAAAUCUUUGGUCUCAAGAGUCAUGAUUGGCACAUAUGGCUAGAGCGGGUAAUACCGGUGAUGUUAUGUGGCUUUAUUCCCGAGGAUGAAUGGCUAGUACUGGCGGAGCUGAGCUAUUUCUUUCAUGUUCUUUGUGCGAAAGAAUUGUCGCCUGGCGUGGUAGAAGACAUGGAGGAGUUUGCACUGGAGUUGUUGUGCAAGUUAGAGAAGAUCUUUCCACCGGGCUUCUUUAAUCCAAUGCAGCAUUUGAUUUUACAUCUACUGACCGAGGCAAGAUUGGGUGGGCCCGUGCAAGAUCGUUGGUGCUAUGCAACUGAGAGGAUGCAGAAGACCCUUCGAGCUAAAUGUAAGAAUAAGCGUUGAAUUGAAGCAUCGAUGGCUGAGUCAUUCAUUACUGAGGAGGUGGCAAACUUUGUGACAGCACACUACGAAGCCAAAAAUCAUCAUCUGCAUAAUCCGAAGCCUCGGCACAAUGAUGCAGACCAUAAAAAAGGUGGGUCCAACCUCAGCCUAUUCAAAGGGAAGCUCGCACCAGUCGGUGCUUCGAAACCAAUAACGUUGGAUGUCGAAGAAUGGCGGAACAUUUCGUUGUAUAUCUUCAACAACCUACCAGAAGUGCGGCCGUACAUCGAGUGAGUUCUCGACACAUUUUCCCGUAACUUCUAAUUCAUUUGAACUGCUCUUAUUCCCGGAUAUUUCAAACAGCCCUUACAUCGUCAAAUUCUCGGAUGGAGCGGUGAUCGAAAAUGAUUCCGUCGAAGAUUAUGCGCUUCUGUCAAAGACAGGAGGCGGCUAUCCCGGUUUCAUCUCUUGGUUCAAACAAACGGUAAUUAUCAAUAAUGGACCAUUUCAUUCUUGGUCAACCUUGGUUAGCUCAUGAAUAUUAUAUACUUAGCUUGUUUUCCUCUAAAAUGAGAUAAUUAGCCCAUUUAGCUCCAAAAAAACAUAAUUACGUAAUUUAGCUCCAAGAAGAGGAGAAGAAAUAGGAAAAAUAARAAURAAGAAGAAGAAGAAGAAGAGAAGAAGGAGAAGGAGGAGGAGGAGGAGGAGGAGAAGGCCAAGGACCUUCUAGUCCUUCUCCUCCCCCUCCCUUCUCCUCCUUCUUCUUGAUUUCUUCUUCUUCUCCUCCUCCUCCUCUUUCUUCUCCUCUUUCAUAUUAUCCUUGCUUUAAUUAACCCAACAAUGACAUAAUGAGCCCAUUUACCUCGAAAAUACCAUAAUAAGCUCAAAAUGGCAUAAGAACCUUNNNNNNNNNNNNNNNNNNNNNNNNNNNNNNNNNNNNNNNNNNNNNNNNNNNNNNNNNNNNNNNNNNNNNNNNNNNNNNNNNNNNNNNNNNNNNNNNNNNNAGGAGGAGGCGAAGGACGUAGWASGUCCUUSGCCUUCUCCUCCUUCUCUUCCUCCUCCUCCUCCUCCUCCUCCUUCUCCUUCUUCUCUUCUUCUUCUUCUUCUUUGUUUUCAUUUUUCCUAUUUAUUCUCCUCUUAUUGGAGCUAAAUUACCUAAUUAUGUCUUUUUGGAGCUAAAUGGGCUAAUUAUCUCAUUUUAGAGGAAAACAAGCUAAGUAUACAAUAUUCAUGAGCUAACCAAGGUUCUUAUGCCAUUUUGAGAUUAUUAUGGCAUUUUGGAGCUAAAUGGGCUAAUUUUGUCUUUUUGGGGAAAUUAAAGAAAGGAUAAUAUGAAAGAGGAGAAGAAAUAGGAGGAGGAGGAGAAGAAGAAAAAUCAAGAAGAAGGAGGUGAAGGAGAUGGAGGAGAAGGACUAGAAGGUCCUUGGCCUUCUCCUCCUCCUUCUCCUUCUUCUCUUCUUCUUCUUAUUCUUUCUUUUCAUUUUUCCUAUUUCUUCUCCUCUUCUAGGAGCUAAAUUAGCUAACUAUGUCUUCUUGGAGCUAAAUGGGCUAAAUAUCUCAUAUUAGAGGAAAACAAGCUAAGUAUAUAAUAUUCAUGAGCUAACCAAGGUUCUUAUGCCAUUUUGACCUUAUUAUGGCAUUUUGGAGCUAAAUGGGCUAAUUAUGUCUUUUUGGGGAAAUUAAAGCAAGGAUAAUAUGAAAGGGGAGAAGAAAGAGGAGGAGGAGGAGAAGAAGAAGAAAUCAAGAAGAGGGAGGAUAAGAAGGAGAAGGAGGAGGAGGAUAAGGACUAGAAGGUCCUUGGCCUUCUCCUCCUUCUCCUCCUACUCCUCCUCCUUCUCAUUCUUCUCUUCUUCAUCUUCUUCUUUCUUUUCAUUUUUCUUAUUUCUUCUCCUCUUCUCCUCUUCUCCUCUUCUUGGAGCUAAAUUACCUAAUUAUGUCUUUUUGGAGCUAAAUGGGCUAAUUAUCUCAUUUUAUAGGAAAACAAGCUAAGUAUAUAAUAUUCAUGAUCUAACCAAGGUUCUUAUGCCAUUUUGAGGUUAUUAUGGCAUUUUGGAGCUAAAUGAGCUAAUUAUGUCUUUUUGGGGAAAUUAAAGCAAGGAUAAUAUGAAAGAGGAGAAGAAAGAGGAGGAGGAGGAGAAGAAGAAGAAAUCAAGAAGAAGGAGGAGAAAAAGGAGAAGGAGGAGGAGGAUAAGGACUAGAAGGUCCUUGGCCUUCUCCUCCUUCUCCUCCUACUCCUCCUCCUUCUCAUUCUUCUCUUCUUCUUCUUCUUCUUUAUUUUCAUUUUUCCUAUUUCUUCUCCUCUUCUUGGAGCUAAAUUACCUAAUUAUGUCUUUUUGGAGCUAAAUGGGCUAAUUAUCUCAUUUUAGAGGAAAACAAGCUAUGUAUAUAAUAUUCAUGACCUAACCAAUGUUCUUAUGCCAUUUUGAGGUUAUUUUGGCAUUUUGGAGCUAAAUGGGCUAAUUAUGUCUUUUUGGGGAAAUUAAAUCAAGGAUAAUAUGAAAGAGGAGAAGAAAGAGGAGGAGGAGGAGAAGAAGAAGAAGAGAAGGAGGAGAAGGAGGAGAAGGAGGAGGAGGUGAAGGACUAGAAGGUCCUUGGCCUUCUCCUCCUUCUCCUCCUCCUCCUUCUCCUUCUUCUCUUCUUCUUCUUCUUUCUUUUCAUUUUUCCUAUUUCUUCUCCUCUUCUCCUUUUGUUGGUGCUAAAUUACCUAAUUAUGUCUUUUUGGAGCUAAAUGGGCUAAUUAUCCCAUUUUAGAGGAAAACAAGCUAAGUAUAUAAUAUUCAUGAGCUAACCAAGGUUCUKAUGCCAUUUUKAGCUUAUUAUGGCAUUUUGGAGCUAAAUGGGUUAAUUAUGUCAUUGUUGGGGAAAUUAAAGCAAGGAUAAUAUGAAAUAGGAGAGGAAAGAGGAGGAGGAGGAGAAGAAAAAGAAAUCAAGAAGGAGGACAAGGAGGAGGAGAAGGACUAGAAGGUCCUUGGCCUUCUCCUCCUCCUCCUCCUUCUCCUUCCUCUCUUCUUCUUCUUCUUUCUUUCUUUUCAUUUUUCCUAUUUAUUGUUGGAGCUAAAUUACCUAAUUAUGUCUUUUUGGAGCUAAAUGGGUUAAUUAUCCCAUUUUAGAGGAAAACAAGCUAAGUAUAUAAUAUUCAUGAGCUAACCAAGGUUCUUAUGCUAUUUUGAGCUUAUUACGGUAUUUUGGAGCUAAAUGGGCUAAUUAUGUCAUUGUUGGGGAAAUUAAAGCAAGGAUAAUAUGAAAUAGGAGAAGAAAUAGGAGGCGGAGGAGAAGAAGAAGAAAUCAAGAAGGAGGAGAAGGAGGAGAAGGAGGAGGAGGAGAAGGAGUAGAAGGUCCUMGGCCUCUCCUCCUCCUCCUCCUCCUUCUCCUUCUUCUUCUUCUUCUUCUUCUUCUUCUUCUUCUUUCUUUUCAUUUUGCCUAUUUCUUCUCCUCUUCUCCUCUUGUUGGAGCUAAAUUACCUAAUUAUGUCUUUUUUGAGCUAAAUGGGCUAAUUAUCCCACUUUAGAGGAAAACAAGCUAAGUAUAUAAUAUUAAUGAGCUAACCAAGGUUCUUAUGCCAUUUUGAGCUUAUUAUGGUAUUUUGGAGCUAAAUGGACUAAUUAUGUCAUUGUUGGGGAAAUUAAAGCAAGGAUAAUAUGAAAGGGGAGAACAAACAGGAGGAGGAGGAUAAGAAGAAGAAAUCAAGGAGGAGAAGGAGGAGAAGGAGGAGAGAGGAGARGGASUAGAAGGUCCUUGGCCUUCUCCUCCUUCUCCUNNNNNNNNNNNNNNNNNNNNNNNNNNNNNNNNNNNNNNNNNNNNNNNNNNNNNNNNNNNNNNNNNNNNNNNNNNNNNNNNNNNNNNNNNNNNNNNNNNNNGCUCACCGUGGGGGUGGGUCGCCGCGGGGAGGGGAUCCCACGGGGAGGGGGUCGCCGGGGGGGGGUGGGCUCGCCGCGGGGAGGGGAUCUCGCGGGGAGGGGUCGCCGCCGUGGAGAGAGAGAGUGGUCGGGGUGAGAGAGAGAGAGAGACAGUGAGCGAGGGGGGUAACGGCCGUUAUAGGGCGGCCCCUUUGCCGUCCGCCCCCGACGGCAAAGGGCCGUAUGGCAGACGGCAAAGGCCCGCGGACGGCAAAGGCCGCCGGAUUUCGGACACGGCAGGCAUGGGACCCACGCGUCCCCUUUGCCGUCUGCCCUGGGGCUCUUUGCCGUCUGCUGGCAGACGGCAAAGGACCCACACAUGGAAAAUAGUAUUUUUGCCAUGUGUCAGUUCUUUGUCGUCUGUAUUGUGUCAACUGAUGGCAAAGAGGUUCUUUGCCGUCAGCCAGCAGACGGUAAAGAACUGGCUGACGGCAAAUUUCUGGAUUCCAGUAGUGAACUCUGAAAAUGUUGAAAGUUGGCAUGCUAUCAUCAAUUCACCCACAUAGCAUGUGUUAAAAAGUUGAGAGGGAUACGACCAAAACUGGAUGCUGUUCGUGUACAAAACUGACAAUCUCUCUCGAAGUAGCAGGGUUUCGAAAGAGAACUCAUCUCUUACAAAGGGAUUUCAUUUUUUUAAACUUAUUUGAACUCCAUACUUUUUAUCUGUUCAAAAUGCACCAUUCAAAGGCACAUCACAAAAUUCCAACAAUUUCUGACUUCAUUUCGUAUAUUUCGUGCAUUUACUUAAUUUUUUUUGAGCUAGUUGACCCUGAAAUUGAAAAGCACUACAAAUGAACUCUGAAAAUGUUGAAAGUUGGCAUGCUAUCAUCAUUUCACCCACAUAGCAUGUGUUAAAAAGUUGAGAGGGCUAUGACAAAAACUGGAUGCAGUUCGUUUACAAAACUAACAAUCUCUCUCGAAGUAGCAGGGUUUCGAACGAGAACUCAUCUCUUACAAAGGGAUUUCAUUUUUUUAAACUUAUUUAAGAAGUCAUGCUUAAUUAAGAAAAAAGACUUGUCAUUGUGACUUACUGUAUCCACUUCGAAGUCCUCAUCCAGCAUGAUGUUGAAGCGCUUAUCAUCAACUAGGUGAGGCACGUCGCACAAGCCGCGNNNNNNNNNNNNNNNNNNNNNNNNNNNNNNNNNNNNNNNNNNNNNNNNNNNNNNNNNNNNNNNNNNNNNNNNNNNNNNNNNNNNNNNNNNNNNNNNNNNNCUAUCAUCAUUUCACCCACAUAGCAUGUGUUAAAAAGUUGAGAGGGCUAUGACAAAAACUGGAUGCAGUUCGUUUACAAAACUAACAAUCUCUCUCGAAGUAGCAGGGUUUCGAACGAGAACUCAUCUCUUACAAAGGGAUUUCAUUUUUUUAAACUUAUUUGAACUCCAUACUUUUUGUGUGUUCAAAAUGCACCAUUCAAAGGCACAUCACAAAAUUUCAACAAUUUCUGACUUCAUUUGGUAUAUUUCGUGCAUUUACUUUUUUUUUGAGCUAGUUGACCCUGAAAUUGAAAAGCACUACAAAUGAACUCUGAAAAUGUUGAAAGUUGGCAUGCUAUCAUCAUUUCACCCACAUAGCAUGUGUUAAAAAGUUGAGAGGGCUACGAGAAAAACUGGAUGUAGUUCGUGUACAAAACUGACAAUCUCUCUCGAAGUAGCAGGGUUUCGAACGAGAACUCAUCUCUUACAAAGGGAUUUCAUUUUUUAAAACUUAUUUGAACUCCAUACUUUUUGUGUGUUCAAACUGCACCAUUCAAAGGCACAUCACAAAAUUUCAACAAUUUCUGACUUCAUUUGGUAUAUUUCGUGCAUUUACUUAUUUUUUUUGAGCUAGUUGACCCUGAAAUUGAAAAGCACUACAAAUGAACUCUGAAAAAUGUUGAAAGUUGGCAUGCUAUCAUCAUUUAACCCACAUAGCAUGUGUUAGAAAGUUGAGAGGGCUACGACAAAAACUGGAUGCAGUUCGUGUUCAAAACUGACAAUCUCUCUCGAAGUAGCAGGGUUUCGAACGAGAACUCAUCUCUUACAAAAGGAUUUCAUUUUUUUAAAACUUAUUUGAAAUCCAUAAUUUUUGUGUGUUCAAAAUGCACCAUUCAAAGGCACAACAGAAAAUUUCAACAAUUUCUGACUUCAUUUGGUAUAUUUCGUGCAUUUACUUAUUUUUUUGAGCUAGUUGACCCUGAAAUUGAAAAGCACUACAAAUGAACUGUGAAAAUGUUGAAAGUUGGCAUGCUAUCAUCAUUUCACCCACAUAGCAUGUGUUAAAAAGUUGAGAGGGCUACGAAAAAACUGGAUGCAGUUCGUGUACAAAACUGACAAUCUCUCUCGAAGUAGCAGGGUUUCGAAAGAGAACUCAUCUCUUACAAAGGGAUUUCAUUUUUUUUAAACUUAUUUGAACUCCAUACUUUUUAUCUGUUCAAAAUGCACCAUUCAAAGGCACAUCACAAAAUUCCAACAAUUUCUGACUUCAUUUCGUAUAUUUCGUGCAUUUACUUWWUUUUUUUUGAUCGUUAGUUACCGUACCCGUAAGUAAAGUUAAAGGAAAAACGACCUAACCUUAAAACUAAAGUACGUAAACCUUACGNNNNNNNNNNNNNNNNNNNNNNNNNNNNNNNNNNNNNNNNNNNNNNNNNNNNNNNNNNNNNNNNNNNNNNNNNNNNNNNNNNNNNNNNNNNNNNNNNNNNCGUUUACGUUUUUAGUUUUAUUUAUUAUUACUACUAACACUACUACUAUAUAUAUAUAUAUAUAUAUAUAUAUAUAUAUAUAUAUAUAUAUAUAUAUUUGACAUCACAUUUAUAUAAUUCACCAAACAUAUAUGAUAUAUAGUUCACCACACAUAUACUUGCCAACACAUAUAUAUAAUUCACCACACAUAUAUGAUAUACAUAUAAAUCAAUGUACAUCCCCAUAUAUCAAAAGAACCAACAUACAAAGUAAUUGCACUGUUUAUCCAUAUAUAUAUACAUAUAGUUCAACAUUGUUCAUCAACUCAAAUGAAAACUAGAUGAUAUACAUAUAAAGUUCAUCCAUCGACAUUGUUCAACUCCAUGAAUGCCAGCUUUCAUGCAUGUAGUAUAUCCAAUCUGCAAAAAUGUGAAUAAGAAAGUCAGAAAAAGAACAAAAUAUGAUGUUUUGAGGUAAUUAUGUCAUUUCUAGCGGAAAACAAGCUAAGAAUAUAAUAUUCAUGAGCUAACCAAGGUUCUUAUGCCAUUUUUAGCUUAUUAUGGCAUUUUGGAGCUAAAUGGGUUAAUUAUGUCAUUGUUGGGGAAAUUAAAGCAAGGAUAAUAUGAAAUAGGAGAGGAAAGAGGAGGAGGAGGAGAAGAAAAAGAAAUANNNNNNNNNNNNNNNNNNNNNNNNNNNNNNNNNNNNNNNNNNNNNNNNNNNNNNNNNNNNNNNNNNNNNNNNNNNNNNNNNNNNNNNNNNNNNNNNNNNNCAUACUAUAAUCAUUUAACCCACAUAGCAUGUGUUAAAAAGUUGAGAGGGCUACGACAAAAACUGGAUGCAGUUCGUGUACAAAACUGACAAUCUCUCUCGAAGUAGCAGGGUUUCGAACGAGAACUCAUCUCUUACAAAGGGAUUUCAUUUUUUUUAAACUUAUUUGAACUCCAUACUUUUUGUGUGUUCAAAAUGUACCAUUCAAAGGCACAUCACAAAAUUUCAAUAAUUUCUCACUUCAUUUGGUAUAUUUCGUGCAUUUACUUAUUUUUUUGAGCUAGUUGACCCUGAAAUUGAAAAGCACUACAAAUGAACUCUGAAAAUGUUGAAAGUUGGCAUGCUGUCAUCAUUUCACCCACAUAGCAUGUGUUAAAAAGUUGAAAGGGCUAUGACAAAAACUGGAUGCAGUUCAUGUAGAAAACUGACAAUCCCUCUCGAAGUAGCAGGGUUUCGAACGAGAACUCAUCUCUUACAAAGGGAUUUCAUUUUUUUAAACUUAUUUGAACUCCAUGCUUUUUGUGUGUUCAAAAUGCACCAUUCAAAGGCACAUCACAAAAUUUCAACAAUUUCUUACUUCAUUUUGUAUAUUUCGUGCAUUUACUUAUUUUUUUGAGCUAGUUGACCCUGAAAUUGAAAAGCACUACAAAUGAACUGUGAAAAUGUUGAAAGUUGGCAUGCUAUCAUCAUUUCACCCACAUAGCAUGUGUUAAAAAGUUGAGAGGGCUACGACAAAAACUGGAUGCAGUUCGUGUACAAAACUGACAAUCUCUCUCGAAGUAGCAGGGUUUCGAAUGAGAACUCAUCUCUUACAAAGGGAUUUCAUUUUUUUUAAACUUAUUUGAACUCCAUACUUUUUGUGUGUUCAAAAUGGACCAUUCAAAGGCACAUCACAAAAUUGCAACAAUUUCUGACUUCAUUUCGUAUAUUUCGUGCAUUUACUUAUUUUUUUUGAGCUAGUUGACCCUGAAAUUGAAAAGCACUACAAAUGUACUCUAAAAAUGUUGAAAGUUCACAUACUAUAAUCAUUUAACCCACAUAGCAUGUGUUAAAAAGUUGAGAGGGCUACGACAAAAACUGGAUGCAGUUCGUGUACAAAACUGACAAUCUCUCUCGAAGUAGGAGGGUUUCGAACGAGAACUCAUCUCUUACAAAGGGAUUUCAUUUUUUUAAACUUAUUUGAACUCCAUACUUUUUGUGUGUUCAAAAUGCACCAUUCAAAGGCACAUCAACAAAAUUUCAACAAUUUCUGACUUCAUUUGGUAUAUUUCGUGCAUUUACUUUUUUUUUGAGCUAGUUGACCCUGAAAUUGAAAAGCACUACAAAUGAACUCUGAAAAUGUUGAAAGUUGGCAUGCUAUCAUCAUUUCAGCCACAUAGCAUGUGUUAAAAAGUUGAGAGGGCUACGAGAAAAACUUGAUGCAGUUCGUGUACAAAACUGACAAUUUCUCUCGAAGUAGCAGGGUUUCGAACGAGAACUCAUCUCUUACAAAGGGAUUUCAUUUUUUUUAAACUUAUUUGAACUCCAUACUUUUUGUGUGUUAAAAAUGCACCAUUCAAAGGCACAUCAAAAAAUUUCAACAAUUUCUGACUUCAUUUGGUAUAUUUCGUGCAUUUACUUAUUUUUUUUGAGCUAGUUGACCCUGAAAUUGAAAAGCACUACAAAUGAACUCUGAAAAUGUUGAAAGUUGGCAUGCUGUCAUCAUUUCACCCACAUAGCAUGUGUUAAAAAGUUGAAAGGGCUAUGACAAAAACUGGAUGCAGUUCAUGUACAAAACUGACAAUCCCUCUCGAAGUAGCAGGGUUUCGAAUGAGAACUCAUCUCUUACAAAGGGAUUUCAUUUUUUUUAAACUUAUUUGAACUCCAUACUUUUUGUGUGUUCAAAAUGAACCAUUCAAAGGCACAUCACAAAAUUGCAACAAUUUCUGACUUCAUUUCGUAUAUUUCGUGCAUUUACUUAUUUUUUUUGAGCUAGUUGACCCUGAAAUUGAAAAGCACUACAAAUGUACUCUGAAAAUGUUGAAAGUUGGCAUACUAUAAUCAUUUAACCCACAUAGCAUGUGUUAAAAAGUUGAGAGGGCUACGACAAAAACUGGAUGCAGUUCGUGUACAAAACUAACAAUCUCUCUCGAAGUAGCAGGGUUUCGAACGAGAACUCAUCUCUUACAAAGGGAUUUCAUUUUUUUUAAACUUAUUUGAACUCCAUACUUUUUGUGUGUUCAAAAUGCACCAUUCAAAGGCACGUCACAAAAUUUCAAUAAUUUCUCACUUCAUUUGGUAUAUUUCGUGCAUUUACUUAUUUUUUUGAGCUAGUUGACCCUGAAAUUGAAAAGCACUACAAAUGAACUCUGAAAAUGUUGAAAGUUGGCAUGCUAUCAUCAUUUCACCCACAUAGCAUGUGUUAAAAAGUUGAGAGGGCUACAACGAAAACUUGAUGCAGUUCGUUUACAAAAUUAACAAUCUCUCUCGAAGUAGCAGGGUUUCGAACGAGAACUCAUCUCUUACAAAGGGAUUUCAUUUUUUUAAAACUUAUUUGAACUCCAUACUUUUGUGUGUUAAAAAGUGCACCAUUCAAAGGCACAUCAAAAAAUUUCAACAAUUUCUGACUUCAUUUGGUAUAUUUCGUGCAUUUACUUAUUUUUUUUGAGCUAGUUGACCCUGAAAUUGAAAAGCACUACAAAUGAACUCUGAAAAUGUUGAAAGUUGGCAUGCUGUCAUCAUUUCACCCACAUAGCAUGUGUUAAAAAGUUGAAAGGGCUAUGACAAAAAUUGGAUGCAGUUCAUGUACAAAACUGACAAUCCCUCUCGAAGUAGCAGGGUUUCGAACGAGAACUCAUCUCUUACAAAGGGAUUUCAUUUUUUUAAACUUAUUUGAACUCCAUACUUUUUUGUGUGUUCAAAAUGCACCAUUCAAAGGCGCAUCACAAAAUUUCAACAAUUUCUUACUUCAUUUUGUAUAUUUCGUGCAUUUACUUAUUUUUUUGAGCUAGUUGACCCUGAAAUUGAAAAGCACUACAAAUGAACUGUGAAAAUGUUGAAAGUUGGCAUGCUAUCAUCAUUUCACCCACAUAGCAUGUGUUAAAAAGUUGAGAGGGCUACGACAAAAACUGGAUGCAGUUCGUGUACAAAACUGACAAUCUCUCUCGAAGUAGCAGGGUUUCGAAAGAGAACUCAUCUCUUACAAAGGGAUUUCAUUUUUUUAAACUUAUUUGAACUCCAUACUUUUUGUGUGUUCAAAAUGCACCAUUCAAAGGCACAUCACAAAAUUCCAACAAUUUCUGACUUCAUUUCGUAUAUUUCGUAGCAUUUACUUAAUUUUUUUUGAGCUAGUUGACCCUGAAAUUGAAAAGCACUACAAAUGUACUCUGAAAAUGUUGAAAGUUGGCAUACUAUAGUCAUUUAACCCACAUAGCAUGUGUUAAAAAGUUGAGAGGGCUACGAAAAAAACUGGAUGCAGUUCGUGUACAAAACUGACAAUCUCUCUCGAAGUAGCAGGGUUUCGAACGAGAACUCAUCUCUUACAAAGGGAUUUCAUUUUUUUAAAACUUAUUUGAACUCCAUAAUUUUUGUGUGUUCAAAAUGCACCAUUCAAAGGCACAUCACAAAAUUUCAAUAAUUUCUCACUUCAUUUGGUAUAUUUCGUGCAUUUACUUAUUUUUUUUGAGCUAGUUGACCCUGAAAUUGAAAAGCACUACAAAUGAACUCUGAAAAUGUUGAAAGUUGCCAUGCUAUCAUCAUUUCACCCACAUAGCAUGUGUUAAAAAGUUGAGAGGGCUAUGACAAAAACUGGAUGCAGUUCGUUUACAAAACUAACAAUCUCUCUCGAAGUAGCAUGGUUUCGAACGAGAACUCAUCUCUUACAAAGGGAUUUCAUUUUUUUUAUACUUAUUUGAACUCCAUACUUUUUGUGUGUUCAAAAUGCACCAUUCAAAGGCACAUCACAAAAUUUCAACAAUUUCUGACUUCAUUUGGCAUAUUUCGUGCAUUUUAUUUUUUUUUGAGCUAGUUGACCCUGAAAUUGAAAAGCACUACAAAUGAACUCUGAAAAUGUUGAAAGUUGGCAUGCUAUCAUCAUUUCACCCACAUAGCAUGUGUUAUAAAGUUGAGAGGGCUACGAGAAAAACUGGAUGCAGUUCGUGUACAAAACUGACAAUCUCUCUCGAAGUAGCAGGGUUUCGAAAGAGAACUCAUCUCUUACAAAGGGAUUUCAUUUUUUUAAACUUAUUUGAACUCCAUACUUUUUGUGUGUUCAAAAUGCACCAUUCAAAGGCACAUCACAAAAUUGCAACAAUUUCUGACUUCAUUCGGUAUAUUUCGUGCAUUUACUUAAUUUUUUUUUGAGCUAGUUGACCCUGAAAUUGAAAAGCACUACAAAUGUACUCUGAAAAUGUUGAAAGUUGGCAUACUAUAGUCAUUUAACCCACAUAGCAUGUGUUAAAAAGUUGAGAGGGCUACGACAAAAACUGGAUGCAGUUCGUGUACAAAACUGACAAUCUCUCUCGAAGUAGGAGGGUUUCGAACGAGAACUCAUCUCUUACAAAGGGAUUUCAUUUUUUUAAAACUUAUUUGAACUCCAUAAUUUUUGUGUGUUCAAAAUGCACCAUUCAAAGGCACAUCACAAAAUUUCAAUAAUUUCUCACUUCAUUUGGUAUAUUUCGUGCAUUUACUUAUUUUUUUUGAGCUAGUUGACCCUGAAAUUGAAAAGCACUACAAAUGAACUCUGAAAAUGUUGAAAGUUGACAUGCUAUCAUCAUUUCACCCACAUAGCAUGUGUUAAAAAGUUGAGAGGGCUAUGACAAAAACUGGAUGCAGUUCGUUUACAAAACUAACNNNNNNNNNNNNNNNNNNNNNNNNNNNNNNNNNNNNNNNNNNNNNNNNNNNNNNNNNNNNNNNNNNNNNNNNNNNNNNNNNNNNNNNNNNNNNNNNNNNNCGUACGUACGUACGUACGUACGUCGUCGUACUCUCUCUCUCUCUCUCUCUCUCUCUCUCUCUCUCUCUCUNUNUNUCUUCUUCUUCUGUUCUUCUUCUUCUUCUUUCUUUUCAUUUUGCCUAUUUCUUCUCSKCUUCUCCUCWUGUUGGAGCUAAAUUACCUAAUUAUGUCUUUUUUGAGCUAAAUGGGCUAAUUAUCCCAUUUUAGAGGAAAACAAGCUAAGUAUAUAAUAUUAAUGAGCUAACCAAGGUUCUUAUGCCAUUUUGAGCUUAUUAUGGUAUUUUGGAGCUAAAUGGGCUAAUUAUGUCAUUGUUGGGUUAAUUAAAGCAAGGAUAAUAUGAAAGAGGAGAAGAAAGAGGAGGAGGAGGAGAAGAAAAAGAAAUCAGGAAGAAGGAGGAGGAGAGGAGAAGGAGGAGGAGGAGAAGGAUAGAAGGUCCUUGGCCUUCUCCUCCUCCUCCUCCUCCUUCUCCUUCUUCUCUUCUUCUUCUUCUUCUUCUUCUUUCUUUUCUAUUUUGCCUAUUUCUUCUCCUCUUCUCCUCUUGUUGGAGCUAAAUUACCUAAUUAUGUCUUUUUUGAGCUAAAUGGGCUAAUUAUCCCAUUUUAGAGGAAAACAAGCUUAGUAUAUAAUAUUCAUGAGCUAACCAAGGUUCUUAUGCCAUUUUGAGCUUAUUAUGGUAUUUUGGAGCUAAAUGGGCUAAUUAUGUCAUUGUUGGGUUAAUUAAAUCAAGGAUAAUAUGAAAGAGGAGAAGAAAAGAGGAGGAGGAGGAGAAGAAGAAGAAAUACAAGAAGGAGAGAGAGAGAGAGAGAGAGAGAGAGUACGUACGUACGUACGUACSUCYWCSUCGUCGUCUCUCUCUCUCUNNNNNNNNNNNNNNNNNNNNNNNNNNNNNNNNNNNNNNNNNNNNNNNNNNNNNNNNNNNNNNNNNNNNNNNNNNNNNNNNNNNNNNNNNNNNNNNNNNNNUUACAAAAGGAUUUCAUUUUUUUAAAACUUAUUUGAAAUCCAUAAUUUUUGUGUGUUCAAAAUGCACCAUUCAAAGGCACAACAGAAAAUUUCAACAAUUUCUGACUUCAUUUGGUAUAUUUCGUGCAUUUACUUAUUUUUUUGAGCUAGUUGACCCUGAAAUUGAAAAGCACUACAAAUGAACUGUGAAAAUGUUGAAAGUUGGCAUGCUAUCAUCAUUUCACCCACAUAGCAUGUGUUAAAAAGUUGAAAGGGCUACGACAAAAACUGGAUGCAGUUCGUGUACAAAACUGACAAUCUCUCUCGAAGUAGCAGGGUUUCGAAUGAGAACUCAUCUCUUACAAAGGGAUUUCAUUUUUUUAAACUUAUUUGAACUCCAUACUUUUUGUGUGUUCAAAAUGCACCAUUCAAAGGCACAUCACAAAAUUGCAACAAUUUCUGACUUCAUUUCGUAUAUUUCGUGCAUUUACUUAUUUUUUUUGAGCUAGUUGACCCUGAAAUUGAAAAGCACUACAAAUGUACUCUGAAAAUGUUGAAAGUUGGCAUACUAUAAUCAAUUAACCCACAUAGCAUGUGUUAAAAAGUUGAGAGGGCUACGACAAAAACUGGAUGCAGUUCGUGUACAAAACUGACAAUCUCUCUCGAAGUAGGAGGGUUUCGAACGAGAACUCAUCUCUUACAAAGGGAUUUCAUUUUUUUUAAACUUAUUUGAACUCCAUACUUUUUGUGUGUUCAAAAUGCACCAUUCAAAGGCACAUCACAAAAUUUCAACAAUUUCUGACUUCAUUUGGUAUAUUUCGUGCAUUUACUUUUUUUUUGAGCUANNNNNNNNNNNNNNNNNNNNNNNNNNNNNNNNNNNNNNNNNNNNNNNNNNNNNNNNNNNNNNNNNNNNNNNNNNNNNNNNNNNNNNNNNNNNNNNNNNNNUUUUGUACACGAACUGCAUCCAGUUUUUGUCGUAGCCUUCUCAACUUUUUAACACAUGCUAUGUGGGUGAAAUGACGAUAGCAUGCCAACUUUCAACAUUUUCAGAGUUCAUUUGUAGUGCUUUUCAAUUUCAGGGUCAACUAGCUCAAAAAAAAUACGUAAAUGCACGAAAUAUACAAAAUGAAGUAAGAAAUUGUUGAAAUUUUGUGAUGUGCCUUUGAAUGGUGCAUUUUGAACACACAAAAAGUAUGGAGUUCAAAUAAGUUUAAAAAAAUGAAAUCCCUUUGUAAGAGAUGAGUUCUCGUUCGAAACCCAGCUACUUCCAGAGGGAUUGUCAGUUUUGUACAUGAACUGCAUCCAGUUUUUUUCAUAGCCCUCUCAACUUUUUAACACAUGCUAUGUGGGUGAAAUGAUGACAGCAUGCCAACUUUCAACAUUUUCAGAGUUCAUUUGUAGUGCUUUUCAAUUUCAGGGUCAACUAGCUCAAAAAAAAUAAGUAAAUGCACGAAAUAUACCAAAUGAAGUCAGAAAUUGUUGAAAUUUUUUGAUGUGCCUUUGAAUGGUGCUAUUUUUAACACACAAAAAGUAUGGAGUUCAAAUAAGUUUAAAAAAAAUGAAAUCCCUUUGUAAGAGAUGAGUUCUCGUUCGAAACCCUGCUACUUCGAGAGAGAUUGUUAAUUUUGUAAACGAACUGCAUCAAGUUUUYKYWGUAGCCCUCUCAACUUUUUAACACAUGCUAUGUGGGUGAAAUGAUGAUAGCAUGCCAACUUUCAACAUUUUCACAGUUCAUUUGUAGUGCUUUUCAAUUUCAGGGUCAACUAGCUACAAAAAAAUAAGUAAAUGCACGAAAUAUACCAAAUGAAGUCAGAAAUUGUUGAAAAUUUUUGUGUAGUGUCGUUCCGUUUAGAAGUUGGGUCGACUUUAGGUUUACGAAACCACAAAACUAAACUGGAGUUCCGGGACUAGGUUAAAACAAGGACUNNNNNNNNNNNNNNNNNNNNNNNNNNNNNNNNNNNNNNNNNNNNNNNNNNNNNNNNNNNNNNNNNNNNNNNNNNNNNNNNNNNNNNNNNNNNNNNNNNNNGGGCUAAACGGACCAAAAACGUAGGUAGUGACUAGUCGUGUACAAACUGACAAUCUCUCUCGAAGUAGCAGGGUUUCGAAAGAGAACUCAUCUCUUACAAAGGGAUUUCAUUUUUUUAAAACUUAUUUGAACUCCAUAAUUUUUGUGUGUUCAAAAUGCACCAUUCAAAGGCACAUCACAAAAUUUCAAUAAUUUCUCACUUCAUUUGGUAUAUUUCGUGCAUUUACUUAUUUUUUUUUGAGCUAGUUGACCCUGAAAUUGAAAAGCACUACAAAUGAACUCUGAAAAUGUUGAAAGUUUACAUGCUAUCAUCAUUUCACCCACAUAGCAUGUGUUAAAAAGUUGAGAGGGCUAUGACAAAAACUGGAUGCAGUUCGUUUACAAAACUAACAAUCUCUCUCGAAGUAGCAUGGUUUCGAACGAGAACUCAUCUCUUACAAAGGGAUUUCAUUUUUUUAAACUUAUUUGAACUCCAUACUUUUUGUGUGUUAAAAAUGCACCAUUCAAAGGCACAUCACAAAAUUUCAACAAUUUCUGACUUCAUUUGGUAUAUUUCGUGCUAUUUAAUUUUUUUUUGAGCUAGUUGACCCUGAAAUUGAAAAGCACUACAAAUGAACUCUGAAAAUGUUGAAAGUUGGNNNNNNNNNNNNNNNNNNNNNNNNNNNNNNNNNNNNNNNNNNNNNNNNNNNNNNNNNNNNNNNNNNNNNNNNNNNNNNNNNNNNNNNNNNNNNNNNNNNNAUUUUUUUUGAGCUAGUUGACCCUGAAAUUGAAAAGCACUACAAAUGAACUCUGAAAAUGUUGAAAGUUGGCAUGCUAUCAUCAUUUCAGCCACAUAGCAUGUGUUAAAAAGUUGAGAGGGCUACGAGAAAAACUGGAUGCAGUUCGUGUACAAAACUGACAAUCUCUCUCGAAGUAGCAGGGUUUCGAACGAGAACUCAUCUCUUACAAAGGGAUUUCAUUUUUUAAAACUUAUUUGAACUCCAUACUUUUUGUGUGUUCAAACUGCACCAUUCAAAGGCACAUCACAAAAUUUCAACAAUUUCUGACUUCAUUUGGUAUAUUUCGUGCAUUUACUUAUUUUUUUUGAGCUAGUUGACCCUGAAAUUGAAAAGCACUACAAAUGAACUCUAAAAAUGUUGAAAGUUGGCAUGCUAUCAUAAUUUAACCCACAUAGCAUGUGUUAGAAAGUUGAGAGGGCUACGACAAAAGCUGGAUGCAGUUCGUGUACAACACUGACAAUCUCUCUCGAAGUAGCAGGGUUUCGAACGAGAACUCAUCUCUUACAAAGGGAUUUCAUUUUUUUUAAACUUAUUUGAAAUCCAUAAUUUUUGUGUGUUCAAAAUGCACCAUUCAAAGGCACAACACAAAAUUUCAACAAUUUCUGACUUCAUUUGGUAUAUUUCGUGCAUUUACUUAUUUUUUUGAGCUAGUUCACCCUGAAAUUGAAAAGCACUACAAAUGAACUCUGAAAAUGUUGAAAGUUGGCAUGCAAUCAUCAUUUCACCCACAUAGCAUGUGUUAAAAAGUUGAAAGGGCUACGACAAAAACUGGAUGCAGUUCGUGUACAAAACUGACAAUCUCUCUCGAAGUAGCAGGGUUUCGAAAGAGAACUCAUCUCUUACAAAGGGAUUUCAUUUUUUUAAACUUAUUUGAACUCCAUACUUUUUGUGUGUUCAAAAUGGCACCAUUCAAAGGCACAUCACAAAUUGCAACAAUUUCUGACUUCAUUUGGUUANNNNNNNNNNNNNNNNNNNNNNNNNNNNNNNNNNNNNNNNNNNNNNNNNNNNNNNNNNNNNNNNNNNNNNNNNNNNNNNNNNNNNNNNNNNNNNNNNNNNGCUCGACAAAAUCACGGUGAGUGCAUUUCUCUCUCUCUAGGUGUGCAACAAGGAAGAUUGUGGCACAACAAAAAUAAAAGACUCCUACGAUACAAGACGCUCCAAGCAAAACACAUAACAUGUGGUGAAUAAAAUAUAGCCCCCAAGUAACGUUCAUUACUGGAAAUCAGUUUUUUGCCGUGUGCCUAAUCUUUGCUGUCAGCUAGCUGAUGGCAAAGAGUGUCUUUGCCGUCAGCUCUCAGAAAGCAGAUGGCAAAGAACUGGAUGAUGGCAAAGAAGGUCUUUGCCAACAGUCAAUCCUUUGUUGUCUGCCGCAAACGACAAAGAAGGGGACAGGAGACGGCAAAGAAGCUCAUUCGGCCCGGGGAACCUUAGGUCAACCAACGCCCUUCUUUGUCGUCUGCUGGCGGACGGCAAAGAUGCCAGAGGCAGACGUCAAAGAGUAUAGACCCCUUUGCCGUCCGCCAGCAGACGACAAAGGUCCUGAAUCUACUCAAACGGCCGUCCCGCCCCCACCCCGGCCCUCUCUCUCUCUCAAACGGCCACUCUCUCUCUCUCCUCCCCCGACACCCAACGCCGCCACCGUCGCCCGGCCACCCCCGGCGCCCCCGGUUCCCCACAACCCUCCGGCNNNNNNNNNNNNNNNNNNNNNNNNNNNNNNNNNNNNNNNNNNNNNNNNNNNNNNNNNNNNNNNNNNNNNNNNNNNNNNNNNNNNNNNNNNNNNNNNNNNNAGGAGAAGAAGGAGGAGAAGGAGAAGGAGCUCCUCCUUCCCCUUCUUCCUCCUUCUCCUUCUCCUUCUUCUUCUCCUUCUCCUUCUUCUUUUCUUCUUCUUCUCCUCUUCCUUCUUCUCCUCCUCCUCCUCCUCCUCCUCCUCCUCCUUAUUUUACUUCUUCCUCUCUAUCUCUUCUUCUACGUAGCUUAGACUCAUCCAAGAAAGGCUAAAUUAGCCAAUUGUCCUACGAAAUGACAUAAUUAGCUUAGUUAGCUCCAAAAUGUCCUAUUUAAUAAAAAAUGUCCUAUACUUAGCUAAUUAUCCUCGAAAUGACAUAAUUAGCUCCAAAAAGGCAUUCUUAGCCAAUUUAGCUCGAAGAAGGGGACAAGAAGAGAAAAAGAGGAAAAUGAAAGGAAGGAAGAGGAAAAAUGAGGAGAAGAAGGAGGAGAGGGAGGAGGAGAAGAAGAAGGAGAAGAAGGAGGAGAAGGAGAAGGAGCUCCUCCUUCCCCUUCUUCUUCCUCCUUCUUCCUCCUUCUCCUUCUCCUUCUUCUUCUCCUUCUUCUCCUUCUUCUUUUCUUCUUCUUCUCCUCUUCCUUCUUCUNNNNNNNNNNNNNNNNNNNNNNNNNNNNNNNNNNNNNNNNNNNNNNNNNNNNNNNNNNNNNNNNNNNNNNNNNNNNNNNNNNNNNNNNNNNNNNNNNNNNAAAGACAGAAGAAAUAUAUUUAUAUAUAAUUUAGCAUUUAUAUUCAUCGGUUAAUCAGGUUCGCCAUUUUUAUUAUGUCCAGGCAACCUACAUGCUAAUAGGUAAAGAUAGGUCCUAAUCCCACCCGAGUAUGUGUAGAUUGGGUUCGUUUUCCCAUGCUCUGCUCCGGAUCCAAUGCAAAAUUUCGACAACACCUCCCCGCUGUUCUCCUGAUACACGUCUCCGCAAUAAACAGAGAGGAUGUGCAUCCAGAGAACAGCAGGGAGGCACUGAUGAAAUUCCGCAUCGGAUCCAGAGCACAUCAUACGGGAAAACGAACCCAAUCUACACAUGCUCGGGCUAUCCAUGGAUAAAGUUGGACAAUUCGAAAGGAUGGCGGUUAUAAAUAUGCAAAGACAUGCAUAUUUAUAGAUGUCGCCCUUUCGAACGGGAGACGCAUACUGGUCACGCAUACUGAUAAAUUAAUUGAAUUACCUAAAUCUAGAAAGUUUCAUCCGGAAACCGAGCCACAGUAAAUGAAGGGGCGGGGAGGAGAUGAAAUUUGUACUGACCCACGAAUGCAGGGGCGGAGCUCGUACAACGCACGGGCAGGUCUUCGCACAGCAGACCUCACAGCGACGAGACAACUACCACAUGUAAAUCCACCCGAUCAACGCAAAUAUUCCAAUUAUGUCAUUUUAGAGGAAAACAAGCUAAGUAUAUAAUAUUCAUGAGCUAACCNNNNNNNNNNUUGUCUUCGAUCCCGGUACCAUGCUCGUCCGUGCGACGACGGACCACCUCAGCUCUUGUGUGUUGUAUAGACUCACCAUGAAAUGUCCACACCGUAUAAUUAGGCUUAAAAUGAUGAGCUCAAUGUGACUAAGGAGUUAGUCACACGAUGACGUGCUACGGAACGAGUAAAGAGACUUACCGGUAACGAGAUUGAACAAGGUAUAGGUAUACCGACGAUCGAAUCUCGGGCAAGUUCUAUACCGACAGACAAAGGGAAUUGUAUACGGGAUUGAUUGAAUCCUUGACAUCGUGGUUCAUCCGAUGAGAUCAUCGUGGAGCAAGUGGCAGCCACCAUGGGUAUCCAGACCCCGCUGAUGGUUAUUGGCCGGAGAGGUGUCUCGGUCAUGUCUACCUGUCUCCCGAACUCGUAGGGUCUACACACAUAAGGUUCGAUGACGCUAGGGUUAUAGGGAAUUAUUAUACGAGGUUACCAAAAGUUGUUCGGAGUCCCGGAUGAGAUCCCGGACGUCACGAGGAGCUCCGGAGGUAAAGAUUGAUAUAUAGGAUGGAUGGUUUUGCACAUCGGAAAUGUUUCAGGAGUCACCGGUAAUGUACCGGGACCACCGGGACGACCGGAAAUGGUCCCGGGGGUCCACCGGGAGGGGCCACCAGCCCCAAGAGGUAGCAUGGGCCAAAAGAGGGAGGGCAACCAGCCCAAAGUGGGCUGGUGCACCUCCCACAAGGAGGCCCAAGGCGCAGGAGGUGGAGAGGGGGGAACCCUAGGCGCUGGUGGGCCUAAGGCCCACCUAGGGGUGCGCCACCUCUCCCCCUGCCCUGGCCACCGCACCUCCCAUCUGGGGGGGCUGCCGCACCACCUAGGGUGGGAACCCUAGGGGUGGCACCCCCUUCCCCUCCUCCUAUAUAUAGUGGGGGUUUUGGGGCUGUUUGACACACAGUUUCCCAUCUCCCUCGGUGCAGCCCUGCCCCCCUUCCUCCUCCUCUCCCACGGUGCUUGGCGAAGCCCUGCCGGGAGACCUCGUCUCUCCAUCGACACCACGCCGUCGUGCUGCCGGAGAUGUCACCCAACCUCUCCCUCCUCCUUGCUGGAUCAAGGUGCGGGAGACCUCACUGGGCUGCACAUGUGUUGAACGCGGAGGUGUCGUGGUUCAGCACUAGAUCGGAAUCAGACCGCAAUCUGAAUCGCCGCGAGUACGACUCCAUCAACCGCGUUCUAGCAACGCUUCCGCUUAGCGAUCUUCGAAUGAAUGAAGAUGCACUCACUCCUCUCUCGUUGCUGGUCUCUCCAUAGGAAGAUCUGAAUAUGUGUAGGAAUUUUUUUGAAUUUAUGCUACGUUACCCAACAAUAGCGUGGGGUGAAUAUUCGUGUGUGCUUGUUUGCUUUAUCACUAAGUAGAUUUAUUUGCUGUUCUAAGUUGUUCUCUAUCGUUAGUUAUGGAUAUGAAACACGAAAUGCCAAAAAAAUUAGGUGUACUUGCUACUCAUGGAGAUGGGGAACCUCCUAAAACCCUCGAUGCUCGUUGUGUGGAUAAUAUUAUGCAGUUCUUUAAUAAUCCUGAGAAAACCAUAUUAAAUUAUAUAAUGGGCUACACGUUCGAUCAACGUGAAUACUUUAGGUAUUAUCGCUUGACUCAAAAAGGGAAACUAUUAUGUGAUCAAAUUCAUAUGCUGAAAUGGUAUGCUUGGGAGCUAUGCUCGAGAUAUGAUAUUACUUGUUGCUCUACGAUGAAGGCUCAACACCUUCCCUUUUCUUAUAAAUUUAAUGCUAAUGAAACCUUGGCUUCUUAUGCUAAUGGUAUAUAUGAUUACUAUGAUGUGGAGCAAAUAGAAGAGUUUCUUUCUUUUAUGGGUGCUUAUGAAAUUGAAGCUCUGUUUAAAAGGUGUGAUGAUAAUGAUGAUCCUGCUUACCGAUCUGAAAAUUUGGUUAUGCUUCGUUAUUGUUAUACUCAUUAUGAAUACUGGUCGUCAACCCGUGCAUUUGCACGGGCUAGAUUAAUAACCUACAAUGGGAUGAAACUUCUGAGACUAUCUUUCAUUCAUUGGGGGUAAAGACAUAUCCUAAAUUUCUAUUGGAAAAAUUAUUCAAGUGUCAUCAUAGUUCAAAUUUAAUGCUUCAAAUAAUAGAAUGUCAAAGGACGCAUAUACUCAAAUAUUCUCUAUCCACAUAAAAAUUAAAUGAUUUAAUCUCCUCUAAUCUUGGUACAUAAUUCCUUCAACACAUUGGAUUUUUUUUCUUUUUGAAUUGUUCAUUCACUUGACAUCUAUUACCAUCAGUCUCUAGAGUAAUUUAGAAGUUUACUUUAGAUAUAUGAUGAAAGAGCCUCACAGAAUAAACAACAAAAAAAAUUAGGUCUUUUUAAAGAGAUGACGAAUACAGACACACAUGAGAGAACAUUUUCUAUUACUUUUGUUCUUGUUCCAUAAUUUUAUCAUAAAAGAACAAAAUCCUAGUCUCCAACUGAUAUAAUCAUGCAUUGAAAAAAUAGUCAUUGGGUUGAGCAUCUGUUAGAUGUUUCGAUGGUUGCUCUUUUGUGCAUCCCCUUGGCUUCCAUCAUAUCCUAACGUACUGAUCUAAACAUAUUCAAUUUUAUUAUAUUAGUAAUUUCCUAAAAAUAAUAAAAUACUAAUAAUACGUUAACAUAUAUGGGCUGUUUGAAUGGCAGCUGAUGCCCACCUUACCAAAAUACGGGGUUGACCACCAGCGUGGGUGUCUUUUGGUUGUCAACUAAAUUUUUUAACCUACGCCAAAAGAAUUGUCGCUACUUCAUUUCCUGCACCAAUGGGCUGUUCGUAGCGGCGAAUUUUAUGGCCAGUUUUUCGGCUCAGGCGCGAUUCGGCGUGGCUGGCCUAGGCACCAUCAAAAUGACCGGCCUAUAGACAAAAGUAAACUGUCUGUCUCUAUUUUUAAUUCACAUGAACUUUGACUAAUAUGGUAUAUACAAAAUAUUAUUUGAAUGCAUAUUUUAUUUAGCUAAAUACUGAUACAAUGUUUUAUUUAAUAAAACACUGAUAAAAUAUCGUAUUUACCGAGAUACUCCUUUAAUAUUUAACUAAAAUUGUAUUUAUCAAACCGAACAAACUGACACACAUGCCUCAUUAUCCAUUAUCUACCGUGAGUAGGUGGUUCCUACAAACUAACAUGCAUAUUAUUCCUACAUAUUACUUUGCCGAGUUGUCAUUUUCAAAACUCAACAAUUGCUAUUUAAAUGUUUGUCGAGUACCUGAUAAUAUGAACUUCGCAAAGUUGAUGGUUGUUGACCUCCGUCUAGCCGAGUGAUGUUUGCCGAGAACAGAAAUCGACAAACACAAUGCAUAGUUGUUUCUAGCUAGGACUUGCUAAGUGUGUUGGAAACUCACCGAAUUCGGCGAUUCCGGUCGUGAAAUGGCAUUAACAAAAAACCUUAUCACCAUCACGUCCCAAAAAUGAACUGUGUAAAAAUAAGUAGCUAUAUUUUUUAAUGAAGAUUGUUCUUAUAUACGUGUUUAGUUUUCUUGAUUGUAUGUAAUAUCGACCUUUAUACCAUGCAUGCAUGGUACACUUGAAUUCGGUUUCAUUUAGUCGGUGUAAGCUUUAUUCAUACAUGUACAUAGGUUUGGUCUACUUUGCAAUUAUCUGAUUAUGCCGCAAAAUCUCGAACAAAACAUGUUUAACAUAUUUGUCCUCUCAAAACCAAACAUGCGUUUAUCGUAUUUUUAAGAAAUAUUAAUUUACAAAAGGUAUAGUUCAUGGACUAAUGUCACAUGUAAUUUUUACUCAUUAACAAUGAAAAUUGAGUAUCCUAGCAACCAGAAAAGCAGUUUGAGCGAAGUAGUCAACUGUAACCUCUAAUGCAUUAGGCAAUGUAAAGUCUUGGCAGUCCUGGUGAGAUAUAUAAUUCAUGCAUCGGCCUAUUUCGCAAGGCGGGGUUGCCAUAGUUCCGCUGUAAUUCACUCUUGUUCAUCCAGAAAAGGUUAAUUAGAAUACCUUCAGUGUCACAAUCUGAUGCCUUUUGUCGAUAAGAUAAAAAAAUGUGUAGAUGCAAAGUGUAUUACAUGGAACACGAACAUUUUUUUCUUGCGUAUAAUAACCUGUGCCAAACAAUGUGCUACCCUGGAAAACAAUUGAUUGAUCCUCCUUCACAGAAAUUACAUAGAACAUAGAGAACAUACCUUAUUAAAAUUGAAUCCCUGUAGAAAAUAUAAUAUGUUUGGAACCUGAAAAAAAGUCGAGUCAGGUGAAAUUCUUAUAACACCCAUGAAAUCAGGCCCAAUAUCGAAUGCGAUAACAAAAUGCACAUAUAGGAUAAGCCGUCAAAAGCACAGUCCGAGUAUAAGAGGUCAUAAAAACAAACUGGAUUAAAAUGUAUAUUUUUUACUCUGCAUGCCCCAAACAGACAAUGAUCUAAUCAACCGAAUUGUAUAUUUUACUACAUGUCAGAGAUUAAGAAAAAGGGAGAGGGUCAAGGGAUAUUGGUGGUAUAAAAUAUGAGAAACUGAGACAAAAAGACAGCUGAUAUGUGCACUAAAAAUGUGAAACUUGUUUAAUUGAGUGAAUCUCCAUGCCCCCAAACAGGUAAAUAUCAUAGAGAGAUACAUGUUAAAAAUUCAUUACAAUUAAAUACACCAAAAAAUAUAUUAUACUACCCCAGAUCAAAACCAAACCAUUUGCUUAAUGGUUAGCUUAUCACCUCGUCAUUGGCUGCGAUGGUGCCACGGCCAAGAAGAGCUUACCAUAUGUACCCCGGCUAGAUAGGUUAGACAAUGCUAGAUUUCACACGCUGCAUGGAGAGAGAAGCAUUGUAUUAACCCAAUCCAAUGGCUGGCAGGGCGAUGUUUGAUAUAUUAUCCAGUGCAUAGUGAAAGGUCCUGCACUGGACCUCAUCACCCAAUUUUAUAUAGCGCGUGGAGGCAGCCAAUUAUAUAAUCAGCUCAUGAUGUUCAUCAUGUACAUGCAAAUCUCGCUUUCCUAUUUGCCGGUGGAUAUAACUUGCCGCGAUCUCUUCGUCAGCUGCAACACACACAGAGAGAGGGACAUGCUGAUGCCUAAUUGCAUCAGAAGGAAGAUACCAAGGCCAACGUGCCAUGGUGCAGAUAGAUUUAGAUGUGAUUUGCGGCUGGAUCUAACACGCCGUCGAUGAAAGGAAAGACAUGUUACUCUAACAUGCCUAUAUGCCCUUCCACCUAUGAUUGGCACCAGAUCGCCAUGAAAGAGGCGAUGAAGGCUUAGACCAACAACUCUUCGUUAGGGAUUAACUAAAGGCGAUUUCUUGAGAUAACGAUCUUGUUGGUAGGAAAAUAGAUGACGGCUUUUUUUUUGUUUUGGAAGAGGUCAAUCUGGUAGUCCUUCCACGGCAAGAGUCUAAUGGAAAUAAUUUAUGGUUUUAGAUUUUAUCUAUGAAUAAUUGAGGCUUACUUAACGUGGAGACUUGAGAAUGUCUUUGUUACGUGUAGGCUGGGUCAGGUUGGUAGUUUUUCCCACGGCAAUACUCUAGAGGCCGACCAGUUUUUUUAGUUAUUUUACUGCAAGAGCAAAAGAAAUAAUAUAUAUGUUUUUGCCUGGGACUAAUUAACAUGCGCGAUUGAAAAUAUCAGUUACGUGUAGGCUGGGUCAGUCAGGUAGGCUACUUUUUUCUACCGCAGUAGUAACAUAAAAUUAAAUGGUCUAGAAAAAUACUGACUUAGGAUGUUAUGAUUGGAUCUGCACCGUAAUAAUUCGGUCCCACAAGAUGAACGGCUCGUAAAAUCUAAUUAACGUGAGAAUUUUUAAGGAGUCUCUAAUUAGUAUAAGUAUAGAUAAUGCCCAUAUUUAUCGAUUUAUGGAGAAAUUCUACGAUGCCCAAGAAGAGACUAAUAUUUUGCAGGAAACUAUGGAAGAAGAAAAUGCUGAUACUGUGAGCUCAUUAGAUGAAAAAGAUGACGAGGAGAGCGAAGAACAAAAGGAGGAAGAGCGGACUAGCUACCCGUGCCCACCUUCUAAUAAGAAUAACUCUUCAACUCAUACAUUGUUUAAUUUCCCUUCGAAGGAUGAAUGCUAUGUUUAUUGCUAUGAUCCCUUGGAUUUGUUUGAAAUAUCCCUUUUUGAUGAACUUGAUGCUAGCUAUGAUUAUGGCCAUGAUGCCAAUAUGAAUGAUGCUUAUGAAGAUGAACUUGCUAUAGUUCCUUAUGUUAAACAUGAAAUUGUUGCUAUCGCACCCACUUAUGAUAGUCCUAUUAUCUUUUUGAACUCUCCCAACUACACUAUAUCGGAGAAGUUUGCUCUUAUUAGGGAUUACAUAGAUGGGUUGCCUUCUACUAUUACACAUGAUGAUUUUUAUGAAUAUAAUAUGGAUAUGCUUGCUGCUCCUACUUGCAAUUAUUAUGACAGAGGAACUACAUCUCCACCUCUCUAUGUUUCCAAAACAAUAAAUAGCAAGAAACUGCUUAUGCUAUGUAUUGGCCUUUACUUGAUGUGCAUGAAUUGUUCUUUUAUGACAUGCCAAUGCAUAGGAAGAGAGUCAGACUUCGUCAUUGCAUGAUAUAUGUUACCUUCUGCUCACUACUAAAUUACAAAUCAUUGUCAAUUGAAAUUGGCUUUGAUAUACCUUGGGAUCCGGGUGGAUCCAUUACUUGAGCACUUUAUGCCUAGCUUAAUGGCUUUAAAGAAAGCGCUGCCUGGGAGACAACCCGGAAGUUUUAGAGAGUCAUUUAUUUCUGUUGAGUGCUUUUAUAUAGUUUAAAAACAAAAAAAAUAUAGAGGGGAACUUAAAACUUUUUCAAAAAGAGAAGCGAUUGAAAGGUGAUGCAUUGUGGAAGUGAGGGUCGACCUUGAACACUUGUGUUCAUGCUCAUGGAAACAAUGUAGAAUUCUUCAUGGAAGUUUCUCGCACAAAUAAUUAUGCCUUUGUAAAUUUCCAUUGUAUUAUAAAAAUAAUGUGCCAAGUAAAGCCUUUAUGAUUAGUUUGGGUGAUAGUUGUUUGAUCAUGCUGAAAAAGACAGAAACUUUGUGCUCACAAAAUUAUUUUUAAUACCUAUCCACAAAGAGAUUUUGAGUUGAUUCUUUUUGCUGUUGAUUGAUAUGAAAAUUGCCCUAAUUUUCAUAAUUUUUCAGAAUUUUUGGAGUAUCAUAAGUAUGGCAUACGUUCAGAUUACUACAGACUGUUCUGUUUUUGACAGAUUCUGUUUUCUAUGCAUUGCUCUCUUAUUUUGAUGAAUCUAUGGGUAGUAUCGGGGGGUAUGAACCAUGGUGAAGUUGGAUUACAGUAGAUAUAAUUCUAAUAUGAAUUUGAAAUGAGUACACAACAGUACUUAAAGUGGUGAUUUACUUUAUUAUACUAACGGAUCUCACGAAGGUUUUGUUGAGUUUUGUGUGAUUGAAGUUUUCAAGUUUUGGGUGACACCACGAUGGAUGAAGGAAUAAGGAGAGGCAAGAGCCUAAGCUUGGGGAUGCCCGAGCAUCUAAGCUUGGGGAUGCCCCGGAAGGAAUCCCCUCUUUCGUCUACAAUCUAUCGGUAAUUUUACUCGGAGCUAUAUUUUUAUUCGUCACAUGAUAUGUGCAAAUGCUUGGAGCGUCUUUUGUGUUUAUUUUUCCUUUUUCUUUUAUGCACCAUGCUGGUAUGAGAUAGUCCUUGGUUGAUUUAUAGAAUGCUCUUUGCACUUCACUUAUAUCUUUCGAGUAUGGAUUUAUAGAAUGCUUAUGUGCUUCACUUAUAUCAUUUGAAGUUUGGAUUGCCUGUUUCCCUACACAUAGAAAACCGCCAUUUGUAGAAUGCUCUUUUGCUUCACUUAUAUUUUUUAGAGCGGGGCCUAUAUUUUGUAGAAAGAAUUAAAAUCUCAUGCUUCACUUAUACCUAUUUAGAGAGUUAACAGGAGUUGGUCAUUCACAUGGUUAGUCAUAAAAUCCUACAUAAACUUGUAGAUCACUGAAUAUGAUAUGUUUGAUUCCUUGCAAUAGUUUUGCGACAUGAAGAUGUGAUAUUAGAGUGAUGCUAGUGAAUAAUUGUGUAUUCAUAGAAAUACUUGUGUUAAGGUUUGUGAUUCCUGUAGCAUGCAGGUAUGGUGAACCGUUAUGUGACGAGGUCGGAGCAUGAUUUAUUUAUUGAUUGUCAUCCUUUGUGUGGAGGUCGGGACCGCGCGAUGGUUAACUCCUACCAACCCUUCCCCUAGGAGCAUGCGUGUAGUACCUUGUUUCGAUGACUAAUAGACUUUUGCAAUAAGUAUGUGAGUUCUUUAUGACUAAUGUUGAGUUCAUGGAUUAUACGCAAUCUCACCCUUCCACCAUUGCUAGCCUCUCUAGUACCGCGCAACUUUCGCCGGUGCAUUACACCCACCAUAUACCCUUCCUCAAAACAGCCACCAUACCUACCUAUUAUGGCAUUUCCAUAGCCAUUCUUAGAUAUAUUUCCAUGCAACUUCCAUCGUUCCAUUUAUUAUGACACGCACCAUCAUUGUCAUAUUGCUUUGCAUGAUCGUAAGAUAGCUAGCAUGAUGUUUUCAUGGCUUGUCCGUUUUUUGAUGUCAUUGCUACGCUAGAUCAUUGCACAUCCCGGUACACCGCCGGAGGCAUUCAUAUAGAGUCAUAUUUUGUUCUAAAUAUCGAGUUGUAAGUAAAUAAAAGUGUGAUGAUCAUCAUUAUUAGAGCAUUGUCCCAUGUGAGGAAGUAAAAAGAGGCCAAAGAAGCCCACCAAAAAAAAGAGAAAAAAAAUAAAAAAAUGAGAGAAAAGAGAGAAGGGACAAUGCUACUAUCCUUUACCACACUUGUGCUUCAAAGUAGCACCAUGAUCUUCAUGAUAGAGAUUCUCCUAUGUUGUCACUUUCAAAUACUAGUGAGAAAUUUUCAUUAUAGUACUUGGCUUGUAUAUUCCAAUGAUGGGCUUCCUAAAAUUGCCCUAGGUCUUCGUGAGCAAGCGAGUUGGAUGCACACCCACUAGUUUCAUUUUGAACUUUCAUACACUUCUAGCUCUUGUGCAUCUGUUGCAUGGCAAUCCCUACUCACUCACAUUGAUAUCUAUUGAUGGGCAUCUCCAUAGCCCGUUGAUAUGCCUAGUUGAUGUGAGACUAUCUCCUCCUUUUUGUCUUCCCCACAGCCACCAUAUUCUAUUCCAACUACAAUGCUAUGUCCAUGGCUCACGCUCAUGUAUUGCGUGAAAGUUGAAAAAGGUUUGAGAACACUAAAGUAUGAAACAAUUGCUUGGCUAAAACCGGGGUUGUGCAUGAUUUAAAUACGUUGUGUGGGGAAGAUGGAGCAUAACCAGACUUUAUGAUUUUGUAGGGAUAACUUUCUUUGACCACGAUAUUUUGAGAAGACAUGAUUCCUUUGUUAGUAUGCUUGAAAUAUUAUUAUCUUUAUGUCAAAUGGUAGGCUAUUGCUUCGAAUCACUCGUGUUUUAGUAUUCAUGCCAUGAUUAGAUUAUAUAAUCAACAUUAUGCUAGGUAGCAUUCCACAUCAAAAAUUAUCUUUUUUAUCAUUUACCUACUCUGUUGGGGAACGUCGCAUGGGAAACAAAAAUUUUCCUACGCGCACGAAGACCUAUCAUGGUGAUGUCCAUCUACGAGAGGGGAUGAGUGAUCUACGAACCCUUGUAGAUCGUAUAGCAGAAGCGUUAGUGAACGCGGUUGAUGUAGUGGAACGUCCUCACGUCCCUCGAUCCGCCCCGCGAACAAUCCCGCGAUCAGUCCCACGAUCUAGUACCGAACGGACGACACCUCCGCGUUCAGCACACGUACAGCUCGACGAUGAUCUCGGCCUUCUUGAUCCAGCAAGAGAGACGGAGAGGUAGAUGAGUUCUCCGGCAGCGUGACGGUGCUCCGGAGGUUUGUGGUGAUCUUAUCUCAGCAGGGCUCCGCCCGAGCUCCGCAGAAACGCGAUCUAGAGGUAAAACCGUGGAGAUAUGUGGUCGGGCUGCCGUGGCAAAGUUGUCUCAAAUCAGCCCUAAAACCUCCGUAUAUAUAGGAGGAAGAGGGGGAGCCUUCCCUUGGGGUCCAAGGACCACCAAGGGGUUCGGCCGAGCCAAGGGGGGGGAGUCCUCCCCUUCCAAACCGAAUCCAACUAGGUUUGGAAGGAGGAGUCCUUCCCCUUUUUCCCACCUCCCUUUUUUUUCUCUUUGAUUUUCUUCCUAUGGCGCAUAGGGACUUCUUUGGCUGUCCCACCAGCCCACUAAGGGCUGGUGCGCCACCCCCAAGGCCUAUGGGCUUCCCCGGGGUGGGUUGCCCCCCCCGGUGAACAUCCGGAACCCAUUCGUCAUUCCCGGUACAUUCCCGGUAACUCCGAAAACCUUCCGGUAAUCAAAUGAGGUCAUCCUAUAUAUCAAUCUUUGUUUCCGGACUAUUCCGGAAACCCUCGUGACGUCCGUGAUCUCAUCUGGGACUCCGGACAACAUUCGGUAACCAACCAUAUAACUCAAAUACGCAUAAAAUAACGUCGAAUCUUAAGUGUGCAGACCCUGCGGGUUCGAGAACUAUGUAGACAUGACCCGAGAGACUCCUCGGUCAAUAUCCAAUAGCGGGACCUGGAUGCCCAUAUUGGANNNNNNNNNNCGUUUCCGGACCAUUCCGGAAACCCUCGUGACGUCCGUGAUCUCAUCCGGGACUCCGAACAACAUUCGGUAACCAACCAUAUAACUCAAAUACGCAUAAAACAACGUCGAACCUUAAGUGUGCAGACCCUGCGGGUUCGAGAACCAAGUAGACAUGAACCGAGUGACUCCUCGGUCAAUAUCCAAUAGCGGGACCUGGAUGCCCAUAUUGGAUCCUACAUAUUCUACGAAGAUCUUAUCGUUUGAACCUUAGUGCCAAGGAUUCAUAUAAUCCCGUAUGUCAUUCCCUUUGUCCUUCGGUAUGUUACUUGCCCGAGAUUCGAUCGUCAGUAUCCGCAUACCUAUUUCAAUCUCGUUUACUGGCAAGUCUCUUUACUCGUUCCGUAAUACAAGAUCNNNNNNNNNNCGUCAUUCCCUUUGUCCUUCGGUAUGUUACUUGCCCGAGAUUCGAUCAUCAGUAUCCGUAUACCUAUUUCAAUCUCAUUUACCGGUAAGUCUCUUUACUCGUUCCGUAAUACAAGAUCCCGCAACUUACACUAAGUUACAUUGCUUGCAAGGCUUGUGUGUGAUGUUGUAUUACCGAGUGGGCCCCGAGAUACCUCUCCGUCACACGGAGUGACAAAUCCCAGUCUUGAUCCAUACUAACUCAACUAACAACUUCGGAGAUACCUGUAGAGCAUCUUUAUAGUCACCCAGUUAUGUUGCGACGUUUGAUACACACAAAGCAUUCCUCCGGUGUCAGUGAGUUAUAUGAUCUCAUGGUCAUAGGAAUAAAUACUUGACACGCAGAAAACAGUAGCAACAAAAAUGACACGAUCAACAUGCUACAUCUAUUAGUUUGGGUCUAGUCCAUCACGUGAUUCUCCUAAUGACGUGAUCCAGUUAUCAAGCAACAACACCUUGUUCAUAAUCUGAAGACACUGACUAUCUUUGAUCAACUGGCUAGCCAACUAGAGGCUUGCUAGGGANNNNNNNNNNGGUGUUUUGUCUAUGUAUGCACACAUGUAGAUGAGUCUUCAUUCAAUACAAUUAUAGCAUGGACAAUAAACGAUUAUCUUGAUACAGGAAUUAUAAUAAUAACUAUAUUUAUUAUUGCCUCUAGGGCAUAAUUCCAACAUACUCGAGGACGAGCAGAAAUUAAGCUUGGGGAUGCUGAUACGUCUCCGUCGUAUCUAUAAUUUUUGAUUGUUUCAUGCCAAUAUUCUACAACUUACAUAUACUUUUGGCAACUUUUUAUACUAUUUUUGGGACUAAAAUAUUGAUCCAGUUCCCAGUGCCAGUUCCUGUUUGUUGCAUGUUUUUUGUUUCGUAUAAUAUCCAUACCAAACGAAGUCCAAACACAAUAAAAAACCUAUGGUGAUUUUUUAUGGAAUAUUUAUGAUUUUUGGGAAGAAGAAUCAACGCAAAACGAUGCCCGAGGGGGUCACAAGCCUAGGAGGUGCCCCCUAGGGCACGGCAGGCAGGCUUGUGACCAAUCCCUAAGGCGGUUGGGGCCCUUCUUUCGCCGCAAGAAAGCUAAUAUCCGGAAGAAAAUCGUGUUAAAAUCAGCCCACUUGGAGUUAUGGAUCUCCGGGAAUUUUAAGAAACGGUGAAAGGCAGAAUCUGGGAGCGCACAAACAGAAGGACACACAGAGAGAGAUCCAAUCUCGGAGGGGCUCUCGCCCCUCCGCCGCCAUGGAGACCAUGGACCAGAGGGGAAACCCUUCUCCCAUCUAGGGAGGAGGUCAAGGAAGAAGAAGAAGAAGGGGGGCUCCCUCCCCCUCUCUCCCGGCGGUGCCGGAACGCCGCCCGGGACAUCAUCGUGUGACAGCGAUCUACACCAACACGUCCGUCAUCUUCACCAACACCUCCUUCUCCUUCCCCCAUCUAUAUUCAGCGGUCCACUCUCCCGCAACCCGCUGUACCCUCUACUUGAACAUGGUGCUUUGUGCUUCAUAUUAUUAUCCGAUGAUGUGUUGCCAUCCUAUGAUGUCUGAGUAGAUUUUUGUUGUCCUAUCGGUUAUUGAUGAAUUGGUGUGAUUGGUUUGAUUUGCUUGUGGUUAUGUUGCUGUCCUUUGGUGCCCAUCAUAUGAGCGCGCGCGUGGAUCACACGAUAGGGUUAGUAUUAUGUUGAUAGGACUAUGUAUUGGAGGGGAAGGGUGAUAGAAGCUUCAGCCUAGCAUAGAAACUGAUGCAUGCGGGAUUGAAGGGGGCCCAAUAUAUCUUAUUGCUAUGGUUGGGUUUUAACUUAUUGAACGUUAGUAGUUGCGGAUGCUUGCUAAUAGAUCCAAUCAUAAGUGCAUAGAAUUUCAAGUAAGGGAUGACAUGCUAGCAGUGGCCUCUCCCACAUAAAACUUGNNNNNNNNNNNNNNNNNNNNNNNNNNNNNNNNNNNNNNNNNNNNNNNNNNNNNNNNNNNNNNNNNNNNNNNNNNNNNNNNNNNNNNNNNNNNNNNNNNNNGAGGUGGCAAACUUUGUGACAGCACACUACGAAGCCAAAAAUCAUCAUUUGCAUAAUCCGAAGCCUCGGCACAAUGAUGGAGACCCUAAAAAAGGUGGGUCCAACGUCAGCCUAUUCAAAGGGAAGCUCGCACUAGCCGGUGCUUCGAAACCAAUAACGUUGGAUAUCAAAGAAUGGCGGAACAUGUCGUUGUAUAUCUUCAACAACCUAACAGGAGUGCGGCCGUACAUCGAGUGAGUUCUCGACACAUUUUCCCGUAACUUCUAAUUCAUUUGAACGGUUCUUAUUCCCGGAUAUUUCAAACAGCCGUUACGUCGUCAAAUUCUCGGAUGGAGCGGUGAUCGAAAAUGAUUCCGUGGAAGAAUAUGAGCUUCUGACUAAGACAGGAGGCGGCUAUCCCGGUUUCAUCUCUUGGUUCAAACAAACGGUAAUUAUCAAUAAUGGACCAUUUCAUUCUUGGUCUAACUUGCGGCUAAUGCAACAACCUUUUCGUAUUAAACUUGUAGGCUAAUUCAGAGUCUAUGGACGCCGAAUUGAGACAAGUCGCUAAUGGUUUUCACUAUAAGGUCCGUUCAUUUGAGAAAUACAACAUCAACGGGUAUCUCUUUCGUACCUUUGGCAAAGAGCUAUCUAUGCCCGACUGGAAAUCUACAAAUUGUGGUGUCUCUGCUAUCGGCGAAGGUGUUAUCGAGUACUAUGGAAGAGUUGAAGCAAUUUAUGAACUUCAAUUCUAUGGUGAGAACCCACCGAACGUCGUAGGCUUCAAAUGUUAUUGGUUCCGGCCGAAAAAGACUAGAAGGAGUCAUGAACAUAUAGGACUAGUCGAAAUCAAUCCAAACACCCAUUUAGAUAUUCCCGAUGUCUAUAUUACGGCUCAACAGGCGACCCAAGUUUUCUAUAUACCGUGGGCAUGCCAAACGGAUAAGAAUAUGGAAGGUUGGUAUGUUGUUUAUGAAGUGCCGCCACAUGUCAGACCACCUCUCCCAAAUGAACAGGAUUAUGAACCUCACAUUAACCCAGACACAUAUGAUGGAGAAUUCUUCCAAGAAACACGUCUUUCCAAGAAACGUUUCAAGAACCGUCGUGCUUCAUCCAAGAACAUGGAAGUAGACAGCGACAAUGAAUCCGACUCUAGCCCUAAGCCGGAACCAGAAGACCUGGAACUCGUAGAGGUUACUGAUGCGGAUGACCUGUCAAUGCUUCAACGAUUAAAGGAAGGCCUUUCACAACUUCACGCCGUUGAACCCGAUGAGCACGUCAUUCAUGAAGACAUGCGUGAUAGUGAUGAUGAUGAUGCAUUUAUUGAUGAUGAUUAUUAGUUUGUAAGAUUCACAACUUAAAUUAUAUAUAUUUUAAUCUUUAUUAUUCAUGUACAUAUUAUUAUUCAUGUCAGUCAUUCAAUUUUUUUAUGUUGUACUAAUUUCUUUUAAUCUUUAUCAUGGCAGGUGUUGAAAGAUGGUGGGCGCGGGUCGAGAUCGCUCGACGGGUUCUUCCGAGGCGCCCCGCACGAGGGGUGGUACUUCCCUUCCACCCCUAUCUCUCUGUAGAGCCUUGGCAGACAGUCUUUCGACACCAGCCGUGGGUUCUUCUUUGUCGGCGGCAUUGCCCACUGGGAGAGGUGCUGGUCGGGUAGGGAAGGAGGGGAAGGGUACAGGGAGAGGUGGUGGCCGCGGAAGAUCCAGGAGGACUGUUGAGCCGUCCUCGCCACCACCACUAGCUCAUUCACCCGAGCAUAGGACUAGUACGGUCGACCCGUUUGCGGAGGAGGCUACGGGGACUCCGGUCCAGGAGCCUGCUGUUCACGGGCAUUCGUCCCAUGAGACUCCGGUCCAGGAGCAGCCUCGGGUCGAGGUGCAUUCGGCCCAGGAGCAGCCGGAGGAGACUAGGGUUCCGGAGGCUUCACCCGACGUGGAGAGGGCCGGAUGGGAGAUCUGGCCGGAUCGUACCGAGUUGCCGGAUUGGACCGAGGGUCCGGGUGGCUCAGGGGGCGGGGAUGGCGGGGAUGAGCUUACGGAUAGUGAGGGCGAUGUGCAGGUGGACGGGGCCACCGUGUACAAGCGUGGUAGUACACGUCUCCCGGUCGCCCCGGCUACCCGCGAGCAGAGGCCGGUGAUUAAACCUGAAGGAGAUAGGUAAGUACAUUUACCCUUUUUUAGCUUUUGCCUUCAAGUUUAUUCAAAUAUCUAAUGCGCUGACCUUAUCAUACUGCAGGGGAUGGGUACACCCUCUUGGAGUCCGCAGGCCGAACUCCGUCCAUUGUGUGCUUUGCCAGACAAAUUUCCCCGGGGUUUUUCACGUUGCGUGGUGAGGGUCAGGUUCCUACACUAGGAUUUACCUGGGAGCACUACCAGGCUGCGCAGGCCCCGCCGGAGGAGAUUAUAGAUGGUGUCUUGUGCCACACGAGGGCCGAGAUGGUGAUCAAGAGCUUUUGGGUAAAUUAUCCUUUUACAGGAUCUAAAAUUAACAAUAUAGCUAAUUAUUGUACUAAUCGGUGUUUUCACGUUUGAUUGCAGACCUUCUAUAGGUGUGAGGAUGGAUAUGAGGAGGAGGCGGCCAGGGUUCUCGAGGUCGAGUGUAGGCGGUUACUACAGAACUUGCGCCACGAGGCUCGGCCGCAGGCUAUUCGAGAUUACUACGCCACGCGUGGUAUUAAGAAGACGAAGAAGGAUUGAUUUGGAAAGUUUCUGAAGAAGGAGCAAUACAUGAAGGUAAUUACCUAUUCUUAAGUCCUUCUACGUAGUUUUCUUGAUUUCAUUCAUAGGCGUAGCGCUGAAAAUUCUUUCUAAUAACUUACAGGUGCCCCCGAGAUGGUGUGCGGAUAAGAUGGAUUGUUGGGGGGCGUUUGUUGAUGAGUGGUGCACACGCAGCUGGCGAGCCAUCCACGAGAAUGCGAAGGAUCGGCGUAGCCAAAUAGUUGGUGUGCCACACCAUCAAGGCAGCGCCAACUUACUUCAGUUUGGACGAAACUGGGUAUGUGAUUUGCUUCAUGAUUCAUGCAAUUCAUUCUUGAUGCUAAUAUUGUGUUCCUCUCUUUUAGGCGCAUCACAAUAAGACUGAGAUGCCACACUUGUACGACCUUUAUGGCAUGGCCCAUACUGCCUCGUACAAGAAGGCGAAGGCAUUCUCUGAGUCUGACCUGGAUGAUCCCAAUAACUUUACCAACAUAUCAUCCCACCAGAAGCUCGUGGCAUACAGGGACGCGGGGAAGGCUACGAAAGGGGAUGACUUUAACCCUAGCCAGGAACCUUUGGAUCCAGAGCUGGUGAUGAUAUCUGGUGGCGGGAGGCCCCAUGGCUCGAUAGCCAUUGGAGAUGGGAUAAUACGUUGUCCACUCACUCUUCCGGAGAUCAAGGCGCGCCAGUCGAGCAACUGUCCUGAGAUAACGCGUCGUCCACGGCCAGUCGAACUUGCCAUCAAGGUUAGUUGUAUGGACUAAGAACACUUUCAUCCAUUUCAUUAUCUGUGUCACCAUAGAUCAUUACUGUGGUAACGAGGAAUGGUGUUUCAGGCUGCUCUUCAGAAAGAGAGAGCGGCAAACCACGCUGCUCUUGAGAAAGAGAGAUUGGCAAGCCAGGCUGCUCUUCAGGCUGCUCUUGAUGAGAGGGACCAGACCAGAGCACGAUUGCUUGAGGAGGAGAGGGCUCGGAAUGAGGCGGGUCAACGGGCCCUGUACGAGCUUUCUGUGGUAUGUUUUAUUCACAUUAGCCAAAUCAUGUGUGUAAUGUAUGUUUCAAUACCAACUAAUACGACCCACUCUUCAGGGUCUGUGCGAGAAGAGCGGUCAAGUCCCUCCGCCGAUGCCCGUCUUCUCUUCGAUUGGCACGGUGAGUUUCAUUAUAAACUAGUAUUAAUAAUUGAGUGUCAUCAUGCAAACUAAGACAUUGCAAAAUAUCUUCUCUGCAGAAUAACUCCCAAGCGGCAUCGCACGACCCUUCUCCAGGGCAACCGUCUCCAAACGAAGCCGCCGCGAGCAACCGUGGUGUUUCUCCUCGUUGAUGACCACUACGGUAAGUUUCUCCUCCAAAUUUAGCUUGUUUUCCUCUAAAAUGAGAUAAUUAGCCCAUUUAGAUCCAAGAAGACAUAAUUAGGUAAUUUAGCUCCAACAAGAGGAGGAGAAAUAGGAAAAAUUAAAAUAAAGAAGAAGAAGAAGAAGAGAAGAAGGAGAAGGAGGAGGAGGAGGAGGAGGAGGAGGAGAAGGAGGAGAAGGCCAAGGACCUUCUAGUCCUUCUCCUCCUCCUCCUUCUCCUCCUUCUCCUCCUUGAUUUCUUCUUCUUAUCCUCCUCCUCCUGUUUGUUCUCCCCUUUCAUAUUAUCCUUGCUUUAAUUUCCCCAACAAUGACAUAAUUAGUCCAUUUAGCUCCAAAAUACCAUAAUAAGCUCAAAAUGGCAUAAGAACCNNNNNNNNNNNNNNNNNNNNNNNNNNNNNNNNNNNNNNNNNNNNNNNNNNNNNNNNNNNNNNNNNNNNNNNNNNNNNNNNNNNNNNNNNNNNNNNNNNNNCGAGUGGGCCCCGAGAUACCUCUCCGUCACACGGAGUGACAAAUCCCACUCUCGAUCCAUACUAACUCGACGAACACCUUCGGAGAUACCUGUAGAGCAUCUUUAUAGUCACCCAGUUACGUUGCGACAUUUGAUACACACAAAGCAUUCCUCCGGUGUCAGUGAGUUAUAUGAUCUCAUGGUCAUAGGAACAAAUACUUGACACGCAGAAAACAGUAGCACUAAAAUGACACGAUCAAUAUGCUACGUCUAUUAGUUUGGGCUAGUCCAUCACGUGAUUCUCCUAAUGACAUGAUCCAGUUAUCAAGCAACAACGCUUUGUUCAUAAUCAGAAGACCCUGACUAUCUUUGAUCAACUGGCUAGCCAACUAGAGGCUUGCUAGGGACAGUGUUUUGUCUAUGUAUCCACACAUGUAUAUAAGUCUUCAUUCAAUACAAUUAUAGCAUGGAUAAUAAACGAUUAUCUUGAUACAGGAAUUAUAAUAAUAACUAUAUUUAUUAUGGCCUCUAGGGCAUAAUUCCAACAGUACAUGUACUCUAUGCAUGACUUGCCAGCGUAUGCACUAUUCUCUCGAUGGUGUGUGCAUGGAAGGUUCCCGUGCCCCAAAUGCAAGGCAGCUCUUCAGUUUCAUUGGUUGCAGGAGGGUCGGAAGUAUUCUUGCUUUGACUUGCAUAGACAGUUCCUGGAUCCUGACCAUCAGUUCAGAAAAGACAAGAAGAACUUUACCAAAGGUAAAGUUGUCAAAAACUUGGCACCACCUGCGUUCACAGGCCAACAGAUCCUGGAUUAGUUAAACGCCCUCGAGCCUGAUCCAGAGCGUCCAGGGUAUUUCAAGGGGUAUAAUUCAAAACACGCCUGUACUCAGAAGCCAUGCUUCUGGGAUCUGCCUUACUUCAAAGACCUCCUUCUUCCANNNNNNNNNNAUAAAGGUAAAGUUGUCAAGAACUUGGCACCACCUGCGUUCACAGGCCAACAGAUCUUGGAUGAGUUAAACGCCCUCGAGCCUGAUCCAGAGCGUCCAUGGUAUUUCAAGGGUUAUAAUUCAAAACACGCCUGGACUCACAAGCCAUGCUUCUGGGAUCUGCCUUACUUCAAAGACCUCCUUCUUCCACACAAUAUCGACAUGAUGCACACUGAAAAGAAUAUGGGAGAGGCUAUUUUUGGUACAUUGUUUGACAUAGAUGGGAAGACAAAGGAUAAUAUUAAGGCUAGAGUCGAUCAAGAGACACUAUGUCAUAGACCAUUACAAAACAUGCGAGAAGGCAAAGGAAAGCAGAAGUGGUCGAAGCCAAAGGCCUGGUUCAUUCAUGGAAGGCCAGCUAUGAGGGAAAUUAUCUUGUGGGUCAAAAUGCACUUGAUGUUCCCCGAUGGGUAUGCAGCGAAUCUAAAGAGGGGAGCGAGUCUUGAAAAAUUAAAAAUCUUUGGUCUCAAGAGUCAUGAUUGGCACAUAUGGCUAGAGCGGGUAAUACCGGUGAUGUUAUGUGGCUUUAUUCCCGAGGAUGAAUGGCUAGUACUGGCGGAGCUGAGCUAUUUCUUUCAUGUUCUUUGUGCGAAAGAAUUGUCGCCUGGCGUGGUAGAAGACAUGGAGGAGUUUGCACUGGAGUUGUUGUGCAAGUUAGAGAAGAUCUUUCCACCGGGCUUCUUUAAUCCAAUGCAGCAUUUGAUUUUACAUCUACUGACCGAGGCAAGAUUGGGUGGGCCCGUGCAAGAUCGUUGGUGCUAUGCAACUGAGAGGAUGCAGAAGACCCUUCGAGCUAAAUGUAAGAAUAAGCGUUGAAUUGAAGCAUCGAUGGCUGAGUCAUUCAUUACUGAGGAGGUGGCAAACUUUGUGACAGCACACUACGAAGCCAAAAAUCAUCAUCUGCAUAAUCCGAAGCCUCGGCACAAUGAUGCAGACCAUAAAAAAGGUGGGUCCAACCUCAGCCUAUUCAAAGGGAAGCUCGCACCAGUCGGUGCUUCGAAACCAAUAACGUUGGAUGUCGAAGAAUGGCGGAACAUUUCGUUGUAUAUCUUCAACAACCUACCAGAAGUGCGGCCGUACAUCGAGUGAGUUCUCGACACAUUUUCCCGUAACUUCUAAUUCAUUUGAACUGCUCUUAUUCCCGGAUAUUUCAAACAGCCCUUACAUCGUCAAAUUCUCGGAUGGAGCGGUGAUCGAAAAUGAUUCCGUCGAAGAUUAUGCGCUUCUGUCAAAGACAGGAGGCGGCUAUCCCGGUUUCAUCUCUUGGUUCAAACAAACGGUAAUUAUCAAUAAUGGACCAUUUCAUUCUUGGUCAACCUUGGUUAGCUCAUGAAUAUUAUAUACUUAGCUUGUUUUCCUCUAAAGUGGGAUAAUUAGCCCAUUUAGCUCAAAAAAAACAUAAUUACGUAAUUUAGCUCCAAGAAGAGGAGAAGAAAUAGGAAAAAUAAAAAUAAAGAAGAAGAAGAAGAAGAGAAGAAGGAGAAGGAGGAGGAGGAGGAGGAGGAGGAGAAGGAGGAGAAGGCAAAGGACCUUCUAGUCCUUCUCCUCCUCCUCCUUCUCCUCCUUCUCCUCNNNNNNNNNNNNNNNNNNNNNNNNNNNNNNNNNNNNNNNNNNNNNNNNNNNNNNNNNNNNNNNNNNNNNNNNNNNNNNNNNNNNNNNNNNNNNNNNNNNNCUUUCAUAUUAUCCUUGAUUAAUUUCCCCAACAAUGACAUAAUUAGCCCAUUUAGCUCCAAAAUGCCAUAAUAAGCUCAAAAUGGCAUCAGAACCUUGGUUAGCUCAUGAAUAUUAUAUACUUAGCUUGUUUUCCUCNNNNNNNNNNACCUCCUCCUCCUUCUCCUCCUUCUCCUCCUUCUCUUCUUCUUCUUCUCCUCCUCCUCCUCUUUCUUCUCCUCUUUCAUAUUAUCCUUGCUUUAAUUUCCCCAAAAAGACAUAAUUAGCCCAUUUAGCUCCAAAAUGCCAAAAUAACCUCAAAAUGGCAUAAGAACAUUGGUUAGGUCAUGAAUAUUAUAUACAUAGCUUGUUUUCCUCUAAAAUGAGAUAAUUAGCCCAUUUAGCUCCAAAAAGACAUAAUUAGGUAAUUUAGCUCCAACAAGAGGAGAAGAGGAGAAGAAAUAGGCAAAAUGAAAAGAAAGAAGAAGAAGAAGAGAAGAAGGAGAAGGAGGAGGAGGAGAAGGAGGAGAAGGCCAAGGACCUUCUAGUCCUUCNNNNNNNNNNAAUAGGAAAAAUGAAAAUAAAGAAGAAGAAGAAGAAGAGAAGAAUGAGAAGGAGGAGGAGUAGGAGGAGAAGGAGGAGAAGGCCAAGGACCUUCUAGUCCUUAUCCUCCUCCUCCUUCUCCUUUUUCUCCUCCUUCUUCUUGAUUUCUUCUUCUUCUCCUCCUCCUCCUCUUUCUUCUCCUCUUUCAUAUUAUCCUUGCUUUAAUUUCCCCAAAAAGACAUAAUUAGCUCAUUUAGCUCCAAAAUGCCAUAAUAACCUCAAAAUGGCAUAAGAACCUUGGUUAGAUCAUGAAUAUUAUAUACUUAGCUUGUUUUCCUAUAAAAUGAGAUAAUUAGCCCAUUUAGCUCCAAAAAGACAUAAUUAGGUNNNNNNNNNNNNNNNNNNNNNNNNNNNNNNNNNNNNNNNNNNNNNNNNNNNNNNNNNNNNNNNNNNNNNNNNNNNNNNNNNNNNNNNNNNNNNNNNNNNNNNNNNNNNNNNNNNNNNNNNNNNNNNNNNNCUUAUCCUCCCUCUUCUUGAUUUCUUCUUCUUCUCCUCCUCCUCCUCUUUCUUCUCCCCUUUCAUAUUAUCCUUGCUUUAAUUUCCCCAAAAAGACAUAAUUAGCCCAUUUAGCUCCAAAAUGCCAUAAUAAGGUCAAAAUGGCAUAAGAACCUUGGUUAGCUCAUGAAUAUUAUAUACUUANNNNNNNNNNNNNNNNNNNNNNNNNNNNNNNNNNNNNNNNNNNNNNNNNNNNNNNNNNNNNNNNNNNNNNNNNNNNNNNNNNNNNNNNNNNNNNNNNNNNCUUCUAGUCCUUCUCCUCCUCCUCCUUCUCCUCCUUCUCCUCCUUCUUGAUUUCUUCUUCUUCUCCUCCGCCUCCUAUUUCUUCUCCUAUUUCAUAUUAUCCUUGCUUUAAUUUCCCCAACAAUGACAUAAUUAGCCCAUUUAGCUCCAAAAUACCGUAAUAAGCUCAAAAUAGCAUAAGAACCUUGGUUAGCUCAUGAAUAUUAUAUACUUAGCUUGUUUNNNNNNNNNNACCCAUUUAGCUCCAAAAAGACAUAAUUAGGUAAUUUAGCUCCAACAAUAAAUAGGAAAAAUGAAAAGAAAGAAAGAAGAAGAAGAAGAGAGGAAGGAGAAGGAGGAGGAGGAGGAGAAGGCCAAGGACCUUCUAGUCCUUCUCCUCCUCCUUGUCCUCCUUCUUGAUUUCUUUUUCUUCUCCUCCUCCUCCUCUUUCCUCUCCUAUUUCAUAUUAUCCUUGCUUUAAUUUCCCCAACAAUGACAUAAUUAACCCAUUUAGCUCCAAAAUGCCAUAAUAAGCUAAAAAUGGCAUAAGAACCUUGGUUAGCUCAUGAAUAUUAUAUUCUUAGCUUGUUUUCCGCUAGAAAUGACAUAAUUACCUCAAAACAUCAUAUUUUGUUCUUUUUCUGACUUUCUUAUUCACAUUUUUGCAGAUUGGAUAUACUACAUGCAUGAAAGCUGGCAUUCAUGGAGUUGAACAAUGUCGAUGGAUGAACUUUAUAUGUAUAUCAUCUAGUUUUCAUUUGAGUUGAUGAACAAUGUUGAACUAUAUGUAUAUAUAUAUGGAUAAACAGUGCAAUACUUUGUAUGUUGGUUCUUUUGAUAUAUGGGGAUGUACAUUGAUUUAUAUGUAUAUCAUAUAUGUGUGGUGAAUUAUAUAUAUGUGUUGGCAAGUAUAUGUGNNNNNNNNNNNNNNNNNNNNNNNNNNNNNNNNNNNNNNNNNNNNNNNNNNNNNNNNNNNNNNNNNNNNNNNNNNNNNNNNNNNNNNNNNNNNNNNNNNNNCGCGAUGAUGACACUAUUUGGACGUUUCCUACCCAAAGGCCAUGUCAUGCCUGCAAACCUGUACCAGUCGGAAAAAAUAUUUCGUUUACUUAAGAUGCACUAUGAGAAGAUACAUGCAUGUGAGAAAGGAUGUGUCUUAUUUAGGAAGGAGUAUCUACACUUGGACUAUUGUCCCAAUUGCGAGUCUUGCAGGUAUCUUGUGGUAGACAAACGGUAUGGGUGAGAAGAGGCAGACCAAAAUCGCAGUUAGUGUUCUUCGGUAUAUCACAAUCGUACCAAUACUUCAACGUCUUUUCAUGGUCGAAGAGACAGCCAGACAGAUGACAAGGCACAAAUUGGGCAAAAGAACCGAACUAGAUGCGGAUGGGAAUAAGAUGAUGGUACACACAUCGGAUGGGGAAGCGUGGAAACAUUUCGAUGGAUUGCAUCAAGAUAAAGCGACAGAUCCAAGGAAUCCUCGAGUCUGUGCCGCCACGGUCGGUUUUAAUCCCUUCGGCAUGACGACAACCCAAUACAGUUGUUGGCCUGUAUUUGUCAUUCCACUCAAUCUCCNNNNNNNNNNCCUAGGCAGAUUAUGCAAAGAAAGAUCAUAUUUCUGACGUUGAUAAUUCCAGGGCCCAAUUAUCCGGGGAAGAAUAUGAAUGUGUAUCUGCAACCGCUUAAGGAUGAAUUGGAAGAAGCUUGGGAUAAUGGGGUCAAGACAUACGAUGCCGCUAGAAAAAAAAACUUCAAAAUGCAUGUGUGGUACAUGUUGGGGAACGUCGCAUGGGAAACAAAAAAUUUCCUACGCGCACGAAGACAUAUCAUGGUGAUGUCCAUCUACGAGAGGGCAUAUUCGAUCUACGUACCCUUGUAUGAUUUCCAACAAGUCACUAGCACGCUCAAUUGUUCCGGAGAACGGAGUUUUAGUCAUCUUGCCCAUGAGGCAUGGUUCGCACGUGUCAAGUGAAUCAAAGUCAAGUGACUCCAAAAGUCCAUCGGCAUGGAGUUUCUUCAUGCGCUUUACACCAAUAUGACCUAAGCGGUAGUGCCACAAAAAUAUGGCGCUAUCAUUGUUAACUUUAACUCUUUUGGUCUCAAUGUUAUGUAUGUGUGUAUCACUAUCAAGAUUCAAUAUGAACAAUCCUCUCACAUUGGGUGCAUGACCAUAAAAGAUGUUACUCAUAGAAAUAGAACAACUAUUAUUCUCUGAAUUAAAAGAGUAACCGUCUCGCAAUAAACAAGAUCCAGAUAUAAUGUUCAUGCUCAACGCAGGCACUAAAUAACCAUGAUUCAAGUUCAUAACUAAUCCUGAUGGUAACUGAAGUGAAACUGUGCCGACGGCGAUUGCAUCAAACUUGGAACCAUUUCCUACGCGCAUCGUCACUUCAUCUUUCGCCAGCCUUCGUCUAUUCCGCAGUUCCUGUUUCGAGUUGCAAAUAUGAGCAACAGAACCGGUAUCGAAUACCCAGGCACUACUACGAGUGCCGGUUAAGUACACAUCAAUAACAUGUAUAUCAAAUAUACCUGAUUUUUCUUUGGCCGCCUUCUUAUCAGCCAGAUACUUGGGGCAGUUGCGCUUCUAGUGACCCAUACCCUUGCAAUAGUAACACUCUGUUUCAGGCUUAGGUCCAGCUUUGGGUUUCUUCAUCGGAUUGGCAACAGGCUUGCCGCUCUUCUUUGAAUUACCCGUCUUGCCUUUGCCGUUUCUCUUGAAACUAGUGGUCUUAUUCACCAUCAACACUUGAUGCUCNNNNNNNNNNCCCGCCUUCUUAUCUGCCAGAUACUUGGGGCAAUUGCGCUUCCAAUGACCCAUACCCUUGCAAUAGUAACACUCCGUUUCCGGCUUAGGUCCAGCUUUGGGUUUCUUCGUCGGAUUGGCAACAGGCUUGCCGCUCUUCUUCGAAUUUCCCUUCUUGCCUUUGCUGUUUCUCUUGAAACUAGUGGUCUUAUUCACCAUCAACACUUGAUGCUCUUUAUGGAGUUCAGACUCUGCGACUUUCAGCAUCGCAAACAACUCGCCGGGUGACUUGUUCAUCCCUUGCAUGUUGUAGUUCAACACAAAGCCUUUAUAGCUUGGUGGCAGUGAUUGAAGGAUUCUGUCAGUGAUAGCUUCUUGCGGGAGUUCAAUCCCCAGCUCAGCUAGACGGUUUGAGUACCCACACAUUUUGAGCACAUGUUCACUGACAGACGAGUUUUCCUCCAUCUUGCAAGCAUAGAAUUUAUCANNNNNNNNNNGUUUGAGUACCCAGACAUUUUGAGCACAUGUUCACUGACAGAUGAGUUUUCCUCCAUCUUGCAAGCAUAGAAUUUAUCGGAGGUCUCAUACCUCUCGAUCCGGGCGUUCUUCUGAAAGAUAAAUUCCAACUCCUGGAACAUCUCAAAUGCUCCAUGACGCUCAAAGCGACGUUGAAGUCCCGGUUCUAAGCCAUACAAGACUGCACAUUGAACUANNNNNNNNNNNNNNNNNNNNNNNNNNNNNNNNNNNNNNNNNNNNNNNNNNNNNNNNNNNNNNNNNNNNNNNNNNNNNNNNNNNNNNNNNNNNNNNNNNNNCAUGCUAGGCUCGUCAAGCUUAACCCGAGUAUUCCGCGUGCGCAACUGUUUUGCACCCGUUGUAUGUGAACGUUGAGUCUAUCACACCCGAUCAUCACGUGGUGUCUCGAAACGACGAACUGUAGCAACGGUGCACAGCCGGGGAGAACACAAUUUCGUAUUGAAAUUUUAGUGAGAGAUCACCUCAUAAUGCUACCGACGUUUUAAGCAAAAUAAGGUGCAUAAAAGGAUUAACAUCACAUGCAAUUCAUAAGUGACAUGAUAUGGCCAUCAUCACGUGCUCCUUGAUCUCCAUCAGCAAAGCACCGGCACGAUCUUCUUGUCACCGGCGCCACACCAUGAUCUCCAUCAACGUGUCACCAUCAGGGUUGUCGUGCUGCUCAUGCUAUUACUACUAAUGCUACAUCCUAGCAAAAUAGUAAACGCAUCUGCAAGCACAAACGUUAGUUUAAAGACAACCCUAUGGCUCCUGCCGGUUGCCGUACCAUCGACGUGCAAGUCGAUAUUUCUAUUACAACAUGAUCAUCUCAUACAUCCAAUAUAUCACAUCACAUCAUUGGCCAUACCACAUCACAAGCAUACCCUGCAAAAACAAGUUAGACGUCCUCUAAUUUUGUUGUUGCAUGUUUUACGUGGUGACCAUGGGUAUCUAGUAGGAUCGCAUCUUACUUACGCAAACACCACAACGGAGAUAUAUGAGUUGCUAUUUAACCUCAUCCAAGGACCUCCUCGGUCAAAUCCGAUUCAACUAAAGUUGGAGAAACCGACACUUGCCAGUCAUCUUUGAGCAACGGAGUUACUCGUAACGAUGAAACCAGUCUGUCGUAAGCGUACGAGUAAUGUCGGUCCAAGCCGCUUCAAUCCAACAAUACCGCGGAAUCAAGAAAAGACUANNNNNNNNNNNNNNNNNNNNNNNNNNNNNNNNNNNNNNNNNNCUCGUAAGCGUACGAGUAAUGUCGGUCCAAGCCGCUUCGAUCCAACAAUACCGCGGAAUCAAGAAAAGACUAAGGAGGGCAGCAAAACGCACAUCACCGCCCACAAAAACUUUUGUGUUAUACUCGAGAAGACAUCUACGCAUGAACCUAGCUCAUGAUGCCACUGUUGGGUAACGUCGCAUGGGAAACAAAAAAUUUACUACGCGCACGAAGACCUAUCAUGGUGAUGUCCAUCUACGAGAGGGGAUAUUCGAUCUACGUACCCUUGUAGAUCGCACAGCUGAAGUGUUAGUGAACACGGUUGAUGUAGUGGAACGUCCUCAGGUCCCUCGAUCCGCCCCGCGAACCGCCCCGCGAUCAGUCCCACGAUCUAGUGCCGAACGGACCACCUCCGCGUUCAGCACACGUACAGCUCGACGAUGAUCUCGGCCUUCNNNNNNNNNNNNNNNNNNNNNNNNNNNNNNNNNNNNNNNNNNNNNNNNNNNNNNNNNNNNNNNNNNNNNNNNNNNNNNNNNNNNNNNNNNNNNNNNNNNNCGCCCCUGCUGCACCCCCAGCCCCACCACCGGCGCCGCCGGCCCAGCCACUGCCCCGCAGGCCCCGGCGCCGCCCCCGCAGCCCCAACACUGCCGGUAAGCCCCCACACCCCACCCCCUUGUUAUUUAGUUUUUUGGAGGAAGAAGAAGAAUAAGAAGAGAGGAGGAGAAGAGGAGAAGAAGAGGAGGAGUAGGAGGAGGAGGAGUAGGAGGAGGAUGAGGAAGAGAAGAAAAAGAAGAAGAAGAACAAGAAGAACAAGAAGAAGAGAAGAAAAAAUUAAGAAGGAGAAGAAGAAGAAGAGAAGAAAAAAAAAGAAGGAGAAGAAGUAAAGAAGAAGAGAAGAAGAGAAUAAGAAAAAAAUAAGAAGGAGAAGAAGAGAAAAAAGAAGAAGAAGUUGAUUUUUUAUUGUCUGGUAUUUAGUUUUUUGGAAUUAAUUAGUAGUUUUAGUGGUAGAUUCUGUUAGUUAAUUAGUAGAUUUAGUGGUAGAUUCUGUUAGUUUAUUCGCCCAUCAUUAUUGCUUAGGUUCAAGACUACUUCAAAGAAGAUCACAUGUUCUUUUGUGGAAAUCAAGUCUGUCAAAAUAAUGUAUCGUCUAUAUUUAUUGGUAGUGGAGCAAAACAGGACAACUUAAAUAAUAUUGCCAUCCUCAAACGUAGAAAAUAUUGAAAAGUUUUAUAUAACCUGAAAAGUAGUAUAGGUAACGUGGAAAGUCCUCUGGACCAAAAGGGCAACUUCUGGACCUGCGAACUUUGCGUGGUAGGUGCAUGUCCAUGCACCAGGGUAAUUAACCCAACAAUGACAUAAUUAGCCCAUUUAGCUCCAAAAUACUAUAAUAAGCUCAAAAUGGCAUAAGAACCUUGGUUAGCUCAUUAAUAUUNNNNNNNNNNNNNNNNNNNNNNNNNNNNNNNNNNNNNNNNNNNNNNNNNNNNNNNNNNNNNNNNNNNNNNNNNNNNNNNNNNNNNNNNNNNNNNNNNNNNACACACAUAUACAUAUAUAUAUAUAUAUAUAUAUAUAUAUAUUUGAUAGCACAUUUAUAUAAUUCACCACACAUAUAUGAUAUAUAGUUCACGACAGAUAUACUUGCCAACACAUAUAUAUAAUUCACCACACAUAUAUGAUUCACCAAUGUACAUCCCCAUAUAUCCAAAGAACCAACAUACCAAGUAUUGCACUGUUUAUCCAUAUAUACAUAUACAUAUAGUUCAACAUUGUUCAUCAACUCAAAUGAAAACUAGAUGAUAUACAUAUAAAGUUCAUCCAUCGACAUUGUUCAACUCCAUGAAUGCCAGCUCCCAUGCAUGUAGUAUAUCCAAUCUGCAAAAAUGUGAAUAAGAAAGUUAGAAGAAGAACAAAAUAUGAUGUUUUUAAGCUAAUUAUGUCAUUUUUAGCGGAAAACAAGCUAAGUAUAUGUGUGGUGAACUAUAUAUCAUUUGUUGGAGCUAAAUUACCUAAUUAUGUCUUUUUUGAGCUAAAUGGGCUAAUUAUACCAUUUUAGAGGAAAACAAGCUAAGUAUAUAAUAUUAAUGAGCUAACCAAGGUUCUUAUGCCAUUUUGAGCUUAUUAUGGUAUUUUCGAGGUAAAUAGGCUAAUUAUGUCAUUGUUGGGUUAAUUAAAACAAGGAUAAUAUGAAAGAGGAGAAGAAAGAGGAGGAGGAGGAGAAGAAGAAGAAAUCAAGAAGAAGGAGGAGAAGGAGGAGAAGGAGGAGGAGGAGAAGAAGAAGAAAUCAAGAAGAAGGAGGAGAAGGAGGAGAAGGAGGAGGAGGAGAAGGACUAGAAGGUCCUUGGCCUUCUCCUCCUCCUCCUCCUCCUCCUCCUCCUUCUCCUUCUUCUCUUCUUCUUCUUCUGUUCUUCUUCUUCUUCUUUCUUUUCAUUUUGCCUAUUUCUUCUCCGCUUCUCCUCAUGUUGGAGCUAAAUUACCUAAUUAUGUAUUUUUUGAGCUAAAUGGGCUAAUUAUCCCAUUUUAGAGGAAAACAAGCUAAGUAUAUAAUAUUAAUGAGCUAACCAAGGUUCUUAUCCAUUUUGAGCUUAUUAUGGUAUUUCGGAGCUAAAUGGGCUAAUUAAGUCAUUGUUGGGUUAAUUAAAGCAAGGAUAAUAUGAAAGAGGAGAAGAAAGAGGAGGAGGAGGAGAAGAAAAAGAAAUCAGGAAGAAGGAGGAGGAGAGGAGAAGGAGGAGGAGGAGAAGGAUAGAAGGUCCUUGGCCUUCUCCUCCUCCUCCUCCUCCUUCUCCUUCUUCUCUUCUUCUUCUUCUUCNNNNNNNNNNNNNNNNNNNNNNNNNNNNNNNNNNNNNNNNNNNNNNNNNNNNNNNNNNNNNNNNNNNNNNNNNNNNNNNNNNNNNNNNNNNNNNNNNNNNCAGGGUUUCGAACGAGAACUCAUCUCUUACAAAGGGAUUUCAUUUUUUAAAACUUAUUUGAACUCCAUACUUUUUGUGUGUUCAAACUGCACCAUUCAAAGGCACAUCACAAAAUUUCAACAAUUUCUGACUUCANNNNNNNNNNACUGGAUGCAGUUCGUGUUCAAAACUGACAAUCUCUCUCGAAGUAGCAGGGUUUCGAACGAGAACUCAUCUCUUACAAAAGGAUUUCAUUUUUUUAAACUUAUUUGAACUCCAUACUUUUUGUGUGUUCAAAAUGCACCAUUCAAAGGCACAUCAGAAAAUUUCAACAAUUUCUGACUUCAUUUGGUAUAUUUCGUGCAUUUACUUAUUUUUUUGAGCUAGUUGACCCUGAAAUUGAAAAGCACUACAAAUGAACUCUGAAAAAUGUUGAAAGUUGGCAUGCUAUCAUCAUUUAACCCACAUAGCAUGUGUUAGAAAGUUGAGAGGGCUACGACAAAAGCUGGAUGCAGUUCGUGUACAACACUGACAAUCUCUCUCGAAGUAGCAGGGUUUCGAACGAGAACUCAUCUNNNNNNNNNNNNNNNNNNNNNNNNNNNNNNNNNNNNNNNNNNNNNNNNNNNNNNNNNNNNNNNNNNNNNNNNNNNNNNNNNNNNNNNNNNNNNNNNNNNNUUCAUGAUUACCUUGCUAGUUUGCUUGAAGUAUUAUUGUCUCCACGUCAAUAGAAAACUAUUGUUUUGAAUCUAAUGGAUCUGAACAUUCACGUCACAUAAGAGGAGUUACAAAGGACAUCUAUGCUAGCUAGCAUGAAAGCAUAAAAAUUCAUUCUUUAUCACUUCCCUACUCGAGGACGAACAGGAGUUAAGCUUGGGGAUGCUUGAAACGUCUCAAACGUAUCUAUAAUUUUUGAUGGUUUCAUGCCGUUAUCUUGUCAACUCUCGAUGUUUUAUAUUCCUUUUAUAUGUUUUUUGGGACUAACUUAUUAAUUCAGUGCCAAGUGCCAGUUCCUGUUUUUCUGUGUUUUUGACUCUUUUCAGAUCUGAUUUUGGAACGGAGUCCAAACGGAAUAAAAUCCCCAAAAUAAAAUUUUCCAGAACAGAAGAAGAUCGGUGGACUUGAGGGCCAAGGCAGGAGGCCCACAGGGAGCCCACAAGCCCUAACGCCACGGCCAGGGGGGCCCGCGGCGACUAGGCUUGUGGGCUCCUUGGCGCUCCUCUGCCCUAGCUCUUUCGCCUAUAUAUUCCCUAAAAUCCCAGAAAAAAUCAGGGCANNNNNNNNNNCCGCCGCCACAAGCUUCCGUUUCCGCGAGAUCUCAUCUCGAGACCCUUCCUGGUGCCCUGCCGGAGGGGACUUUGGAGUUGGAGGGCUUCUACAUCAACAUCAUCGCCUCUCCAAUGACUCGUGAGUAGUCCACUUCAGACCUAUGGGUCCGUAGUUAGUAGCUAGAUGGCUUCUUGUCUCUCUUGGAUCUUCAAUACAAAGUUCUCCAUGAUCUUCAUGGAGAUCUAUCCGAUGUAAUCCUCUUUGGCGGUGUGUUUGUCUAGAUCCGAUGAAUUGUGGAUUUGUAAUCAGAUUAUCUACGAAUUAUACUUGAGUCUUUGAUGAUUUCUUAUAUGCAUGAUUUUAUAUCCUUGUAAGUCGCUCCGAGUCUUGGGUUUUGUUUGGACAACUAGAUCUAUGAUUCUUGCAAUGGGAGAAGUGCUUGGUUUUGGGUUCAUACCGUGAGGUGACCUUUCCCAGUGAUAGAAGGGGCAGCAAGGCACGCAUCGUGUUGUUGCCAUCAAGGGUAACAAGAUGGGAUUUUAGCAUAGAUUUGAGAUUGUUCAUCUACAUCAUGUCAUCUUGCUUAGAUGCAUGCUGGAUAGCGGUCGACGUGUGGAGUAAUAGUAGUAGAUAAAGAAAGUAUCGGUCUACUUGUUUUGGACGUGAUGCCUAUAGAUAUGAUCAUUGCCAUANNNNNNNNNNCGCUUUCAUCAUAGAUUUGAGAUUGUUCAUCUACAUCGUGUCAUCUUGCUUAAGGCGUUACUGUGUUCUUAUGAAAUCAAUACACUAGAUGCAUGCUGGAUAGCAGUGGACAUGUGGAGUAAUAGUAGUAGAUGCAGAAAGUAUUGGUCUACUUGUUUUGGACGUGAUGCCUAUAGAUAUGAUCAUUGCCAUAGAUAACGUCAUGACUUUGCACGGUUCUAUCAAUUGCUUGACAGUAAUUCGUUGACCCACCGUCUACUUGCUUUCAUGAGAGAAGCCACUGGUGAACACUACGGCCCCCGGGUCUAUUCACAACUAUCGCUUCCACUUUUACUUUUACUUUGCUUUGUUUACUUUUUGCUUUCAGUUCUCACUUUGCAAACAAUCUAUAAGGGAUUGACAACCCCUUCAUAGCAUUGGGUGCAAGCUCUUUGUGUUUGUGCAGGUACUUGUGACUUGACGCGAUCCUCCUACUGGAUUGAUACCUUGGUUCUGAAACUGAGGGAACUACUUACCGCCGCUGUGCUACAUCACCCUUUCCUCUUCAAGGGAACAACAACGCAAGGCUCCAAGGCCGCGGGGGAAUCCUUUGCAUAUUUGCCAANNNNNNNNNNAGAUUGAUACCUUGGUUCUCAAACUGAGGGAAAUACUUACCGUCGCUGUGCUACAUCACCCUUUCCUCUUCAAGGGAACACCAACGCAAGGCUCCAAGGCCGCGGGGGAAUCCUUUGCAUAUUUGCCAAGGAAGUUCCUAUAGGCAUAGCCCGUAGCAGAAGGAUUCCUGGCGCUGUUGCCAGGGAGGGUCUUUUGUUGCCGUAGCAGAAGUAUUUCUGGAGCCGUUGACGGGGAGGAUCGCUUGCCAAGGAGUAUCAAGACAGGAAUAAUCUCCCAUCAACACACCUAUUUCUGGCGCCGUUGCCGGGGAGAGAUCAAGUCAAGAUCUAUCCNNNNNNNNNNAUCCCUAGAGGCGUAGCCCGUAGUAGAAGGAUUCCUGGCGCCGUUGCCAGGGAAGGUCUAUUGUUGCCGUAGGAGAAGUAUUUCUGGCGCCGUUGCCGGGGAGGAUCGCUUGCCGAGGAGUAUCAAGACAAGAAUAAUCUCCCGUCAACACGCCUAUUUCUGGCGCCGUUGCCGGGGAGAGAUCAAGUCAAGAUCUAUCCAAGUAGGUGUCACAAACUCAUCUCUUGCAUUUACCUUUUUUCCCAGUUGCCUCUCGUUUUCCUCUCCCCCACUUCACAUUUGCCGUUUUCAUUCGCCUUUUUCGUUUGCCUUUUUGGUUCACCCUUUUCUCUCGCUUGCUUUCUGUUCGCUUGUGUGCCAUGUGCCUUCNNNNNNNNNNUCCUUUUUUUGUUUGCCUUUUUGGUUCGCCCUUUUCUCUCGCUUGCUUUCUGUUCGCUUGUGUGCCAUGUGCCUUCAAUAUGUUUGCAUCUUCGCUUGCUGAAAAUCUAGUGAUAUGGAUCCUCAUCCACUUGCUAAUCUCUUUAAGAGAUCCAAUUAUGUUGAUCCAAUUGCUAGUGAGUUGAGUGCACUUAUGUAUCUUUAUGGAGUUUUGCUUGAGAUGCGUGAAUCUGAAAAUUGUGAGGAAGAAAUUUAUGAAGUGAUUGACGAGGGCUCCUUGGAUGAAAAGCAUGAUUGCAAUGGUUUCACUAUAAAUUCUAUUAGUGACAAUCAUGCUAAGAAUAUGGAAAACCCUAAGCUUGCAGAUGCUAGUUUUGCUAUGUCCCCUACUUGUUGCAAUGAUCAUGAGUGGGGCGAUGAUUUUUCUUAUGAUCUUGAAAAUUUGUUUAAGCCUCAUGAUGAAUANNNNNNNNNNGAAUGGUUUCACUAUAAAUUCUAUUAGUGACAAUCAUGCUAAGAAUAUGCAAAACCCUAAGCUUGCAGAUGCUAGUUUAGCUAUGUCCCCUACUUGUUGCAAUGAUCAUGAGUGGGGCGGUGAUUUUUCUUAUGAUCUUGAAAAUUUGUUUAAGCCUCAUGAUGAAUAUGAUAUUUGCAAUAUCAUUGAAAGUGGGUUUGGAGAAAUCAUGACUUUAGUUGAUGAUAAUCCGACUAUUUUUGAAGAGCGUCAACUUUGCAUGCAUGUGGAUCAUGAAAAGAAUAUCCUAUGUGAUAGUUACAUUGUUUAAUUCGAAUANNNNNNNNNNUAUUGAAAGUGGGUUUGGAGAAAUCAUGACAUUGGUUGAUGAUAAUCCCACUAUUUUUUAAGAGCGUGAACUUUGCAUGCAUGUGGGUCAUGAAAAGAAUAUCCUAUGUGAUAGUUACAUUGUUUAAUUCGAAUAUGAUCCCACAUGUAAUUACUAUGAGAGAGGAAAAUAUUGUGGUAGAAACUUUCAUGUUACCAAAUUACCUCUUGUUAUGUGGAGAUUGCUAUUGUCUCUUUCUUCUUCCUUGCAUAUGGUAACUAUUGGUUGUCUUGACAAUCUGUUUUCCUAUAAAAUGCCUAUGCAUAGGAAGUAUGUUAGACUUAGAUGUGAUUUUCCCAUGCUUUAUGAUGCUCUCGUUGUGCUUCAAUUCUUGUCUUUUGUGUGAGCAUCAUUGAAUUAUCAAUGCCUAGCUAAGGGCGUUAAGCAAUAGCUCUUGUUGGGAGGCAACCCAAUGAAUUUAUCUUUUUCUUUCUGUUUUGUGUUUUCCACACUUUCAUAAUUCUGUUAUGAUUGUGUUUUUUGUGUUUCUUUUGCGUUUGUGCCAAGUAAAACUGUUAUGAUUAGUCUUGGGGAUGAUCGUUUGGUCAUGCUGGAAAAGACAGAAACUUUCUGCUCACGAAAAGAAUUUUCAUUUUGUUUCUGUAAGAGCUUUUGAGUUGAUUCUUUUUGCUUCUGAUUUCUAUGCAAAUUCUUCAGACUGUCGUAAUUGGUCGGAAUUUUUGAAGUACCAGAAGUAUACGAAGUAUACAUAUUACUACAGACUGGUCUGCUGUUAAUAGAUUCUGUUUUUGUUGAGUUGGUCGAUUAUUUUGAUGAAACUAUGGAUAGUAUCGGGGGGGGGGGGGNNNNNNNNNNNNNNNNNNNNNNNNNNNNNNNNNNNNNNNNNNNNNNNNNNNNNNNNNNNNNNNNNNNNNNNNNNNNNNNNNNNNNNNNNNNNNNNNNNNNAAUUUAUUUUGCUCUAUGUGUUUCACUUCUAUCAUUUAGAGCACGGAAGCGCGUGGCGUGGUAGUUGAUCUAUGCUAUGAAAGUAGUCUCAAAAGGGGUAUUUAUCCAAAGGGAUAUGAAAACUUCCACCUUCAUGUGCAUUGAGUAGUUAGAGAAGUUUGAUUCAUCUCAAUCAGUUUUGAGUUGUGGUUGUGGUAAUAUUAAAGUUAUAUUAGUAAGGUGUAGUGGAUCUAGAAAUACUUGUGUUGAAGUUAGUGAUUCCGGUAGCAUGCACGUAUGGUGAACCGCUAUGUGAUGAAGUCUGAGCAUGAUUAGUAUAUUGAUUGUCAUCCUUUGUGUGGUGGUCGGGAUCACGCGAUGGUUUAUACCUACCAACCCUUCCCCUAGGAGUAUGCGUUGAAUGCUUUGUUUCGAUUACUAGUAGAACUUUUGCAACAAGUAUAUGAGUUCUUCAUGACUAAUGUUGCGUCCAUGGUCUAGAUGCACUUUCAGCUUCCGCCAUCACUAUCUUCUUUAGUGCCGUGCAACUUUCGCCUGUGCAUAAAACCCACCAUUAGCCUCCCUCAAAACAACCACCAUACCUACCUACUAUGGCUUUUUCAAAGCCAUUCCGAGAUAUAUUGCCAUGCAACUACCACCAUGACAUGUGCCACCACUUCUACAUUUCCAUUGCAUGAUCAUAAGAUAGCUAGCAUGAUGUUUCCAUUGAUGUCUNNNNNNNNNNUUUUUUCAAAGCCAUUCCGAGAUAUAUUGCCAUGAAACUACCACCAUGACAUGUGCCACCACUUCUACAUUGCCAUUGCAUGAUCAUAAGAUAGCUAGCAUGAUGUUUCCAUUGAUGUCUAUGCCAUGCUAGAUCAUUGUCACGGUACACUACCGAAUGCAUUCCAUAUAGAGUCAUCAUUGCUCUAAGUUUUGAGUUGUAAGUGUGAUGAUCAUCAUUGAUGGAGCAUUGUCCCCUGUGAGGACAUAAAAGAGGCCAAAGAUGCCCACCAAAAAAAAGAGGCCAAAGAGCCCACCAAAAAAAUGAGAGAAAAAGAGAGAAUGGACAAUGCUACUAUCUUUCCACACUUGUGCUUAUUAAGCACCAUGAUUUUCAUGAUUGAGAGUCUCUCGUUUUGUCACCACCGUAUAGCUAGUGGGAAAUUUUUAUUAUAUAACUUGGCUUGUAUAUUCCAAUGAUAGGCUUCCUCAAAAUUGCCUUAGGUCUUCGUGAGCAAGCAAGUUGGAUGAACACCCGCUAGUUUUCUUUAAGAGCUUUAACAUACUCUUAGCUCUAGUGCAUCAUUUGUAUGGCAAUCCCUACACAUUCACAUUGAUAUCUACCGAUGAGCAUUUCCAUAGCUCAUUCAUAUGCCUAGUCAAUGUGAACAUCUUCUCCUUGUUUGCCUUGCAACCUCCACCACACUCCACUCCACUNNNNNNNNNNAUUGGCUUUAUAUAUACAUGCAGUAGGAUUUUAUCCUACUGUCUUACACUCAAAAGAAAGCAAGCAAGUUGGAUGCACACCCACUAGUUUUCUUUAAGAGCUUUCACAUAGUCUUAGCUCUAGUGCAUCAUUUGUAUGGCAAUCCCUACUCAUUCACAUUGAUAUCUAUUGAUGAGCAUUUCCAUAGCUCAUUGAUAUGCCUAGUCAAUGUGACCAUCUUCUCCUUGUUUGCCUUGCAACCUCCACCACACUCCACUCCACUUAUAGUGCUAAAACCAAGGCUCACGGUCAUGUAUUGCGUGAGAGUUGAAAAAGUUUGAGAAAGUAAAGGUGUGAAAACAAUUACUUGGCCAAUACCAAGGUUGUGCAUGAUUUAAAUUCGUUUUGCAAUGAUGAUAGAGCAUAGCCAGACUAUAUGAUUUUGUAGGGAUAACUUUCUUUUGUCCUUGUUAUUUUGAAACUUCAUGAUUACCUUGCUAGUUUGCUUGAAGUAUUAUUGUCUCCACGUCNNNNNNNNNNGAGGUUGUGCAUGAUUUAAAUUCGUUGUGCAAGGAUGAUAAAGCAUAGCCAGACUAUAUGAUUUUGUAGGGAUAACUUUCUUUUGGCCUUGUUAUUUCGAAAGUUCAUGAUUACCUUGCUAGUUUGCUUGAAGUAUUAUUGUCUCCACGUCAAUAGAAAACUAUUGUUUUGAAUCUAAUGGAUCUGAACAUUCACGUCACAUAAGAGGAGUUACAAAGGACAUCUAUGCUAGGUAGCAUGAAAGCAUCAAAAAUUCAUUCUUUAUCACACUUCCCUACUCGAAGACGAGCAGGAGUUAAGCUUGGGGAUGUUUGAUACGUCUCAAACGUAUCUAUAAUUUUUGAUGGUUUCAUGCUGUUAUCUUGUCAACUUUGGAUGUUUUAUAUACCUUUUAUAUCUUUUUUGGGACUAACUUAUUAAUUCAGUGCCAAGUGCCAGUUCCUGUUNNNNNNNNNNUUGUGUGUUUUUGACUCUUUUCAGAUAUGAUUUUGGAACGGAGUCCAAACGGAAUAAAAUCCCCGAAAUAAUUUUUCCAGAACAAAAGAAGAUCGGGGGACUUUAGGGCCAAGGCAGGAGGCCCACAAGCCCUGACGCCGCGGCCAGGGGGGCCCGCGGCGACUAGGCUUGUGGCCUCCCUGGCUCUCCCCUGCCCUAUCUCUUUCGCCUAUAUAUUCCCUAAAAUCCCAGAAAAAAUCAGGGCAUCCACGAAAACACUUUUCUGCCGCCGCAAGCUUCCGUUUCCGCGAGAUCCCAUCUGGAGACCCUUCCCGGUGCCCUGCCGGAGGGGAGUUUGGAGUUGGAGGGUUUCUACAUCAAGAUCAUCGCCUCUCUAAUGACUCGUGAGUAGUCCACUUCAGACCUACGGGUCCAUAGUUAGUAGCUAGAUGGCUUCUUCUCUCUCUUGGAUCUUCAAUACAAUGUUCUCCAUGAUCUUCAUGGAGAUCUAUCCGAUGUAAUCCUCUUUGGCGGUGUGUUUGUCGAGAUCCGAUGAAUUGUGGAUUUGUGAUUAGAUUAUCUAUGAAUUAUAUUUGAGUCUUUCCUGAUUUCUUAUAUGCAUGAUUUGAUAUCCUUGUAAGUCUUUCCGAGUCUUGGGUUUUGUUUGGCCAACUAGAUAUAUGAUUCUUGCAAUGGGAGAAGUGCUUGGUUUUGGGUUCAUACCGUGAGGUGACCUUUCCCAGUGACAAAAGGGGCAGCAAGGCACACAUCAUGUUGUUUCCAUCAAGGGUAACAAGAUGGGCUUUCAUCAUAGAUUUGAGAUUGUUCAUAUACAUCAUGUCAUCUUGCUUAAGGCGUUACUCUGUUCUUAUGAACUCAAUACACUAGAUGCAUGCUGGAUAGCGGUCGACGUGUGGAGUAAUAGUAGUAUGCAUAAAGUAUCGGUCUACUUGUUUUGGACAUGAUGCCUAUAGAUAUGAUCAUUGCCAUAGAUAACGUCAUGACUUUGCGCGGUUCUAUAAAUUGCUCGACAGUAAUUCGUUCACCCACCGUCUACUUGCUUUCAUGAGAGAAGCCACUAGUGAACACUACAGCCCCCGGGUCUAUUCACAACUAUCGUUUCCACUUUUACUUUUACUUUGGUUUGUUUACUUUUUGCUUUCAGUUCUCACUUUGCAAACAAUCUAUAAGNNNNNNNNNNNNNNNNNNNNNNNNNNNNNNNNNNNNNNNNNNNNNNNNNNNNNNNNNNNNNNNNNNNNNNNNNNNNNNNNNNNNNNNNNNNNNNNNNNNNGACGCCCCCUGCGGCGAGCCCCCAGCCGCGCGCCCCCUGCCGCCGCCGCCCCCUGCCGGUGAGUUUUUCCUGUUUUUCUUUUUAAAAAAGUUAAUUACUUUAGUUAGUUUAUUAGGUUAGUUUUUUAUUAUAUAUAGGGUAAUUUAGUUAGUUUAUUUGGUUAGAUUAUUAGGCUAAUUAGGUUAGUUAGUUAGGUUAGAAGAAGAAAAAGCAGAAGGAAAAAAAGCAGGAGAAGAAGAAGAAGAAGAAGAAGAAGAAGAGGAGGAGGAGGAGGAGAAAGAAGAAGAAGAAGAAGAAGAAGAAGAGGAGAGGAGGAGGAGGAGAAAGAGGAGGAGAAAGAAGAAGAAGAAGAAGAAGAAGAAGAAAAAGAAUAGAAGGAGAAAAAGAGGAGGGGGAGUAGGAGGAGAAAGAAGAAGAAGAAGAAGAAGAAGAAGAAGAAGAAGAAGAAGAAAAAGAGGAGAGAGGAGAAAAAGAAAGAAGAGGAAAAGGGAACCCCGGCACCCCGAAACUGACCCUCGACCCCCGACCCCUGACGCCCGACGCCACUGACCCCCGACCAUCGACCUCCGACGCCACUGACCCCCGACCCNNNNNNNNNNNNNNNNNNNNNNNNNNNNNNNNNNNNNNNNNNNNNNNNNNNNNNNNNNNNNNNNNNNNNNNNNNNNNNNNNNNNNNNNNNNNNNNNNNNNCUCCCCCCCUUUGCCAUGUGGGGGCAGACGGCAAAGAGGGGAGAGAGAAGGGGCAGAUUCUCUCUUUGCCGUCUGCCUCCCCCCUUUGCCAUGUGGGGGCAGACGGCAAAGAGGGGAGAGAGAGGGGGCAGAUUCUCUCUUUGCCGUCUGCCUCCCCCCCUUUGCCAUGUGGGGGCAGACGGCAAAAAGGGGAGAGAGAGGGGGCAGAUUCCCCCUUUGCCGUCUGCCUCCACCCCUUUGCCAUGUGUUGGCAGACGGCAAAGAGGGGAACCAUCCCCUUUUUUAUUUAUUUUUUGUUAUAUCCAGCAUUUUUAACAAUAAUCAGGAUAUAUAUAUAUAUUUGACAUAAAUAAAUUUCUUUUCGUACCCAUAACCAUAUUAAAAUAACUCUCAUCCAUAGUGCAUACAUAUUAUGGAAGUUACAUUCGUACCAAACCUAAUAUUACACCAGUUUCAUCCACGUGCAUACAAAGUUUCAUAUAUUCAUAUACUACAACAGUUUCAAUACAACCCAUGGUACAAGAAAUCAUCUUCAAGCAUUCCAUCAACCAAGCUUCCCGUGAAGUGAAGGUAAUCUGCAAAAUGACAAAUAAGAAAGUUAGAAAAAUAAUACUAGAUGAAGUAGUGUAUAUAUAGGUUAUUUCGGAGAGAAAUUAGCUAAUUAUAGACCAUUUAGGAGCUAACUAAGCUAAUUAUGUCAUUUAGGUGGAACCCUAGCUAACUAUAGGAGAAGAGAAAGAGAAGAAGAAGUAAAAGAAGAAGGAGGAGGAGGAGAAGGAGAAGGAAGAGGAGAAGAAGAAGAAAAAGGAGGAGGAGGAGGAGGAGGAGAAGGAGAAGGAAGAGGAGAAGAAGAAGAAGGAGAAGAAGGAGAAGAAGAAGGAGAAGAAGGAGAAGAAGAAGGAGAAGGAGCUCCCGCUCCUUCUCCUUCUUCUUCUCCUUCUUCUCCUUCUUCUUCUCCUUCUUCUUCUUAUCCUUUUGUCCCCUUCUUCUUAUCCUCCUCCCUCUCCUCCUUCUUCUUCUCCUUUUUCCUCUUCCUUCCUNNNNNNNNNNNNNNNNNNNNNNNNNNNNNNNNNNNNNNNNNNNNNNNNNNNNNNNNNNNNNNNNNNNNNNNNNNNNNNNNNNNNNNNNNNNNNNNNNNNNUGUUAUUUCAAAUCUUGCAUUUGAAUGUCCGUUUCAUUAAUAAAUAAAAAGUUUGACUUGUCGAAACCAAAUGUACAGUCUAUGUGCGAGAAGAACGGCCAAGUCCCUCCGCCGAUGCCAGUCAUUAACGUGGCGGGGACGGUGAGUUUCAUUUCAGUGGAGUGAUCUUAAGAGUGUCCUCAUGCUAACUACACAUUGCAAACGAUGUUUGGUGCAGAAUAUGUCCCGAAACGCAUCGCAUGACCCUUCUACAGUCGAGCCUUCUCCAGGGCAGCCUUCUCCAGGUGAAACAAGCCAGAGCCACCGUGCUUCACCCUAACUUAGGUAUGUUAUUUCUAGUGUUUUAAUAAAAAAUAGCUAGACUUCCAUCUAAUGACAUAAUUAGCUUAGUUAGCCCCAAAAUAGCUAGACUUCCAUCUAAUAACAUAAUUGGCUUAGUUAACUCCAAAAUGGCCUAUUUAAUAAAAAAUGACCUAUACUUAGCUAAUUAUCCUCGAAAUGACAUAAUUAGCUCCAAAAAGGCAUUCUUAGCCAAUUUAGCCCGAAGAAGGGGACAAGAAGAGAAAAAGAGGAAAAAUGAAAGGAGGGAAGAGGAAAAAUAAGGAGAAGAAGGAGGACAGGGAGGAGGAGAAGAAGAAGGAGAAGAAGGAGAAGAAGGAGGAGAAGGAGAAGGAGCUCCUCCUACUCCUUCUUCUUCCUCCUUCUCCUUCUCCUUCUUCUUCUCCUUCUCCUUCUUCUUUUCUUCUUCUUCUCCUCUUCCUUCUUCUCCUCCUCCUCCUCCUCCUCCUCCUCCUCCUUAUUUUACUUCUUCCUCUCUAUCUCUUCUUCUACGUAGCUUAGACUCAUCCAAGAAAGGCUAAAUUAGCCAAUUGUCCUACGAAAUGACAUAAUUAGCUUAGUUAGCUCCAAAAUGUCCUAUUUAAUAAAAAAUGUCCUAUACUUAGCUAAUUAUCCUCGAAAUGACAUAAUUAGCUCCAAAAANNNNNNNNNNAUUUUCUUCUUCUUCUCCUUCUUCUUCUCCUCCUCCUCCUCCUCCUCCUCCUUAUUUUACUUCUUCUUNNNNNNNNNNNNNNNNNNNNNNNNNNNNNNNNNNNNNNNNNNNNNNNNNNNNNNNNNNNNNNNNNNNNNNNNNNNNNNNNNNNNNNNNNNNNNNNNNNNNCGGGGUAUGAAAGUAUAUGGGCAGAGCCUUAGCUACGGCGAGGAUAUAUGAGUUCAGGCCCCUCUACGGUGGAGGUAAAAGCCCUACGUCUCAGUGCUCUUGGGAGCUUUGUGUCGAGUGUAUUAAGGGAUUACAGCAAGUGCCAACCCUUUUAGCAGUGGUGAAGGGCGGCUUAUAUAGAGUGCGCUGCCCUUCAUAAUGGUCCGGUGGACAGGGGUGGAGUAGUGGAGAGUAAAGGCUAGCGUUACUGGUAACGUAAGCCUUAAAUGCUAGUUAUGGUGUAUGAAAACGUAUGACCGUUGCCCUCCUGGGAGGUUAUGCCGAACANGUGAAGUUGAGUCUAUCACACCCGAUUAUCACCUGUUGUCUCAAAACGACGAACUGCCGCAACGGCGCACAGUCGGGGAGAACACAACUUUAUCUUGAAAUUUUAGUAAGAGAUCACCUUAUAAUGGUACCGUCGUUUUAAGAAAAAUAAGGUGCAUAAAAGGAUUAACAUCACAUGCAAAUCAUAAGUGACAUGAUAUGGCCAUAAACUUGUGCUUCUUGAUCUCCAUCAGCAAAGCACCGGCAUGAUCUCCAUCGUCACCGGCGCCACACCAUGAUCUCCAUCAUCGUACUGCCAUCGAGGUUGUCGCGCUAACUAUGCUUUUACUAAUAAAGCUACUACUAGCGAUAAAGCAAAGCAUCACCAAGGGCAAAAAUAAUUAAAGACAACCCUAUGGCUCCUGCCGGUUGCCGUAGCAUCGACGUGCAAGUCGAUAUUUAACUACUACAACAUGAUCAUCUCAUACAUCCAAUAUAUCAUAUCAUGUAUUUGGCCAUAUCAUAUCACAUGCAUACCGUGUAAAAACGAGUUAGACGUCCUCUAAUUUGUUGUUGCAAAUUUUACGUGGUUGCUAUGGGUAUCUAUUAUGAUCGCAUCUUACUUACGCAAAGCCACAACGCUGAUAUGCAAAUUGCUAUUUAAUCUUCUCCAAGGAACACCUUGGUCAAAUCCGAUUCAACUAAAGUUGAAGAAACAAACACCCUCCAGUCAACUUUAUGCAACAAGUUGCAUGUUAGUCGAUGAAGCCGGUCUCUCGUAAGCGUACGAGUAAUGUUGGUCCGGUCGCUUCGAUCCAACAAUACCGCUGAAUCAAGAAAAGACUAAGGAGGGCAGCAAAUUGAACAUCAACGCCCACAAACUCUUUUAUGUUCUACUCGAGAUAUCAUCUACGCAUGAACCUAGCUCAUGAUGCCACUUUUGGGGAACGUUUCAUGGGAAACAAAAAAUUUCCUACACAUACGAAAGACCUAUCAUGGUGAUUAUCAUCUACGAGAGGGGAGAUCGGAUCCACAUACCCUUGUAGAUCGCUAAGUGGGAAGCGUUAAGAAACGUGGUUGAUGUAGUCGAACAUCUUCGCUAUCCAAUCACGAUCCAUCCCACGAACUGCGUCCCGAUCUAGUACUGAACGGACGACACCUCCGCGUUCAGCACACGUACAACUUGAUGACAAUCUGCGCCUUCUUGAUCCAACAAGAGAGACAAAGAAGUAGCUGAAUUCUCUGACAACACGAUGGCACGGCAGUGAUGGUGGUGGAGCUACUCCGGUAGGGCUUCACCGUGUCGUACUUAACUAGCUACGGGGUGUCACGAAGUAGUGGAGGGAGAGAGGGCUGCACAAAGACUUGGGGUGCAAAAACCCUCUCAAACCUCCACUAUAUAUAGGAGGAACAAGUGAGAGGGUGGCUUGCCUCCUACUCCAAGUAGGAGGGUUUGGACGAGCCCAAGAGGGAGGAGUCCUCCACCAAUUCGGUUUGGUGGAGGACUCCUUCCCAUCUUGUCCACCUCCUUCCUUUUAUUUUCUUUUUUACUUCUUAUUAUUGCUUUUAGCCAUUAUAGGCUUAUUGGGCUGGCCUCAACAGCCCACUAAAGGCUGGGGCGCCACCCAUGGGCCUAUUAGGUCCUAUCCCGAGUGGGUGGCCCCUCCCGGUAAAACCCCAGAACCAGUUCGUCUCUCUCGGUACUUUAGCGGUAAUGCCCGAAAUCUUUCCGAAAGCCUAUAUAUCAAUUGUUGUUUCCGGACCAUUCCGGAGACCCUCGUGACGUCCGAGAUCUCAUCUGGGACUCCAAACAACAAUCGGUUACCAACAUCAAUAAUUCAACAAUACCAAAACGUCACCGAACCUUAAGUUUGCACACCCUGCGGGUUCGAGAACUGUGUAGACUUGAUCGAGACACUCUCCAGCCAAUAUCCAAUAGCGGGACCUGGAUGCCCAUAUUUGAUCCUACAUAUUCUACGAAGAUCUUAUCGGUCCAACCUCUAUGUCAAUGAUUCAGUUAAUCCCGUGUAAUGUUCCCUUUGUCCUUCGGUAUGUUACUUGCCCGGGAAUCGAUCGUCGGUAUCUCUAUACCUAGUUCAAUCCCAUUAAUGGCAAAUCUCUUUACUCGUUCCGUAAUACAGUAUCCCGUGGCUAACUCUUUAUUCACAUUUCUUGCAAGGCUUAUUGUGAUGUUGUAGUACUAAGUGGGCCCCGAGAUACCUCUGCAUCAGAAGGAGUGAUAAAUCCCAGUCUUGAUGCACGCCAACCCAACAUACACUUUCGGAGAUACCUGUAGAGCACCUUUAUAGUCAUCCAGUUACGUUGCGACAUUUAAUACACACAAGAUAUUCCUCCGUUGUUCGGGAGUUGCAUGAUCUCAUAGUCAUAGGAAUAGAUACUUGACACACAGAAAACAAUAGCAACAAAAUGACACAAUCACAUGCUAUGUUUAUAGUUUGGGUCUUGUCCAUCACAUCAUUCCCCCAAUGAUGUGAUCUCGUUAUCCAUUGACAACACUUGUCUAUGGCUAGGAAACCUUAACCAUCUUUGAUCAAUGAGCUAGUCAACUAGAGGUUUACUAGGGACAAUAUUUCGUCUAUGUAUCUACACAUGUAUCUGUGUUUCCAUUCAAUACAAUUCUAGCACUGGAAACAGGAAAUAUAAUAAUAACUAAUUUAUAAUUGCCUCUAGGUCAUAUUUCCAAGAGAGGAAGCUCCACCAUCCAACAAGAAGAAGCUCUCAUGAGUUCGAGAAAAGAGUGGACAAGGAUUAUCCGCUGAAUCAAAUCUUCGUUGACAUACAAACUGGGAGAAUUACUCACUCUAAAACUUGUUUAGGUAACUUUUGGAGCAUUACUCAUUAUCUCUGGCAUAGAGCCUAUGAAGGUACAAGAAUCCCUUCAAGACCCAUAUUGGGUGAAUGCGAUGCAUGGAGUGUUACACAGAUUCACGAGGAAUGACGUUUUUACACUUGUGGAAAAGCCCAAGGACGAGAAAAGCGUCAUUGGUACAAAAUGGGUAUUUGGCAACAAGCAAGAUGAACAUGGUCAAUUUGUACGCAACAAGGCGUGUCUCAUAGCCCAAGGAUACACGCAAGUUGAUACGUCUCAAACGUAUCUAUAAUUUUUGAUGGUUUCAUGUUGUUAUCUUGUCAACUUUGGAUGUUUUAUAUACCUUUUAGAUCUUUUUUGGGACUAACUUAUUAAUUCAGUGCCAAGUGCGAGUUCCUGUUUUUUCUGUGUUUUUGACUCUUUUCAGAUCUGAUUUUGGAACGGAGUCCAAACGAAAUAAAAUCCCCGAAAUAAAUUUUGAGGGCCAAGGCAGGAGCCCCAUAGGGAGCCCACAAGCCGUGACGCUGCGGCCAGGGGGGCCGCGGCGACCAGGCUUCUGGCCUCCCUGGCGCUCCCCUGCCCGAGCUCUUUCGCCUAUAUAUUCCCUAAAAUCCCAGAAAAAAUCAGGGCAUCCACGAAAACACUUUUCCGCCGCCGCAAGCUUCCGUUUCCGCGAGAUCUCAUCUGGAGACCCUUCCCAGUGCCCUGCCGGAGGGGACUUUGGAGUUGGAGGGCUUCUACAUCAACAUCAUCGCCUCUCCAAUGACUCGUGAGUAGUCCACUUCAGACCUACGGGUCCGUAGUUAGUAGCUAGAUGGCUUCUUCUCUCUCUUGGAUCUACAAUACAAUGUUUUCCAUGAUCUUCAUGGAGAUCUAUCCGAUGUAAUCCUCUUUGGCGGUGUGUUUGUCGAGAUCCGAUAAAUUGUGGAUUUGUGGUCAGAUUAUCUAUGAAUUAUAUUUGAGUCUUUGCUGAUUUCUUAUAUGCAUGAUUUGAUAUCCUUGUAAGUCUCUCCGAGUCUUGGGUUUUGUUUGGCCAACUAGAUCUAUGAUUCUUGCAAUGGGAGAAGUGCUUGGUUUUGGGUUCAUACCGUGAGGUGACCUUUCCCAGUGAUAGAAGGGGCAGCAAGGCACGCAUCGUGUUGUUGCCAUCAAGGGUAACAAGAUGGGAUUUUAGCAUAGAUUUGAGAUUGUUCAUCUACAUCAUGUCAUCUUGCUUAGAUGCAUGCUGGAUAGCGGUCGACGUGUGGAGUAAUAGUAGUAGAUAAAGAAAGUAUCGGUCUACUUGUUUUGGACGUGAUGCCUAUAGAUAUGAUCAUUGCCAUAGAUAACGUCAUGACUUUGCACGGUUCUAUCAAUUGCUUGACAGUAAUUCGUUGACCCACCGUCUACUUGCUUUCAUGAGAGAAGCCACUGGUGAACACUACGGCCCCCGGGUCUAUUCACAACUAUCGCUUCCACUUUUACUUUUACUUUGCUUUGUUUACUUUUUGCUUUCAGUUCUCACUUUGCAAACAAUCUAUAAGGGAUUGACAACCCCUUCAUAGCAUUGGGUGCAAGCUCUUUGUGUUUGUGCAGGUACUUGUGACUUGACGCGAUCCUCCUACUAGAUUGAUACCUUGGUUCUCAAACUGAGGGAAAUACUUACCGUCGCUGUGCUACAUCACCCUUUCCUCUUCAAGGGAACACCAACGCAAGGCUCCAAGGCCGCGGGGGAAUCCUUUGCAUAUUUGCCAAGGAAGUUCCUAUAGGCAUAGCCCGUAGCAGAAGGAUUCCUGGCGCUGUUGCCAGGGAGGGUCUUUUGUUGCCGUAGCAGAAGUAUUUCUGGAGCCGUUGACGGGGAGGAUCGCUUGCCAAGGAGUAUCAAGACAGGAAUAAUCUCCCAUCAACACACCUAUUUCUGGCGCCGUUGCCGGGGAGAGAUCAAGUCAAGAUCUAUCCAAGUAGGUGUCACAAACUCAUCUCUUGCAUUUACCUUUUUUCCCAGUUGCCUCUCGUUUUCCUCUCCCCCACUUCACAUUUGCCGUUUUCAUUCGCCUUUUUCGUUUGCCUUUUUGGUUCACCCUUUUCUCUCGCUUGCUUUCUGUUCGCUUGUGUGCCAUGUGCCUUCAAUAUGUUUGCAUCUUCGCUUGCUGAAAAUCUAGUGAUAUGGAUCCUCAUCCACUUGCUAAUCUCUUUAAGAGAUCCAAUUAUGUUGAUCCAAUUGCUAGUGAGUUGAGUGCACUUAUGUAUCUUUAUGGAGUUUUGCUUGAGAUGCGUGAAUCUGAAAAUUGUGAGGAAGAAAUUUAUGAAGUGAUUGACGAGGGCUCCUUGGAUGAAAAGCAUGAUUGCAAUGGUUUCACUAUAAAUUCUAUUAGUGACAAUCAUGCUAAGAAUAUGGAAAACCCUAAGCUUGCAGAUGCUAGUUUUGCUAUGUCCCCUACUUGUUGCAAUGAUCAUGAGUGGGGCGAUGAUUUUUCUUAUGAUCUUGAAAAUUUGUUUAAGCCUCAUGAUGAAUAUGAUAUUUGCAAUAUCAUUGAAAGUGGGUUUGGAGAAAUCAUGACUUUAGUUGAUGAUAAUCCGACUAUUUUUGAAGAGCGUCAACUUUGCAUGCAUGUGGAUCAUGAAAAGAAUAUCCUAUGUGAUAGUUACAUUGUUUAAUUCGAAUAUGAUCCCACAUGUAAUUACUAUGAGAGAGGAAAAUAUUGUGGUAGAAACUUUCAUGUUACCAAAUUACCUCUCGUUAUGUGGAGAUUGCUAUUGUCUCUUUCUUCUUCCUUGCAUACGGUAACUAUUGGUUGUCUUGACAAUCUGUUUUCCUAUAAAAUGCCUAUGCAUAGGAAGUAUGUUAGACUUACAUGUGAUUUUCACAUGCUUUAUGAUGCUCUCGUUGUGCUUCAAUUCUUGUCUUUUGUGUGAGCAUCAUUGAAUUAUCAAUGCCUAGCUAAGGGCGUUAAACAAUAGCGCUUGUUGGGAGGCAACCCAAUGAAUUUAUCUUUUUCUUUCUGUUUAGUGUUUUCCAUACUUUCAUAAUUCUGUUAUGAUUGUGUUUUUUGUGUUUCUUUUUCCUUUGUGCCAAGUGAAACCGUUAUGAUUAGUCUUGGGGAUGAUCGUUUGGUCAUGCUGGAAAAGACAGAAACUUUCUGCUCACGAAAAGAAUUUUCAUUUUUUCUGUAAGAGCUUUUGAGUUGACUAUUUUUUCUUCUGAUUGUUACGCAAAUUCUAUAGAUUGUCGUAAUUAUUCAAAAAAUUUCAAGUACCAGAAGUAUACGAAGUAUAUAGAUUACUAUAGACUGGUCUGUUGUUAACAGAUUCUGUUUUUGUUGAGUUGGUUGCUUAUUUUGAUGAAACUAUGGAUAGUAUGGGGGGUAUUAGCCAUGGAAGAUUGAAAAUACAGUAACCCAACAUCAAGAUAAGUAGAAUUUAAGUUUUCUACAGUACCUAAGGAAGUGGUGGUUUGCUUUCUUAUACUAAUGAUAUCACGAGUUUCUGUUUAAGUUUUGUGUUGUGAAGUUUUGAAGUUUUGGGUGAACUUCUUAUGGACAAAGAGAUAAAGAGUGGCAAGAGAUCAAGCUUGGGGAUGCCCAAGGCACCCCAAGUUAAUUCAAGGAUGCCGAAAAAGUUUAAUCUUGGGAUGCCCCGGGAAGGCAUCCCCUCUUUCGUCUUCAAUCCAUCGGUAACCACUACAGGAAUCAGCUUCUUUGCCGUCUGCCAUCACAGACGGCAAAGGCAAUAUCCCGGACGGCAAAGACAAUAUCACAAACGACAAAGAUUCUCACGGGUGGCAAAAUUUCUGCGUCAGCCUACGACGGCAUAGGACCUUCUUUGCCGUCUGCCCCCCCAAAGCGGACGGCAAAGCUCUUUGCCGUCAGCUUUCCUUAGGAGCAGUCGGCAAAGUGUUCGAGACGGCAGCCGACAGGAGUUGCCUCCGUUAGGGGUUAACGGAGGCUUUGCCGUCUACCUCCCCCUCCAGCUUUGCCGUCUGCCUCCCCAUCCAUCUUUUCCAUCUGCCUUCUCUUCCCCUCCCCUCUCCUUUACCUCCAUCUUUGUCGUCUGCCUCCCCGUCCAUCUUUGCCGUCUGCCUGCUCCUCCCCUCCCCCCUCUCUCCACUCUUUGUCGUCUGCCUCCUCCUCCCCCCCUCCUCUGUUCCCUCGUCUUUGCCGUCUGCCCACCCUGGAGGCUGACGGCAAAGAGACUACAUAGACUCCCCAGGAUGCACAGCUGGGUGCCAUGUGGCACCUUUGCCGUCUGCCAGCUGAUGGCACAGGUCGUUGCCAUCAGCUGGCAGACGGCAAAGAGCCCAUAUAGUUCCUGUUUUUUUGUUUUAUAUUGUUUCACAACACACACACACNNNNNNNNNNNNNNNNNNNNNNNNNNNNNNNNNNNNNNNNNNNNNNNNNNNNNNNNNNNNNNNNNNNNNNNNNNNNNNNNNNNNNNNNNNNNNNNNNNNNAAGGUUCUUAUGCCAUUUUGAGCUUAUUAUGGUAUUUUCGAGGUAAAUGGGCUCAUUAUGUCAUUGUUGGGUUAAUUAAAGCAAGGAUAAUAUGAAAGAGGAGAAGAAAGAGGAGNNNNNNNNNNNNNNNNNNNNNNNNNNNNNNNNNNNNNNNNNNNNNNNNNNNNNNNNNNNNNNNNNNNNNNNNNNNNNNUUCUCCUCUUCUCCUCUUGUUGGAGCUAAAUUACCUAAUUAUGUCUUUUUUGAGCUAAAUGGGCUAAUUAUCCCAUUUUAGAGGAAAACAAGCUAAGUAUAUAAUAUUAAUGAGCUAACCAAGGUUCUUAUGCCAUUUUGAGCUUAUUAUAGUAUUUUGGAGCUAAAUGGGCUAAUUAUGUCAUUGUUGGGUUAAUUACCCUGGUGCAUGGACAUGCACCUACCACGCAAAGUUCGCAGGUCCAGAAGUUGCCCUUUUGGUCCAGAGGACUUUCCACGUUACCUAUACUACUUUUCAGGUUAUAUAAAACUUUUCAAUAUUUUCUACGUUUGAGGAUGGCAAUAUUAUUUAAGUUGUCCUGUUUUGCUCCACUACCAAUAAAUAUAGACGAUACAUUAUUUUGACAGACUUGAUUUCCACAAAAGAACAUGUGAUCUUCUUUGAAGUAGUCUUGAACCUAAGCAAUAAUGAUGGGCGAAUAAACUAACAGAAUCUACCACUAAAUCUACUAAUUAACUAACAGAAUCUACCACUAAANNNNNNNNNNNNNNNNNNNNNNNNNNNNNNNNNNNNNNNNNNNNNNNNNNNNNNNNNNNUUUUUUUUUCAAGCAGAAGACGGCAUACGAGAUGAGUCGUUGCGGUCUGCCUUGCCAGCCCGCUCAGAGAUGUGUAUAAGAGACAGCGGCACCAGUGGUGCCGGAGGGUUGUGGGGAACCGGGGGCGCCGGGGGUGGCCGGGCGACGGUGGCGGCGUUGGGUGUCGGGGGAGGAGAGAGAGAGAGUGGCCGUUUGAGAGAGAGAGAGGGCCGGGGUGGGGGCGGGACGGCCGUUUGAGUAGAUUCAGGACCUUUGUCGUCUGCUGGCGGACGGCAAAGGGGUCUAUACUCUUUGACGUCUGCCUCUGGCAUCUUUGCCGUCCGCCAGCAGACGACAAAGAAGGGCGUUGGUUGACCUAAGGUUCCCCGGGCCGAAUGAGCUUCUUUGCCGUCUCCUGUCCCCUUCUUUGUCGUUUGCGGCAGACAACAAAGGAUUGACUGUUGGCAAAGACCUUCUUUGCCAUCAUCCAGUUCUUUGCCAUCUGCUUUCUGAGAGCUGACGGCAAAGACACUCUUUGCCAUCAGCUAGCUGACAGCAAAGAUUAGGCACACGGCAAAAAACUGAUUUCCAGUAAUGAACGUUACUUGGGGGCUAUAUUUUAUUCACCACAUGUUAUGUGUUUUGCUUGGAGCGUCUUGUAUCGUAGGAGUCUUUUAUUUUUGUUGUGCCACAAUCUUCCUUGUUGCACACCUAGAGAGAGAGAAAUGCACUCACCGUGAUUUUGUCGAGCUUCACUUAUAUCCUUUGGUUAGACAAUUCAGCUCACAUGUGUUUCACUUAUAUCCUUUGGUUAGACAAUUCAGCUCACAUGUGUUUCACUUAUAUCUUUUGAGCUAAUUUAUUUUGCUCUAUGUGUUUCACUUCUAUCAUUUAGAGCACGGAAGCGCGUGGCGUGGUAGUUGAUCUAUGCUAUGAAAGUAGUCUCAAAAGGGGUAUUUAUCCAAAGGGAUAUGAAAACUUCCACCUUCAUGUGCAUUGAGUAGUUAGAGAAGUUUGAUUCAUCUCAAUCAGUUUUGAGUUGUGGUUGUGGUAAUAUUAAAGUUAUAUUAGUAAGGUGUUGUGGAUCUAGACAUACUUGAGUUGAAGUUAGUGAUUCCCGUAGCAUCCACGUAUGGUGAACCUCUAUGUGAUGAAGUCUGAGCAUGAUUAGUAUAUUGAUUGUCAUCCUUUGUGUGGCGGUCGGGAUCGCGCGAUGGUUUAUACCUACCAACCCUUCCCCUAGGAGUAUGCGUUGAAUGCUUUGUUUCGAUUACUACUAAAUUUUUUGCAACAAGUAUAUGAGUUCUUCAUGACUAAUGUUGAGUCCAUGGUUUAGAUGCACUUUCACCUUCCACCAUCACUAUCUUCUUUAGUGCCGUGCAACUUUCGUCGGUGCAUAAAACCCACCAUUAGCCUCCCUCAAAACAACCACCAUACCUACCUACUAUGGCUUUUUCAAAGCCAUUCCGAGAUAUAUUGCCAUGCAACUACCACCAUGACAUGUGCCACCACUUCUACAUUUCCAUUGCAUGAUCAUAAGAUAGCUAGCAUGAUGUUUCCAUUGAUGUCUAUGAUGUUUCCAUUGAUGUCUAUGCCAUGCUAGAUCAUUGUCACGGUACACUACCGAAUGCAUUCCAUAUAGAGUCAUCAUUGCUCUAAGUUUUGAGUUGUAAGUGUGAUGAUCAUCAUUGAUGGAGCAUUGUCCCCUGUGAGGACAUAAAAGAGGCCAAAGAUGCCCACCAAAAAAAAGAGGCCAAAGAGCCCACCAAAAAAAUGAGAGAAAAAGAGAGAAUGGACAAUGCUACUAUCUUUCCACACUUGUGCUUAUUAAGCACCAUGAUUUUCAUGAUUGAGAGUCUCUCGUUUUGUCACCACCGUAUAGCUAGUGGGAAAUUUUUAUUAUAUAACUUGGCUUGUAUAUUCCAAUGAUAGGCUUCCUCAAAAUUGCCUUAGGUCUUCGUGAGCAAGCAAGUUGGAUGAACACCCGCUAGUUUUCUUUAAGAGCUUUAACAUACUCUUAGCUCUAGUGCAUCAUUUGUAUGGCAAUCCCUACACAUUCACAUUGAUAUCUACCGAUGAGCAUUUCCAUAGCUCAUUCAUAUGCCUAGUCAAUGUGAACAUCUUCUCCUUGUUUGCCUUGCAACCUCCACCACACUCCACUCCACUUAUAGUGCUAAAACCAAGGCUCACGGUCAUGUAUUGCGUGAGAGUUGAAAAAGUUUGAGAAAGUAAAGGUGUGAAAACAAUUACUUGGCCAAUACCGAGGUUGUGCAUGAUUUAAAUUCGUUGUGCAAGGAUGAUAAAGCAUAGCCAGACUAUAUGAUUUUGUAGGGAUAACUUUCUUUUGGCCUUGUUAUUUCGAAAGUUCAUGAUUACCUUGCUAGUUUGCUUGAAGUAUUAUUGUCUCCACGUCAAUAGCAAACUAUUAUUUUGAAUAUAAUGGAUCUGAACAUUCACGUCACAUAAGAGGAGUUACAAAGGACAUCUAUGCUAGGUAGCAUGAAAGCAUCAAAAAUUCAUUCUUUAUCACACUUCCCUACUCGAAGACGAGCAGGAGUUAAGCUUGGGGAUGUUUGAUACGUCUCAAACGUAUCUAUAAUUUUUGAUGGUUUCAUGCUGUUAUCUUGUCAACUUUGGAUGUUUUAUAUACCUUUUAUAUCUUUUUUGGGACUAACUUAUUAAUUCAGUGCCAAGUGCCAGUUCCUGUUUUUUUGUGUGUUUUUGACUCUUUUCAGAUAUGAUUUUGGAACGGAGUCCAAACGGAAUAAAAUCCCCGAAAUAAUUUUUCCAGAACAAAAGAAGAUCGGGGGACUUUAGGGCCAAGGCAGGAGGCCCACAAGCCCUGACGCCGCGGCCAGGGGGGCCCGCGGCGACUAGGCUUGUGGCCUCCCUGGCUCUCCCCUGCCCUAUCUCUUUCGCCUAUAUAUUCCCUAAAAUCCCAGAAAAAAUCAGGGCAUCCACGAAAACACUUUUCUGCCGCCGCAAGCUUCCGUUUCCGCGAGAUCCCAUCUGGAGACCCUUCCCGGUGCCCUGCCGGAGGGGAGUUUGGAGUUGGAGGGUUUCUACAUCAAGAUCAUCGCCUCUCUAAUGACUCGUGAGUAGUCCACUUCAGACCUACGGGUCCAUAGUUAGUAGCUAGAUGGCUUCUUCUCUCUCUUGGAUCUUCAAUACAAUGUUCUCCAUGAUCUUCAUGGAGAUCUAUCCGAUGUAAUCCUCUUUGGCGGUGUGUUUGUCGAGAUCCGAUGAAUUGUGGAUUUGUGAUUAGAUUAUCUAUGAAUUAUAUUUGAGUCUUUCCUGAUUUCUUAUAUGCAUGAUUUGAUAUCCUUGUAAGUCUUUCCGAGUCUUGGGUUUUGUUUGGCCAACUAGAUAUAUGAUUCUUGCAAUGGGAGAAGUGCUUGGUUUUGGGUUCAUACCGUGCGGUGACCUUUCCCAGUGACAAAAGGGGCAGCAAGGCACACAUCAUGUUGUUUCCAUCAAGGGUAACAAGAUGGGCUUUCAUCAUAGAUUUGAGAUUGUUCAUAUACAUCAUGUCAUCUUGCUUAAGGCGUUACUCUGUUCUUAUGAACUCAAUACACUAGAUGCAUGCUGGAUAGCGGUCGACGUGUGGAGUAAUAGUAGUAUGCAUAAAGUAUCGGUCUACUUGUUUUGGACAUGAUGCCUAUAGAUAUGAUCAUUGCCAUAGAUAACGUCAUGACUUUGCGCGGUUCUAUAAAUUGCUCGACAGUAAUUCGUUCACCCACCGUCUACUUGCUUUCAUGAGAGAAGCCACUAGUGAACACUACAGCCCCCGGGUCUAUUCACAACUAUCGUUUCCACUUUUACUUUUACUUUGGUUUGUUUACUUUUUGCUUUCAGUUCUCACUUUGCAAACAAUCUAUAAGGGAUUGACAACCCCUUCAUAGCAUUGGGUGCAAGCUCUUUGUGUUUGUGCAGGUACUUGUGACUUGACGCGAUCCUCCUACUGGAUUGAUACCUUGGUUCUGAAACUGAGGGAACUACUUACCGCCGCUGUGCUACAUCACCCUUUCCUCUUCAAGGGAACAACAACGCAAGGCUCCAAGGCCGCGGGGGAAUCCUUUGCAUAUUUGCCAAGGAAAUCCCUAGAGGCGUAGCCCGUAGUAGAAGGAUUCCUGGCGCCGUUGCCAGGGAAGGUCUAUUGUUGCCGUAGGAGAAGUAUUUCUGGCGCCGUUGCCGGGGAGGAUCGCUUGCCGAGGAGUAUCAAGACAAGAAUAAUCUCCCGUCAACACGCCUAUUUCUGGCGCCGUUGCCGGGGAGAGAUCAAGUCAAGAUCUAUCCAAGUAGGUGUCACAAACUCAUCUCUUGCAUUUACCUUUUUGCCAGUUGCCUCUCGUUUUCCUCUCCCCCACUUCACAUUUGCCGUUUUCAUUCGCCUUUUUCGUUUUCCUUUUUUUGUUUGCCUUUUUGGUUCGCCCUUUUCUCUCGCUUGCUUUCUGUUCGCUUGUGUGCCAUGUGCCUUCAAUAUGUUUGCAUCUUCGCUUGCUGAAAAUCUAGUGAUAUGGAUCCUCAUCCACUUGCUAAUCUCUUUAAGAGAUCCAAUUAUGUUGAUCCAAUUGCUAGUGAGUUGAGUGCACUUGAGUAUCUUUAUGGAGUUUUGCUUGAGAUGCGUGAAUCUGAAAAUUGUGAGGAAGAAAUUUAUGAAGUGAUUGACGAGGGCUCCUUGGAUGAAAAGCAUGAUUGGAAUGGUUUCACUAUAAAUUCUAUUAGUGACAAUCAUGCUAAGAAUAUGCAAAACCCUAAGCUUGCAGAUGCUAGUUUAGCUAUGUCCCCUACUUGUUGCAAUGAUCAUGAGUGGGGCGGUGAUUUUUCUUAUGAUCUUGAAAAUUUGUUUAAGCCUCAUGAUGAAUAUGAUAUUUGCAAUAUUAUUGAAAGUGGGUUUGGAGAAAUCAUGACAUUGGUUGAUGAUAAUCCCACUAUUUUUUAAGAGCGUGAACUUUGCAUGCAUGUGGGUCAUGAAAAGAAUAUCCUAUGUGAUAGUUACAUUGUUUAAUUCGAAUAUGAUCCCACAUGUAAUUACUAUGAGAGAGGAAAAUAUUGUGGUAGAAACUUUCAUGUUACCAAAUUACCUCUUGUUAUGUGGAGAUUGCUAUUGUCUCUUUCUUCUUCCUUGCAUAUGGUAACUAUUGGUUGUCUUGACAAUCUGUUUUCCUAUAAAAUGCCUAUGCAUAGGAAGUAUGUUAGACUUAGAUGUGAUUUUCCCAUGCUUUAUGAUGCUCUCGUUGUGCUUCAAUUCUUGUCUUUUGUGUGAGCAUCAUUGAAUUAUCAAUGCCUAGCUAAGGGCGUUAAGCAAUAGCUCUUGUUGGGAGGCAACCCAAUGAAUUUAUCUUUUUCUUUCUGUUUUGUGUUUCCCACACUUUCAUAAUUCUGUUAUGAUUGUGUUUUUUUUGUUUCUUUUUGCGUUUGUGCCAAGCAAAACCGUUAUGAUUAGUCUUGGGGAUGAUCGUUUGGCCAUGCUGGAAAAGACAGAAACUUUCUGCUCACGAAAAGAAUUUUCAUUUUUUGUCUGUAAGAGAUUUUGAGUUGAUUCUUUUUGCUGCUGAUUGCUACAGAAGUUCUUCAGACUGUCUUAAGUUUUCAGAAUUUUUGAAGUAACAGAGUUAUACGGAAUAUACAGAUUGCUACAGACUGGUCUGCUGUUAACAGAUUCUGUUUUUGUUGUGUUGGUUGCUUAUUUUGAUGAAACUAUGGAUAGUAUCGGGGGGUAUUAGCCAUGGAAGAUUGAAAAUACAGUAACCCAACAUCAACAUAACUAGAAUUUAAUUUUCCUAUAGUACCUAAGGAAGUGGUGGUUUGCUUUCUUAUACUAAUGAUAUCACGAGUUUCUGUUUAAGAUUCGUGUUGUGAAGUUUUCAAGUUUUGUGUGAAGUUCUUAUGGACAAAGAGAUAAAGAGUGGCAAGAGCUCAAGGUUGGCGAUGCCCAAGGCACCCCAAGUGGAUUCAAGGAUGCCAAAAAAGCCUAAGCUUGGGGAUGCCCCGGGAAGGCAUCCCCUCUUUCGUCUUCAAUCCAUCGGUAAUGUUACUUGGGGCUAUAUUUUUAUUCACCACAUGUUAUGUGUUUUGGUUGGAGCGUCUUGUACCGUAGGAGUCUUUUAUUUAUUUUGUUCCACAAUAUUCCUUGCUGCACACUUAGAGAGAGAGACAUGCGCUCACUGUGAUUUUGUCGAGCUUCACUUAUAUCCUUUGGUUAGACAAUUCAGCUCACAUGUGUUUCACUUAUAUCUUUUGAGCUUGUUGAUUUUUCUCUAUGUGUUUCACUUCUAUCUUUUAGAGCACGGAACCGCUUGGCGUGGUAGUUGAUCUAUGCUAUGAAAGUAGUCUCAAAAGGGGUAGUUAUACAAAGGAAUAUGAAAACUUCCACCUUCAUGUGCAUUGAGUAGUUAGAGAAGUUUGAUUCAUCUCAAUCAGUUUUGAGUUGUGGUUGUGGUAAUAUUAAAGUUAUAUUAGUAAGGUGUAGUGGAUCUAGAAAUACUUGUGUUGAAGUUAGUGAUUCCGGUAGCAUGCACGUAUGGUGAACCGCUAUGUGAUGAAGUCUGAGCAUGAUUAGUAUAUUGAUUGUCAUCCUUUGUGUGGUGGUCGGGAUCACGCGAUGGUUUAUACCUACCAACCCUUCCCCUAGGAGUAUGCGUUGAAUGCUUUGUUUCGAUUACUAGUAGAACUUUUGCAACAAGUAUAUGAGUUCUUCAUGACUAAUGUUGCGUCCAUGGUCUAGAUGCACUUUCAGCUUCCGCCAUCACUAUCUUCUUUAGUGCCGUGCAACUUUCGCCUGUGCAUAAAACCCACCAUUAGCCUCCCUCAAAACAACCACCAUACCUACCUACUAUGGUUUUUUCAAAGCCAUUCCGAGAUAUAUUGCCAUGAAACUACCACCAUGACAUGUGCCACCACUUCUACAUUGCCAUUGCAUGAUCAUAAGAUAGCUAGCAUGAUGUUUCCAUUGAUGUCUAUGCCAUGCUAGAUCAUUGUCACGGUACACUACCGAAGUCAUUCCAUAUAGAGUCAUCAUUGCUCUAAGUUUUGAGUUGUAAGUGUGAUGAUCAUCAUUGAUGGAUCAUUGUCCCAUGUGAGGAAAUAAAAGAGGCCAAAGAUGCCCACCAAAAAAAAGAGGCCAAAGAGCCCACCAAAAAAAUGAGAGAAAAAGAGAGAAGGGACAAUGCUACUAUCUUUCCACAAUUGUGAUUAUUAAGUACCAUGAUUUUCAUGAUUGAGAGUCUCUCGUUUUGUCACCACCAUAAAGCUAGUGGGAAAUUUUUAUUAUAUAACUUGGCUUGCAUAUUCAAAUGAUAGGCUUCCUCAAAAUUGCCUUAGGUCUUCGUGAGCAAGAAAGUUGGAUGAAGAUGGGGAGGAACCACCUCCUCCUAAUGGCAACCCACACCCUCAGUUUGGCCCUGAGCUCACUGGUGAGCAAUUGUACCAACAGCAAGUGCAUAACUGGCUAGUUCAAAAUGCAGCUCAACCUUAGGGGGCUCCUCCUGCUCAUGAAGCCCCAUAGCAACAGGAUCAGCACAAUGGAUGGGGAGUGUGGCCAGCCUCACCACCAUAGGCACCACAAUUACCUCCUUAUGUCUACAACUUUCAAGCUUGGCUUGCUGCCCAGGGACUACAAGUGCAAGAUGGCCUGCUUCCUGAAGAUAACAUCUCAGAUAGUGCUUCCCAAGCUUGGAAUGAUGCUAUAUCCAACUCCAACAACUCUGCUAGCACCAACCUAUCUGCUGGAUCUCUGAAUCCCCUGGUGAUACACUCUCAAACACAUCAGCUGCAACACUCUGAGGGUCUUUUGAGAAUCUCCCUGGAAGUUCACAAUAGUGGAAUUCGCUUUGGCUUAUCUGAACAUGGAGAAUCAGUGCUCACCCUGCUACUAACUGAUCCAGCUCCAAGACAGCAGCUAAAUGACUUCAUCUUUAGAGCCAUCAAACCUCUAAUGGCUUAUAGAGGCCCUUGGAAUGCUGAUUAUGGUUUCAAGCAUGAAUGCAUGCAGGUGGAAGUUGCAGUUGCUCUGCGUGAUGAUGGCAUAAUAUUUAGCAACACCUAUCCUACUCUCCCCAUGAGCACUACAUCAUCUACUGUUAUCAUAGAAGCACUAUCCCCUGAGCAGGCACUGGCUCCAACUAUUGAUCCUACGGAUCCAUUGGAAAUAGAAUGCAGCAUGGAUCAGGAACUACAAGUCAGCAAGAUUCCUCUGAAGCAGAAAGGCAAAAUGAAACUGCAAGUAGAUACUUCCAACCUUCGCCGCAGCCUGAGAUCAAACAAGUAUGAUGGUUUCAAGAUCCCAUCCAUGGCAGAGGGCAAGAUCACUAAAUCCAAAGUUAAGCCCAGGAUGAUUCCCAAUAUUGCUCUUCAGGAAGUUGAUCGUGCUCUGACACUUGAGGUUCCCCCUCCUACUGCCAUCAACACCAUGCAAGCCAUUGGGACGCAGCUGUGUGCCAUACCUGAAACAGAGCUUGCAGACUCGGAGCUUCUUCGAGAAGAUCCAGGCCCGACAGAUGGCCAAGUUUGAUAUUGUGCCUGACCCACCUCCUCUUUGAAUCUCUAUGGUACUUUUGCGUAGUUGGAACGUCUUAUGUUGGAAUAUUCGUGGACUUAAUUCGCCCAAAAAACAUCUAGCUCUAUCGAAUGCUAUUCGUGACAGCAGUUGCUCCAUCAUUUGCUUACAAGAAUCGAAAAUGACCUCAUUUGAUGAACAUGCUUUACGUACAUUGUGUCCUAAACGAUUUGACAAAUUUGCAUAUAUUCCCUCCCGAGGGGCUUCUGGUGGGAUAGUCACGAUUUGGAACAGCUCUAUAUUUAUAGGAACUACAUUUGUAGAAGAGGAUUUCGUGUUAGGGGUCCAGUUCUCAUCAACACAAACUUUGCAUACCUGGAAGCUAUUGAACAUAUAUGGCCCCUGCCAAGGGGAUCAAAGGGUUUGUUUCACAUCUUGGCUCUUUGAUCUUGACAUUGUGGCAACUGAGGAUUGGUUGAUCCUAGGGGAUUUCAACUUCAUUAGGGCACCAACGAACUGCAAUCUACCCGGAGGUAACAUUCAAGACAUGUUUACGUUUAAUGAAUUCAUCAGUGAGCAGAUGUUAACGGAGAUCCCAAUCAAAGGCCGACCAUAUACAUGGUCGAACAUGCAGCUAAACCCUUUGCUCGAACAACUCNNNNNNNNNNNNNNNNNNNNNNNNNNNNNNNNNNNNNNNNNNNNNNNNNNNNNNNNNNNNNNNNNNNNNNNNNNNNNNNNNNNNNNNNNNNNNNNNNNNNGUUGGUCUUUAUUCACUUUUCUCUUGAACUUCAAAAAUUUCAGCAAAAAUAAAUUAUGUUCAGGAGGAAGUUUCAUGGUGGUUCCUCAAGUAAGAAGGGUCCCCGUCUUUCUAUUCGGGAGCCCGAUCCUUAUCAACUAAGAUAAGCACCGGUACAACCAUGUGAAUGGCCUUCCGAUGAGUUCAUGAUCGAAGCAGGCUUCAAGGAUGAGUUUGAUACACUUGUCUGCAAUGUCGGGUUAGAAGAAUUCCUCUCAAAUAAAUGUGAACAGUAUGCUUUGCUCACUGCCUCUUUCGUGUGUAGAUUUAAAUUUUUAGUUGGGCGUGACUCAUCCAUACCGUUUGACCUGUAUGAUAAAUCCUACGCCAUGGAUUUGGAGGAUUUCAAUAGGAUUUGCAAGAUACCCGAUGGGGGAAAUCUUAAAGAUCCUGCUAAGUCUUCGGUUAGAGAUUUUGUCUCUAGUAUAACUGUUGGAGAAACUAGAGACAUCACGCAAGCUACCAUAGGAAGCAUUCAUUUCCCUGGCUUGCACUACUUUUCCCUCUUCAUAGGUAAUGCAUUAACGGCAAGGUUGAACAUUGUCACCUAUGCGCAUCCGACCUUAGUAUCCUUAAGAGCGCAGUGACGGGUGACAAAAGCUUCAACAUGGGAGCUAUUAUAGCAAGGAGGAUGAAUAAGAAUGCUAUUGAUGGGGAUUUCUUUGGCGGCAUCUAUGCCACUUGCAUAGCAAAUUUUCUUGGAGUACCCAUCCGCGCAGGAGAUCCCCCGCUCCAUACAGCUUUCCUUGACCACGUCGCUAUGACACGCUACCAGUUCCUUGAGAGGGAUGAUGAAUCCCUCCUAUACCGAUUGAUAUUUAACCGGCAACGUGUUUUCCAUAUUACCCUUCCUGCUCCUGCUUUGUUUGACUUUCAGGUAAAACGGAGAUACUACAUAACCAUAGGAGAGGCAUAGGAGUAUGAGAGGGAGGCGACGGCUGCUCGUCUCUGUGAGGCAACUAUUUAGGCAGUGGCUGCAGCGCUCCCGUAUAACCCCGAUUAUGAUUUUGGGUUUUGCCAGGACCGUCCUUGGGAGUAGACCAAGCGAGGCCAAAAGCCUAAGCUUGGGGGAGUACGUGUUUGCACCAACUUUACAUUCAAGCUUAUGCUUUCACUUUGUUAGUCAGUGUUUACACUUUGCCACUGUAUUAUCCAUGCUAGUUUAUUUUCGUUUUCUUGNNNNNNNNNNNNNNNNNNNNNNNNNNNNNNNNNNNNNNNNNNNNNNNNNNNNNNNNNNNNNNNNNNNNNNNNNNNNNNNNNNNNNNNNNNNNNNNNNNNNGACCGGAGUCUGCAAACGCAGAAGAAUUUUGAAUCGGCAAGAAAUUCAUCCGCUUUGUAUUACUUCGAUGACAUUUGUUCUUUACAUUGUCUCUGUCGGCGGUUAUGUGUAGAAGUGCUUCAGUAGAUCUCCAUUCCAUGCCCGCGGCUCGUCCGUCUCCCUGUCGAGGUUGUAGAGUCGAUACGCUCCAUUGUUCCGUACCUUAGAAAUGAUGAACGGUCCUUCAUAGGCGGGAGCCAACUUGUGUGGUCUCUGUUGAUCCACUCGGAGCACCAGGUCUCCUGCUUGGAACGUGCGGCUCCUGACGUGCCGCUCAUGAAAUCGCCGCAGAUCUUGUUGAUAAAUUGUUGAACGGAUCAAUGCCAUCUCGCGCUCCUCUUCCAAAAGGUCUACUCCGUCUUGCCUGGCUUGCUCUUCUUCGGCUUCGGAGAAGAGUUCGACUCGUGGAGAGUUGUGAAGCAAGUCACUUGGAAGGACUGCCUCUGCUCCAUAAACGAGGAAAAAUGGGGAUCGUCCUGUCGAUCUAUUCGGGGUUGUUCGGAGGCCCCACAGCACCGAAGGCAGCUCGGUGACCCAUGCGCCGGCGGCAUGCCCAACUUCCCGCAGGAGUCGAGGCUUCAACCCUUAAAGAAUGAGUCCAUUCGCCCGCUCCGCUUGUCCAUUUGUUUGGGGGUGCGCAAAGGAUGCAAAAUACACUCGGAUACCUUGGCCUACGCAAAAACCUUUGAACUCGUCCGAGUUAAAGUUUGGGCCAUUGUCGGUGAUUAUGCUGUGUGGAACCCCGUAUCUGGCAAUGAUGUCUCUGAUAAAUUUGAUGGCCGUAAGGGCAUCAAGCUUCUUGAUUGGCUUGGCUUCAAUCCACUUGGUAAACUUGUCGACUGCUACCAGCAGAUGGGUGAAUCCUCCUUGGCUUGUUCUGAAUGGUCCGACUGUAUCUAAUCCCCACACGGCCAAUGGCCAAGAAAGGGGAAUUGUCUUCAGCGCGGACGUUGGCUUGUGGGACUUGUUUGAAUAGAACUCACAACCUUCGCAAUGGUCGACUAUAUCUUUUGCCAUUUCAUUCGCCUGCAACCAGAAGAAACCAGCUCUGAAUGCUUUGGCAACGAUCGCCCUUGAGGAGGCAUGAUGACCACAGGUUCCUGAGUGAAUUUCUUCCAAAAUUAACCGACCCUCCUCAGGAGAGAUACACCCCUGAAGGACGCCUGAAACACUUUCUCUGUAUAACUGGUCAUCAAUGACGGUGAAGGACUUCGACCUGCGAAUGAUCUGCCUAGCUUGGACCUCAUCUUCCGGUAACUCUUGCCUCAGGAUGUACGCAAUGAGUGGCACAGUCCAUUCGGGAAUGACAGCUAGAAUCUCCAUGACCAGGUCAACCACAGCGGGAAACUCGACUUCGAUCUGAUCUAUUGAGCUCUUCGGUUGCACAAGUUCCUCUAUAAAAGGAUCUUCUUUUACCGAGGGGAGGUGUAAGUGCUCGAGGCAGACAUCACUCGGGACAGGUCUCCGUGUGGAUCCAAGUUUUGCCAAUUCAUCUGCUGCUUGGUUUUUCAGUCGGGGAACAUGGUGAAGUUCCAUACCUUCGAACUUCUUUUCGAGCUUUCUUAUUGUGUUGCAGUAUGCAGUCAUGGUGGGGUUCCUUACAUCCCACUCCUUCAUUACUUGAUUAACCACUAGAUCUGAGUCGCCAUAGACCAUCAGGCGACGGACGCCGAGUGUGAUGGCCAUGCACAACCCGUAAAGGAGAGCUUCGUACUCUGCUUCGUUGUUGGAAAAAUCAAAAUGGAUCUGCAACACAUACUUGAGUUUAUCACCUUUCAGGGAUAUGAGCAGUACGCCGGCGCUGGAGCCAUUCAACAUCUUGGACCCAUCGAAGAACAUGGUCCAAUGAGCCGAGUAGAUGUGAGUCGGUUGCUGUUGCUCUACCCAUUCUGCCAUGAAGUCGGCAAGAGCUUAAGACUUUAUAGCUUUCUUGGCUUCGAACUUGAUGUCGCAGUAUAGCAUAUCCAUUGCUCACUUUGCCACUCGGCCUGAUGCGUCCCGAUUGUGGAGAAUUUCCGACAACGGAGCAUCAGAUAUGACAGAUACCGAGUGGUCUUGGAAAUAAUGAGCCACGUGCUUUGCAGUCAUGUAGAUCCCAUAAAUAAGCUUCUGAUAAUGGGGACACCUCUGCUUGGAAGGAGUCAGGACUUCAGAAACAUAAUAUACUGGCCGCUGAACCUUGUACGCUUUGCCUUCUUCUUCGCGUUCGACUGUCAGAAUAGUGUUGACGACUUCGUUUGUAGCCGCGAUGUACAAAAGAAGGGGUUCUUUACUGAGUGGGGCAGUAAGAACCGGCUGGGUGGAAAGCAGGGCUUUGAGGUCGUCGAAUGUGGUUUGGGCUUCGUUUGUCCACUCGAAGGUAUCCGACUUCUUCAUGAGUCGGUACAGAGGUAACGCCUUCUCGCCGAGUCGAGCGAUAAACCUGCUCAAAGCCGCUAGAAAACCUAUGAGCUUUUGUACGUCAUGUACUCUUACCGACCGCUCCAUUCGAACAAUGGUCCCGAUGUUUUCGGGGUUGACAUCGAUCCCUCGUUCGGAAACAAAGAAACCGAGUAACUUCCCGCUGGGAACGCCAAAUGAACACUUGGCUGGGUUUAGCUUGAUAUUGUACCUACGUAGGUUGGCGAAUGUUUCUGCCAAGUCAGUCAGUAGGUCGGAACCUUUGCGUGACUUGACUACGAUAUCGUCCAUAUAUGCCUCCACAUUUCGACCAAUCUGGUCUAGGAGGCAUUUUUGGAUCAUUCGCAUAAAAGUUGCUCUUGCAUUUUUCAAACCGAAUGGCAUAUUGAUGUAACAGAAGCACCCGAAUGGGGUGAUGAAAGAUGUUUUUAAUUCAUCCGGACCAUAUAGACGGAUCUGAUGGUAGCCCGAAUAGGCUUCAAGGAAGGAUAAGCGCUCGCAACCCGCAGUCGAAUCAACGAUUUGAUCUAUGCGGGGGAGCGGGAAGUGGUCUUUCGGACAGACCUUAUUAAGGUCCUUGAAAUCGAUGCACAUACGAAGAGACUUGUCCUUCUUGGGCACCAUGACAACAUUAGCGAGCCACUCGGAGUGGUGUACCUUGCGAAUGAAGUUGGCUGCCAGAAGUUUAGCUACCUCCUCUCCGAUUGCUUUUCUCUUGUGCGCGGCAGACCGACACAGUCGUUCUCGGACGGGCCGAGCGGCAGGAUCCACAUGCAGUCGGUGCUCAGCCAACUCCCUGGGUACACCUGGCAUGUCAGCAGGCUUCCAUGCAAAAAUGUCCCAGUUCUCAUGAAGGAAUUGGAUGAGCUCGGUUUCCUAUUUUGGAUCAAGGGUGGUGGAGAUGUUUGUUGGGGCGGUGGUGGCAUCCGUCGGGUGGACUCUUACUUUUUUCGUGUCUCCCGCCGACUGGAAUGCGGACUCGGAAGCUGGCUUCUUUGAACGCAUCAGGUCGGCAGGGUCGGCAAUCUUCUUGUACUCAUCCAACUCGAGUACAGCCAUCUGAUGGUCUGCAAUUCUCAACCCCUGCUGCAGACACUCCUCGGCUCGUUGCCGAUUGCGUGUGACAGUAAUCACGCCUUUGGGACCAGGCAUCUUCAGCUUCAAAUAUACGUAACAUGGACGGGCCAUGAAACGUACAUAUGCCGGACGGCCCAGAAUGGCAUGGUAUGCACUCUGGAAGUCUACCACCUCGAAUGUUAACUUCUAUUUGCGGAAGUUCUUGUCAGAGCCGAAGACGACGUCCAACGCAAUCUGGCUGAGAGAUUUUGCCUUUCUUCCUAGGACGACUCCAUGGAAUUGCAUACUGCUUUCGCUAAGUCUGGACAUCACAAUGCCCAUUCCCUUGAGAGUAUCGGUGUACAUGAUAUUCAAGCCGCUGCCGCCGUCCAUGAGGACUUUGCGCAGCCUAACUCCUUCCACCACCGGGUCGACGACCAGAGCUUGCCUCCAUGGGGUGGGUACGUGUGCUGGGUGGUCUGCCUGAUCAAAAGUGAUUGCAGUCUGUGACCACUUGAGGAACGUGGGAGUGGAUGGGGUUGCCAUGUUUACCUCCCUGCUGACCAGCUUCAGUCGACUUUUGCUUUCUACAUCAGCAAAAAUCAUUAAUUUUGCAUGGACUUGAGGGAACGGAUCCUCCUUGUCCUCAUCAUCUUUCUCGGUGUCUUUCUCACUCGGCUGUCCUUCACCGAAUCCUUGGAUCAGGAGGCGACACUACCGAGUGGUAUGUUUCGGCAAUAUGACAUUGCCUUCUUCAUCCAUCUUCGUGUGGAUUGGACACGGCUGAUCUAGGAUGGAAUUUCCUGACUGUUUCUUCUUGGGGGUGUACUGUGGUUUCCCCUUGCCUUUGAACUUAGCGUUUGUAACGACUGCCGCCUCUGCUUGCGGAGUGGAUUGGGCUUUCUAUUUCUGCUUCCGACUGCUGCUCCCAUCUCCGUCGGCGACUGACUUAUGCUUGCCGCUACGUAUGCGGUCCUCCUCUUCGCCAUUUGCAUAGCACGCAGCUAUCUCCAUCAUCUUGCUCAUGGAGAUGUCGCCUGUCCGACCAAACUUCAGGUAUAGAUCUUUGUACCGAACGCCUGCCUUGAAGGCGCAGACUGCUUGGUGUUCUGUAACAUUCUCCACCGUGUGGUAGAGGGUUGUCCAGCGUUGGGUAAAAUCGCGCAGGGGCUCGUUUUGCUUCUGGACACAGUGCUGAAGCUUUGUGAGACCAGCGGGGCAUUUGCACGUACCCUUGAAGGUCCUGAUGAAGACUCGGGACAGAUCUGCCCAACUCGAAAUGGUUGAUGGAGCUAACUGGUUUAGCCAAGCUCGAGCCGAACCGUCGAGCAUCAAUGGGAGAUGUUUCAGGGCGACAUGGUCAUCUCCGCCACCGAUGUGGACCACCACUCUGUAGUCGUCUAACCAAGUUUCUGGUUUGGACUCUCCUGUGAAUUUGCUGAAUCCCGUCGCCAAUCGGAAGUUGGGAGGGAUGUCAGCCGAGCGAAUGGCCCGACUGAAACACUCGGGACCAGAAACAACGGUCCUGCUUCCACUCGGAUGAUCUCUAUCGUGACCACCACGGUGGGCUCGGCUUCUAUCAACCUUCUUUUGAGUGAUAUACCCUCUUGCAUCAGGCCUUUGAUCAUGCGCGUCACCGCCCGAACGACAAUCAUCGUAAUGCGGGGGUCCGUAAGGCCCACUCCGCCGAGGAGUACGCGAACGGCGAUGAUCUUCGGGAUGAGACCGAAUGGAAGGUGGAUUCCGACUCUGGUCCCUGGAAUGAUCGUUCCAGAGGCUGCCCCCUCUGCGACGCUGGUGAGAGCUGGGACUGAAAACCGACCGAUGUGUGUUCGCUUGAACGGAACUGUUGUGGAUCUUGUUGUGCGACUGGGAGACCGCCGAGUUUUGCUGCUGCACCGUAUGUAACAAGGCACGGAUCUGCUCAAUUCCUCUACCAGCCUCUGAAUCAGUCGGCUGGAGAGAAUCAGUGAUCUUGGCGGCUGCAGCCAAGUUGAGGAUGGGUGUGCGGAACACCUCGACGUGGCUCUGGCGAACGCGUCGACUGGAAGAACGAGGGUGCUGACGACGAGCGCCGGAUGAUUCUCCGAUCUCACGCUCGUUCCGACCAGUCCCGGGCGACUUUUGUGGGAAUCGGCCAUGAGCACUUCGGCCGUAGGCCCGUGACCCUGAUACUCGGAAGGUAGUUCAGUCGGAAAUGAGUCCAAGCACUGGGAUGACCGCGGGACCACAACCGAUUCAAGCACCACCACUUGAGAGGACAUGUUUUGUCGCGCUAGGGCGUGUCGCACCCAACGCUGGAGCCCCGAACGACCGGAUAGCUUGUUGCGGUGCGUGACGGGGGCGAAGAUCGAAACCGGGGUCGAUGGCUGGACAAGAAGAACACCGCAGGAACUGGCACGGAAGUGCGUAGCCCCGCGACUCGGAAGCGUCUUGACAUCGAGGGGCGCAUCCUGAUGCCAUGCCGAAUCAUCAGCGAUGAAGGAGAGCGCACCGAAGAGGAUCUCACGACCCAUGCACAGAUCUCCGCCGGAUGACAUGACGAAGAGAUGAAAUCACAAACUCGCCGGAAGUCGCUUAUACGCCAGCCCCACGGUGGGCACCAACUGUCGUGGGUAUAAGUCUGGCAGUAGAAGUACGGGGUAUGAAAGUAUAUGGGCAGAGCCUUAGCUACGGCGAGGAUAUAUGAGUUCAGGCCCCUCUACNNNNNNNNNNNNNNNNNNNNNNNNNNNNNNNNNNNNNNNNNNNNNNNNNNNNNNNNNNNNNNNNNNNNNNNNNNNNNNNNNNNNNNNNNNNNNNNNNNNNGCCUUUGGCGGCGAGCUCCCUCUCUCUCUCGAUCAAUUUUCUCCCCCGUCGCGUUUGUAGCGGCGCUUGGCAAAGCCUCGCUGAGGUUGUACCACCACCACCGUCACUAGUAGAAAACAGGGCAUUGAGCCAACCACAUUGGACCCGGAUUGGAUAUAAACCGGUUCUAAAGGGUCUAUCCGCUGGGCCCCCUCCCUGCAGCGAAUGGCCGCAAGGCCUUUAGGACCGGUUUGUAACACAAACCGGUCCUAAAGGGUUUUGGACCGUUUGCUGCAGGGCGGGGACCCAGUGGACAGACCCUUUAGAACCGGUUUGUAUCACAAACUGGUGCUAAAGUUUUUCUCAUUUUUGCAGCAACUGCGGGGCCCCGUUGUCAGACCCUUUAGCACCGGUUUUUAACACAAACCGGUCCUAAAGCCCUCCCCUAUAUUCCACUCCGAGCUCAGCUCCAUUUUUUCCAGCGCGAGCUCAACUCCAUUUUUGCUCUCUCCUUCCUCUUGGGAGCUCUAAUCCAUCCCCAUUUUUCUCCACCAUUUGUCAAGAUUGUUGGCACCCAUCGGUCCUACGGUUAACAUCAACAUUCCCUCUUCCGGCAUUGCAAGUUUUGCUCGUUUUCUUGCUCAUUUCAUUUUUGUUGUGCUAGCUAGGUGUUUGAUGAAAUGCCUAAGCUAGAGAGAGUUCAUCAUUUGUUAUGUAUACAUAUGCAAUUUGAGCUCAAAUUUAAUUAUGAUUUAUGGUUUUUUUUAGUGUCGCGCGCCUUGUCCCCUUCCUCACCGCCGUCGAUCGCCCCGUCACCGACACAACCUUGGUGAGCCUAGUGUUUUUAUUUACCAAAACAAAUUAUGAUUUGUAUGAUUUACAUAUUUACUUGUAUAUAAUUUUCUUAUUGUGUAAGAUUUUUUUUAUAUGUAUAGCGCCAUGGUUUUGAUAUCCGUCCCCGUUGGCCCUCGUCCAGUCUAUGAUUCGGAUGUGGUAUAUUAUCUUUUAUAACUACAUAUUUUCAUUUCCUGAUUAUAUGACAAUUAAUUACGCCGACCAACUUGACAUAGAUAUUUUUAUCUAGGAGGUAGUGGAACCGGAAAUGCCAAUCGACCCUAUUGUUGAGAAGUUACACUUAGUUGAACAAGAAAAUGUUGGCCUGAAAGAAAGAUUGAAAAAAACUGAAGAAAGGUUGGAAAAAACUGAAAGAGAGAAGAUGACCUUGGAAAAGGUUCUUGCCGGUGUCGUCGAUGGUCACAAGAGCGAGAUGGACGCAAUGCGCCUGAAGAUUAGAAAGAUUAGAAAAUAUGCAAUUAGUAAAGAGGCUUCGUAUCAUUAGGCCGUCGGGUCAAUUGUUACCUUUGUUGCGAUUUUGAUCGCAUUUGUUGUUGUUUUUAAAUGCAUUAGUUAGAGAGAGUUUUUAUGGUUGGUUUCAGUGUGUAUUUUUAUGAGAACUAUAUAUGUAUGGUCACUACGCUACUUUGGUUUUAACGUGUGAUGAACUUUUUGUAUUAAUUAAUUAAUUUAGUCAUGAUGAUUUAGCAUAAUGGUUUUUGAUAAAUUUAUAUAAUGCAGAUGAACCGGCAAUGGAUGUACAGUGAUCGACGUCGUCCCGAAUUCCUUAAUGGCAUGCAUAGUUUUCUCAAUGUGGCUGAGAAAAACAGGCAGAAUGGAUUUAUUUUUUGUCCAUGUAAAAAAUGCCAGAAUAAGAGGAAUUUCCCUAACUCAAGAACCAUACACACCCACCUGUUGCAAGAAGGCUUCAUGCCCAGUUAUUUUUGUUGGACCAAGCACGGAGAAAGAGGGGUUGUAAUGGAAGACAAUGAAGAAGAAGAGGAUAAUGAUAACUAUCCUAUGUUCGGUGAACACGGUGAUACUGAAAUGGGGGAAGACGAGCCUGAACUUGAGGACAUUGUUGAUGAGUCUGAUGAUGAUCUUCGUCAGGUCAUUCGUGAAGAACAGAUAAACUGCGGAAGUGAAAACGAGAGGUUGAAGUUGGAGCGCAUGUUAGAAGAUCACAAAAAAUUGUUGUACCCAAAUUGCGAAGAUGGCCAGAAAAAGUUGGGCACCACCCUGGAAUUGCUGCAAUGGAAGGCAGAGAAUGGAAUAUCUGACAAGGGAUUUGAA
rnacentral:lncRNA from 1 species